rnacentral:lncRNA from 1 species
GCGAACCCUAGGCCGGCUCCGAGGUCGUGCUCGAGGGUGAACUGGACGGUGUUGGACUCGGAGGCGCCAGCCGCCUGCGUUGUGUCCGCGGAUCGGCGGCGGGAGGAGGUCACUACCGGCGGUGUCGAGGGCGGCCGAGGGGAGGGGGUGGAGGAGGCCCUGGUGCCCUCGAACUCGUCGUCGUCGUGGAGGAGCAGCUCGUCCGACUCGAAGGCGGCGGCGAGGGAGAGGAAGUGGGAGAGGAGGAGGAGGAGGGGCAGGAGCAUGAGGAGAGAGCGACGCCGCGCGGCCAUGGCUUUGGGUGAAGGGGCUCAGGCUUGGACUCUGGACUGGAGGAGGGAGAUCGGCAGCGCCGGCCGAGGUGAUGUAUGCGGGGGAGGAGAGGGAGAGACGGUGCUUCUAUUAUUUCUCCUCUUAAGAAGAUUUUGAUUAUUAUUUUUUAGGCAGCUUUUUUAGCACAAUUCUGAGACAGCUAAAGACCAAGAUUUUGAAUUUUUUAAAAUGUGUAANAAAUGUGUAGAAUCCAGUUUAUAUUUAUAAAAAUCUACAUAUAGGAUCACGGGGUGCCCUGUCCACACAUAAUGACAUCCGUGAGAGUGCGAAAACUUGGCUAGACUAUGUGCUUUAUUGUUUGACCCACAACCUCGAAGCAAAAAAGUUACAAUAAAAACAAAAGCCCGCAAAUGAAUCUCACUAGUGAUUGUGUCAUGGCCCCUUGACAACCCUUGUGGAUAUCCUGUACUCCUUGCUUCGAGUCAAAUGUAACAAUGAAAUGCUGAAGGAGAAGAUCUUUUGAUAGACACAGGGCUUUCCUGUAUGUGAUAGCCUCGAGUGUUGCUGGAUCGUGGACCCCUGAUCGUCGGAGUCGAGCUUCCCAAGUACUUCCUCCGUCCGGACGGAACGAGUAGUUGCCAUGCUCAUCACGACAUACGAGUGUCAUUUUUCCUCCUCUGUUAGGUGUUGAAACUCAUGCAUCCAUAUUAGAUUCACAAAUCCCGUCAGAGGUGGUUUUGGCCUUCUUCUUCGACGGCGUGGGGCAAGCGUGGAAAUUUCACACGGGGCACUGCGUUAGGGAGGGGGGACUGCGUCUCGACGGGGGUGGGACGGAUAGAGGCAUGUGGCAACGCGGGUAGCAUCCAUGGUGAAGGCAUGCGGAUGCGAGGAUGAUUGAGGAUGAAGAUUGACAUCUGACCUCAAAUAAUCAAUGAGAGAAGUGAGUAAUCCCACAUAUGCAUAUAUAGUUUCUACUUGCUAUACACAACCUUCUUUUUCACUCGGGGGACAAGGGUUAAACUAGGUUCCUCCAAAAAGGUAUCUGGUUUAUCACUGCAAAGGCAUGGGUUAUUAUAUACCGCACACACCAGAUGAGGAAGAAUGUUAGUUCUGCGAAACUAAUCUCGACUCUAAACACUGUCACAUGAUGAAGGAAAGCUUAGCAGCUCAACAGGCAUCUCCCUGCUUCGAGCGCUUCAGGUCCAGUCAUAGAACUCCAUGGGCGAAACGGAAGUGAUUCAUCUCGAGCCGUGGUUUGUUCCUUGUAUGGUUACAUCACAACAUGCAGUCAUAGUUGAACCAGGAUUGAAAAGUGAGUAGUAUUUCUUCAUAACUAUUCAAGGGUUUUUUCAUAACGAGUAAAACAAUGGACUCUUACCUGUUUAUCCAUAGCAUGUCUGCAGGAAAAGAUUACCUCGGCCCAUUUGACAGCAAUCAAUGCAUCAAACUUGCCAUCCCUCUGAUUCAAAGAUUCCUUUGAAAUGACCUUACCUACAAUCAUAUAUGGCCAUGGGCCGGGCCGGGCCCAAAAAAGCCCGUAGCGGAAAACUGAGGCUCAGGCCCGACACUACCAUCGGGCCUAUUUUUCAAGCCCAAGCCCGGCCCAGAUGUUGAAAAGCCUGUCGGGCCUAGGGCUGCGGGCCGGGCCUCUUCCUUAAAAUCUCAAUAUGUCAAGCCCAAGCCCAGCCCUGCCCCGCUGGCGGGCUCAAAACUUAGGCCCAAGCCCGGCCCACGGGCGGUGCUACAAUGGAGAAAUGCUGGAUCAUAACUUAUGUUCAUAGUUUGUCAAAUAAGCAAGCUGAUAAGUGAUAACUAACACCCUUUUGGCAGCAGGGAACAUGCAAUUUUUAAAAACAUUGUCUGAAUCCACAUGCGUGUUAUGCAUCCGAUCGUUUCUGCUUGGAGACAGCAAGACCAAUAGAUCUAUAAAUGAGGGCGGUGAAAUGAAAUUCUGGUGCAUAGUUAUACAUGAAGACUAAUCAUCAGAUAGAAAUUGCAGGCAACACAAAAGCUGAAAGAGUGGCAAUACACACUGCAAGCAACACAUGUAACUGAAAGUGCAAAAAAGAAAUACAAGUGUUGAGUUUUUUUUUCCUAAUUCACCAUUUAUGCAAAAACAACACAAAGUGAAAGUAUUCCAAUCUCUCUUAACCUUAUACAGAGAUUCUUCCCGUCAAACUCAGCGAAGUUUGUCCAAGAGUACUGGGCACAUCCUGAGCAGGUUCCCAUGUACUGGAUUGCAGAGAAUAUAAUACUAUUGUCUCAGGAACCAUAGCAGCAGCUUGUGCCCUAUUAGGGAGCAUUGUGGUGUAUUAAUUCCUUCUCCAACCACAUAAGUCGUUUCUAGAGUUGCGGCCCCUGCAUAUCUUAACACAUGAAAGAAAGGUUCAUGUCAAAAUAAAUAAAUUACAAAUAUGUUUCUCAGACACUACAAUCGGAAAUCCUAAGCGAUGAACACAUAUGACUCAAAUAAAGGUAAGAUCAAUGCAGUACGGAUAUAAUUUCCAGUUCAGCUCCCAGGAACAAAGGCAAGAUCAAUGCACUAAGGCUAUAGUUUCUGGUUCAGUUCCCAAGCCUUACAUUGUUAUAGAACAGGAUAACAACUAACUUAACUGCGGCAUAUCAGACAACAUGACCAGGACAUAUGCAGUCNNNNNNNNNNNNNNNNNNNNNNNNNUCAUUAGAUCCUUAGAAAUACUCCUUAAGAAAGGAUAAGAGAAUAAGAGUCGGCAUGCACCAAACUAUUAUCUAUACGUUGACUAACCAAUCAGAAUAGUAUACUUGUCAACAUUCAGUCUGUAUGCUACAACAAAGGCAAGUGUGCUGUUAUUUGGAUCAUAGAAAACUCGUCAUGACUACCUGAAUGCUAUUUCCAAAAUGAUAUCAGAACUGCUCUGCAAGCACAUGGUAAGAAAAAAGGGAAGUAACUGGAUGUUAUUUCCAAAAUGAUGUCAGAACUACUACCUCUGUAACUAAAUAUAAGACAUUUUUGCAGUUCAAUUUAAACUGCAAAAACGUCUUAUAUCUAUUAUGUUUUAUUUCUACAAACGUACAUAAAGAAUCGAUUACUUUGGUUCUAUUAGGAACCAUCUUCCUUCUUCUGUUCACACAGAAGAAAAGCCUACUGGUCAGCCUAAUCAUGACCACCUUCAUAUUUUUAUAAAUGCACACAGAUCACUAAAAUAUAGUUAAAUUAUUCGCAACAGAUAAAAUUACCCAGUUCUGAUUCAAACUACUAGCCAACAACCUAACCGGUGCUUCAGAUUUGUAACUAUGUGAGUAUGUUGCGGACCCCAUGCUCAUCGUAUGAUUAAAAUAGAAACUGAGCAGACCCUGGAGUAAUAAUGUAGUUGCUUCAGUCACCACAUCCACGUGGCCUUAGCAGACCCUAUCUCCUGCAGCCAUGUAACACUUGAUUCCCAGUACACCCGGAAAAAAAAAACCUUGAUUCCCAGCAGAUGCUUCUAUCAACUCAUCAAUGUGACUAUAUGAGGGCCUUAGAACGGAACUAAUUCUAUACAUAUUGCCACAUUUGCUAAUCAAUACAUAUAAAGUUAUAUUUCAAGGGAUUCAGCCUUCCUUUGGAGUACUUAAGAAAAUCCCUUGUAAUUCUAAUAAGGAAGUUCAUAGCAAUCAAACCGGGAGGUGCUGACUUGCAAUUUUAAAUAAAUACACCAGUACACCAUGGCUGCUUCAGAUGUUCAGUUAUAUUCGGAGAAGCAUGAUGCGUGUUCAAAUGGAAUGGUUACUCAAAAAGGAUCUCACCUUGUUCCAGCAGAACAUGUAGUGAUCCAUAAACAUAGUAAAUGUUCUCUGAAAUCAUUGGAUUGGGCCUCGUGGAUCCACAGGAUGGUGAUGCGAAAGCACAAUGUUUUUAGAGAAUUAAGUAGCAAACCUGCAAUGCACAAAAGAGAUCAAAUGGUUGGCAAACCUGCUGUUCGUCCUGAAGCUAGUUUAGUAAGAGAGAACAUUUAGCAACAAAAAUAUAAAAGUUUUUUUGAAGCUUGCAGCGAACAUGCAAUGUGUGGCACUGAAUAAUUCAGAAAAGCAUGAAACAUGUGUUCAGAUGGUUCCUUAAAAAGGGAUCUCAGAUUGUUCCACUUCCAACAGAAAAUGUAGUGAAAAGUAAACAUGCAGAUGUUAUCUGAAUUCNNNNNNNNNNNNNNNNNNNNNNNNNNNNNNNNNNNNNNNNNNNNNNNNNNNNNNNNNNNNNNNNNNNNNNNNNNNNNNNNNNNNNNNNNNNNNNNNNNNNUUCAUCAUGUCUUGCUUUCAACUUGAGCCAAGAAGGAACAACAACAUCAAGCUCAAGUGAAAGGGCUAACUCAAAGGUAUCAGUUCCUUUGACGUUAGUUGUGCGGAGUGAUGAUCAGCGAAUAAAAGUAUACACUCAAGUAUGGAUCAUCAGUACCCCUUUUAUGAUUCUUGAGUCUUUAGGGAUCCCGCACUAUUAAGAGGGGAUCACACGUUUUGCGAUGAACUUGCUCAAACUACAUCUCCACUAUUCUGCUCAGACCACAUCUCCACUGCUCUGCUGUUAUCUAAAAACAGAACCAGUGCCUCGGACAUCCGGCUUCCUCCGGACGUCCGAGGGCUGGACGACCGACUGCUUCGGAAAUCCGGAAUCCUAUACCAGAGAAAUCAGAGCCAUAUAACUCGGACUUCCGGCUCCCUCCGAAUGUCCGAAACCCGGAUAUCCGACCAGCUUCGGAAUUCCGGAACUAUGCACCAGAGAAACUUGAGCCAUAUAACUCGGACUUCCGGCUCCCUCCGGACGUCCGAGGGCCGGUCAAGGGUCGGACGACCGACCAUCUUCGGAAAUCCGGAGCCCUGCACCAGAAGAACAUGAGCUCUAUAACUCGGAUUUCCGGCUCCCUCCGGACGUCCGAGGGCCGGACGUCCGUCCCCUUUCGGAAAUCCGGAACCUCCCACCAGAAGAAGUUGAGUCGAAUAACUCGGACUUCCAGCCUUCUCCGGACGUCCGGUCGCUGUUCAAUUCACAGUAUUGUCAGUGAUAUCUACAGGCCUCGGACGACCAACCCCUGUCGGACGUCCAACCCCUCGCGGACGCCUGGACUUCCGGAAACUGUCGGACGUCCGGACCCUGUGUGACUUAAAGUGUCCCCAACGGCUGUUUCUCUCUCCCCACUAUAAAUACCCCUCCCACUUCGUGAGAGGGUUGCCCAACACAGCCUUAUCCUCAUAAGAACACACUUCUACCUCACACACACUUGAUCACACCAAAUCUUAGAUCCCAAGAGCAUUUGUGAGCCCCUUUGAGAGUUGUUCCAAUCAAAAGAUAGAUCGUCUCCCUCUCCUCCUCUCAACCCAAGCUAUUUGAGAUUUGAGCAAGUUUUGAGCAUUCCCCGUGAUCUUGUUACUCUUGGAGGUUGAUGACUCCUAGGCGGUAGGAGUUCUUCGGAGAGGAAUGAAUCCGUGUGAUUACCCCCCGGAAAAGUUUGUGAGGGUUUGGAAGCCACCUCAAAGGCUUACCACUAGUGGUUGAGAGACGCCUUCGUGGUGUUAUCUCAAAGGGAGAAUAGGGCGAGCCUUCGUGCCGUUGGUGUGCCUUCGUGGUAACAUCCACCUCUCUAACGGUGUGGUUUACUUGUGUUACUUGAGCAUACAAACAUUGCAUAUUGUUUGUGCUCAUUAUAUUGUGUUGGCUAUUUCUUGUACAAGAUUAAUCAUUCAAGCAUAUCCUCUAUAUCCACACGUUCAUACUUGCAGCCUUUGAUAUAUCGUGUGAUAUAGUGUGAUCUAGUAUCUUGUGUUGUUCACCUACUUGUACUAUGAUAUAGCUCAAGUAAGUUUGUGUAACUUACUUGUGCUUGUUUAGUAACUACAUUGUGUCCAUCUUGGUAGAUCGUGUUGUUGAUACACGUUGUAGUGCCUAGUGCAUUUAGGAUUUGUGCUUGACUAGUACCCACUUAGUUUAUUUCCACAUUAGUUUCAAGCCUAAUCCGAAGAAGUUUUUAAAUAUCCUAUUCACCCCCCUCUAGGCGUCAUCGAGGUCUUUUCAAUUGGUAUCAGAGCUAGGUCUCUCUUUAAUUAGGUUUCACGACCUAGAGAGUAUCGAUGUCGACUAUUGGAUUAGUGCACAAUGGCAUCUUUGACUUUGAUGGCACAAAUUAAACCCUAUGGAAAUUCGUAUGCUUCAUCACUUUCGGGCCAUGGGCCCAAAUACUUUACGAAUUGUUCUUGUAGGGAUUGCCGACAAAAAGGAUGAUGCAUCUUCAUCUACUAAUGAGAUGUAUCUUGACUGUGAGGCUUUUCUUGCCAUUCAUCGAACCAUAAGUCCUGAAGUGUUUAAGUCUAUCUCGACUUGCAAGUCAGCUCAUGAAGUUUGGACUAAACUUGAAGAUAUAUAUGGUGGGUCCAAUCUUGAUGAAGACGGUAUUAUGAUGAAGGAGUUGGUGCAUGAUCUCUUCACUCUUUUCGAUCUUAAAGAGUCCACCACUACUUCCAUAUCCGAUUGCUUGCACACCUCAGCAUCUUCAAUCUCACAAGGUAAUGACAUGGUGAGUGAAGAAAUAUAUGUUGAUGAAAAUGUCAUAGCCUCUAUGGACACGAGCAUAUCCAGCACCACACAUAUUGUAAAUUAUUGUGCUGAUAGGUCAUGCAUUUGACCUAAAGAUCCCUCGAAAAAUGUCUGUGGUGAUAUGCCUGCUUCCUCGUGUCCUCUUGAUCAAAAUAUCUUGUUUCUCCCUAGUUGCUCUAUGACUAAUCAUUUAGGGGAAAUCAAGAAAUAUGAAGUACCUUUGACUAAUGAAGAAUCUGAUUCACCAAAAGAAUCAUCAUCAAUUCCUCCAGUUCACAUGUGCCUCAUGGCAAGAGGUAAUAAUGAGGUAUCAUCUUCCCUGUGCAAUAACGAUGAUAUUUGCGAUGAGGAUGAUGAUGAUGACUUGACUGAAAAUAUCUAUGUGAUCAGUAAAAUUCUUCAUAAAGCUAAAAAUAACGCUCUUCAAAGGUUCCAAGAUGUUCUUGCUUACUUUGAAAAUUGUAAUGAUUCACUUAAUCUUGAACAAGCUAAAAGUGAACAACUUGAACAUGAACUUGAGAAGAGUCAUCAAGCAUGUAGAGACUUAAGAUCUUCAAAAGGAGAGAUUGAAGUUACUCAUGAUAAACUUAAAAGGGAUUUUGAGGUCCUUCUCCUUGAAUGCAAGAAUGUCAAGGGAGAGCUCGUCAAAACCUCUAAGAUCUAUGAGGAGCUUCAAUCUACUCAUGAGAAGUCUCUAAUCGCUACUUACUCCUCUCAUAUUGUUGAUGAUACUUGUACAUCUAACCCCUCUUUCGAAGUAUCAACAUUGAAGGAGAAUGUUGAGCUACGUGCUCAACUUGAUUUACUAACUAGCAAUUAUGGGAAGUUGGAAGAAAACCAUGUAAUGCUCACAAGCUCUCAUGCCGAUCUUCUAACAUCCCAUAAUGUGCAAAAGUUAGCUCAUGAGGCUAUCAUCACCAAGGUAACAUCAAGUGAGCCUCAUGUGGACAAUGGCACUACUUCUAGUCAAAGUACUAUAUUUCCAUGUGCUAGUCCUCGUAAUUCGUCUACUCAUAAUGUUGCUACCUCGUGUGAUGAAUUACUUUCCUUGCCUUGUUGCUCUAACAUUGAAGCUUACACUUCCUCUAGUACUUGCAUUGAUACUAACCGUGCAGAGGAAAUCGAAGAGCUCAAGGCCCAAGUCACAUCUUUGAAGAAGGACUUGGAACAAUGUCAUGAAGGGAUGUCCACACUCAACAACGUCCUGUGUGAGCAAACAUCUCCGAAUGACAAAAAUGAUGUUGGAGUAAACUCAAACAAGAACAAGAGGGGCCUAGAACAGGUCAAGAAUUCGGCCAAAGUCAUUUGUUUCAAGUGCAAAGUUAAAGGGCACCAUGUUAGAUCUUGCCCUCUGAAGACGAAGUCUCAAAGUCACAAACAACAAGGGAAGCGGCCACAAACUCAAUCACAUAUUCAGCUACAAGUUGAAGGAAGGCCUCUUCCCAAUAAGACCCAAGCCAACACUCCUCGAGGUGAGAAAUCAACUGGGAAGAAAGCAAAGGGUAGAUGUUGCUACUUAUGUCGUGAGAAGGGUCACGUCGCUUCGUCUUGCACAAGAGGUAACUUACCCAACCCAAUCACUAUUGGUGAUAUCUAUUCCCUUGGGAAGGAUAAGGUUGGCAAUGUGUUUGCCAAGUUUGUUGGUACCCAAAAUGGUGUCAAGAAAAGAACCAUUUGAGUUGCCAAGCCUAUUGUGAUUAACCUCUUAGGACCCAACGUAGUUGGGGACCCACAAGCUCAAACUUGAUCAAUAGGUUACCAUGGAGGACAUUAGAGACUUGGAUACAAAAUGAAGAAUUAAGGGGUCUUCAUCAUUCAUAUUAUCUCAAGCCAAGUCAUUUGGAUUAUCGAGUUUCUAUCUUAUAUCCAAUGUGCCUCCUUAUGAUAACUUAUACUUAAACUAUUUACAUUGUUAGGUGCUUGCCCCUUUGCAUGUUGUGGUUUUGUACCUUGCAUGCAUUUGUAUAUGUUGUGCUUCCAACUUGCUUAUCUUGAUUAAUCGAGUAUGGGUAUGUUGGUUUGCAUAUCAUGUACAUGUGAGUCUUGUAUUGAGCCUUUCUGCAUCUUGUUUAUAUUUUUUUGUUGGUUCUUGUGAGAGACUAAUGGAUUAUCCCAUUGUGGGGGGAGUGAUGUGCUUUGCACACCUCACAAUCCUAUAAAUAUGUAUACAUGGAGAAUACCACUUAGUUUUGAUAUUUCAAGAUUAUCUAGUUUCUAUGUGGUAUGUCUUACUCAUGAGAAAUUCAAAUUCUAUAUGGUCCAUUAAUUAUCUCUUGUUGGUUUCAAUUUGCCACUUGUUAGUGUUGUUGGUUUAUCACAUUAUGGGGGAGUAAUAUGCUAUGUGCAUAUUACAAACCUAGAAAACGUGUACAUUUGAGGUGUUGCCACUUAGUGUUGAUAUUGUAAAUUAUCUUGUUCCUAGGUGGCAUGUUAGAUCUACAAGUGUCAUUUGCUUGCGUUUUAUGGGUAAAGAUGAUCUUGGAUAUAUUUGUGAUCUACGAAUGAGUAUCACUUCGAAAAUACUUCUUGUCCUUGACAAUUGGUAUUCCCAUCAUGUGAUAGGAAUUGCUAAUCAUCUUUACAUUGGAUUUUGUGUUUCGUUUGUCUUCCUUGCCUCUUAUGGAUGUAUUUUAACAUGUCUAGUGUUUUUAUAGAUAUAGAGAAAGUGAUGAUCCCAUCCCGUGCGUUUUGUAUUUAAAUGCAAAUUCUAUAUAAUGCACGUCCCUUGGGGGAGCUAUCCUAUUUUCUUUAGAACACUCCCUUUAUUCACCGAUCAUAAAAUCUUUUGAUCCCCAUCAAGUGUGUGUUGAUGGGAGGCAAGUCUUGCUCUUUAUGAUGCUUUGUGCCAUCAUGAAAAUUUGUCGAGGGCUUGGUUUGUUGGAACCUAGCUCUCUUUUGGAAACUAGAUACCUUGUGUUUGUUUUCCUUCAAUUGGUUUCUUGUUGCCUUCUAUUUGGCAUGUGUCAAUGGAUAUCUCAUUCCUCGAGGUAUCUUUUAAUUGAUAUCCUUCAAGUGAUAGUUCUUUUUGUUUUAGGAUCUUAUUAUCACUUGAUACCUUGUCUUUUGGUGACUUAUCAACUUUGUGUUGAGUUGAUUCUUGAGAGUCUUGAGCAUGCAUAUCUACUAUAUACAACUUCUUUUGCUUGCUUUCCUUCUUUGACCCAAUAUAUAGGGGAAACUCCACCUUGUCAUAAAUUGGCUAAAGUGUGCAUGAAAUUCAAAUUCAUAUCUAUAUGCACAUAUGUAUGUGGAGUUUGUCCUAUGUAUUGCUGGUUUUCUAACUCUUUGGUCCCAAUGAGUUUGGGCACCAUUUUGUUUGUUUUGUUGUUCCAGGAAGAACUGGAGAUGCAUUGGAUGCUCGGCUCACCUAUAAGGAAGGUGUUGAGACCAUGUGAUUAUUGGAGCCAAGUUAGGAUGAUCAAAGAACAACUAUCUACUACAUCAAUCCAAUGUCGUCUCGGUAACGAGUAUCCACUUCAUGCGUUCGUUUCUUGCAAAGGCCCCAACCUGUCAUUCUUUUCCAGGUUGCAUCAUAGCAUGAAUCUCUUGAUUCGUUCUUGUAGUACUUGUUUGCUUUCUCAAAGCAUCCGAACGAUGAUGGCUUACUACUAGUUGGGAUGUCUUUGAUGUUCGUAUGUUGGAAGUUCAUAUUAUACAAUAAGAAAAUAUUAGGCCAUGUGCUAUGCUUCCAAGCAAAAGAUCUCAUUGAUAUAUUUAUGACUUCCUUUUUGGAUAUCUAGUUUGUUCCUUCUUGUAACCAUUUUGUGUGUAUAUCCUUCUUUGUGGAUAUAUAUCAUCAUGAUUGUAUUCUACUUAGAAUCUUUUACACAUAAGAGAAGUUACAUCUCUAAUUGAUAUCCUCUUUUCUUUCACGUCCAUCGUCACAUUUCCUUUUUCAGUUUUUGGUGGUUUCGUGAAAAGAUUUGUUUUGAGUGCGUAUCUUAUUUUCCUACAUCUUGAUGCACUCUUUGGCCGUGAACAUUAUUUGUCUUCAUGCUUGUCUUGAUGAGGGUUUUGCCAUUUCAAUUAGUAUUCCUCCUCUUGAUAAGGUUCUUACUUCCUAUCUUCACAAUGGGUUGCCACAAGCGUUGGUUCUUAUUUUGUUUAUUAGUAAGCUUGUGAACCCAUUUUCUAGUAUGUGUGUGUGGGAAUGAUAUGUCUUGCACUUUGUAUCUCAUUUCAUCAAGACUAUGUUGAUGAGUAAUGCUCAUCCUUAUCUUAGUCUUCUCAAGUGCUUUGCCAUGACUCACACACAUUACUUUGGUUGAGCCUAUUCUUAAGUUGCUUCUUUUACAUGUUGCUCAACCAUUUGUUUUGUGCAAUCGAUAUGCUUAUUGUCUCAUCUAUCUUCUUGCACUCGUUGUGUGUUUUUAUUAAUUUUGGGGGAGCAACGAUCCUAUUUUGUGCACCUGUAUCAAAUACAAAAAUAUCGUAUUAGUGCACAAAUCAUGGGGAGCUUCUCUAGUUUUCGAUAAAACACUCUGUUGCCUUUAUCAUAAUAUCUUCUAUUCAUGUGGUUCAAAGGACCAUGUGAUUGUUUGUUCCAUCAGGAAUCUUUUGAUUGCUUGCCUCUAUUGUUGUAUGUCUUUGUGGCAUAUGAUCCUUUUAUUUGCAAUCUUUAGGUCCUCAAUAUAGUUUGUUUCCCUCCAACUACUUAUCAUUUUAUUUGUGUAUUUCUCUCCACUCAUUUGCUGAGAAGUACACACCUUUUGGAGGACCACCUACUAUAUUGACUUUCUAAACUUUUUGUCCAUUUUGGCAAUCGAUGCCAGGGGAGAAGUUUAGAGAGUUUACUUUGGAUAUGUUUAGAGGGUUUUGCUUUUAUUGCGUAAGCAUUUACGUCUUGCACACAUGCAUUAUUACCUUGUAUGUGUGCGCUUGGUUAUGCUUAUUUCCUUAUAUAAACUCUCUUGAAGUGGUCGUCUUCAAUUACCAAAAUGGGGGAGAUUGUUAGAGCAUAUAUCUCCAUAUGUGGUUUUGGUAAUUGAUGACAAUUCCUAUGGACUAAUGGUUGCCUUAAGUUAUAUUUAUAGGAUUUGUCCAUAGGCACUUCUUGAAGUCCAUCUGUUGGGUUCAAGGAGUUUAUAUGAUGACCAAGAUGGUAUUCAAGGUAUUAUCCGAAGAAUGGUCAUAGAUACACUAGGUUUAUCAAGAUCUUAGACAAAGAGUAAAUCAAGACGAUCAACACACAAACCGUAUAAGAUGUACCGAGAGGAAUCAAGUGAUCCCAUGGUAUGGUAAGGAUUGUCCAUUACGUGUUUGUGUACCAACCCAUGGUCUUUGUGAGAGUCCUAUGUGGGGGUUAGGUGUGCUUCCAUGGGCUUGCGUCAAAAGGAAGAUCUCAUACAACCCAUGAAGGAUGACGUCAAGUGGCGAUCGUCAUCAAGAUUGUGGUGUGCAAGCUCAAGUGGAUCAACACGAAUAUAUCAUUGAAACUAUUGUUAAUGAUCAUGUGUUGAUAAGGACAAGCUCAUGUGCUAACAAGGACAAGAUCAAGAUAAGCAUUCCUGAGCACUACAUGCUUGAUUCUUGUGGAUGUUCACAUGGUGGACAAAUGAAGAUGAAUACAUAAGCUAGGCUUUCCACAUUGUGUAUGGGAGAGCUACUUGAAGACUUCAUCAUGUCUUGCUUUCAACUUGAGCCAAGAAGGAACAACAACAUCAAGCUCAAGUGAAAGGGCUAACUCAAAGGUAUCAGUUCCUUUGACGUUAGUUGUGCGGAGUGAUGAUCAGCGAAUAAAAGUAUACACUCAAGUAUGGAUCAUCAGUACCCCUUUUAUGAUUCUUGAGUCUUUAGGGAUCCCGCACUAUUAAGAGGGGAUCACACAUUUUGCGAUGAACUUGCUCAAACUACAUCUCCACUAUUCCGCUCAGACCAGAUCUCCACUGCUCCGCUGUUAUCUAAAAACAGAACCAAUGCCUCGGACAUCCGGCUUCCUCCGGACGUCCGAGGGCCGGACGACCGACUGCUUCGGAAAUCCGGAAUCCUAUACCAGAGAAAUUAGAUCCAUAUAACUUGGACUUCCGGCUCCCUCCGGACGUCCGAGGCCCGGAUAUUUGACCAGCUUCGGAAUUCCGGAACUAUGCACCAGAGAAACUUGAGCCAUAUAACUCGGACUUCCGGCUCCCUCCGGACGUCCGAGGGCCGGUCGACCGUCCCCUUUCGGAAAUCCGGAACGUCCCACCAGAAGAAGUUGAGUCGAAUAACUCGGACUUCCGGCCUUCUGCGGACGUCCGGUCGCUGUUCAAUUCAAAGUAUUGUCAGUGAUAUCUACAGGCCUCGGACGACCGACCCCUCGCGGACGCCCGGACUUCCGGAAACUGUCGGACGUCCGGACCCUGUGUGACUUAAAGUGUCCCCAAUGGCUGUUUUUCUCUCCCCACUAUAAUUACCCCCUCCCACUUCGUGAGAGGGUUGCCCAACACAGCCUUAUCCUCAUAAGAACACACUUCUACCUCACACACACUUGCUCACACCAAAUCUUAGAUCCCAAGAGCUUUUGUGAGCCCCUUUGAGAGUUGUUCCAAUCAAAAGAUAGAUCGUCUCCCUCUCCUCCUCUCAACCCAAGCUAUUUGAGAUUUGAGCAAGUUUUGAGCAUUCCCCGUGAUCUUGUUACUCUUGGAGGUUGAUGACUCCUAGGCGGUAGGAGUUCUUCGGAGAGGAAUGAAUCCGUGUGAUUACCCCCCGGAAAAGUUUGUGAGGGUUUGGAAGCCACCUCAAAGGCUUACCACUAGUGGUUGAGAAACGCCUUCGUGGUGUUAUAUCAAAGGGAGAAUAGGGUGAUCCUUCGUGGCGUUGGUGUGCCUUCGUGGUAACAUCCACCUCUCUAACGGUGACUAGCUUCCCUCCAAGGAAGUGAACAUCGGGAUACAUCUUCGUCUCAGUGACCUUGGUUAUCCUUAACCCUAACUCCUUACGUGUGGUUUACUUGUGUUACUUGAGCAUACAAACAUUGCAUAUUUUUUGUGCUCAUUAUAUUGUGUUGGCUAUUUCUUGUACAAGAUUAAUCAUUCAAGCAUAUCCUCUAUAUCCACACGUUCAUACUUGCAGCCUUUGAUAUAUCGUGUGAUAUAGUGUGAUCUAGUAUCUUGUGUUGUUCACCUACUUGUAGUGUGAUAUAGCUCAAGUAAGUUUGUGUAACUUACUUGUGCUUGUUUAGUAACUGUAUUGUGUCCAUCUUGGUAGAUCGUGUUGUUGAUACACGUUGUAGUGCCUAGUGCAUUUAGGAUUUGUGCUUGACUAGUACCCUCUUAGUUUAUUUCCGCAUUAGUUUCAAGCCUCAUCCGAAGAAGUUUUUAAAUAGCCUAUUCACCCCCCUCUAGGCGUCAUCAAGGUCUUUUCAGUCAUGCACUGGGGGACAUCGUAUAUCAUGAACUCAACCAUGGGAGGAUUCUUCCUCGGGUAAAAGUUGAAGCUUUGAACGAAAAUAUUGGUGAGGAGGAGGUAUUGUGGGCACUUAUCUUCAACGAACGCAGUAAGACCUGCGUUCUCCACCAAGUAAUAAAAGUCUUCAUAAAGUCCGGCGGCGCGCAAAAAAUCAUCACUUGGCCACUCGCAUGCUCGAACUUCUGUGACUCAAGGGACUAUGUACUUGGGGUGGUUCUUCUCAUCCUCCUUGGGGUUACGGCUUGAAGAGCCUCUCAAGAACCUCCUCAUCUUUUCCUUUUUAUAGCUUUGAAAAAUUCUGAAAUUUUUAGAGACUUUGAAAGAAAAGUGAAUAAGGAUUAACCCAACUUGUAGCAACUACUCCUACUAGCGCCUAGAGACCGUAUCACGCGCUAAAACUACUUGGGACCAGCUAAAAUCAACAUUUCUAGCUCAAGAACAGGGUCACCAAGGUAGCAAGAAUACGCGAAGGAUAAAGCACUAAAGCAAAAACUAAUUGGACCAAUGGAGGAGUCACUUACCAAGGAGUAAUUUCCCCAAAACGGUUCAAAGAAUGGUGCUUUGAGCAAGGAGAUCGAAAAUCACAGCCAAAUGAGCAAGAACACGGGUUUGCGAAACAAUUUUUUCUGGAGGUGGAAGAAGUGGCUGAGAGCUGGAAUGAGUGGAGGGGGUGCCUGUGGGCCCCACAAGCUUGCACCCCGUCAGUGGGGGGGGGGGUAGGGGGCGGGGGCAGGACUUGUGGCCCACUGGUCUGGCCCCCAGGCCAACUCUCAGGCCCAGAAAUUUUUAAAAAUUCCAGAAAAAAUCAUACUAAAUUUUCAGGACCAUCGGAGAACUUUUAUUUUCGAGGUAUUUUUCUUCGGGACGCUAAAGCAGAAAACAGGAAAAACUAAACUAAUUCCAUCAUUUUUCUUCUAAGCAAAAGAAAAGGAAAACUCAAGACAGAGGUAUGUGACUCUUUGAUUCAUCCGUUUCAUGGUCAUCGAAAGAAAUCCGUCAAUGGGAUUGAUCAAGUCCUUAUGACAAAACCUUCUCGAAUCGCAAGAGAGAACGAAGAAUUUUCGAAUAGCCACUAAGUCACCUCAAUGGGGAUAUGUAUCUCCCCAACAAGCAAAUCAUACUUCAUCUUGACACGAGGAAUAGGGCAUUCAAAGCUCCCAAUGAGAAUCGAUGAAAUCUUUUCGAUAUCAUUGAUGCAAUAUACUUGAUAUCGUUUCUUCGGAAAGUGCACUGUAUGCUCAUUACCGUUGACAUGGAAAGUGACAUUGCCUUUGUUGCAAUCUAUAACAGCCCCUGCAGUGUUUAAAAAGGGUCUUCCGAGGAUGACAGCCAUGGCAUCGUCCUCGGGAAUAUCCAAGAUAACAAUGUCUGUUAAGAUAGUGGUGUUAGCAACCACUACAGGCACAUCCUCGCAAAUGCAGAUAGGGAAAGCAGUUGAUUUUUCGGCCAUUUGCAGAGAAAUUUCAGUGGGUGUCAACUUAUCCAACUCAAGUCUACGAUAAAGAGAGAGCGGCAUAACACUAACACCGGCUCCAAGGUCACAUAAAGCAGUUCUUACGUAGUUUCCUUUAAUAGAGCAAGGUAUAGUGGGCACUCCGGGAUCACCAAGUUUUUUAGGAGUUCCACCUUUGAAAGUGUAACUGGAAAGCAUGGUGGAGAUCUCAAGAUCUGGUAUCUUUUGUUUAUUAGUCAUGAUAUCUUUCAUGUACUUGGCAUACAGAGACAUCUUGAGCAUAUCAGUUAACCGCAUCUGCAGAAAGACAGGUCUUAUCAUCUCAACGAAGCGCUCAAAAUCCCCAUCAUCCUUUUUCUUGGAUGGCUUAGGAGGAAAGGGCAUAGGUCUCUGAACCCAUGGCUCUCUUUCUUUACCAUGCUUCCUAGGAGUGAAGUCAUUCUUAUCGUACUUCUUAGGUUGUGGAUUAUCAGGAUUAACUGAAGGUUCAAUCUCCACAUCCUCAUCAUUGCUAGGUUGAGCAUUAUUAUGAACAUCACUGUCCAUAUUGUCACCAGGUUCAUGUUCAUCACCAGAUUGUGUUUCUGCAUCAGACGCAGAAAUAUCAUUAGGUUCUUCAGGUGUGACAAUAUUUGGUGAACUGGCAUACAGGCUUCUAUCAUCCUUCUUCUUCUCCUUAGGAUGACUGGGUGUAUCAGCAUUGAUUCCUUGAGAAUCUUGAUCAAUUCUCUUAGGAUGAUGUCACAUCCAUGACCCUUAAGCAAGAUAGCAUUGUGCUCAUGUCUUCUUUGCAUUUGCAUCUAAGAAGUUUCAACAAAAACAACAAAGUGGCAAAGGAAAAACUCAAAACCCUAGCCACCAUUUCAAUUAAAGGAAAUCUCAAACUAGUUCAAAAUCAAUGAACCCAAAAUGGCCUCAAGAAAUGUUCAAACUUUCUGAUAAAUCAUGAAAGUAAAUGAGCAUUGGAGAAAACUAUUUUCUUGACACUUUAAGCUUUUUGAAUAAAUGGAAAAGGCUACUGGUUUCAAGUUUUAAAUUUGAAAUCAGAAACUAUAAAUUUCCAAAAAUGUUGAAAACCUUGGAAAUGGUUGGGGAUAUUAUAACAAAUAUUUCAGGAGGUCUAAAAUAGUUUUUACUUUUUGUUUUGGAGCUGAAUUAAUUGGCAAAACAAUAAUUAGCAAAACAGAAAAACAAAAACAGAGAAAAUGGAAAAAACUUACCUGUCGCCCAAGCCUGGCCCGGCCCAUCGCUGGCUCGUCCCCUCCCUCGCGCUAGUAGGCAGCAGGAGGUGGCCGCCGCCCCCUCCGGCGCGGCCACGCACCUGCGUGCCUGCCUGGCCGCCGCCUCGCGCUGGCGAUGACGGGGAUAAGCUCCCCAGAGCCUCCCCUAUCCAUUCCCCGCCUCGGUUCUCCUCCUCCUCCCGGAUCUCCUCCUCCUCCUUGCUGCCGCCAUUAGAGCCGAGCUCGAGCUCGAGCUGCCCGUGCCCCUGGCCAUAGGAUUCCCUCCCAGAGCACGCCAUUAGCUCCGCCUCGUCGCCCUGGUCAUCUCUGCAGAAGCCGAAGCUUCCUCGAGCCGUGCAACGCCCGCAAUGCCGUCGUCUUCCACCUCCGGCCGCCGGACCUCUCCCGUCGAUUCGCUUCCUCCGGCGCAUCCCCGAGCCCCUCUUCAGCGCCAUCGGAACCGCCGUGAGCUCGUCGUCGUUUCCCCUCUCGCCCCACGCUCUCCCGUGCAUCGUAUCCUAGUUCCCCACCAAGGCCGAGAGCUUCUCGCCGCCGGUCAUGUCGCUGCCGUCGCGGUGAUGACCGAUCCACGCGCCCGAGCUAGGAUUCGAGCUCCUGGAGCCUCCAGGAGCGUGUCGAGCCCUCCAGCUGCCCUCCCCGUGCCCUAGAACCGCCCCUCAUAGAAGGCCGAGCUUCGGCCGCCGCUCCGGCUCGUCGCCGACGCCUCUUCCGGCGACCCUAGCCUCCACAGAUGGUCCUGCCAGAUCGGCCACUUCGCGAGCAUGCUGUAGCUGCAAACCGCGUGCGUUUUGGUGCUGUGCAGCGCCGUCUAGGUCGCCUUCGGCGAGCCCUCCGCCGCGGGCCUGGUCGCCGGCGACCACCCUCCGGUGGGGGUCGACGUGGCAAGCUAACCCAGCAGCUUAGUGACCUAAUCACUCGCUGACAAGUGGGCCCAAGGCCAAGUCAAACCUCAGUUAGGGCUGGUCGGCGCGGGAUUAGUCCCAGAGAGCUGACCAGUGGGCCCCCCCUGUCAGGUUUGACCUGAACAGGUCGGCUGACCUGCUGACGUCAGUCUGAUGCAAUAAAUAGAAUUUCCAGUAUAAAAAGAAUUCAGGAAAUUGCUAAAAAUUGUAAAAAUCAUAGAAAUUAAUCUGUAACUCCAAUGAAAAUAAUUUAUAUAUGAAAAAGUAUCAGAAAAAUUCAAGGAUUCUGAUUAUGCUAUUUUCAGCUAUGUUCGAAAAGGUUACAGAACCCUAAAUUGUGGAAUAAGGAAUAAUUCAAUUCUUAUAAUCACUUUUUAAAUGGAAAUUGCAAAAAUAGUCAAAUUCCAUUAUAUAUACAGUGUUCACCACUGUCCUAAUUACAAAUCAGUACCAUAACAUGACAUUUCAUGCAUGUUAACAUCAAGUUGAUCUGAGCAUCAGGUCGAAUCAAUUAAACCGGUAUCCGAGAAUACCCGUUUGAAUUGCUAUUCGAAUGUGAUUCAAAUCAACUCUAAACCUAAUACAUGUUGAAAAUAAUAAUUUAUCACCUUGCAUUCUCAUCCCAUGCUCAUGCAUCAUUUUGAGUGCAUAUGAUUGUUAUUGAAUGUUGCCAUUCAUUUCGGUAGGCUCCGCACCCCCGGAUUCCACCGAAUAUCCGUCUGACGGAUAUCGUUCCUCCUCUGAGCAACAAGGCAAGCAACCCUUUUGAUCAUCCCGAUAAUUCCCAUGUUCUUGCUCCUACACUUACUUAUUGCAUUAGGAUCAAAUGCUACAACUGCUUUUGCCACGAUAGUUGAACCCACUUCCUUUGCAUGACCUAACCUUGUCACAGUAAAUAGCCGAACCUUGCAACCUAGCAUACCUGGUAGUUGCUUGAGCUAUGAUGUGCCUUAUCCUGCUAUGCAUGCUAUGCUUAGAGUUGUGUAUGGUCUGUCAUCUGGGAGAUGAACAGAAAUGUGGAAUGUGUUCGGUGAGCAAAGGUUGUGUGUUGAACUUGAUUUGGUAAAGGUACCGGUGAAAGGCUGUGUAGGAGUACACGACGGGUUGUUUCAUUGGAACCGUCCUUAGGAACUGAGUUCCGUGUAUGUAAUCCAAGACUAGAUACUACCACAUGCUGGGCCCUGAAAUAUGACCCCGCUCGGCCUAUUAAUCGCGUAGUACUCGGUCCAGGAGUUGCAAGUAGUUUCUGGUGUUUAUAGUAAUGCUGGAGGUCGUGCAUGGUGCUGACCUGAGAGGUGGGCCGUGAUGCGGUAGGCAGUGCCACGGUGUACCAAGUGGCACCCGGAUGGUGGGCUUGGGAACCCUGUGCACAUCGUUUGAGGCCGUGGCGGAAACCUCGGCCGGACUUCCGUACGGGUUACUCUCAGAUAGGCGAUAAACCUGGACUAGGUACUGGUGUGGUUAACGGUCGUGGCCGACUCCCUCGCUGGGCUUCCGCUUGAAGGUUGCCGAGGUGCAUGACGUGCACAUAGCGAUAAGUGGCGAGAGCGUGUGUGACGAAGUACACCCCUGCAGGGUUAUGAUCUAUUCGAAUAGCCGCGUCCGCGGAUAUGGACUACUUGGAGACAUAUGUUGUUCAUAGAUAACUUCAAUGGCUACUCAUAAAAUUGUCAAGAUAAGCGUGAGUGUCGUGGACGGCAUUUCCGUAUGGAGACGGAAUGAUUCCACGACAGUGUAUUGUUGUGGUGUUAGUGGACUCGUGUGCGAGAAAUCAAGUUGUCAAAACUAAUUUCAAAAUGCAAGUUGUCUAGCCACGGGUCAAAUGCUGGCUUCCCGCAUGAAACCCCACAAUACCUUUUGAUACCCUGCAUGAGUAGUUAGUUCUCCUAAAGUCUUGCUGAGUACCUUCGUACUCAUGUUUGCUUAAUAAAUGUUGCAGAGGUUGCUAAUGACCCAAAUGGAGGGUUCUUCGUAGACAUCGACGACGACGAGUAGCUGGUGUCCCAGCUACGAUCUGGCCCUACGUCGGCUCUGUAGUAUAGUCAUGCCAUGUGCCUUCUAGUUGCCCUGUCUGUACCCAGACAGUUUAUAACUCUUCCGCUGGCUUGUACUUGUAUGACUGCUAUUAUGGGUCAUGAGACCCUUAAUGUGUAAUAUUAUGUGUGUGGCUCUUCCGAGCCUCUUAAAUAAAGGUUGUAUGUUUAUGGUUAUGUUGUGAUGCCAUCGAUGUAUCUAUACAUAUCGGUAUGCCAUGCGUACGUGUGUCGUACUUGAUAUGUAUGGGGUUCGAAUACCUAGUCGUGAACUUUAGUAGCACUCCUUACAAGGAAAUGCCCCCUUGUGAUCCAACGAGCCUUGGUAGUCCGCUACUGCUCCGGACACAUUGGUUGACCGGCAUGUGUCCUUCUUAGCUGCUGUGUCUGUCCUCUUUGGGGAAAUGUCACGCGACGUAAUGGAGUCCUUGUAGCUUGCUACGACUCGUCUACGUUCGCUGAUGACCGACACCUGCUUUGUUGGGUCAUGUAUGCCUGUCCUUNNNNNNNNNNNNNNNNNNNNNNNNNNNNNNNNNNNNNNNNNNNNNNNNNNNNNNNNNNNNNNNNNNNNNNNNNNNNNNNNNNNNNNNNNNNNNNNNNNNNUAGGGCGAAUUCUUUGGCCAUAUCAUCAACUUCUUUAUUCAUAAAAGCCAAAAAAGAAUUUUGCUCUUUCAGUUCUCUACGAAAGUAACUGUUGUAUUCAAACUGUGUAGAAAUAAAGCCUUUAACACUAGUUUCGAGCGUCAAAAUCCCUUGGUUGGGCCAUACUGGUCUUAGCAGGCAGACAAGCGGACAAAGAGCAAAAGAGAGAAAAAGGGCGAACGAAAAAGGCAAACGAGAAAAGGCAAACAAAGAAAAGGGCAAAUCGUUUUGUAAAUUUCUGUUUUCCAGAAAUGGGGGAGAGGAAAACGAGAGGCAAAAAAGUAAAUGCACGAGAUGAGUUUGCGUCACUUACUUGGAUGAGUUCUUGACUUGAUCCUCCCCGGCAGCGGCGCCAGAAAUCCUUCUGCAACCGCGACAGAAAACUUUCUGUCGCCCCUUGAGUUUGCAUUGGUUUUUCCCUUGAAGAGGAAAGGGCGAUGCAGCACAGGAGCAGUAAGUAUUUCCCUCAGUUUGAGAACCAAGGUAUCAAUCCAGUAGUUGAAUCUCGUCAAGUCCAAAGUACCCGCGGAAACACAAAAGAGCUUCCACCCAACGCUAUAAAGGGGUUGUCAAUCCCAUCAAGACUGAUAGCAAAGUGAGAUCUAAAGGCGGAAAGUGCAACGAAGUAAAAGAUUAAGGCUGAAAAUAUGGUGUGGAGUAGACCCGGGGGCCAUANNNNNNNNNNNNNNNNNNNNNNNNNNNNNNNNNNNNNNNNNNNNNNNNNNNNNNNNNNNNNNNNNNNNNNNNNNNNNNNNNNNNNNNNNNNNNNNNNNNNNNNNNNNNNNNNNNNNNNNNNNNNNNNNNNNNNNNNNNNNNNNNNNNNNNNNNNNNNNNNNNNNNNNNNNNNNNNNNNNNNNNNNNNNNNNNNNNNNNNNNNNNNNNNNNNNNNNNNNNNNNNNNNNNNNNNNNNNNNNNNNNNNNNNNNNNNNNNNNNNNNNNNNNNNNNNNNNNNNNNNNNNNNNNNNNNNNNNNNNNNNNNNNNNNNNNNNNNNNNNNNNNNNNNNNNNNNNNNNNNNNNNNNNNNNNNNNNNNNNNNNNNNNNNNNNNNNNNNNNNNNNNNNNNCUACUACUAUUACUCCAUACAUCGACCGCUAUCCAGCAUGCAUCUAGUGUAUUGAGUUCAUGACGAACAGAGUAAUGCCUUAAGCAAGAUGACAUGAUGUAGAGGGAUAAUCUCAAACCAAUGAUGAAAACCCCAUCUUUUUACCCUUGAUGGCAACAACACAAUGCGUGCCUCGCUACCCUUCUGUCACUGGGUGAGGUCACCGCACGGUAUGAACCAAAAACCAAGCACUUCUCCCAUUGCAAGAAUCAUAGAUCAAGGUGGCCAAACAAAACCCACAACUCGAAGAGAAUUACAAGGAUACGAAAUCAUGCAUAAGAGAGAUCAGAAGAAACUCAAAUAAGAUUCAUAGAUAAUCUGAUCAUAAAUCCACAAUUCAUCGGAUCUCGACAAACACACCGCAAAAGAAGAUUACAUCGGAUAGAUCUCCAUGAAGAUCAUGGAGAACUUUGUAUUGAAAAUGCAAGAAAGAGAAGAAGCCAUCUAGCUACUAGCUAUGGACCCUUAGGUUAAUGGUGGACUACUCACGCAUCAUCGGAGAGGUCAUGGUGUUGAUGAAGAAGCCCUCCGUAUCCGAAUCCCCCCUCCGGCAGGGCACCAGAACGUGCCCCAGAUGGGAUCUUGCGGAGACAGAAGCUUGCGGCGGCAGAAAAGUACUUUCGAUGAUCUCUUGAUUUUUUCUGGGAUUUUAGGGAAUAUAUAGGAGAAAGACAUAGGGUAGAGGUGGCCCAGGGAGCCCACAAGCCUGGGAGGCGCGACCCCCCUGGCCAAGGCUAGGGGGCUUGUGGGGUCCCUGGUGGCCCCCUGCCCUGGUUCUCAGGUUCCCCGAUCUUCUUCUCUUUCGGAAAAAUCUUUUUGGAAGUUUCGUUCCAUUUGGACUCCGUUUUAAAUCCUCCUCUGAAAAGGGUCAAAAACACGGAAAAAACUGGAACUGGCACUUGGCACUCAGUUAAUAAGUUAGUCCCAAAAAAGAUAUAAAAGGCAUACUAAACUUCCAAAGUUUGACAAGAUAAUAGCAUGAAACCAUCAAAAAUUAUAGAUACCUUGGAGAGGUAUGACCCAUCAUCGGGGGUUCCUAGCGGCGGUGGGGAGAGGAAGGGAGCGGGGAGGCCGCGGUGCGAGACGGACGGUGGCGCAAUGGCGAGGGGGGAGCACGGGGUUCAGCCGGCGGCGGCAGGUGCGGUGGGGGAGGCGGCCGGAGUGCCAGCCAGCGGCGGUAGGUGCGGUGGGAGGGGCGGCCGGAGGGAGGAGAGCCAUGAGAACAGGAGUUUCUGGAUUUGGAUCGGGAGGAGAGCCACGAGGGGUGGGGAACGGGAGUUUUUUCACUUCUGGUUAUCAAUGGCGCACCCACAUAAGAAUGCGCCAUUGGUAACCACGGUUACUAAUGGCACACCUGGAAAUAAUGCGCCAUUAGUAGUUUGGAAAAAAAACUGAAAAACCAAUUAUUAGUUCUCGCGCACCGUGGAUGUGGUGCACCAUUACUAGUUAAAACUAGUAAUGGUGCACUUACCCUGGUGCGCCACUGAUAUGUCUAGGAAAGGGUGUGGGGCCAGGUCAAAGAUAGUAAUGGUGCACCAGACACAAGGUGCGCCAUUAGUAAUAUGGACACUAAUGNNNNNNNNNNNNNNNNNNNNNNNNNNNNNNNNNNNNNNNNNNNNNNNNNNNNNNNNNNNNNNNNNNNNNNNNNNNNNNNNNNNNNNNNNNNNNNNNNNNNNNNNNNNNNNNNNNNNNNNNNNNNNNNNNNNNNNNNNNNNNNNNNNNNNNNNNNNNNNNNNNNNNNNNNNNNNNNNNNNNNNNNNNNNNNNNNNNNNNNNNNNNNNNNNNNNNNNNNNNNNNNNNNNNNNNNNNNNNNNNNCAUUAGUGUCCAUAUUAGCUAUAGCCCUUUUUCUAGUAGUGUAUGCUUCAACCAUAUGUUCUAUCAUGUAUGCAAUGUUGUGCACAAGACGUGAUGUCAGCCUUGCCAUAAGUAUGGCGGGAAGGUUUCAAAGUGAACCACGAAUGGAAAACUGGACAACGGUCAAGAAUAUUCUGAAGUACCUGAAAAGGACUAAAGAAAUGUUUCUCGUGUAUGGAGGUGAUCAAGAGCUCAUCGUAAAGGGUUACAUCAAUGCAAGCUCAAACACUGAUCUAGAUGACUCUAAAUCUCAAACCGAAUAGUAUUUAUUCUCAAUGGGGGUGCUUAAAGCUGGUGCAGUUCCAAGCAAAGCACAGUAGCUGAUUCUACACGUAAAGCGAAGUACAUAGCUGCCUCGGAGGUGGCUAAAGAAGGUGUCUGGAUGAAGGAGUUCAUGACAGAUCUUGGAGUUGUGUCUAGUGCACUAGAUCCAAUGACUCUGUUUUGUGAAAACACUGGUGCCAUUGCCCUAGCCAAGGAACCAAGGUUUCACAAGAGGACCAGACAUAUGAAGCGAUGCUUCAAUUCCAUCCACGAUUAUAUCAAGCAGGGGGACAUAAGUGUUUGCAAAGUGCACAUGGAUCUGAAUGUUGCAGAGUCGUUGACUAAGCCUCUUCCACGAGUGAGACAUGAUCAACACCAAAACUGUAUGGGUGUUAGAUUCAUUACAGUGUAAAGCACGUGGUGAUGUGAGCUAGAUUAUUGACUCUAGUGCAAGUGGGAGACUGUUGGGAAUAUGCCCUAGAGGCAAUAAUGAAGUGGUUAUUAUUGUAUUUCCUUGUUCAUGAUAAUCGUUUAUUAUCCAUACUAGAAUUGUAUUGACUUGAAACUCAAAUAAAUGUGUGGAUACAUAGACAACACACUGUCCCUAGUGAGCCUCUAAAGUACUAGCUCGUUGAUCAAAGAUGGUCAAGGUUUCCUGGACAUAGACAUGAGUUGUUAUUUGAUAACAAGAUCACAUCAUUAGGAGAAUGAUGUGAUGGACAAGACCCAAACUAUGAACAUAGCAUAUGAUCGUGUCAGAUUAUUGCUAUUGUUUUCUGCAUGUCAAGUAUCUAUUCCUAUGACCAUGAGAUCAUGCAACUCCCGUACACCGGAGGAAUGCCUUAUGUGUAUCAAACGUCACAAUGUAACUGGGUGACUAUAAAGGUGUUCUAUAGGUGUCUCCAAGGGUGUCUGUUGGGUUGGCGUGGAUCAAGACUAGGAUGUGUCGCUCUAUACGAUGGAGAGGCAUCUCUAGGACCCACGCAGUAAUACAACAUCACAAGAAGCUUUCAAGCAAUGUGACUAAGGAGUUAGUCACGGGAUAUUGUAUUAUGGAACGAGUAAAGAGACUUGAUAGUAACGAGAUUGAACUAGGUAUGCAGAUACCGACGAUCGAAUCUCGGGCAAGUAAGAAAACAAUAUGGCUUCUCUGUGCGUUCUUAUAAAUGUUGGUUUUCAUAUUCUGGAUUUCUAGAUUGAACUAGGUGUAGGGGAGUUGCAUUUGACUUGAUCGACACACGGAGUACAUGGGUGGCUCCACGUUGGAUCUGGAUUUUUCACCUGGUGCGACUUUUGCGGAUGAGGUUUUCUAUCAUUAUGUCUUCUCUGUGCAUCAGAUGAAUCAUCGUCGACCUUUCAUAAUGGUGGUAUCUUUCGGUCGUCAUGCUUUCCGUCUCUCGGAAGAUUCAGUCGCUGCGGCGCUGAAGUCAGCUAUUGGGGGUUCGGCCAUUGAUCUUAUGGUCAUUAAGGUCACACACUCGGUUUUGUCCUUCAUGGUUUCUUGCAAGCAAGUUGGUUUUCAUAUUAUGGAUUUGCAUUCUUGUAAAUGUUCCAGUUUUAAGUGUUUCUUUCAUCUAUGGGGUAAUGGUGGCCCGAAUUGGCAUCGGGAAUUUUCUCUCUGGAAGAAACAGUGUGAUGCUGAAUGGAUAUUGGUUAGCCCAUCUAAGAGAAGAGCAACAUUAGGUCUGAUGGCAAUGCAUUCCAGGCCUGCAAAAUCAUCUUUUAAAUCUGGAUCAUCUACACGCAAGAAGCUUUCUUUCGCAACCCUCCAGCAGUAUGAGGUUUGCAAAGGUUAUAGGUGCCGUGUCACAAAUGAUGAGCUUAUGAUGCUGCAAAAUGCUGGUUAUUCUGUUCCUCAGCAGGAGCGUGUCAUUAUCAGUGCACCACCGCUGGUUGAACUCCGGUGGACGACGGCGACGCCGCACAUUACUUUCGGGACAGUUUGUGGCCCGGUGUCACCUUCCAUGUUGCCCGACAUUCAAAAUCCUAUCAGCGAAAUCAACAGGAUCUCUUCCUCUCUUUGUGUUGAUUCGUUGCCAACCUCCACUUCGAGCGGGAUUUCAAAUUCUUUCAAACUGUCGAUGACUGCGGGCUUAGAUUGUGGGCCUCCCCCUGCUCACCCUAAUGGGCCAUCGGUGGCCUCAUCCUCGAAUGGGCUGGAUAUUCCUUCCUCGCAAGAAGCCCAUCAGCUAUUUGACGAUUUUAUCAAUGGCAUGGUUCAGGAGAUAUUUUCUUGCACGAUCUGCUCGAAUCGUGGGCAUCUAGCUCCCAACUGCACGGCUUCGCCGAUAUGCUCUUCUUGCGGUAGGGUGGGCCAUACCAAAUCAAACUAUGCUUCUUUUAUGCGUGAUAAUUGUCUUACUUGGAAACGUAAGAGCCCCACCACAUCCCCUGUCGCCGAUUUCUCGGGAACCUCUGCUGAUCUUGGGGAAACCUCGCAGCCUACCAAAUAGUUCCUCCCUGUCCCAUCACACUCAUCACCUCCCAGGACUCCAUCAGAGCCAUCGCCAUUGACGCCACCCCCGCCUGCUAUACUCCCAGACAUGGCCAACUUUGAGCCACACCCCGAGCGGUAUGUCCCUCCGAGACAUCACAUCAUUGACGGCGGCCCUGACCGCCUCCCAAGGACUUUCAUCACGCCGGCAAUCCCCAUUUCCCGCAGACAUGAACAGUAUGUCAUCGCAGAGGUGAUGUGUGCCCCGCGUGCUGAUCAAGUUUCUCAUGUACGGCAGGAGGUUGUUGAUCUUCUGCACAACUUGGGCUUCCAUGUUCGUUCUGCUCAACCCUGGAUUGAGGGGGUAGGUUUGCUUGAGCUUAGAAAUGCUGGUGAGAGUUUUGCUGCUGUCCAGAUGGUUCCCCAGGAUUUGGGGAACGAUUCUUUUGUUAGAUGCAUGAGGCACAAUGGGGGGCAGGUUUGAGUGGUGAUGUUGGUUUCCGUCAGGGCUGCUUAAUGUUUUUGGGUGUACCUUUGGAUUUCUGCAACACCAAUGAUCUUCGUGCUGCGGUAAACACGUUUGGUGAAUUCCACCAUUGGGUCAGUGAUGAUCCAUACCUAGUCCGCUCUAUUGUUUUUGCAUAUUCCCCAGAAGAUUUUUUGGUUCCUCAAAGUGUCACUUUCUCUGAAUAUGCUGCUUGGGGUGGAGCGAGGGUUUGUUGGUCUGCACCUCUGUUCAUCUUGGGUGCAGGAUUUGUAGAACAAAUGCCCAAUGAUGAGGACCGCAUACCCCUCGAUGGAAAUCCCCACUCGUUACCAGGUCAGCUGGAGCAAGAUAAUCUGCUCUUUGCCCUACCGCCAUACCCUGCUUUGGAGUGGAACGUUGUGCCGCCGCCACCACCACCACCAAUGCCAGAGCCUCCAGUUCAACAAGAUGACAUCGGUUGGGGCUGGCAACCUGAAGUUCCUGCUGCUGAACCCGCUGCACCUGAGCAAGAUCAGGAGUCUAUGGUCAUCGACCAUCCAACAUCUUCUGAUUCUAUUCAGGAGAAUGUGGUUGUUGACCCCCAGCAAGAUGAUGUUGAAGCUGCUGCCGAGGAUGCUGCUAUUGAUGAUCAUGAUGAUGCUGCUAUUGAUGAUGCUGCCGCUGCUGAUCAUGCCCCUCCCAAUGGGGGUAAUGCUGCUGAGGAGGAGGCUGCUGAAGAAGAGGCUCCUGAAGAUUUCAAUCCUCUGGCAAUCAUUCCUUAUCAGCAGCCCCUGGGUCGGCCUGCUAACCUGAUGAUUGGAGCGGUUUGGGUUGCCUAUGGACCUCCGCUGCCACCCAUCGUCUCCUGGACACGGACUUUCGAAGCACUCAUGGGGGUUUUCAGUUCCAUGCAUGUCCCCCGUCAUCUUCAGAUGCCUGCGUCCAUGCCUAUUGUGCUCUCCAAGCGCUCCUGGUCUUUGGCUUUUGAUGAAGAUCGCCUGGAGUUCAUCAUUACGUAUAAGGACAACACACCUGCCCCCGUUCCUGAGGUAACUCCACCAUCUGAUAGCAUCUCUGCACCAACAGAGGAUCUUUUCUCCUUUGAAUCUCCAGCUGUCAUGAAUAAGGGGCCCCGCAAGAAGGCCACACCCAUUGUGGACUCCUCGGUACACAGAUGCACCAGAGGAUCGAUCAAGAGGGAUGGUUUCAAGCCGGUACUACAGGAACUUCCGAUGCACGUGCCCAAGAAGAGGAAGCCAAGAGCUAAACCCAUGGACGUCCCGGAGGUUCAGGCAGCACCAUCAUCAGCUCAGGAGGAGUCUGUUCCACCAGAGACUCCAAUUCGAGUGAUCCAAGCCGUUAGCCAAAGCCUUGGCAUCGCACCUGAGAAGUUGUCGGAGGAUCGACUUAUGGAAGAUCCUGCUGUCUCCAAGCCUCCACCUGCUAAUGAUUAGACAACUGUCUAUGUAUCUAUGUUUUUCCUGCUGUUCAGUUUAUCAUGCUACCGCUUGCUGUGUGUCACAGCUAUCUGAACUUUGGUUGCGUGGGUUAUUAUGUAACUACGCUUUUGCUAUUUUACCUCCUUGCUAUGGAUAGUUGAUCUACAAGAAGCUGGCGUGUUCUUUGUUGGAAUGUGUGGUUUAAAUUAUGACUCUCGACAAAGGGCAGUUCGAAACAAAAUAGAUGAAAGCUUCGCUAUGGUUGUUUGUCUUCAGGAAACCAAAAUGCAUCAUAUUGACUUUCGGACUGUUCGAAGUUUUUGCCCCAAAAGAUUUGAUCAAUUUGCCUAUAUUCCAUCGCAUGGUGCCUCUGGUGGAUUGAUCACCCUAUGGAAUUCUUCUGUUUUAACAUGCACUUUGGUUGAUUCUCAGUCUUUUGGUUUAACUGUAUCAUUCACCUCAAAUCACACUUCUGAAGCUUAGACUCUGGUUAAUGUCUAUGGUCCUUGUCAGGGUGAGGCUUGGGAUCAGUUCGUUAGCUGGCUAUACCAUCUUAAUAUCCCUGCAAAUGACAAUUGGCUGCUGCUUGGCGACUUUAACUUUAUUCGCUCACCUUCUAAUAGAAAUCUCCCUGGUGCUGAUGUGAAUGACAUGUUCAUCUUUAAUGAGAUCAUUGGCCAUCUGGGUCUAUUAGAAUUUCCCCUCAAAGGAAGGUCUUUCACUUGGUCCAAUAUGCAAGACUCACCCCUUCUGGAGGAAUUGGAUUGGUUCUUCACUUCUGCCAAUUGGAUAUCAUCUUACCCCUUGACACAAGUUCUGCCUUUAGCCAAAUCUGCAUCUGAUCAUGUUCCCUGUGUGGUGACAGUCAACACUUCCAUCCCCAAAUGUAACCUCUUUCAGUUUGAAAAUUAUUGGGUGGAGAUGGAUGGGUUUAUGGACUGUGUACAGAACUCUUGGAAGCUCCCUUCCAGGAAAGUCACAUCACUACCAUCAUCAUGGAUAAGUUUAAGCACCUAAUAUAUGCUCUGAAGAGAUGGCAGACUAGUCUCUCACAGCUCAAAGCACUCAUUGAUAAGUGCAAUUAAGUGGUGCUAUGUGUGGAUGAUCUAGAGGAGCUCAGACCCCUUUUCAGACCUGAAGCCAAUUUCAGGCUGAUUGUCAAACUACACCUAGAUCACCUACUACAUUUGUAGUUCCUCUACUAGAAAAAGAGAGCUACCAUCAGAUUCAUCAAGGUUGGAGAGGAAAAUACUAAGUUCUUCCAUGCCAUGGCUACUGAAAGAUACAGAAGAAACUCCAUUUCAUCUCUUAAAUUAGCACAUGGGUCUGUUAUAACUGAUCAUGAGCAGAUUGCAGGAUGUUUUUGGACCUCCUUCAAGAACAGGAUGGGAUCCUCUCAAGGAAUCAAUUUGGCUUUCAAUCUUCAGUCUCUCCUUCAUUGAGUGGAAGGGCUUGAUGUUCUGACAUUGCCUUUUACCAAACAAGAAAUGGAUAGGACUGUCAAAGAAUUGCCCAUUGAUAAGGCUCCUGGUCCAAAUGGCUUCAAUGGCCUUUUCUUCAAGAAAUGUUGGAUUAUUAUUUGUCCUGAAUUUUACCAACUUGCAGCCGACUUUCAUGCAGGGAUUGCACAGUUGGAAAACAUGAACUCAUCCUAUAUUACUCUGGUGCCCAAAAAGAGUUCUCCUGAGCAAGUUGAUGACUUCAGACCUAUCUCCCUCACUUGUAUGGGACUUAAAUUCCUAUCCAAGAUGAUUGACAAUAGAGUGCAGUUACUAUAAUGAAAUGCAUCCAUAAAAAUCAGUAUGGUUUCAUCAAGUCCAGAACCAUACAUGAUUGUGUUGGAUGGACACUGGAAUUCCUUCACCAAUGCCACCACUCCAAAAAAAACCAUUGUCAUCCUCAAACUGGAUUUUUAAAAGGCCUUUGACUCUGUUGAACAUGAGUUCAUUUUUCAGAUCCUUAAGCACAAAGGUUUUAAUGCAAAGUGGAUAUUAUGGGUGCAGCAGUUGCUCAGUUCUGGCUCCUCUUCUGUUCUUCUCAUUGGAGUUCCUGGUAAAAUAAAUUAUGUGCAAGAAGGGGGUCAGGCAGGGGGGUCCCAUGUCCCCUCUCCUUUUUGCCAUUGUUGCUGAUUUUCUCCAAACCUUGGUGAAUCAAUUGUUGCAAGAUGGCCUCAUCCAGCUGCCAAUACCUUUUCAUGACAAAGUCUGUCCAAUACCUUGUCUCAACUGUUAGAAUUCAAAAGGAUGCUUCUACUCUUCUCCCAAUCCACAGGUCUCCAAGUAAACUAUCACAAGUCUACUCUAUUGCCUAUCAAUAUUGAUCAGGGAGAACUUCAGAUACUUGCUGACUCUCUUGGUUGUAAGAUAGUAUGGAAAGGAGACUCUCUGCUAGCUCCUCCUUUCUAGCACAGGGGGGACGUCUGCAAUAUCUCAAUUCUGCCUUGUCCUCUAUUCCCAUUUUUUUCCUUUGCAGUUUGGAUAUACCACUAGGGAUGAUCAAACAGUUGGAAAGGAUACAAAGACAAUGCUUGUGGAGGAACAAUGGUCAAGACCAUGCCCCUUCCCUUGCUGCCUGGGACCUGGUGUGCAGGGCAAAAAUGAAGGGUGGCUUGGGAAUUAUGAAUCUGUCUCUCCAGAAUGAGGCUCUAUUGCUUAAACAUGUGGAUAAGUUCUUAAACAAAGAUGAUGUGCACUGGUUUGAUUUAAUACGGAACACCUAUUACCACAACAGAGUUCCUCAGGGUACCUCCCUUUGUGGAUCUUUCUAGUGGAAGGACAUCUGUAAGAGGAUGUACAACUUUAGAGAUGUCACCUAUGUCCAGCCAAACAGGGGAGACACCUUCCUUUUUUUGUCUGAUUCCUGGGCAUGAGGAUAUUCUAACAUGCCUCUAGAUCUUCGGUUCCAAAGAUUGUUCUCCUUUGUUAUUGACACUUUCUGCACUGCUGAGGAGGUCUUUCAGGCUUUUCAGACAAAUAGCAUGAUCAACAUGUUUCACCUGCCUCUCUCUGAUAGGGCCCACCAAGAGUUGGAAUCAGUCACCUGCUUACUCCAAAAUCUUGAUAGAGAUCCAUCUUGCAAUGAUAUUUGGCUCUGGGGUAGUCACUGUAAAGCCUAUUCUGUUAAGAAAUACUACAUCCAUUUGCACCUGUCCAUUGUUCCCAACCCCUUGCUAUGUUGGAUUUGGAAGAGUUGCUGCACCAUGAAAAUCAAAAUGUUUGCCUCGAUGCUCAUCAUGGACAGACUCAACACACAGGAUAUGCUCGAACGCCGUCACUGGAAAGUGUCUGAUUCAAACAUAUGUAUUCUUUGUCAUGCCAGGGUCAAAGAAGAUAGGGAUCAUCUCUUUUUCAACUGCCUUUUCAGCAUCAGGGUUUGGAACUACCUUCAGAUCUCCUGGCAGGGUACUUCCAUGUGGACCACUUCAUUGGCAGCCAGGAAAGAUUUUCAGCAUCCUUUGUUUCUCUGAAGUAGUGUUCAUUGCUUGCUGGAAUAUUUGGACAGUUCGAAAUGCAAGGAUUUUUAACCAUGAGCGUCCGAGGUUCAGUAAAUGGAAGUCUAGUUUCACUCAUGAUAUCUCCCUUCUAGCUCAUAGGAUUAAGGCUAUAUUUAGGGAUGAUCUCCUUAAGUGGAUCUCCUUUCUACCUCCUUGAGGUUUGUAUAUCUUCCCCCAUCCCCAUUGUAUAUCCUAAUCCUCUCAUGUAUAUAUACUCUCUUUUUACUGGAAUAAAGGAAAAGGCUGUUGGGUGAUUCCCUACAGUAGCUGGUCAAAAUAAAUGAUCCUGAUGGACAAAGGGAACAACAUACGGAAUUAAAUGAAUCCUUGACAUAGAAGUUCAACCGAUAAAGAUCUUCAUAGAAUAUGUAGGAACCAAUAUGGGAAUCUAGGUCCCGUUAUUGGUUAUUGAACGGAGAGUGUCUCGGUCAUGUCUGCAUAGUUCUCGAACCCGCAGGGUGCGCACACUUAAGGUUUAGUGAUGUUUCGAUAUUAUUGAGUUAUGUGUAUUGGUGACCGAAGGUUGUUCGGGGUCCGGAAUGAGAUCCAGUACAUCACGACGAGCUCUGAAAUGGUCUGGAGGUAAAGAUUUAUAUACAGGAAAGUGGUAUUCAGGUUCUGAAAUAGUUUUGGGGAUUUCCGGUAUUGUACGGGGAGUGUCGAAAGGGUUCCGGGAGUCCACCGAGAGGGGCCUGAUACGUCCAUUUUGCAUAAUGUUUUCCCACUAUUAUUUAUGUUGUUUUAUUGUAUAAUAAUGCUUUUUGGAGUAAUUCUAAUGCAUUUUCUCUCAUAAUAUGCAAGGUAUACACAAAGGGGGAGAGUUCUAUCGGCUCGAAAUCUGGACCUGGAAAAGCUACGUCAGGCUACCUAUUUUGCAUAACUCCAAAUGAGCUGAAACUUUAUGAGGAAUUUUUAUGGAAUACUUGAGGAAUAUUGGAGCAAAUAAGUACCAGAGGGGGCCCACCAGGUGGGCACAACCCACUUGGGCAAGCUAGGGAGCCCAGGCGCGCCCCGGUGGAUUGUGCUCACCCAGUCCCACCUUCGGUGCCCCUCUUCUGGUAUAUAAGUCAUUUUGACUUACAAAAAAGGAGGAGAGGACUUUUGGGAUGAAGCGCUGCCGUCUCGAGGCGAAACUUGGGCAGGAGCACUUUUGCCAUUCGGCGGAGCGAUUCCGUCGGGGGAACUUCCCUCCCGGAGGGGGAAAUCAUCGUCAUCAUCAUCACCAACAACUCUCCCAUCUUCGGGAGGGCUAUCUUCAUCAACAUCUUCGACAUCACAAACUCCUCUCAAACCCUAGUUCCUCUCUUGUGUUCAAUCUUCGGUCACCAACACAUAUAACUCAACUAUACCGAAACGUCACCGAACCUUAAGUGUGCAGACCCUGCGGGUUCGAGAACUAUGCAGACAUGACCUGAGACACUCUCUGGUUAAUAACCUAUAGCGGGACCUGGAUGUCCAUAUUGGCUCCCACAUAUUCUACGAAGAUCUCUAUCGGUUGAACCUCUAUGCCAAGGAUUUAGUUAAUCCCGUAUGAUGUUCCCUUUGUCCUUCGGUAUGUUACUUGCCCGAGAUUCCAUCGUGGUAUCUCCAUACCUAGUUCAAUCUCGUUACCGACAAGUCUCUUUACUCGUUCCGUAAUACAAGAUCCCAUAACUAACUCCUUAGUCACAUUGCUUGCAAGGCUUGUUGUGAUGUUGUAUUACCGAGUGGGCCCCGAGAUACCUCUCCGUCACACGGAGUGACAAAUCCCAGUCUUGAUCCAUGCCAACCCAAUAGACACGUUUGGAGAUACCUGUAGAGCACCUUUAUAGUCACCCAUUUACGUUGCGAUGUUUGGUAACACACAAGGUAUUCCUAUGGUGUCCGGGAGUUGCAUGAUCUCAUGGUCAUAGGAACAGAUGCAUUGACAUGCAGAAAACAGUAGCAAUAAACUGACACGAUCAUAUGCUACGUUCAUAGUUUGGGUCUUGUCCAUCACAUCAUUCUCCUAAUGAUGUGAUCCCGUCAUCAAGUGACAACACUUGUCUAUGGUCAGGAAACCUUGACCAUCUUUGAUCAACGAGCUAGUGAACUAGAGGCUCACUAGGGGCAGUGUGUUUUCUAUGUAUCCACACAUGUAUUUGAGUUUCCAAUCAAUACAAUUCUAGCAUGGAUAAUAAACGAUUAUCAUGAAUAAAAAUAAUAAUAACCAAUUUAUUAUUGCCCCUAGGGUAUAUUUCCAACAAAGGACCCUAUGUUAUCAAGGAGGUCUAUCGAUCCAGAGCUAUCAAAAUAAAGAAUGCCGAAGGUACUAACGAAAGGUUGUCAAUGGGCAACGAAUAAAACAUUAUAUCUCAGGUACGCCCAUUAAUAUUGAAAGCAAUAUUAUCCAAACUAUGACACCGGAAGAACACAUAAAAGAAACCUUCCGGAACACUCCAGAAUUGUGAAGAAGGGAAGGUACGGGAUACGGUAUGUAAACUGACUCCGAAAAAUCCGUAAAAAUAUUUUUUGUUAGUUUUGGAAUAUUUAAAAAAUUAGGAAAAUAAGAAACUCCCAGGAUAGUGACCUUGGUGGGCACGACACACUAGGCGCGCCCUGGUGGGUUGUGCCCAGCUCGGGUACUUUCCGGACUCCGUUUUUCUUUCAGUCUGCUUGUUCCCCAAGAUAAAAACUCUUUAUAUACCCCCCCAAACCUAUUGACCUCCGUAUCGCGGAGAAAUAUCCUAUUUCUUUUUCUUGUUGUUUUGUGUCAGAUCCAAUCCACCAUGGCCUCUUCAAGCUCCUCCAAGGAGAAGUUCUUCGACAACGUCAUCAACCCAUAUCUGCGGGAAGUGAUGCCACAACCUCAAGCUAUCCAAAUGCGUGAUGGGGUGCUGCACAUCCGUGAUGUGCAAGGGCCCAAGGGGACUGGAUCCGUGGAGGCCAGGCUUGAAGCUAUGGAGCACGAAGUCUUCUGGUGCAAGGCGAUGGUGGAACAUGGGCUAAAUGCCAAUUACCUGAUGAUCGCAGACUACACCCGUGAUCUCAAGGUGGAUGGCAAGUCCAUGAAGGACAUUGUCUUCUCCCUCAACAAGCAAAUGAACUUCCUCCAUAGCCAGAUCCACGACCUUCAAAGCCAAGUCUUUGAAUAUGAGGCAAGGUUUAAAGGUAUGAAUUUGGCUUCCAAUUGCAGGAUCCGAGAGACUCACUCUUCCUCUUAUGAUGGUGAGCCUCUGCCAUGGAAACCGUAGGACAAGAUUGCUUCUACUUCAUCACCACCACCUCCUUCUUCAUCACCAAACUAAAAUUGAGUAUCGGGUAUGGGCACUCCCCUUGGCUUUCACCAAGCUUGGGGGAGGUGCCCCGGUAUCGUAUCAUCUCCGCUAUCUUUUGCAUUUACUUUUCUUAGUUCGAUCCAUGGUUAUUUUUUGCUUUAGAUGAAUAAAAGUUUGGUUCGAUCCUUUCUUUCCAAGAGUUCGCUUAGUGAUCAGUCUAUGCAAUCGUGUGCGAGAUAUAUAAUAAAGUUUAGUUUGAGUUUUGCCUUCUUUACUUUCUUGUUUCAAUAAAAAUAAAGGAAAUAAAUGAAAAACAUCAUAUGCGAAUCUUAUGGUAAGUGAUGACAUUACACAAGGAAAAGUAUAAGUAGAAAAUUUUAAUGUAGAUUGACAAACAUAGCAUUGGUCAAUGAUGCAACUCAUGAAAGAAUUAAUAAGGGAAGAGAAGAUUCACAUGCAAAUACACUAUCCUGGAAAUCUUUUGUGAUUGUGAGAACCCAUCAAAAUAUUAUAUGCCAAAAUUGUUGAUGUUGGACAAGGAGGACGUAAUGAAUUAUGUUUGUUCAUAUUCACAUAGAAGUUAUAUUGUCAUGAAUCCUUCAACAUGUGGUGCUUGCCCCUAUCUUUGGUAGCCAAAAACUCCACACUAAGUAGAGAUACUACUUGUGCACCAAAACCCUUAAACCCAAAUCUUGUUUGAGAGUCCACCAUACCUACCUAUGGAUUGAGUAAGAUCCUUCAAGUAAGUUGUCAUCGGUGCAAAAAAGGGCAAUAAAAAUUGCUUCUAAAAGUGUAAUCAUUUAGUGUAAGGGAAAAUUGAGCGUUGUACGAACUUGUGAUAGUGAAGAAUAAAGCGACAUACUGCAUAAUAAAGGUUUCCAUCACAAGGGGCAAUAUAACGUGACGUUCUUGUAAGUGCAUCUAGUGCCCUUAGUGAUUUUGGUGGUUUGAAGACUUAUAGGUUAAGUAACAAAUGUGUUUAUAAGUGUACACAGGCUCUAUAAGUCGCUGAGGAGUUUGAGUUAUACGAUGAAUAUCGACCCCUAAAAAUGUAUAUCUUCGGCUGAAGAAAUUGGUCUUAUGCUGAAGAUUUUGAUCGCGGAGAAAUUGCAAUGAAAUUGAUAUUCCUCAUGAAGAUAUUGAAGUUGAGGAAUUCGGUGUGUCCUGAAGAAAAUCAGUCCGAAGACUUUGAAGCGUGAAGAUUUAUUCUUUCUAUUUCAUUUUCUUCACUCUUGAGUCAUAGGAACACCGUACUGUUAAAGGGGGUCGAGGUAAUACUACAUAAUGAAUUUCCUCAUGAUGCUCAACCCAAGCCUAAUCCUACAAAAGCCUCAACUCAGGAAUAUGAGAGACAUGAGGACUCUCACAGUUGAGAGUCCCAACCGUUGUCGUGAUUCGCGCCAUCUCACUGAUCUUAUCCACACCAACGGUCAUAAUAUUUAAGGGCAUUUAUGUCAAAUCAUGUCGGGAUGCUCCCAGGCUAUAAAUAGCCUCUCCCCACAACCACUAGUUGGUUGGCUGCUCCGCGAGAAACUGACACUUGUCAUUUAGAGCAAUCCAAAUUCCUGAGAGUCUUCGAGAGUAAAUCGUUAAUGAGGAAAUACCCCAAACACCAAACCACAAACCAAAAACCAAGUGAUUGGGCAUCACUGAAGAAUUUGUUCCUGUGUGGAAUCGAAGCCUUUUACCUCCUCCAGACGGUUAGGCGUCAUGGUCUAGAGCAAUCCAACAGUCAAUUGGGGAUCGUCGGAUGACCGAGUUUGUGAGGGUUUGGAAGUCUGCCCCGAAGACUUACCACGAGUGUUGGGCGAGGACUGUGUGUCCUUAGCUCAAGGAGAAUAUGGUAGGGACUGUGUAACCCGGGGCUGUAUGUCCUUUGGUUUCAAUACCAAGCCGCUCCAAACCAGACGUACGACUGUCACAGCAGUUGGAACUGGGUCAUCAACAACUGUCUUCAUUGUGAUACAGGUUGUAUUUCAUUAACUCUUUCAAUUCCUCAAUAUUGUAUGUUGAAGACUUUCAUUGCCUCUGUUUGAAGAAUUUGCUGAAGACUUUCUCUGAAUUUCCUCAACGUCAAAUUCUUCAUACACGUUAAUCUUCACCUGCUUAUUCUGUGCCUGCGUACUGUGUAAACUGUUUUCCAUAAUCUACAUCAAGAAAACUGUUGUUGUAAUCUUUGCACCUCUGAUCCUGUAAUGUUUCUGCUGCACGUUAUUCAUCAGUGAGGAAUUUCCUCAUUAGGAAUUUCCACAACGAUGAAAUUCGAAAAAUCGCCUAUUCACCCCCCCUCUAGUCGAUAUAACGCACUUUCAAUUGGUCUCAGAGCAAGGUACUCCCUUGUUCUGUGUGAUUUUGGUUUAACCACAUGGAGUUUUAGUUAUGUCGACUGCAGGUAUGAUCAAAGUUACUGCAGGAUGUCCUACCUUCAAAGGAAAGGACUUUACCUACUGGAAGACCAAGAUGCAGAUGCAUCUUCAAGCUAUUGACAAUGAUCCCUGGUACAUUGUGGAACAUGGUGUUCCCGCCAUAGCUGCUACUCUCUCUGCCGGUGAUCUGAAGAAAUUCAAGCAACCCGAUUCUCAAGCAAAGAAUACCAUCUGUGGCCAUCUUAGCAAAUGUUAGUAUGGAAGAGUGAGUGCUUUGGGCACAUCAAAGCUUAUCUGGGAUAGGCUGUCCAAAGUCAAUGAAGGAAUAUCAACCCAGCGUGACUCUCAUGUUGAUGUUUUCACAAUCUCUUCAAUCCCUUUAUUAGGCUUGACAAUGAAAGCUGCCAAGAUAACUUUGAUCACCUCACUGACAUCUCAAAUGAACUGCAAACACUAGGAGCUCGAGAGAUUACUGACCAUGAAGUUGUGAAGAAACUGCUAAGAUCCUUGGAUUCAUCAUUUCAUACACUGGUUCUGAUAAUUCAAGAAAGAUCAAACUAUAAGAUGCUUGAUCCUGCUGACAUACUCGAAAGACUCAAUACUCAUGAGUUUCAACAGGAAUAAAAGAGAGAUAUGUAUGGACCAAGCUACUCUAGACCUCAUGCGCUGAAGGCCAAAGCAAUUUUCUCAUCUGAAGAAGAAGACUCACAUUGCAACAUUGGUGAUCCUGAAGAACUUGGGCAGGAGCUUGCAAUCCUCGUGAGGAAAUUCCAGAAGUUUACUAGGUGUGGUCAGUUUGGUAAAUACUCGAGAAGAGAUAUGAGGAAAUCAGAAUCUUCAUGUGAGGACUACAAGAAAAGAACCUGCCACAAAUGCAAGAAAUAUGGUCACUACAUUGCUGAUUGACCUCGCUGGGUGAAGGAAUCAAAUAAGAAGAAAUACAAGUAUGAAAGUUCUAAUGACUCAAAGAAAAAGAAUAAAUCUUCAAAAUCCUCAUCCUCGAAGUCCUCAUCGCACAAGAAGACUAGUUUCAGAAAGGCUCGGGCACUCAUUGGCAAGGAAAUGGAUUCUGAGGAAGAAUGUGAGGAAUGUGAUGAAGAGGAAGGAUGUGAAGAAGACUCAGAGUCUGGUGUGGCAAGUCUUGCACUGGCUACCACAUUCAUCAGCAAGUCAAUCUUCAAUCUUUAAGAAAACGAAAACGCUAUCUACACUGAUGACUAUGUUGAUAACUUCGCUCCAACCUAUUUCUUCAUGGAAAAAUGCUCAAAGGAUGACAAACCAAAAAGUACUGAGUGGGUUCUUGAUAAUGGCAGCACACACCACAUGACUGGUGACAAAAGCUUGCUGAUGAAUAUGCCACUGACUCCAUCACCACUGAAGCAAAUCACUUAUGCUCACAAAGGUAAAAGCAAGGUAUUGGGACUUGGCAAAGUGGCUAUUUCCAAGGACACGCACAUGGACAAAGUGAUGCUUGUCGAAUCCCUUGGGUUUAACCUCAUGUCAGUCUCAAUGCUUUGUGAUCUUGAUAUGGUUGUUAUCUUCGGAAAAUAUAGAUGUGUAGUCAUCAUGGAAUUUGACAGAUCCAAAGUCUUCGAAGGUGUUAGGAGAGGAGAUUUGUACAUUGUUGAUUUUUCCAUAGGUCCUCAAUGAGCCACAUGCUUACUAGCAAAAACCUCAUAAGGUUGGCUAUGGCAUCGAAGACUUGGUCAUGCAGGCAUGAGGAAUUUGCACACGCUCGCAAAGAAGAAGCAUGUCAUUGGCAUCGAAUCAGUCAAAUUCCUCAAGGACCACCUCUCCGGUGCUUGUGAGUCUGAAAAAUGACCAGACGCAAACACCCCUCGAAGAUUAUCAUGACUACUACUCGUCCAUUUGAAUUGCUUCACAUGGAUCUAUUUGGACCUACUCAUUAUGCUACUCUAACCAAUGCAUCAUCCUUAUAUGACUUUGUCAUAGUUGAUGAUUAUUCUAGAUAUACUUGGGUGCAUAUCAUUUUGUACAAAACUGAAGUGCGGGAAGUCUUCAAACGAUUUACCUCAAGGGCCUCGAAGAACUUUGGCGUCAAGAUCAUACACAUGAGGAGUGAUAAUGGGACAGAAUUCAAAAACAGUGGUCUUGAUGAUUAUCUUGAUGAACUUGGUAUUACCCACGAAUUAUCUGCUCCUUAUACUCCUCAACAGAAUGGCAUCGUUGAAAGAAAGAACAAGACUCUGAUUGAAAUGGCAUGGACUAUGCUUGAAGAAUAUCACACUCCUCGUAGUUUCUGGCCUGAAGCAAUCAACACUGCUUGCCACAUCAUCAACACGGUAUAUCUUCACAAAUUCGCCAAGAAAACCUCAUAUGAACUCCUCACUGAUAAGAAACCCAAUGUAAGUUAUUUCAAAGUCUUCGGUACAAAAUGCUAGAUUAGAGAUCCUCACCAUAGCUCAAAAUUUGCACCUAAAGCACAUGAGGGUUUUAUGCUUGGUUAAGGAAAGGACUUGCACACCUACAGAGUCUUCAACACCUGUCACAACAAGGUUGUUGAAACUGUAGAUGUGCGGUUCGAUGAAACUUGUGGCUCGCAAAGAGAGCAAUUGCCUCUUGUGCAAGAUAAACUAUCUCCUGAGGAAGCAAUCAAGUUCAAAGCUACUGAAGAUAUUGUUCCUACUGAGGAAAUUGCUGAAGAAAUUGUCCCCAACACUGAUGAAAUUCAGGAAGGUGCUCCUGAGGAAAUUGCUCCAGAUCAAAUUCCUCAGCCCAGAUGAAAUCCUCAACCAGAUCAUCCAAGGAUUGCAAAUGAAGUAGAACUUGACAAAAUUCUCAAUGACAUCAACGCGCGACGUCCUCUCACUCGCUCAAAAGCUUCACACUUAGUUAACUUUUGUGGGCAUUCCUCUUUGGUGUCUAUCACAGAACCUUCAAAAGUUGCCGAAUCUUUCAUGGAACCUGAGUGGAUUCAAGCCAUGCAAGAUGAACUUCUUCUUCAAGAUAAAUGACGUCUAGCAACUCGUCAAAUGACCAGAUCCUCACAAGCACAAUAUCAUCGCAACCAAGUGGAUUUUCCAAAACAAGCAAGAUGAGGAUGGUCAAGUGGUGAGGAAUAAGGCACGACUUGUAGCCCCACGCGACACACAGGUCGAAGUAAUUAAUUUCGAUGAAAAUCUUGCACCUGUUGCUAGACUUGAAGCUAUUCGAAUUAUGCUUGCUUAUACUAAUCAUCAUAAGAUUACUUUAUAUCAAAUGAAUGUGAAAAGUGCAUUCCUCAAUGGUAAUCUUGAGGAAGAAGUAUAUGUUGCUCAGCCCCUAGGUUUUGAGGAUCCAAAGAAUCCAGACAAAGUCUUCAGACUUAAAAAGGCACUUUAUGGCCUCAAGCAAGCCCCUCGGGCGUGGUAUGAUACAUUGAAGGAAUUCCUCAUGAAGAAAGUCUUCAAACCUGGUUCACUCGAUCCAACUCUCUUCACUAAAUCAUAUGAUAAUGAGCUAUUUGUGUGCCAAAUAUAUGUCGAUGACAUUAUCUUCGGUUGUACUGACAAACGUUACAGUGAUGAAUUUGCUUACAUGAUGAGUGAAAAAUAUCUCAUGUCUAUGAUGGGGGAGCUGAAAUUCUUCUUAGGUCUCCAAAUUCAUCAACAACGCAAUGGCAUCUUCAUAUCACAGGAGAAAUACCUCAAGGAUGUUAUGUGGAAAUUCGACAUGCAUGAAUGCAAAGGCGACAAGACUCCCAUGCCUACCAACGGCCACCUCUGCACUAACAAAAAUGGUAAAGAUUUCGAUCAGCAGGUAUAUCGCUCGAUGAUUGGCUCUUUAUUGUAUCUAUGUGCAUCUAGGCUAGAUAUAAUGCUUAGUGUUUGCAUGUGUGCUCAUUUUCAAGCAAAACCGAAGGAAUCACACCAUAAGGUUGUGAAGCAUAUUCUUUGAUACUUAGCUCACACACCAACACUAGGUUUAUGGUACCCCAAGGGCUCAAAUCUUCAUCUCGUGGGAUAUUCUGACUAUGACUAUGCCGGUGACCGUGUGGAUCGCAAGUCAACUUCUGGCACUUGUCAUUUUCUCGAAAGAUCACUAGUCUGCUGGUCCUCAAAGAAGCAGAAUUGUAUUUAUCUCUCCACUUCCGAAGCUGAGUACAUUGCUGCUGGAUCCUGUUGUGCUCAAAUACUAUGGAUAAAGCAAACCCUCAAGGACUACGACAUCAACAUGAAAAAUGUGCCUCUCUACUGCGACAAUGAGAGUGCAAUUAAGAUUACAUACAACCCAGUACACCACUCCAAGACUAAGCACAUCCAGAUUCAUCAUCAUUUUCUUCGGGACCAUGUCCUCAAGGGCAAUAUCAUCAUCGACCAUGUGAAGACUGAGGAUCAACUAGUAGAAAUUUUCACUAAGCCCUUGGAUGAGAAAAGGUUUUGCAAGUUGAGGUGUGAGCUAAAUAUCUUAGAUUCUUCAAAUGUUUUGUGAAAACAUGCACACAUCCUAACACUUAUGCAUAAUUGAUGACUUAGAUGUGCAACACAUGAAGAAUCAAUUUUCUUCAAUCAAUGAAGAAUAUCACUCUUAGUGUGAGGAAAUCAAUGAAGAAUUUGGUUCUUAGGGCUCUACGACAAUUGUACGCGGCGCCUGAAAUCGUCAUUCUUAUACAGUGGGUCACGCCACCACCCAACUUUGAAAUUCUUCAAGUUGUCUUUCUUCAAAGGUGAAAUUCAUCAACCUGACGCUUUGUCACUCAUACGUCUCCAACGUAUCUAUAAUUUUUGAUGGUUUCAUGCUAUUAUCUUGUCAAACUUUGGAUGUUUUGUAUGCCUUUUUAUCAUAUUUGGGACUAACUUAUUAACUCCGUGCCAACUGCGAGUUCCUGUUUUUUCCGUGUUUUUGACCCUUUUCAGAGGAGAACUUUGAAUGGAGUCCAAAUGGAAUAAAACUUCCAGAAAUAUUUUUUCCAAAACAGAAGACGAUCGGGAGACUUGAGAACCAAGGCAGAGGGUCACCAGGGACCCCACAAGCCCUCAAGGCAUGGCCAGGGGGGCCCGCGCCUCCUAGGCUUGUGGGCUCCCUGGGCCUCCCCUGCCCUAGGUCUUUCGCCUAUAUAAUCCCUAAAAUCCCAGAAAAAAUCAGGAGAUCAUCUUUUCCGCCUCCGCAAACUUCUUUCUGCGCAAGAUCCCAUCUGGGGCACGUUCUGGUGUCGUGCCGGAGGGGAGAUUCGGAUACAGAGGGCUUCUUCAUCAACACCAUGACCUCUCCGAUGAUGCGUGAGUAGUUCACCAUAGACCUACGGGUCCAUAGCUAGUAGCUAGAUGGCCUCUUCUCUCUCUUGGAUCUUCAAUACAAAAUUCUCCAUGAUCUUCAUGGAGAUAUAUCCGAUGUAAUCUUCUUUUGCGGUGUGUUUGUAGAGAUCCGAUGAAUUGUAGAUUUAUGAUCAGAUUAUCUAUGAAUGUUAUUUGCAUUUCUUCUGAUCUCUUAUAUGCAUGAUUUCAUAUCCUUGUAAUUCUCUUCGAGUUGUGGGUUUUGUUUGGCCAACUUGAUCUAUGAUUCUUGCAAUGGGAGAAGUGCUUGGUUUUGGGUUCAUACCGUGCGGUGACCUCACCCAGUGACAGAAGGGGUAGCGAGGCACGCAUCGUGUUGUUCCCAUCAAGGGUAAAAAUAUGGGGUUUCAUCAUUGGUUUGAGUUUAUCCCUCUACAUCAUGUCAUCUUGCUUAAGGCGUUACUCUGUUCGUCAUGAACUCUAUACACUAGAUGCAUGUUGGAUAGCGGUCGAUGUGUGGAGUAAUAGUAGUUGAUGCAGAAAGUAUCAGUCUACUUGUCUCGGACGUGAUGCCUAUAUGUAUGAUCAUUGCCUUAGAUAUCGUCAUGACUUUGCGCGGUUCUAUCAAUUGCUCUACAGUAAUUUGUUCACCCACCGUAAUAUUUGCUAGUUUGAGAGAAGCCUCUAGUGAACACUAUGGCCCCCGGGUCUACUUCACACCAUAUUUUCAGCCUUAAUCUUUUACUUUGUUGCACUUUCCGCCUUCAGAUCUCACUUUGUGAUCAAUCUUGAAGGGAUUGACAACCCCUAUAUAACGUUGGGUGCAAGCUCUUUUGUGUUUGUGCAGGUACUCCGUACUUGACGCGAUUCUCCUACUAGAUUGAUACCUUGGUUCUCAAACUGAGGGAAAUACUUACUCCUCCUGUGUUGCAUCGCCCUUUCCUCUUCAAGGGAAAAACCAACGCAAACUCAAGAGACGACAGAAGGUUUCUGUCGCCGUAGCAGAAGGAUUUCUGGCGCCAUUGCCGGGGAGGAUCAAGUCAAGAACUCAUCCAAGUAAGUGUCGCAAACUCAUCUCUUGUAUUUACUUUUUUUUUGCCUCUCGUUUUCCUCUCCCCCACUUCUGAAAAACAAAAAUUUACAAAAAUGUUUGCCCUUUUCUUCGUUUGCCUUUCUCGUUUGCCCUUUUCUCUCGCUUGCUUUCUGUUCGCUUGUGUGCUUGUUUGCUUGCUGAAGUCACCAUGACUGAAAACACCAAACUUAGUGACUUCUCGAAUACUAAUAAUAAUAAUUUUAUUAGUACUCCGAUUGCUCCCACCACUAGUGCGGAAUCAUACGAAAUCAAUGUUGCUUUGCUGAAUCUUGUUAUGAAAGAGCAAUUCUCUCGCCUUCCUAGUGAAGAUGUCGCAUCCCAUCUUAAUACCUUCAUUGAGCUUUGCGAUAUGCAAAAGAAGAAAGAUGUGGAUAAUGAUGUGAUUAAAUUUAAGCUUUUUCCUUUCUCGUUGCGAGAUCGAGCAAAAACUUGGUUUUCGUCUUUGCCCAAAAAUAGUAUUGAUUCUUGGAAUAAGUGCAAAGAUGCUUACAUAUCCAAGUAUUUUCCGCCGGUUAAGAUUAUCUCUCUCCGUAAUGAUAUCAUGAAUUUUAAGCAACUUGAUCAUGAACAUGUUGCACAAUCUUGGGAGAGAAUGAAAUUGAUGAUUAGAAAUUGUCCCGCUCAUGGCUUGAGUCUUUGGAUGAUUAUACAAAUCUUCUACGCUGGCUUGAAUUUCGCUUCUAGAAAUAUCUUGGACUCCCCCUCAGGUGGAACGUUCAUGGAAAUCACAUUAGGAGAAGCCACAAAACUCCUAGACAAUAUCAUGAUGAACUACUCCCAGUGGCACACUGAAAGGUCACCUACUAGUAAGAAGGUACACGCUAUAGAAGAAAUUAACUCGUUGAGUGCUAAGAUGGAUGAGUUAAUGAAUUUGUUUGCUAGUAGAAGUGCUCCUCUAGAUCCUAAUGAUAUGCCCUUGUCUUCCUUGAUUGAGAGUAGCAACACUAGCUUGGACGUAAAUUUAUUGGUAGGAAUAAUUUUGGCAACAACAAUGCUUUUAGAGGAAACUAUGUUCCUAGGCCUUUUCCUAGCAACCCCUCUAAUAAGUUUGGCAAAUCCUACAACAAUACUCAUGGAAAUUACAAUAGAUUACCCUCUGAUCUAGAGAGUAAUAUCAAAGAGUUUAUCAACCCACAAAAGAUUUUCAAUGCGUCCAUAGAGGAAAAACUACUCAAAAUUGAUGAUUUGGCUAGGAGCGUUGAUAGAAUGUCUAGUGAUAUUGAUGCUUUGAAAGUUAGAUGUGCUCCUCCCAAGAUCAAUAUGGAUGAAACUUUGAAAGCUAUGUGUGUUUCCAUGAGUGAGAGCAAAGAAUGAACCGCCCAAAUUCCUGCUAGACAUGAAUGGCUUAAAAAGGUGUGUUCUCGUGAUAAAAAUCACGAAGAUUAUAAAGUAGUUGGUGUGACUCCCAUUGAAUCUUUGUUUUCUUGUGUCAAACCUAAUGAUGAUGGGGCUGGAUAUGAAUCCACUUUGGUUGAAAAACGCCCCAAUGAUUCGGAGUCCAUCUAUCUUCAUGCUAAAAGCAUUGAAAGUGGAGUAGAAGAUAUUAAAACCUUGAGUAGUAAUGAAAUUACUACUUUGGAUUUCAAGGAAUUCAGUUAUGGUAGUUGCUCCUUGAUUGAAUGCAUUUCCUUGAUGCAAUCCAUGCUGAACUCUCCACACGCCUAUAGCCAAAACAAGGCCUUUACCGAUCAUAUCGCCGAAGCUAUGAUAAAAUCUCUUGAAGAGAAACUUGAAUUGGAAGUUUCUAUCCCUAGAGAGCUUCAUGAUGAGUGGGAACCUACUAUCAAAAUGAAAAUCAAAAACUAUGAAUGCAAUGCUUUGUGUGAUUUGGGUGCUAGUGUUUCCGCGAUUUCAAAGUCUUUAUGUGAUGUUCUGGGCUUUAAUGAGAUUGAGGAGUGCUCUCUUAAUUUGCAUCUUGCAGAUUCUACUGUCAAGAAACCCAUGGGAAGGAUCAAUGGUGUUCUUGCAAAUAGGAACUAUGUACCCUUGGAUUUCAUUGUGCUUGUCAUUGAUUGCAAUCCUACAUGCCCCAUCAUUCUUGGUAGACCUUUCCUAAGGACUAUCAGUGCUAUCAUCGAUAUGAAGGAAGGGAAUAUUAGAUUUCAAUUUCCUUUAUAGAAGGGCAUGGAACAUUUUCCUAGAAAUAAAAUAAGAUUGCCUUAUGAACCCAUGAUGAGGGCUACUUAUGGUUUGAGCACCAAAGACGACGAUACGUGAUUCUAUCGCUUUAUGCCUAGCUAAGGGUGUUAAACAACAGCGCUUGUUGGGAGGCAACCCAAUGAAUUUAUAUUUUUUAUUUCUGUUUUGUUGGGUCCACACCAUCAUAAUUCUGUUAUGAUUGUGUCUUUGGUGUUUCUUUUUGCAUUUGAGCCAAGCAAAACCUUUAUGACUAGUCUUGGUGAUGGUUGUUUGAUCUUGCUGGAAAAAGACAGAAACUUUUCACUCACAAGAUUAUUUUUCAUUUUUAUUAAGAAAUAACUUUUGAGUUGAUUCUUUUUUAUGCUGGUCUAUAUUACUUUUUCCCAGUCAGUCGUAAUUUUUCAGAAUUUUUGAGGUAUCAGAAGUAUACGAAGUAUACAGAUUGCUACAGACUGGUCUGUUUUUGACAGAUUAUGUUUUUGUUGAGUUGGUUGCUUGUUUUGAUGAAACUAUGGAUAGUAUCGGGGGGGGUACUAGCCAUGGAAAAGUGAUAAUGCAGUAAUCUAACACCAAUAUAAAUAUAAAUCAAGAUUGCUACAGUACCUAGAGAGGUGGUAGUUUGUUUUCUUGUGCGAAUGAUAUCACGAGUUCCUGUUUAAGUUUUGUGUGGUGAAGUUUUCAAGUUUCGGGUGAUGUUCUCAUGGACAAAGAGAUAAGGAGUGGAAAGAGCUCAAGCUUGGGGAUGCCCAAGGCAUCCCAAGCCAAAUUCAAGGACACCAGAAAGCCUAAGUUUGGGGAUGCCCCGGGAAGGCAUCCCCUCUUUCGUCUUCAAUCCAUAGGUAACAUUACUUGGAGCUAUAUUUUUAUUCACCACAUGAUAUGUGUUUUGCUUGAAGCGUCUUGUAUCGUAGGAGUCUUUGCUUUUUGUUGUGUCACAAUCAUCCUUGCUGCACACCUUUUUGAUAGAGACAUGCACUCAUCGUGAUUUUGCUAGAAUGCUCAUCGUGCUUCACUUAUAUCUUUUGAGCUAGAUAAUUUUCCUCUUUGUGCUUCACUUAGGUCUUUUAGAGCACGGCGGUGCGUGACUUGGUAGUUGGAUUGUGCUAUGAAAGUAGUCCCAAAGGUGAUAGGUACCCAAAGGGGAUACAAAAACCUCCAUCUUCAUAUGCAUUGAGUAGAAAGAGAAGUUUUGAUUCCUCUCAAUUAGUUUUGAGACGUGGAUUUGGUAAUAUUAAGAGUUAUGUUAGUAGGGUGUUGUGAAUCUAGAAAUACUUGUGUUGAAGUUAGUGAUUCCCAUAACAUGCACAUAUGGUGAACCACUAUGUUAGGAAGAUGGACUAUAAUUGAUCUAUUGAUUUUCGUCCUUUGUGUUGCGGUCGGGAUCGCGCGAUGGUUAACACCUACCAACCCUUCCCCUAGGAGUAUGCAUUUAGCACUUUGUUUCGAUUACUAAUAAAAACUUUCGCAACAAGUAUGUGAGUUCUUCAUGACUAAUAUGAUUCCAUGGUAUAGAUGCACUUUCACCUUCCACCAUUGCUAGCCUCUCUAGUACCACGCAAUUUUCGCCGGUGCACAAACCCACCAUAUGCCUUCCUCAAAACAGCCACCAUACCUACCUACUAUGGCAUUUUCAUAGCCAUUCCGAGAUAUAUUGCCAUGCAAAUCCCGUCGUUCUGUCUUGUGACUUGUGCCGUCACUCUCAUAUUGCCAUUGCAUGAUCAUAAGAUAGCUAGCGAGAUGUUUCAAUGUCAUAUGCCAAGCUAGAUCGUUGCACAUCCCGGUACACUCCCGGAGGUAUUUCCUAUAGAAGUCAUCAUCGUUCUAAGCUUUGAGUUGUGAGUAAAUAAAAGUGUGAUGAUCAUCAUUAUUAGAGCAUUGUACCAUGUGAGGAAAUAAAUAAAAGAGGCCAAAGUUGCCCACAAAAAAAGAGAGAGAUAUGGAAAGAGGCCAAAGAGCCCAAAAGAAAAAAAAAGAGAAAAAGAGAGACGGGACAAUGCUACUAUCUUUUUCCACACUUGUGCUUCAUAAUAGCACCAUGUUCUUCAUGAUUGAGAGCCUCUCGUUUCGUCACCACCAUAUGCUAGUGGUAAUCUUUAUUAUAUAACUUGGCUUGUAUAUUCCAAUGAUGGGAUUCCGCAAAUUGCCCUAGGUCUUCGUGAGCAAGCAAGUUGAAUGCACACCCACCAGUUCUCCUUUUGAGCUUUCACAUACUUAUAGAUGUAGUGCAUCCUUUGUAUGGCAAUCCCUACUCAUUCACAUUGAUAUGUAUUAAUGGGCAUCUCCAUAGCCCUUUGAUAUGCCGAGUCAAUGUGACCAUCUCCUCCUUUUCGUCUCACAAGCACCACCACACUCUAUUCCACCUAUAGUGCUAUAUCCAUGGCUCACGCUCAUGUAUUGCGUGAUAGUUGUAAAAGGUUUGAGAAAGCAAGAGUGCGAAAACAAUUACUUGGCCAAUACCGGGGUUGUGCAUGAGUUAAAUUAGUUGUGUGAGGAUGAUGGAGCAUAUCCACACUAUAUGAUUUUGUAGGGAUAACUUGGUUUGCCUUGUUAUUUCGAAAGUUCAUGGUUACCUUGGUAGUUUGCUUGAAGUAUUAAUAUUUUCAUGUCAAUAGCAAACUAUUGUUUUGAAUGUUACGGAUCUGAACAUUCAUGUCACUUGAAAGAAGUUACAUAGGACAACUAUGCUAGGUAGCAUUCCACAUCAAAAAUUUAGUCUUUAUCACUUCCCUACUCGAGGACGAGCAGGAGUUAAGCUUGGGGAUGCUUGAUAUGCCUCCAACGUAUCUAUAAUUUUUGAUGGUUUCAUGCUAUUAUCUUGUCAAACUUUGGAUGUUUUGUAUGGCUUUUUUAUCUUUUUUGGGACUAAUUUAUUAACUCAGUGCCAAGUGCCAGUUCCUGAUUUUUCCGUGUUUUUGACCUUUUUCUGAGGAGAAUUUUGAACGGAGUCCAAACGGAAUAAAAUUUCCAGAAAGAUUUUUUCCAAAACAGAAGACGAUCAGGAUACUUGAGAACCAAGGCAGAGGGUCACCAGAGACCCCACAAGCCCUCAUGGCGCGGCCAGGGGGCCCGCGCCUCCCAGGCUUGUGGGCUCCCUGGGCGUCCCCUCCCCUAGGUCUUUCGCCUAUAUAUUCCCUAAAAUCCCAGAAAAAAUCAGGAGAUCAUCGAAAGUACUUUUCCGCCGCCGCAAGCCUCUAUCUCCGCAAGAUCCCAUCUGGGGCACGUUCUGGUGCCCUGCCGGAGGGGAGAUUCUGAUACGAAGGGCUUCUUCAUCAACACCAUGACCUCUCUGAUGAUGCAUGAGUAGUUCACCAUAGACCUACGGGUCCAUAGCUAAUAGCUAGAUGGCUUCUUCUCUCUCUUGGAUCUUCAAUACAAAGUUCUCCAAGAUCUUCAUGGAGAUCUAUCCGAUGUAAUCUUAUUUUGCGGUGUGUUUGUCGAGAUCCGAUGAAUUGUGGAUUUAUGAUGAGAUUAUCUAUGAAUCUUAUUUGAGUUUCUUCUGAUCUCUUAUAUGCAUGAUUUCAUAUCCUUGUAAUUGUCUUCGAGUUGUGGGUUUUGUUUGGCCAACUUGAUCUAUGAUUCUUGCAAUGGGAGAAGUGCUUGGUUUUGGGUUCAGACCAUGCGGUGACCUCACCAAGUGAUAGAAGGGGUAGCAAAGCACGCAUCAUGUUGUUGCCAUCAAGGGUAAAAACAUGGCGUUUUCAUCAUUGGUUUGAGUUUAUCCCUCUACGUCAUGUCAUCUUGCUUAGGUGUUACUCUGUUCGUCAUGAACUCAAUAAACUAGAUGCAUGCUGGAUAGCGGUCGAUGUGUGGAGUAAUAGUAGUAGAUGCAGAAAGUAUCAGUCUACUUGUCUCGGACGUGAUGCCUAUAUGUAUGAUCAUUGCCUUAGAUAUCGUCAUGACUUUGCGCGGUUCUAUCAAUUGCUCUACAAUAAUUUGUUCACCCACCGUAAUAUUUGCUAUUUUGAGAGAAGCCUCUAGUGAACACUAUGGCCCCCGGGUCUACUUCACACCAUAUUUUCAGCCUUACUCUUUUACUUCGUUGCACUUUCCGCCUUCACAUCUCACUUUGCAAUCAAUCUUGAAGGGAUUGACAACCCCUUUAUAGCGUUGGGUGCAAGCUCUUUUGUGUUUGUGCAGGUACUCUGGACUUGACGUGAUUCUCCUACUAGAUUGAUACCUUGGUUCUCAAACUGAGGGAAAUACUUACUGCUCCUGUGCUGCAUCGCCCUUUCCUCUUCAAGGUAAAAACCAACGCUAGCUCAAGAGACGACAGAAUGUUUAUGUCGGCGCGCGAGUCACAAAAUCCUCAAGAUUUUCAAAUCUUCAAAAUCUUCAAAACACUUGAUGAUUUUCAUUUGCCUAGAUAUAUAUAUAUAUAUAUGUAUAUAGACUGAGAUUUCAAAGCCUCAACAACAUUCACUUAUAGCUCUAUCUUCAAUUUGAUAUUUCAUCUAAGUGAAUGUGAUCGGACCCGAUUCCCCUCUAUGAUAUACUCAACCGAGUCUAUUCAAUUCUUCAUAUGUGUUCUACUUGAAACUUGUUAAAAAUCCUCACUCUGUCCUUGUCAGCUCAGGAUUUUGCAACGAAAUCCUCAAAUCUUCAAAGAUGAAUUUUAUAUUGUUACACAAAAACUGAACCCACUUCCCAUGAUCAGAUAAGCACAAUCUCCAACGCUUCAAUCGUGGGCUCCACUUGUCGUGCGGGGAUGAACACGCAAGGGCAGUUCGGUCCGAAAGAUUCGCUCGAACAGUUUUCCACCUGAGCUAUAAAUAGGUCAUUUCCCCCCUCGGUUAAAACCCUUCGUCCUCUCGUCAUCUCUCCGCUCGAGCUCAAACCUAGCGCCACCACUAGCAAUCUCGUCGGCGGUGAGGAACAGCUUCACUGCCUCGCCCUCGCCGUCGCCGAACUCACGCCAGAAGCGGAAUAUCUUCGUCCGCCACCCCCGUAGCUGUCUUCUGCCGCCAAGUUAGGGCGCAUCAGACCUGAACCGAAGAGCUUAUCACUUUUACUAUCUCGCUCAGGGUAAUUAAAAUCUUAUUUUACUGCCCAUGUUGAUAUACUAUUUCACUUUAGAUUCACGAAAUCUAUUUUUCCUCAGUAUCCAUCAGCCUCACACACUCAUUCCUCAAACACUUGAUGAAUUUCACUAAGCCACUAAAAUUCUUCAUGAGAUUCCUCAAUUGUGUAAAUUCUCGAAUCUGCACAACUCUAGAACCCAAGAUCAGAAUGCUUAGUCAAAUUCCUCAACCCACUGGUCAAAUUCCUCAACUUCUAAAAAACUUCAAUUUCUUCAAAUCUGAGAAUGCAUAUGACCUCUCCAAAUUCCUCGCACCCACACUCUGUUCACAGGUACAAAAUGUCAGCUGAUGAAUCACUAGGUUCUCAUCAACUUAACUCAUUUGAAGAGUUCCUCGAAGAAACUUUACUAGUGUCAUCAGAAUCUUCAAGAGUGCAAAUUCCUAAGCAAAAGCAUCAGUUGAAGAAAAUGGAAGAUGACAAAAAGCAAAAAGGAGGAAAGAUACUUGAACGUUGGAGACAUAUACGCUGACUACUGCACACCUGAUGAGGAAAUAUAUGGCAAAGAACCCAUGCCGAAGUGUAAGAUAAGGAUUCAAAAAAUAGAAGGCGGGUGGACGAAGGAGUGGAAGGAAUAUCUCUAUGCAACUCCAAAAUAUGCGAAGAAAUUCGCACUCAAGCCACCAUGCAAGAGGCCUCCUCUUGGUAAUCAACAGGUUGCACAUCCCUCAAGUGUUGAAACAAUUCAGGAUUACCCUGAGGAGAAAGACAAACAUUUAUCUAAGCUACAGAGCAAAGCGGAAGCUGCAGUGAAGAAAUUCAUUGAGGAAUCUGCUGUUGCUGCCACUGCAGCCACCUCUUCAACUGCUGAAGCUUCUGGUACAACUAUUCCUCAGAUAAAGACUGUGCCAAACAAACCAAAGGCCUCAGUGCCUAAAAAGCAAUUGCCUCAAAAGGUUGCACCAGUGCCAAAACCUUCAACAACACCACAGUCCUCACAGCCCCAACAAAAGCAAAUAGCUAAGCAUCAGCCUGCUCAUUCUAGCUCAUCAGUGCCAUCUGCCACGAGCUCUGCUACACAGUCUUCACCAACUCAUUUGAACACUAAAAUGAGUGCUGGAAGAGGCAUCAGGCCAAGCCCAAGCAAAGUCAUCAAUAUCCCUUCUGCAUCGGAAGGAAGUGAGGAAUACGAUGAUGAAACUUAUCAAGCAAUCAUCAGAAACAAGCAGGAACGAGUUGCACAAGCCUCGGGCAGCUCUAUUCCUCUUGCCAUGGACUCCCAAGGUUCUGCUGGAUUUCAUCAAUGUCUGGUAUGAAGAUCCAAACACUCCAAUUGAUGACUUGAAGCUUCCCCUGGUCUCAGUCACAUGGUUGCCACAUUCAUUAAUUAGGCAAAAUGGAAAGAACAGCAAGCCAAGCAAGCAAAGGCUCCUAAACUGAAGAAGGAGAAAUCCUCAAGCAGAAUCUCCUCAAUCUGACGCCUGAAACUUUUGUCUCAACCCAGGCUGAACUAAAAACCUUGUCAGAUAAGUACACGAGCCUAUCAUAUCAUCAAAGUCUCAAGGUGAAUUUCAUCAAGUUUGCAACAGAUGCAGUUGAUGAAUACAACAAGAAAGUUGCUCCUCGUGUGCAGCAAAAGCUACCUGAAUCUAGCUACACGGUUCAGCUGCAUGAAGAAGAUGAAGUUGAUGAACCUGCUGCUGAGGAAAUCACUCAAGAAACUCCAGCUGAUGAAUCUGCCCCAGCUGUAGAAAAUCUUCCAACUGAAGAAAAUGCUUCAGCUGAGGAAACUGCCAUGACUGUGUCUGCAUCAGCUCCUGAAGAAACAAUUCCUCCACCUCAACCCUCAAAGGUGAAGAAGAUGAUUCCGUCUGCAUCAGACGUGAAGAAAACCAAAGCUGUUGAGAAAGAAGCAAAGAAAAGAAAAGCUUCAAUGACCUCAGAAUCCUAAGAGGCCAAGCGCCCAAAGGUCACUCAGACAGAAUCCUCAACUGCCCCACUCGAUGCUCGCCUCUUAAUGUAGCUCCAUCCUACUCACUGGUUCCCUUCGUAAUUAACUAUGUCAUUCCUGAAGAAGAUGAGGAAAUGGAUGAUGCUAAAACUGAAGAAAUCAUGGAUGAGGAAAUACAAAUUAAUGACAUUCCUCAAACCUCCAUUCCUUAAAAGACAUCUGAUGAUAUUGUUUGACCACUCUAGUCUUUCAUGAUGACUUCUGGGAAGAGACUCAUCGCUCACCAAGGUCUACUCAAAUCCCUCCUACUUCUGCUGUAACAGAAAUCCUCACAGGAUCUGAUGGGAAGACCGUCUGUGAUGAAUCUGCUCAAGGAUCAGCUGCAUCAGCUGAUGAUUUUGCCUCCUCCACCAAACAAAUUCCUGAAGCUGAGGAAAAUCCUCAACCUGAUGAAAAAGGUCAGAAUGAAGAAAAUGCUCCUGCACCUAACAUCGAAACUGCUAUUGUUGUGGUCAACACAGAAACGGCAAUGAUAGUAGCUCCUCUUCAAGAAUAGCAGCAUAAUCUUCAACCGCAGCAAAAUCAACCUUUUUCAAGAAGACCAAAGUUUCAAAAGGAAGCUAUUUACGAAGAACGGAUGUAGUUCACAGGCACAAAUCGGUAUGAUAAGCUUCGCAUCAGGCACCGCAAAUUUUGGACAGGGACUCAGCUAAACUACUAUGGCUCUGUGCUUUGUGGGAGGAACAAAAUAUUUCAGGACAAGCAUAUUCGUCACGUUGACAUGGAAGAAAUUCCUUGCUUCACUCCAGUCCUCAAUGUUCUUCAUGAAGCUGGACUGCUGCCUCUUUGCACUGACAUAGGUGACUCGAAUAGUGACCUAAUUCUUCAGUUCUAUGCCACUUUGCAUAUCUCUGGAGACCUGAAGGAUGUCAACACUUGGGUCUUGGACUGGAUGACUCAGCACACGCACUACAAAGCGCCAUCCACUGAAUUGCUUCAUGCGCUUCCUGUCUCAAUUCGCUCAGAAAAUGUUGUGUUGAUGUAUGAUGAACGUGAGCUACCCAACAGACUGAUGGAAGUCCUCAUGAAGCCUUUGUCCAAGAACCAACCUCCUAGGACUCGCUUUCUAGUUCAAGACUUGAAGUAUGAACCACGAGCGGUCUAAAAAAUUCUAGCCAAUGUCAUCGCUCCAAUCAAAGGCCAUGAUGAUGAAGAAGAUGUCGUAGGCAUCAUGAAGAAUAUCCUCUUCAAUAUCAUCCACGGCAUACCAAUAAACCUUCAUGACUUCUUCCUGAGGACUUUGGCUCAUAAUGCACUGUCGCCCUUCGACAUGAAGAUUUGCACUCCGUGGAUCAUGAGAUUCAUUAGAAGCAGGUCAGGCAUCAACUACCAUGCUGAUUUUGCUAAUCACAUUGGAUAUCUGCUGCCCAUCACAGUCAUCAAGAAUACAUUUGAGCCUGUAGAAGACAAAGGAAAAUCUAUCAUUGAUGAAGGAAAUCGGCCUCUUGAUGGCAAGUUUCGCAAAGCAGAGUCAUGCUUAUUCCUCAAAAUUAUGUAAUGAGUUGUAACGUACGCGGGAUAUAUUUUGGGGCUUAUGGUACUCUAACGCUUUGAACAUUUUUCUUCGCAUGCUUAUUCCUCAAAAUAUUAUUGCACGCAUGUUGAAAUUCGUCAGAUACCAUUUCUCAUCAUGCAUUCUCAAAUUCCCCAUUGUAUAUGUCAAAUGUAUGCAUGAUUUACAAGAUACAAGGGGAUGUCCAUGAUAAAAAUCAUCAAUGUGCAUCUGUUGUGAAAAGAAAUUUCCUUAAAAUAUGCACAUCUUCAGGGGGAGCCUCUCGGUAUCUUGAUUUCAAAUUCCUCAAACUCAGUAUUUACACUUCAUAUUUUUAUCCCCGUUGAAAACAUAACCUUAUUUUCAUCAACCACCAAAAAGGGGGAGAUUGUAAGUACAUCUAGUGCCCUUAGUGAUUUUAGUAGUUUGAAGAUUUAUAGGUUAAGUAACUAAUGUGUUUAUAAGUGUACACAGGCUCUAUAAGUCGGCGAGGAGUUUGAAUUAUAAGAUGAAUAUCGACCCUUAAAAAUGUAUACCUUCGGCUGAGGCAAUUGGUCUUAUGCUGAAUAUUUUGAUCGCGAAGAAAUUGCGAUGAAAUUGAUAUUCCUCAUGAAGAUAUUGAAGAUGAGGAAUUCGGUGUGUCCUAAAGAAAACCAGUCCAAAGACUUUGAAGCGUGAAGAUUUAUUCUUUCUGUUUCAUUUUCUUCACUCCUCAGUCAUAGGAACACCGUACUGUUAAAGGGGGUCGAGGUAAUACUACGGAAUGAAUUUCCUCAUGAUGCUCAACCCAAGCCUAAUCCUACAAAAGCCUCAACUGAGGAAUAUUAGAGACAUGAGGACUCUCACAGUUGAGAGUCAUGACCGUUGUCGUGCUUCGCGCCACCUCACUGAUCUUAUCCACACCAACGGUCAUAAUAUUUAAGGGCAUUUAUGUCAACUCAUGUCGGGAUGCUCCCAGGCUAUAAAUAGCCGCCCCCACAACCACUAGUUGGUUGGCUGCUCCGCGAGAAACUGAAACUUGUCAUUUAGAGCAACCCAAAUUCCUCAGAGUCUUCGAGAGUAAAUCAUCAGUGAGGAAAUACCCCAAAGACCAAACCACAAACCAAAAACCAAGUGAUUGAGCAUCACUGAAGAAUUUGUUCCUGUGUGGAACUGAAGCCUUUUACCUUUGAGGAUAGUGCAUCCUCCAGACGGUUAGGCGUCAUGGUCUAGAGCAAUCGAGCAGUCAAUUGCGGAUCGCCGGGUGACCGAGUUUGUGAGGGUUUGGAAGUCUGCCCUGAAGACUUACCACGAGUGUUGGACGAGGACUGUGUGUCCUUAGCUCAAGGAGGAUACGGUAGGGACUGUGUGUCCCGGGACUGUGUGUCCUUUGGUUUCAAUACCAAGCCGCUCCAAACCAGACGCACGACUGUCACGGUAGUUGGAACUGGGUCAUCAACAACUGUCUUCAGUGUGAUACGGCUUCUAUUUCUUCAACUCUUUCAAUUCCUCAAUAUUGUAUGUUGAAGAAUUUCAUUGUCUCUGUUUGAAGAAUUUGUUGAAGACUUUCCCUGAAUUUCCUGAACCUCAAAUUCUUCAUACACGUUAAUCUUCACCUGCUUAUUAUGUGCCUGUCUACUGUGCAAACUGUUUUCCAUAAUCUUCAUCAAGAAAACUGUUGUUGUAAUCUUUGCACCUCUGAUCCUGCGCUGUUUUUGCUGCACUUUAUUCAUCAGUGACGAAUUUCCUCAUCGAUGAAAUUCUAAAAAUAUCCUAUGCACCCCCCUCUAGUCGAUAUAACGCACUUUAAGUUCUCUUGCACUAAGGGGUUGAGCAUACAAACAAAAAGCGCAUGGCAACCUCUGCUUCCCUCUGCGAAGGGUCUAUCUUUUACUUUUAUGUAUUUACUUUCAUGCAAGAGUCAAAGUUUUUCUCUCUAUUCCUUUUUAUUUUCUCAUUUGGAAAGAAUCAUGUGGUGAGGAAAUAUCUAGGCACAUAUAUCUAGUUGAAUAUAGGUAGCAUGAGUUAUUAUUGUUGACAUCGCCCUUGAGGUGAAUUCGUUGGGUGGUGAAACUAGAAUCCCCUAUCUUUCUAUGUGUGCGGUUGAAACGUUUUGCUCAUGUGUACGCAGUGAGUGUUAGAAAUCAUAGAAUACUAAAUGAUGGUUGAGUAUGUGGACUUGCCUAAAGGCUCCGAUAUGUGAACCUUCCUGAAAAGAUGAUGAAUUAUAGUUGCAAAGUUGACUGAGAACAUAGUUUGUACGUUUCCAACAGAGUUUAUGCUUUAUACUUCGAUGUUGUGAUGAAUUGUCACUUGUUUAUGAGAUGCUUGUGAUAAAAGUUCUAUGAUAAAAGUUUUAUGUUAAAGUUUGUUGUUGUCAUAAUAAGUUAUAUGAUGUUUCUAUGUCCAUAUUUUUGUUUUCAUCGACACCUCUCUCUCUCUCUAAGCAUGUGGACAUGUUUAUCGAUUUUGGUUUUUGCUUGAGGACCAGCGAGGUCUAAGCUUGGGGGAUUUGAUACGUCCAUUUUGCAUCAUAUUUUCCUACUGUUAUUUAUGUUGUUUGAUUGUAUAAUAAUGCUUUUUCGAGUAAUUCUAAUGCAUUUUCUCUCAUAAUAUGCAAGAUAUACACAAAGGGGAGAAUUUUGGCAGCUGGAAAUCUGGACCUGAAAAAGCUACGUCGGGCUACCUAUUUUGCACAACUCCAAAUGAGGUGAAACUUUACGAGGAUUUUUUAUAGAAUAUUUGAGGAAUAUGGGAGCAAAUAAGUACCAGAGGGGGCCCACCAGGUGGGCACAACCCACAUGGGCGAGCUAAGGAGCCCAAGCGCCCCAUUGGGUUGUGCUCACGCAGGCUCACCUCUGGUGCCCCUCUUAUGGUAUAUAAGUCAUUUUGACCUAGAAAAAAAGGAGGAGAGGACUUUCCAGACGAAUCGCCGCUGUCUUGAGCCGGAACUUGGGCAGGAGGACUUUUGCCCUGCGGCGGAGCGAUUCCGCCGGGGGAACUUCCCUCCCGGAGGGGAAAAUCAUCGUCAUCAUCAUCACCAACAACUCUCCCAUCUUGGGAAGGGCUAUCUUCAUCAACAUCUUCAACAACACCAACUCCUCUCAAACCUUAGUUCAUUUCUUGUGUUCAAUCUUUGUACCAGAACUAUAGAUUAGUGCUUGUGGGUGACUAGUAGUGUUGAUUACAUCUUGUAGUUUAUUACUAUAUGGUUUAUUUGGUGGAAGAUUAUAUGUUCAGAUCCAUUAUGCUAUUUAAUACCCCUCUGAUCUUGAGCAUGAUUAUCAUUUGUGAGUAUUUACAUUUGUUCUUGAGGUCACGGGAGAAAUCAUGUUGCAAGUAAUCAUGUGAACUUGAUAUGAGUUCGAUAUUUUGAUGAUAUGUAUGUUGUGAUUCCCUUAGUGGUUUCAUGUGAACGUCGACUACAUGACACUUCACCAUAUUUGUCCCUAAGGGAAUGCAUUGUGGAGUAGUUAUUACAUGAUGGGAUGCGAGAGUGACAGAAGCUUAAACCCUAGUUUAUGCGCUAUUCUAUAAGGGACAGAUUGGUUCCAAAAGUUUAAUGCUAUGGUUAGAAUUUAUUCUUAAUACUUUUCUCGUAGUUGCGGAUGCUUGCGAGAGGGUUAAUCAUAAGUAGGAGGUUUGUUCAAGUAAGAACAGCACCUAAGCACCGGUCCACCCACAUACCAAAUUAUCAAAGUAGUGAACAUGAAUUAAGCCAACAUGAUGAAAGUGACUAGAUGAAAUUCCCGUGUACCCUCAAAAACACUUUGCUUAUCAUAAGAGACCGUUUUGGCUUGUCCUUUGCCUCAAAAGGAUUGGGAUACCUUGCUGCACUUUUGUUACUACUAUCGUUACCUGCUCGUUACAAAUUAUCUUGCUAUCAAAUUACUCCGCUACUUACAAUUUAAGCACUUGCAGACAUUACCUUGAUGAAAACCACUUGUCAUUUCCUUCUGCUCCUCAUUGGGUUCGACACUCUUACUUAUCAAAAAGGCUACAAUUGACCCCAUAUACUUUUGUGUCAUCAGGGCCCACCAACCCGAGGGGCACAUGGACCUAGGAGGUAGCGCACCAGCCCCUGGUGGGCUUGGGCAGCCAACCCCAAGAGGCCCAUGCGCUAAGGCUUGAUGGAGGAGGUGGAGGAGAAGACCUCCCAAGGGUGUCCACCUCCAUUGUGGGAGGUGGACUCUCCCUCCAAUUCGGGUGAACCCCUCCUCCUUGGAGGAGGGUCCAAGGCUAGCCCACCUACCCCUUCCUCCUAUAUAUAGUGGAGGUUUUGAGGGAAGCCACCACAUGGAAAGCCACAUGCUUCCCUAUCCUCCAUAGAUCGUCUUCUUCCUUAAGAUUAGUUUGGUAGAGCUCUGCGAAGCACUGCCGGAUUAGUUCACCAUCACCGCCACCGGAGAACUCAACUACCUCUCCGCCCCUCUUGCUGGAUCAUGAUGGAGGAGAUUGUCAUCGAGUUGUACAUGUGUUGAAUGCGUUGGUGCCGUCCGUUUGGUGCUUGGAUUGCGGGACGGCUUGUGAUUUGGAUCGCGAAGACGUUCAACUACAUCAACCAUGUUUCUUAAUGCUUCGAGCUUAGUGAUCUACAAGGGUAUAUGGAUCCGAUCUCUCCUCUCGUAAAUGGUCAUCACCAUGGAUAGAUUUCGUAUGUGCGUAGGAAAAAGUUUUUUUCCCUUGCAACGUUCCCCAUCACCUAGAUGGCUUCUUCUCUACCUAUGAUCUUUAAUACAAUGUUUGUCGUGAUUCCCGCAGUGAUCUAUCUGAUUUAAUCUUCUUUUGUAGUGUGUUUGUUGGGAUCCAAUGAAUUGUGGGUUUAUGAUCAGAUUAUUCAUUGAAAGUAAUUGAAUAUUCUCUUAAUUCUAUUACGCAUGAUUAUUAUAGCUUCAUAUUUCUCUCUAAACUAUCCAUUUGGUUUGGCCAACUAGAUUGAUUUAUCUUCAGUGGGAGUGGUGUGUUGUAGUGGGUUCAAUCUUGCAGUGCUCUAUAUCGCAGUGACAGAAGGGGAUAUGACACAUAUUGUAUUAUUGCCACUAAGGUUAAAACGAUGGGGCGUGAACAUAUUGCUUCUCUUACUUUGUCCAAACAAGUGGGUCCAAGCACUACUUUGUUUGUCAUAGCAAGCAUUGAAACGCUCUCGAAGUGGAGUAAUAGUAGUAGAUGCAGGAUCAUUUCGGUCUACUUGUUUAUGCACAUGAUGCUUAUAUACACAUAAUCAUUGGCAUGAAUAACAUGUCAUAACUAUGCGAUAUUCGGUCAAUUUCGCAACAAUAAUUCGUUUAUCCACCGUGUGCUAUAUUCGAGAGAGAAGCCUCUAGUGAAAACUAUGGGCCCCAUGUCUUACUUAAUUAUAUUGCUAAAAACCAAAAAUAUCUUUUUCCACUUUUAUUAUUCUUUAUUUUAUUUUGUUAUUUAAAUAAUAUAUAUCUAUCAAAAUUAAUCCUUGCAAGUAACGAGAUCAAGGGGCUUGACAACCCUCUUGCAUGCGUUUGGUGCAAUUGUUUGGUUUUGUGUGUGUAGAUGCUGACGAUGAGACUUUACUUGAUUAUCCUAUUGAUUCGAUAACCUUGGUUCUCACUGGGGUAAAUACUCAUCGCUACUAUAUUGCUUCACCCUUCCUCUUCAGGGUAAAUCCAACGCAUCUCAUAAGUAGCAAGCCAUGAUAGGUUCCACAAUCCUUCUUAAGCACUGUGCCCUUCUCGGUGCGGCGCUACAAAAAUACUAGUCUGUGGAGGCCGGUAUGAGGGAGGUCUUUCAAGGCCUUUAUAAGGGCUUCAAGGUAACCUUCAAUCUUCUCUUGAAGAAUCCCUUAAUGCAUAGAGCGGUUGAGAACUAGAUGUGUCCAGUGGUCGUUAGCGGAUGAGCAAAAAAUAAAUGGUUCGAAGAUUUAUACUAUUACGGACAAAUGCCACUAGCAUAUAACCAUAGUAGCCCCGGGGUCCUGAGUUAGAUUCAAAGAUCUGACUCGGGGGGUCAUAAAAAAUGGACAUAUCGGAGCAAAUGUAGUAGCCCCUGAUACCCUGAUUGGAUAGACAAAGCAGAUCAAGGGACCAAUAUCGUCCGAGGAAGCUAAUAUUGCAUUCAUUUUGUCUGUUUUAGGUAUCAGCCUCGGUUUCAGUAUCCAACUCGAGGGAGUUGGAAGAACUAAACCACAAGCUCGAUCGGUCCGAGAAGGACAUAUUUUCUAAAGAAGUAAAUGGAGGAAGCGCAAGCUAGAUACAAAAUAAGCUUUUCCUCUUGAAGGGUAUCACACUGAGCAUACACCUCCUUAAAGUCUCCCUCGAUCUCCAAAACAUGGGCCGCCUACCUCUCACCGACCGCUUUGGUUGUGGCUAGCUCUUCGUUGGCCAACCUUUGCCACAAACCUUUGCUGCUCGGCUUCCAGCUGAGCUAUUUGCAGCUCGGACCGAAGCUUUUCACAUUCCAAGGAGGAAGAUCUAGAUAAAAAAUAGAUAAGGGACACGUUGUUUUAACCCAGGUUCGGACCCUCUUGAAGGAGGUAAAACCCUACGACCUACUCUUCUUUAUAUUAUGGGUAUAUCAAAGUACAUAGUUGAUCUACCUCGAGGCUCUAAGUUGUGGUCUAAACCCUAAGGAUGAUGAUGGAUGAAUCUAUGCCUCUACGGACUAAACCCUCUGGCUUAUAUAGGCACCAUGGGUACCUAGGGUUACGAAUGGUCGGUAGUCAUCUAGGAAAUACAUGUUGAAUCUAUUAAACAUCCUUGGAGUGCACGUCAAGUCCUUGGUGAAGUCCGAUAUUCUUACACCAUGGUUUAGAGGCCUCCGAAGUACUUCCUUCGGUAGUUGGCCAUUAGAUUGGCGCGCGGACAAGGUCGGCUAGGCCAGGACCCCCCUAGUCCAUUACACUGCCACCACUAACAUGGCUCUUCGAGCCGCACCACUAAUAUCGAUCGACUUAUCUUCUUAAAAGAUUGCUUGAGUCGCUGGCCGUCCAAUUUGCUCAUCACGCCAUCUCAUCAUUGCAAUAAGAUCGUUGUGGAAAUUCCAACAUGAUCUUUGGUUAUAGGAGCAUCUUGCAACAACAGCCUUGUUGCAAAAAAGCAUAAGCGGCUCACGCAAUAAGAACCGUGUUGCAAAAAAAUCAUCUACACUCUCGUCGUUGCCACAUAUCCGAGUACUGACGACAAUCAACGACGUGCAGUAUGCUCGCUGACGUCGCCUCCCUCUGCUUCUUCCUGUCCCAAGAUAGAUGUAGUCAAAGCAGCUGCUCCAGCGCCGCUCGUCCCAACACUCCACCUCUUUCGGCUCGAACCGCCGUUCCUUGAUGCCGGCAAGCCUCCUUCGCCUCACCGCCACCCGAUCUCCUUCUCUCUCCCUGCUACCUCUUGAACUUGCGUUGGUUUUCCCAUGAAGAGGAAAGGAUGAUGCAGCGAAGUAGAUAAGUAUUUCCCUCAGUUUGUUGAGAACCAAGGUACAAAUCCAGUAGGAGGAAAAAGCAAGGCUCCAAUAGUAGUACCUACACAAAUAAUUAAACACUUGCACCCGACGCUAUAAAGGGGUUGUCAAUCCCUUCUGAGUUAUUUGCAAGGAUGAGCUCUGAUAGAGAUAGAUAUAAAGAUUGUGGAAACAAAAGUAAAUAAAUUGCAGCAAAGUAUUUUUGGUUUAUAGAGCUAAAAUAUAAUAUGGAAAAUAGACCCCGGGGCAUAGGUUUCACUAGAGGCUUCUCUCAUAAAGGAAAAUAAUACGGUGGGUGUGUUGGGGAACGUAGUAAUUUCAAAAAAAAUCCUACAUCACACAAGGAUCUAUCUAUGGAGAAACCAGCAACGAGAAAAGGGGUAGAGCAUCUUCAUGCCUUUGAAGAUCGCUAAGCGGAAGCGUUACUAGAACGCGGUUGAUAGAGUCGUACUUGCAGCGAUUCAGAUCGCGGUGCAUUCCGAUCUAUGUGCCGAACAACGGUGCCUCUGCGUUCAACACACGUCCAGCUCGAUGACAUCUCCAACGCCUUGAUCCAGCAAGGAGGGAGGAUAGGUUGAGGGAAAGCUCCGGCAGCACGACGGCGUGGUGACGGUGGAGCUACGUGGCACUCCGAUAGGGCUCCACCAAGCACUAGGAGGACGAGGAGUAGGGUUGCGCCAAGAGAGAGAGAGAUUGUAUCUCAAAACAUCCCCAAACCCUCCACUAUAUAUAGGAGGAGAGGGAGGAAGGUUCCCACCCUUAGGGUUUCCACCAAAAGGGGUGCGGCAGCCCAUCUAGGGCAAGGGGCGGCGGCCAAGGGUGGAGGAGGUGCCCUAGGGUGGGCCUGAAGGCCCAAGCCUGCCCCUCCACACCUAGGGUUUUGCCCCUCUCCACCCCUUGUGUGCCUUGGGAUGAGAAGGGAGGUGCACUAGCCCAUCUAGGGGCUCGUUCCCUUCCACUCUUUGCCCAUGUAGCACUUUGAGGCUGGUGGACCCCUGGAACCCUUCCGCUUGUCCCGAUACAUUACCGGUGACGCGCGAAACACUUCCAGCGAUCAAAUCCGCACUUCCUAUAUAUGAAUCUUUACCUCUGGACCAUUCUAGAACUCCUCGUGAUGUCCGUUAUCUCAACCGGGACUCCGAACAACCUUAGGUGACCACGUAUACUAUUCCCAUAUAACCCUAGCGUCAUCGAACCUUAAGUAUGUAGACCCUACGGGUUCAGGAAGCAUGCAGACAUGACCGAGACACAUCUCCGGUCAAUAACCAACAACGGGGUCUGCAUAUCCAUGUUGGUUUCCAUAUGUUCCACGAUGAUCUCAUCGGAUGAACCACGAUGUCGGGGAUUCGAUCAAUCCCGUAUGCAAUUCCCUUUGUCCUCCGGUAUGAUACUUGCCCGAGAUUCGAUCGUCGGUAUCCCUAUACCUUAUUCAAUCUCGUUACCGCCAAGUCUCUUUACUCGUUCCGUAACACAUCAUCCCGUGACUAACUCCUUAGUCACACUGAGCUCAUUAUGAUGAUGGAUUACCGAUUGGGCCCAAAGAUACCUCUCCGUCACACGGAGUGCCAAAUCUCAGUCUCGAUUCGUACCCACCCAACAGACACUUUCGGAGAUACCUAUAAUGCAUCUUUAUAAUCACUCAGUUACGUUUUGCGUUUGGUACACCCAAAGCACUCCUACAGUAUCCGGGAGUUGCACAAUCUCAUGGUGUAAGGAAAUGAUAAUUGACAUUAGAACAACUUUAGCAGACGAACAAUACGAUCUAGUGUUAUGCUUAGGAUUGGGUCUUGUCCAUCACAUCAUUCCCCAAUGAUGUGAUCCCGAUAUCAAUGACAUCCAAUGUCCAUGAUAAGGAAACCAUGAUCAUCUAUUGAUCAAUGAGCUAGUCAACUAGAGGCUCACUUGGGACAUGUUUUGGUCUAUGUAUUCACACAUGUAUUACGGUUUCCGGUUAAUACAAUUAUAGCAUGGAUAAUAGACAAUUAUCAUGAACAACAAAAUAUAAUAAUAACCAAUUUAUUAUUGCCUCUAGGGCAUAUUUCCAAUAGUCUCCCACUUGCACUAGAGUCAAUAAUCUAGUUCACAUCACUAUGUGAUUGCAAUGAAUCUAACACCCAUAUAGUUCUGGGGUUCGAUCAUGUCUUGCUUGUGAGAGAGGUUUUUUAGUCAACGGGUCUGAACUUUUCAUAACCAUGUGUACUUUACAAAUCUCUAUGUCAUCCUAUAGAUGCAGCUACUGUUGGGGAACGUUGCAUGGGAAACACAAAAUUUCCUACGCACACAAAAACCUAUCAUGGUGAUGAUCAUCUACCAGAGGGAGAUCGGAUCCACAUACCCUUGUAGAUCGCUAAGCGGAAGCGUUAAUAAAUGCGGUUGAUGUAGUGGUACGUCUUCACGAUCUAUCCCACGAACCGUCUCAUGAUCUGUCCCACGAUCCGUUUCGAUUGAGCACUGAAAGGACGACACCUCCGCGUUCAGCACAUGUAUAGCUCGAUGAUGAUCUCCGCCUUCUUGAUCCCGCAAGAGAGAUGGGGAACUAGAUGAAUUCUCCGGCAGCAUGAUGUUGUGCCGGUGAUGGUGAUGAUCUAUUCCUGCACGGCUCCGCCCGAGCUCCACAGAAAACCGAUCUAGAGGAAGGACUACGAAGUAGAGGUUUACGGUUGCACGUGGCAAAGUUGUGUCUCAAAAACCCUAAAACCUCUAGUAUAUAUAGGAGGAGGGGAGGGGCUAGACUUGAGGCUCAAGAGAGACCCAAGGGCACAGGCCGUGAGAGGAGGAGGAGGACUCCAACUCCAAUUCGGUUUGGGAAGGAGGAGUCCCCUCCUUCCUUCCCACCUCCCUCUUUUUAUUCCUUUGAUUUUUUCAUUCUAGCCGACAUAGCCCACUUGGGCUAGCCUCACCAGCCCACUAAGGGCUGAUGCGCCACCCUUGGGCUAUUGGGUUCUCUCUCGGGUGGGUGGGCCCCCUCCCGGUAAAGACCUGGAACCCAUUCGUCACUCCGAGUACACUACCGGUAAUGCCCGAAAUCUUUGCAGAGGCCAAAUGAAACAAUCCUAUAUGUCAAUUUUCGUUUCUAGACCAUUCCGGAACUCCUCGUGACGUCCGGGAUCUCAUCCGGGACUCCGGACAAAACUUUGAUCACCAACACAUGUAACUCAACUAUACCGAAACGUCACCGAACCUUAAGUGUGCAGACCCUGUGGGUUCGAGAACUAUGCAGACAUGACCAGAGACACUCUCUGGUAAAUCACCAACAGGGGGACCUGGAUGUCCAUAUUGGUUCCUACAUAUUCUACGAAGAUCUCUAUCAGUUGAACCUCUGUGUCAAGGAUUCAUAUAAUCCCGUAUACAAUUCCCUUUGUCCUUCGGUAUGUUACUUGCCCGAGAUUCGAUCGUCGGUAUCACCAUACCUAGUUCAAUCUCGUUACCGGCAAGUCUCUUUACUCGUUUCGUAAUACAAGAUCCCGUAACUAACUCCUUAGUCACAUUGCUUGCAAGGCUUGUUGUGAUGUUGUAUUAUCGAGUGGGCCCCGAGAUACCUCUUCAUCACAUGGAGUGACAAAUCCCAGUCUUGAUCCAUGCCAACCCAACAAACACCUUUGGAGAUACCUGUAAGGCACCUUUAUAGUCACCCAGUUACGUUGCGACGUUUGAUAACCCACAAGGUAUUCCUCUAGUGUCCAGGAGUUGCAUGAUCUCAUGGUCAUAGGAACAGAUACAUUGACAUGCAGAAAACAGUAACAAUAAACUGACACGAUCAUAUGCUACGUUUAUAGUUUGGGUCUUGUCCAUCACAUCAUUCUCCCAAUGAUGUGAUCAUGUUAUCAAGUCACAACACUUGCCUAUGGCCAGGAAACCUUGACCAUCUUUGAGCAACGAGCUAGUCAACUAGAGGCUCACUAGGGACAGUGUGUUGUCUAUGUAUCCACACAUGUAUUUGACUUUCCAAUCGAUACAAUUCUAGCAUGGAUAAUAAACGAUUAUUAAGAACAAGGAAAUAUAAUAAUAACCAAUUUAUUAUUGCCUCUAGGUCAUAUUUCCAACAGCUACCACGCACCAUUUGGAACCAUUCCUAAUGACUGCUCCACAAUAUGAAUCCGGUUUACUACUUAGAGUCAUCCGGAUUAGUGACAAAGCUCGCAUCGUCGUAAUCCUUUACGACGAACUCCUUUUACCACCUCCAUAAUCAAGAAAAAUUCCUUGGUCCACUAGUUACGAAGGAUAACUUUGACUGAUGUCCAUUGAUCCAUUCCUGGAUCACUCAUGUACCCCUUGACUGACUCAUCGCAAGGCACACUUCACGUGCGGUACACAACAUAGCAUACUAUAGAGCAUAUGGCUAAAGAAUAGGGGACGACAUUCGUCCUUUCUCUUUCUUUUGCAGUGGUUGGGUAUUGAGUCUUACUCAAUAUUCCCACCUUACAACAUAGCCGAGAACCCAUUCUUUGCCGAUCUUAUUUUGAACUCCUUCAAAAACUUGUCAAGCCAUGCAUUUCGUUGAAAGUUCUAUUAAGCACUUUGAUCUAUCUGUUGGGGAACGUUGCAUGGGAAACAAAAAAUUCCUACGCACACGAAGACCUAUCAUGGUGAUGUCCAUCUACGAGAGGAGAUUUGGAUCUACGUACCCUUGUAGAUCGCACAGUAGGAAGCGUUAAGAAACACGGUUGAUGUAGUGGAACGUCUUCACGUCCCUCGAUCCGCCCCACAAACCGUCCCACGAACCGUCCCGCGAUCCGUCUCACGAUCCGUUCCGAUCUAGUGCCGAACGGACGGCACCUCCGCGUUCAACACACGUACAGCUCGACGAUGAUCUCGGCCUUCUUGAUCCAGCAAGCAGGACGAAGAAGUAGAUGAGUUCUCCGGCAGCAUGGCGACGCCCGAGCUCCGCGGAAAUACGAUCUAGAGGAAGAACUACGGUGUCUAGAUCUGAGUUGCAUGUAGAAAAUGUUGUCUCAAAUCAGCCCUAAAUCACCACUAUAUAUAGGACGGAGGGUGAGGAGACUUGCCUUGAGGACCAAGUCCCCAAGGGUGCGCCGGCCAAGAAGGAGAGGAGGAAACCUACUCCAAUUAGGAUUGGAAAGUGGAGUCCUUCUCUUCCUUCCCACCUCCCCUUUUUUUAUCUUUGGUUUUUCUUCUCUUGGCGACAAGGCCCUCUUGGGCUCUCCCAUAAGCCCACUAAGGGCUAGUGCACCGACCUCAAGCCAUUGUGCUUCCUCUGGGUGGGUUGCCCCCCUCCAGGUGAACUUCCGGAACCCAUUCGUCACUCCCGGUACAAUGCCGGUAAUGCCCGAAAACUUUCCGGUAACCAAAUGAAACCAUCCUAUAUACCAAUCUUCGUUUCCGAACCAUUCUGGAAACCCUCGUGACGUUCGUGAUCUCAUCCGGGACUCCUAACAACAUUCGGUAACCACACAUAUAACUCAACUAAACUAAAACAUCGCUGAACCUUAAGUGUGCAGACCCUGCAGGUUCGAGAACUAUGUAGACAUGCCCCGAGGCACUCCUCGGUCAAUAUCCAGUAGCGGGACCUGGAUGCCCAUAUUGUAUCCUACAUAUUAUACAAAGAUCUCAUUGGUUGAACCUUAGUGUCAAGUAUUCAUAUAAUCUCGUACGUCAUUCCUUUUGUCCUUCGGUAUGUUACUUGCUCGAGAUUUGAUCGUCGGUAUCCGCAUACCAAUUUCAAUCUCGUUACCAGCAAGUCUCUUUACUCGUUUUGUAACACAAGAUCACGUGACUUACACUUAGUCACAUUGCUUGCAAGGCUUGUGUGUGAUGUUGUAUUACCGAGUGGGCCCCGAGAUACCACUCUGUAACACGGAGUGACAAAUCCCAGUCUUGAUCCAUACUAACUCAAGGGACACCUUCGGAGAUACCUGUAGAGCACCUUUAUAGUCACCCAGUUACGUUGUGACGUUUGAUGCACACAAGGUAUUCCUCCGGUGCCAGUGAGUUAUAUGAUCUCAUGGUCAUAGGAACAAAUACUUGACACGCAGAAAACAAUAGCAAUAAAAUGACACGAUCAAUAUGCUACGUAUAGAUUUUGGGUCUUGUACAUCACAUGAUUCUCCAAAUGAUGUGAUCCCAUUAUCAAGUGACAACACUUGUCUAUGGUUAGGAAACCUUGACCAUCUUUGAUCAACGAGCUAGUCAACUAGAGGCUUACUAGGGACAGUGUUUUGUUUAUGUAUCCACACAUGUAUUUGACUUUCCAAUCAAUACAAUUCUAGCAUGGAUAAUAAACGAUUAUUAUGAACAAGGAAAUAUAAUAAUAACUAAUUUAUAAUUGCCUAUAGGGCAUAUUUCCAACAGUCUCCCACUUGCACUAGAGUCAAUAAUCUAGUUCACAUCACCAUGUGAUUUUAACGAAUCCAACACCCAAAUUGUUUUGGGGUCGGAUCACGUAUUGAUCGUGAGAGAGGUUUUAGUCAAUGAUUCUGAAUCUUUCAGAUCCAUGUGUGCUUUACAAAUCUUUAUGUCAUCUUAUAGAUGUUGCUACUAUGUGCUAUUCGGAAAUACUCCAAAUAUCUACUCUACUAUACGAAUCUGUUUUACUACUGAGAGUUUAUUCGGAUUAGUGUCAAAGCUUGCAUCAACGUAACCCUUUUUGACGAACUCUUUAAUCACCUCCAUAAUCGAGAAAAUUUCCUUAGUCCACUAGUUACUAAGGAUAACUUUGACCUCUGUUUUACUGAUUCAAUCCUGGAUCACCUCUUUGUACCCCUUGACAGACUCAUGGCAAGGCACACAUCAGGUGCGCUACACAGCUUGGCAUACUUUAGAGCCUAUGGCUAAGGCAUAGGGGACGACCUUCAUCCUUUCUCUUUCUUCUACUGUGGUCGGGCUUUUGAGUCUUACUCAAAUUCACACCUUAAAACAUAGCCAAGAAAUCCUUCUUUGUCGAUCUAUUUUGAACUCCUUCAAAAACUUGUCAAGGCAUGCAUUUCAUUCGAUAGUUCUAUUAAGCGUUUUGAUCUAUCUCUAUAGAUCUUGAUGCUCAAUGUUCAAAUAGCUCUAUCCACGUCUUCCUUUGAAAACUCCUUUCAAACAACCUUUUAUGCUUCACAGAAAUUCUACAUUACUUCCGAUCAACAAUAUGUCAACCACAUAUACUUAUCAGAAAUUCUAUAGUACUCCCACUCACUUCUUUGGAAAUACAAGUUUCUCAUAAACCUUGUACAAACCCAAAAGCUUUGACCAUCUCAUCAAAGUGUAUAUUCCAACUCCGAGAUGCUUGCACCAGUCCAUUGAAGGAUCGCUGGAGCUUGCAUACUUGUUAGUAUCCUUAGGAUCGACAAAACCUUCCGGUUGUAUCAUAUACAACCUUUCCUCAAGGAAACCAUCGAGGAAACAAUGUUUUGACAUCCUAUGUGCAAUAUUUUCAUAAAUAAUGCAUCAACUGCUAACAUAAUUCCAACAGACUUUUAGCAUCGCUAUGAGUGAGAAAGUCUCAUCAUAGUCAACUCUUUGAACUUUGUCAGAAACAUCUUUGCGGCAAGUCGAGCUUUUCUUAAUGGUGACUUUUCACCAUCAUCAUCUGUCUUCCUUUUAAAGAUCCAUCUUUACUUAAUAGUCCUACGACCAUCAAGUAGUUCUUCCAAAGUCUACACUUUGUUUUCAUACAUGGAUCCUCUCUCAGAUUUCAUUGCCUCCAGCCAUUUGUCGGAAUCCGAGCCCACCAUCGCUUCUCCAUAGCUUGUAGGUUCAUUGUUGUUCAACAACAUGACCUUUAAGACACGGUUACCGUACCACUCUGUAGUAGUAGGCGACCUUGUCGACCUACGAGGUUUGCAGUAACUUGAUUUGAAGCUCAAUGAUCACCAUCAUUAGUUUACACUUCAAUUGGUGUAGGUGCCACAGGAACAACUUCCUGCGCCCUGCUACACACUGGUUGAAGUUACGGUUCUUUAACCUCAUCAAGUUCCACCACUCUCCCACUCAAUUCUUUUGAGAGAAACCUUUCCUCAAGAAAGGACCCGUUUCUAGAAACAAACACUUUGCUUCCGGGUCUGAGAUAGGAGAUGUAUCCAACUGUCUUGGAUAUCCUAUGAAGAUGGUUUUAUCCGCUUUGGGUUCGAGCUUAUCAGACUGAAACUUUUUCACAUAAGCGUUGCAGCCCCAAACUUUCAAGAAAUGACAGCUUAGGUUUCUCCAAACCAUAGUUUAUAUUGUGUCAUCUCAACGGAAAUACGUGGUGCCCUAUUUAAUGUGAAUGUGGUUGUCUCUAAUGCAUAACCCAUAAACAAUAGUGGUGAUUCGAUAAGAGACACCAUAGUAUGCACCAUAUCAAAUAGGGCGCGGCUAUGACGCUCGGACACACCAUCACACUAUGGUGUUCUAGGUGGCAUGAACUGUGAAACAAUUUCCACAUUGUCUUCACUGUGUACCAAAACUCGCAACUUAAAUAUUCAUCUCUAUGAUCAUAUCGUAGACAGUUUAUCCUCUUGUCACGAUGAUCUUCACUCUGAAGUAGCUUUGAAAUUUUCAAUAUUUCAGACUUGUGAUUCAUCAAGUAAAUACUCCUGUAUCUACUCAAAUCAUCAGUGAAGUAAGAACAUAACGAUAUCCACUGCGUGCCUCAGCACUCAUUAGACUGCACACAUCAAAACUGUUUUGCAUCCAACAAGUUACUUUCUUGUUCCAUGUGGUAUGAUUUUGCAUGUCUCAAGUGAUUCAAAAUCAAGUGAGUCCAAACGAGUCAUCUGCAUGGAGUUUCUUCAUGCGUUUAUACCAACAGGUAUGGUUUGCAUGUCUCAAACGUUUCAAAAAUGAGUGAGUACAAAGAUCCAUAAGCAUGGAUCUUCUUCAUGCAUUUUACACCAACAUGACUCAAGCGGCAGUGCCACAAGUAAGUGGUACUAUCAUUAUUACUUUUGUAUGUUUUUGGCACCGAUAUUAUGAAUAUGUGUAACACUACGAUCGAGAUUCCAUAAACCCUUGAAGGUAAUUAUUCAAGCAAAUAGAAUAACCAUUAUUCGCUUUAAAUGAAUAAUCGUAUUGCAGUAAACAUGAUCCAAUCAUCUUCAUGCUCAAUGCAAACACCAAAUAACAAUUAUUUAGGUUUAACACCAAUCCCGGUGGUAGAGGGAGUGUGUGAUGUUUGAUCACAUCAACCUUGGAAACACUUCCAACAUGUAUCAUCACCUUGCCUUUAGCUAGUCUCCGUUUAUUCCGUAGCUUUUACUUCGAGUUACUAAUAACUUAGCAACCGAACCGGUAUCUAAUACCCUCGUGCUACUAGGAGUACUAGUAAAGUACACAUCAAUAUCAUGUAUAUCAAACAUAUAUCUGUCGACUUUGCCAGCCUUCUUAUCUACCAAGUAUCUAGGGUAGCUCCACCUCGGUGACCGUUUCCCUCAUAACAGAAGCACUUUGUCUCGGGUUUGGGUUCAAUCUUGGGUUUCUUCAUUGGAGCAGCAACUGAUUUGUCGUUUCAUGAAGUAUCCCUUCUAGCCCUUGCCAUUCUUGGAACUAGUGGUUUUACUACCCAUGAACAAUUGAUGCUCCUUCUUGAUUUCUACUUUCGCAGUGUCAAUCGGUGUGAGUCGCUCAAGGAUCAUCAUAUCUAUCCUUGAUAUGUUCUAGUUCUUCACGAAGGUCCAGCAGCUUAGUGGCAGUGACUUUGGAGAACCAUCACUAUCUCAUCUGGAAGAUAAACUCCCACUUGAUUCGAGCGAUUGUUGUACUCAGACAAUUUGAGAUCAUGCUAAACGAUUUGAGCUUUUCUCCUUUACUUUGUAUACAAAGAAUCUUGUCGGAGGUCUCAUACCUCUUAAUAAGGGCAUGAGCAUGAAAUCUCAAUUUCAUCUCUCAGAACAUCUCAUAUGUUCCGUGACGUUUCAAAACGUCUUCGGCGCCUUGCUUCUAAGCUAUUAAGUAUUAUGCACUGAACUAUCACGUAGUCAUCAAAAAUGUGUAUGUCAGAUGUUCGCAACAUCCACAGAUGACGCUCGAGGUGCAGCACACCAAGUAGUGCAUUAAGGACAUAAGCCUUCUACGCAGUAAUGAGGACAAUCCUCAGUUUUACGGAAUCAGUCCGCAAAGUUGCUACUAUCAUCUUUCAACUAAACUUUCUCUAGGAACAUAUAAAAACAGUAGAGCUAGAGCGCAAGCUACAUCGUAAUUCGCAAAGACCAUUAGACUAUGUUCACGAUAAUUAGUUCAAUCAAUCAUAUUACUUAAGAACUCCCACACAAAAAGUACAUCUCUCUAGGCAUUUGAGUGCUACAUGAUCCAAAUCCACUAACUCAAGUUUGAUCAUCACGUGAGUUGAGAAUAGUUUCAGUGGUAAGCAUCACUAUGCUAAUCAUAUCAACUAUACGAUUCAUGCUCGACCUUUCGGUCUCAUGUGUUCCGAGCCAUGUAUGCACAUGCUAGGCUCGUCAAACUUAACCCGAGUGUUCCGCGUGUGCAACUAUUUUGCACCCGUUGUACAUGAACGUUGACUCUAUCACACCCGAUCAUCAUGUGGUGUCUCGAAACGACGAAUUGUAGCAAUGGUGCAUAGUCGGGGACAACACAAUUUCUUCUUGAAAUUUUAGUGAAAGAUCACCUCAUAAUGCUACCGUCGUUCUAAGCAAAAUAAGGUGCAUAAAAGGAUUAACAUCACAUGCAAUUCAUAAGUGACAUGAUAUGGUCAUAAUUAAGUGCUUCUUGAUCUCCAUCACCAAAGCACCGGCACGAUCUUCUAGUCACCGACUCCACACCAUGAUCUCCAUCAUCAUGAUCUCCAUCAACGUCUCGCCAUCGAGGUUGUCGUGCUACUUAUGCUAUUACUACUAAAGCUACGUCCUAGCAAUAUAGUAAACGCAUCUGCAAACACAAACAUUAGUUUAAAGACAACCCUAUGGCUCCUGCCGGUUGUCGUACCAUCAACAUGCAAGUCGAUAUUAACUAUUACAACAUGACCAUCUCAUACAUCCAAUAUAUCAUAUCACGUCAUUGGCCAUAUCAUAUCACAAGCAUACCCUGCAAAAACAAGUUAGACGUCCUCUAAUUUGUUGUUGCAUGUUUUACGUGGCUGCUAUGGGUAUCUAGUAUGAUCGCAUCUUGCUUAUGCAAAAACCACAAUGAAGAUGUGCAAAUUGCUAUUUAACCUCUCCAAGGACUACCUCGGUCAAAACCAAUUCAACUAAAGUUGAAGAAACCGACACCCGCCAGUCAUCUUUAUGCAACGAGGUUGCAUGUCAAUUGAUGAAACCAGUCUUUCGUAAGCGUACGAAUAAUGUCGGUUCGGGCCGCUUCAAUCCAACAAUAUCGCUGAAUCGUGAAAAGACUAAGGAGGGAAACAAAUCGAACAUCACCGUCCACAAAACCCUUUGUGUUCUACUCGAGAUAACAUCUACGCAUGAACCAAGCUCAUGAUGCCAUUGUUGGGGAACGUUGCAUGGGAAACAAAAAAAUCGUACGCACACGAAGACCUAUCAUGGUGAUGUCCAUCUACGAGAGGAGAUUUGGAUCUACGUACCCUUGUAGAUCGCAUAGCAGGAAGCGUUAGGAAACGUGGUUGAUGUAGUGGAACGUCUUCACGUCCGUCGAUCCGCCCCCACGAACCGUCCCGCGAUCCAUCUCACGAUCCGUUCCGAUCUAGUGCCGAACGGACGGCACCUCCGCGUUCAGCACACGUACAGCUCGACGAUGAUCUCGGCCUUCUUGAUCCAGCAAGCAAGAGGGAGAAGUAGAUGAGUUCUCCGCUAGCGUGACGGUGCUCCGGUGGUGGUGACGAUGUACUCCUGCAGGGCUCCGCCCGAGCUCCGCAGAAAUACGAUCUAGAGGAAGAACUAUGAGUUCUAGAUCUGAGUUGCACGUGGCAAAAGUUGUCUCAAAUCCGCCCUAAAUCACCACUAUAUAUAGGAGGGAGGGGGAGGAGACUUUCCAUGAGGACCAUGUCCCCAAGGUGCGCCGGCCAGGAAGGAGAGGAGGAAACCUACUCCAAUUAGGAUUGGAAAGUGGAGUCCUUCUCUUCCUUCCCACCUCCCCUUUUUUCUCUUUGGUUUUUCUUCUCUUGGCGCCAAGGCCCUCUUGGGCUGUCCCACCAGCCCACUAAGGGCUAGUGCGCCACCCUCAAGCCAUUGUGCUUCCUCCGGGUGGGUUGCCCCCCUCUCGGUGAACUUCUGGAACCCAUUCGUCACUCCCGGUACAAUACCGGUAAUGCCCGAAAACUUUCCAGUAAACAAAUGAAACCAUCCUAUAUAUCAAUCUUCGUUUCCGGACCAUUCUGGAAACCCUCGUGACGUCCGUGAUCUCAUGCAGGACUCCAAAUAAUAUUCGGUAACCACACAUACAACUCGACUAUAAUAAAACAUCGCUGAACCUUAAGUGUGCAGACCCUGCAGGUUCGAGAACUAUGUAGACAUGCCCCGAGGCACUCGUCGGUCAAUAUCCAACAGCAGGACCUGGAUGCCCAUAUUGGAUCCUACAUAUUCUCCGAAGAUCUUAUCGGUUGAACCUCAGUGUCAAGGAUUCAUAUAAUCACGUAUGUCAUUCCCUUUGUCCUUCGUUAUGUUACUUGCCCGAGAUUUGAUCGUCGGUAUCCGCAUACCUAUUUCAAUCUCGUUACCGGCAAGUCUCUUUACUCGUUCCGUAAUACAAGAUCAUGUGACUUACACUUGGUCACAUUGCUUGCAAGGUUGUUUGUCAUGAUGUAUUACCGAGUGGGCCCCGAGAUACCUCUCUGUCACACGGAGUGACAAAUCCCAGUCUUGAUCCAUACUAACUCAACGGACACCUUCGAAGAUACCUGUAGAGCACCUUUAUAGUCACCCAGUUACGUUGUGACGUUUGAUGCACACAAGGUAUUCCUCCGGUGCCGGUGGUUUAUAUGAUCUCAUGGUCAUAGGAACAAAUACUUAACACGCAGAAAACAAUAGCAAUAAAAUGACACGAUCAAUAUGCUACGUAUAUAAUUUGGGUCUUGUCCGUCACGUGAUUCUCCUAGUGAUGUGAUCCCGUUAUCAAGUGACAACACUUGUCUAUGGUUAGGAAACCUUGACCAUCUUUGAUCAACGAGCUAGUCAACUAGAGGCUUACUAGGGACAAUGUUUUGUCUAUGUAUCCACACAUGUAUUUGAGUUUCCAAUCAAUAAAAUUCUAGCAUGGAUAAUAAACGAUUAUUAUGAACAAGGAAAUAUAAUAAUAACUAAUUUAUUAUUGCCUCUAUGGCAUAUUUCCAACACUAUCUCGAUAGAUCUUGAUUCUCAAUGUUCAAGUAGCUUAAUCCUGUUUUUCCUUUGAAAAGAACUUCUCAAACAACCCUAUAUGCUUUCCAGAAAUUCUACAUCAUUUCCGAUCAACAAUAUGUCAACCACAUAUACUUAUCAAAAAUUCUAUAGUGCUACCACUCACUUCUUUGGAAAUACAAGUAUCUCAUAAACUUUGUAUAAAACCAAAAUCUUUGAUCAUCUCAUCAAAGCAUAUAUUCCAACUCUGAGAUGCUUGCUCCAGUCCAUAGAAGGAUCGAUGGAGCUUUGCAUACUUGUUAGCAUCCUUUAGGGUCUUCAAAACCUUCUGGUUGUAUCAAAUACAACCUUUCCUCAAGGAAACCAUCGAGGAAACAAUAUUUGAUAUCCUAUCUGCAAGAUUUCAUAAAUGAUGCAUCAACUUCUAACAUAAUUCCAACAGACUUUCAGCAUCCCUACGAGCGAGAAAGUCUCAUCGUAGUCAACUCUUUGAACUUGUCGGAAACACCUUUGCGACAAGUUGAGCUUUCUUAAUGGUGACUUUUCACCAUCAUCGUCUGUCUUCCUUUUAAAGAUCCAUCUGUAGUUAAUAGUCUUAUGACUAUCAAGUAGUUCUUCCAAAGUCUAUACUUUGUCUUGCUUCAGCCAUUUGUCAGAAUCCAGGCCCACCAUCGCUUCUCCAUAGCUCGUAGGUUCAUUGUUGUCCAACAACAUGACCUUCAAGACAGGAUUACCGUGCCACUCUGGAGUAGUACGCGUCCUUGUCGACCUACGAGGUUUGGUAGUGACUUGAUUCGAAGCUUCAUGAUCACUACCAUCUUCUUCCACUUCAAUUGGUGUAGGCGCCACGGGAACAACUUCGUGCGCCCUGCUACACACAAUGGUUGAAGUGAUGGUUUAACAACCUCAUCAAGUUUCAACCAUCCUCCCACUCAAUUCUUUCGACCGAAACUUUUCCUCGAGAAAGGACCCGUUUUAGAAACAAACACUUUGCUUCCGGAUCUAAGAUAGGAGGUAUACCCAAAUUUUUUGGGUGUCCUAUGAAGAUGAUUUUAUAUGCUUUGGGUUCGAGCUUAUCCGUCUGAAACUCUUUUACAUAAGCAUCGCAGCCCCAAAGUUUUGAGAAACUCAACUUAGGUUUCUCUAAACCAUAGUUCAUACGGUGUUAUCUCAAUGAAAUUACGUGGUGCCCUAUUUAAAGUGGAUGUGGUUGUCUCUAAUGCCUAACCCAUAAGCUACAGUGAAAAUUUGACAAGAGACAUCAUAGUAUGCACCUUAUCAAAUAAGGUAUGACUAUGACAUACGGACACACCAUCAGACUAUGGUGUUCCAGGUGCCAUGAGUUGUGAAACAAUUUUCACGUGAAACAAUUUUCACCUUGUCUUAAAUGUUUACCAAAUUCGCAACUCAGAUAUAUAUGUUUACCUCCACGAUCACAUCGUAGACUUAUUAUCCUCUUGUCACAAUGAUCUUAAACUUCACUCCGAAAUUACUUGAACCUUUUAAUAAUUCAGACUUGUGUUUCAUCAAGUAAAUAUGCUGGUAUCUACUCAAAUCAUUUGUGAAGUAAGAACAAAAUGAUAUCCACUGCGUGCCUCAGUAUUCAUUGGAUUAUACACAUCAAAAUGUAUUACUUCCAACAAGUCACUUUCUUGUUCCAUCUCACUGGAAAAACGAGGUCUUCGGUCAUCUUGCCCAUGUGGUAUGAUUUGCAUGUCUCGAGUGAUUCAAAAUCAAGUGAGUCCAAAAUGAUCCAUCUGCAUGGAGUUUCUUCAUGUGUUUAUACCAAUAGACAUGGUUCGCAUGUCUCAAACGUUUCGAAAACGAGUGAGGCCAAAGAUCCAUCAGUAUGGAGCUUCUUCAUGCGUUUUACACCAAUAUGACUCAAGCGGCAGUGCCACAAGUAAGUGGUACUAUCAUUACUACUUUGUAUAUUUUGGCAACAAUAUUAUGAACAUGUGUAUCACUACGAUCAAGAUUCAAUAAACCAUUCAUUCUAGGUAAAAUACCAUUUAAGGUAUUAUUCAAGUAAAUAGAAUAACCAUUAUUCCCUUUAAAUGAAUAAUCUAUUGCAAUAAACAUAAUCCAAUCAUGCAUGUGCCCAACGCAAACAUGAAAUAACAAUUAUUUAGGUUUAACACUAAUCCCGAUGGUAGACGGAGCGCGCGAUGUUUGAUCACAUCAACUUUGGAAACACUUCCAACACACAUCGUCACCUCGCUUUUAGCUAGUCUCCGUUUAUCCCGACAACUACGACCUCAUGAAGAAAACUACCCCAUGCAUGACUCGGAAUUAGCAGUCGUUGUUCAUGCCUUGAAGAUUUGGAGGCAUUACCUUAUCGGAGAACGUUGCGAAAUAUACACGGACAAUAAAAGACUCAAGUAUAUUUUCACCCAACCUGGCCUGAAUCUCAGGCACCGAAGAUGGCUUGAACUAGUCAAGGACUAUGACAUUGGGAUUAACUAUCAUCCGGGUAAAGCUAAUGUAGUCGCGGACGCUCUCAGCAGAAAGCGAGGCACUAUGAAUGCACUGAUGGGAAGUAUGAAUCCAAGGCUACAAGGAGAAUUCACUGACCUCAACAUGGUGCUAUGCGACCCAACUACACCGGAUACAUUGUAAAUUACCCCCACCCUUAUGGAAGAAAUUAAGAAGGCCCAAGAGCGAGAUGAAGGUUUCAAAAAAAUCAAGGAGCUGAUUCUGAAAGGGAAGGCCAAGUCCUUCCGCGUAUAUGACCAAGGCAUCUUAUGGUUUGAGAAAUGGAUAUGUGUGCCCGACCAGAAUAACCUGAGGCAGCAAAUACUCAGGGAAGCCCAUGCUUCUGCAUUCUCGAUCCACCCGGGAGGCACAAAGAUGUACCAGGAUCUGAGAGUGACGUUUUGGUGGCCAGGAAUGCGAAGGGACAUAGCAUACUGUGUCGCAUGUUGUGACAUUUGCAACAAGGUCAAAGCGGAACACCAGAAACCCGCUGGGCUACUACAACCUUUACCGGUUCCCCAGUGGAAGUGGGACGACAUAUGCAUGGACUUCAUCGUUGGACUACCCAAGUCAACAAGAGGCAAUGAUGCUAUCUGGGUCGUUGUGGAUACACUCACGAAAGUAGCUCGCUUUAUCCUGGUAAAGACCACGUUCAACGCAAAUUAGCUGGCACAACUUUACAUGUCCCGGAUAGUCAGCCUUCAUGGAGUACCCAAGUCUAUCACCUCAGAUAGAGGCUCCCUAUUGUAGCGACCCGACUCAAGACGAGUCAAGCCUCUGUGUAUCUGUGCCAUCCCUGGAUCAGUAUGCUGGCACACACAGUACAUCAAUGUAUAUAUCAAAGUGCAAUCACAUGGAAAUAGCGUAAAACAGAUAUAUACCUUAAAUAUCUCAGCGGAAGCAGUCAAGGGAGUGGAGUCCCAAUAAACACCAAUGGCAAGUUGAGUGUAGACCGUAACCCUGAAUCGUACUCUUACUCGUUGAAGAAAAAUAUCUGCAACAUAAGACGUUGCAGCCGUGUAGGUCAGCAUAUUGAAUAUGCCGGCAAGUCACAUAAGAGAGGGGUGAAAAGUAAUCAUCUAUACUAUAUGCAUAUAUGGCAGGUGGGGCUAUAAGUUUUUAGUGAAAAGCAAGUUUUCUCCUACAUCAAGAGAGGCUAAAAGCAAAAUAUUACUACAAGGUAGGUUGUUAACGAGAUGGUUCCACCAACCAGUUCUCGUACCCGAGUUGUCAAUAAUUCCCACAUCAAUAUUAUUAUUUGUGUUGAGAAUUUCAGAUAACUUCAGUUUCUUUGGCUCAAGUUGUCCAUGACCGUGGACACGGCUAAUCGAUUAGGUUUGAGUACUCUGCAGAGUUUUGCACACGUUCCCCACAAGAUUUGAUCGCCUCUGUGUAUGUCCUCGCACUUCAGGGUGUUUGAAGACCGGAUGAUCAAAACAUGGUCUUUCAACGGGUCCCUCUGAAUCCCUGUCGGUGCCCAUCCAUUCCUACCGUUCUUCUACAUCUGCUAGCACCGCCUGUCCAAAGUCGCCACGUUGUCCAACCAAGCCAGAGCCCAUAAUGACUUGUGGCUGUGCAGGUAAGCCUUGGGUCUUGAAAAUAUCCGUCCGUCUCUUUGAGCCUGGGUGAAGCUUUCCGCAGGAUGUCAUGGCCUCUCCAGCAUCCCGGGUCAUCCACUUGGUUCUCCAGGGAGCCGAUCAACCGUCCUUCACUCAGAGUUGCAUUGCGUCCAAGGUCUUGAAAAUCUUGUCUUAACCGGUCUUGAUUAUUUAAUCAACCUCGCAUCACUCGUGUUAUGCACUCAACCGAAAUCCCGUCUACGCAAGCAUAGCAAUAUGAAAUUUGUCGUCCCGGGGCCAAGUAUCGGGGUUGUUGUGUGCCUACCACAUGAUACUACAAUCUAUACUAAAAUUUCCAAGUACCUACUCAGCAUGCAAUUGGGCAUAGGAUGGUAGAACUACGAUGCAUAAAACAUAGGUGAUAGUAUGAUCAAAGUGACUUGCCUGGUGAUGUUGACGAAGAAGAAUUUCUCGAGAAAUAACUUGAUAGACUACUCGUCACUCUCCGAUGAAAUCUAUAUAACAAACAUAUCAUUCACAUAAGCACUCAUACUAGCAAUCAUUCUAGCAAUCGAAACAAAAGAGAGAGCGAAUAGGAAUCCGAAGGAAACUUCAAAUAAGACUAGGGAGUCUUCUACUACGUCAAACACUAAAUAGUUUUUGUCUAACAGAAAAUAAUAACAAGGAACUAAGAUAUAAGUUUAACUAAGAUAAAAUAAAAUAUUUUUCACAAAACUAUUUGAAAGUAUUUCCAAACGGGAUUUGAAACAGUGGAGAAACCAAUUGCAAGUUACUAAGGAACUAGAAUUGAUUUCAUGAUAACAAAUAAAAAUAAAAUCAAAACUUGUUUCAAACCUACUGUUUAACUAACAGAAACAAAACAUAAUCUUUCUGAAAUAUAAAAGAAAAAAUAAUUUAAAAACAAUUUAUAGGAAAAGAAAUAGCCAUAAUCCUAAAAGAGGUGAAACAGAAAUUGUUUCACAAGAAACAUUGAGCUAAAAUACUUAAACAAAUCUGAAAUGUUUAUCACUGAUAAAUAAGAUCACUAGUGAUCAGUAGCAAAAGGAAUCAAAUUAAAAGCUAUUUUUAAACUCCUGGAAUAGGCAAAACAAGGUUUAAACUAAAUCUGAUGUAAUUCAAAUUUGAAAAUUUCAAACAUGGACAAAUUAUAUGUUUUUAAAAACUAAAGAAAAAUUGUGAUCUACUGGAAAAAAAAUCAACUCCAUUGGACUUAAGGAUCAAAAGUUAUGAGCCAAACAAAUUGGAAUUUUCUCUGUUUUUGAAUUAAACAGAAAAAAAUGAAUAAAAGCUACCAAAUGAACGGGCCACGUGGCGAUCUCUGGUUGGCUUAGACCUGUGCGCUGCGGUGCUAAACUAACAAACGUCCGCACAUUAGAAGAAAACGGUUUGGCUAUUAAGUGAUCUAUUAGGGGCCUUAGGAUCAAGAUCUAACGGUGAGCUAAAUAAACAGAAUACAAGGAAGAAGAAGAAAGAAAAAAAACAAAAGGGGGUUACCUCGUGCUACAGAGGAAGCACGGUGGCAGGGAGGAGCAGCGGCGAGGAGGGGCACUCCGGCGAGGGGCGAGGUCGCCGCCAAGGGCGGGGCGGCGGAGGAUGGUGCGGGCGACGGAGGGGGAGUGGCGGCGAGGCUCCAAGAGCUCCUGGUCGAGCAGGGGCGAGGGAAGUGCUCGUGGCGAGGCUCCUGGCUCGUCCUGGACAGGGGCUCCGGCGAGGGGUGAGGUGGAGGGAGGUGUUGCGGGGUAGGACGAGGGGGUUCCUCUGGAGUUGCUCCGGCGAGCAGGGGGCUCGGGUGUAGGGGUGACGGAGGCUCGGGCUGGGGUAGGGGAACGGGUGCGGUGGUGAGGGGGGGCUUUAUAGGGGAGAGGGGGCCUCGGGAGGGAAAGGAGGAGGGAGAUCCGGGGAGGGAAUCGGCCGGUCUCGGCCACGGAAGGAACUCGGGCUCACGUUGGGAAGGAGGAGGGAGGAAGGUGACCGAGCGGGAGAGAAGGUCGGGCGCGGGGCCCAGCGCCAAAGAGAAGAAGGGAGGGGCGAGGUGGAUCGGCCACCCGAUCUGGAGGGAUCUCGGUCCCGGGGUCGAAGGGAUCCGGCCCAAUCCUUAAAUGCCGUCCGCGGCGGUUUCCUUUUAAAAAAAACGUUUCCUGUUUUAGUUUUUUUCAGAAACAGUAACUAAAACAAAUAAAAAGGCAACGCACAAAAAUAAUUAAUAUAGGGUAUUAUAUACCAAAUUUUUCAGAAAAAAAAUCUCUACACGAUUAACAUUUCUCUACGGCAAAAAUAAAAACUUCAGAAAAAAUUAUUUUCACAAAAUUUCCUAAAAGAUUUAUUUUCUUUUGCAAAUAAUUUUCAAAUGACCCUCUAAGUUUUAGGGUUCAAAAUAACUUUCAAAAUGCCCGUGUGUUUGAGGGUCAUGUUCCUCCUCUCUUUUCUGUUUGACAGAAUGUAUUUCCCGGCAUUUCUUGCACGAAGAAAACAAAUAGAAAUGCAAAAGAAUUCAAAUGCAAAUAUCUCCGCUCAAGUUCUUUAAAGUUGAAGAAGUCAUGUCAUCUUCUCUCUUUGCUUUUAAAUGAUUGAAUUUGAAUUCACCGGAGAAGGGGAAAGUCAUUUUAUUCCCUCUCAUUCAAAAGUUUUUAAAAAGUUUCAAAUUUCACACAAGUUUCAAUCACUCAAGCAAACAAGCAAACAAUCUAAUAAUUAUUUUAACAUUCCGAAAUUUGGGAUGUUACACCUAUUCACCUUGGCAUUCUGGCUACGACUACAUCAAGCUUUGGGAAUCAUGCUGAAGCAUAGCACAGUGUACCAUCCGCGGACCGAUUGACAGACAGAGAGUGGACCAGAUACUGAAGGAUAUGCUUCGGUCAUGUGCUCUCACCCAUGGACCCAAAUGGGAAGAUAGCCUACCCUAUGCGGAAUUCUCCUACAACAACAGCUAUCAAACAAGUUUGAAGAUGUCACCGUUUGAGGCACUAUACGGACGAAAGUGUCGCACCCCAUUGAACUGGUCCCAGAUAGGCGAUAGUUGUAUCUUUGGCACGGACUUGAUGGUGGAGGCUGAGAGACAGGUCAAGGACAUUCAGGAGCGCAUUCGGGCAGCCAACUCCCGUCAAAAGAGCUACUAUGACCCAAAGCACCGGGAACUGACUUUUGAGCCAGGAGAAUAUGCGUACCUCCGAGUAACCCCCAAGAAAGGAGUAAAGAGGUUUCAUAAGCGGGGAAACCUUGCACCAAGAUAUAUCGGCCCCUUUCUAGUGAUCGCUAGAAGAGGCGGAGUGGCAUAUUGAAAGUGCGUUAAAUCGACUAGAGGGGGUGAAUAGGAGAUUUUUAGAAUUUCAUCACUGAGGAAAUUCCUUUUGAGGAAAUUCCUCACUCAUGACUAACUUACAGCGGAAACAGUAAAGGAUCAAGAGUGCAAAGUUUGACUACAACAGUUUUUCAGUAUGGGGAAUGUGAAAACAGAUUGCACAGUAAGGAGGCAUGCAGAAAACAGAUGAGGUUUAACUUGCGUGAAGAAUUUGGGGUUGAGGAAUUUCAGAGGAAGUCUUCAGCAAAUUCUUCAAACAGUGACAGUGAAAAUCAUCAACACAUAAUCUGAGGAAUAUAAGGAGUUGAGGAAUUAGAACCAGUUUCACAGCGAAGCCAGUAGUUGAUGACCCAGUUCCAACUACUGUGACAGUUGUACAUCUGGUUUGGAGCGGCUUGGUAUUGAAACCAAAAAGACACACAGUCCCGGGACACACAGUCCCUACCGUAUUCUCCUUGGGCUAAGAACACACAGUCCUGACCCAACACUCGUGGUAAGUCUUCAGGGCAGACUUCCAAACCCUCACAAACUUGGUCACCCAGCGACCCACAAUUGACUGCUGGAUUGCUCUAGACCAUGACGCCUAACCGUCUGGAGGAUGCACAGUCCUCAAAGAUAAAAGGCUUCAGUCCCACACAGGAACAACUUCUUCAGUGAUGCUCAAUCACUUGGAUCUCGGUUUGUGGUUUGGUGUUUGGGGUAUUUGCUCACUGAUGAAUUACUCUUGAAGACUCUGAGGAAUUAGGUUGCUCUUAUGACAAGUGUGAGUUUCUAACGGAGCAGCCAACCAGCUAAUGGUUGUGGGGGGCGGCUAUUUAUAGCUCGGGAGCUUCCCGACAUGAUUUGACACUAAUGCCCUUAAAUAAUAUGACCGUUGGUGUGGAUAAGACCAAUGAUGUGGUGUGGAUAUCGAAACGGUCGGAACCCUCAAUUGUGAGAGUCCUCAUGUCACUCGUAUUCCUCACUUGAGGCUUUUGGUAGGAUUAGGCAUGGGUUGAGCAUCAUGAGGAAAUUCAUUCCAAAGUGUAACUUCGACCCCCUUUAACAGUAUGGUGUUCCUAUUACUCAAGUGUGAAGAAAACCAAACAGAAAGAGUAAAUCUUCAUGCUUCAAAGUCUUCAAAAUGAUUUUCUUCAGGACACACUGAAUUCCUCAAUUUCAAUAUCUUCAUGAGGAAUAUCAAUUUUAUCGCAAAUUCUUCGCGGUUCAGUUCUUCAGCUUCAUACUAAUUUCUUCAACCGAAGAUAUACAUUUUUAGGGGUUGAUAUUCAUCAAAUAUUUCAAACUCCUCAGUGACUUAUAGAUCCUGUGUACACUCAUGAACACAUUAGAUACUUACCCUAUAAGUCUUCAAACCACCAAAAUCACUAAGGGGCACUAGAUGCACUUACAAUCUCCCCCUUUUUGGUGGUUGAUGACAAUUAGUUUAAGUCUUCAACAGGGAUAAAAAUAUGAAGUGUAAAUACUCGUUUGAGGAAUUUGAAAUCAAGAUUCAGAGAGACUCCCCCUGAAGAUGUGCAUAUCUUGAGGAUUUUGCUUUUUACAGCAAAUGCACAUUGAUGAUUUAUAUCAUGGAGAUCUCCCCCUGAGUCUUGUAAAUCAUGCAUACAUAUGACAUAUAGUAUGAAGAAAUUGAGGAUGCAUGAUGACAAAUGGUAUUUGACGAAUUUCAGCAUGCGUGCAUUAAAAAUUUGAGGAAUAAGCAUGCGAAGAAAAACGUUCAAAAGCAUCAGAGUACCAUCGGGCUUAAGUUAGAACUCAUUACAUAAACACUUCAGUAGAGCCAAGAGUUUCUAACUUAAAUAUAGUUCAUAAGCCCCAAAAUAUCCCGCUUGAAGACUAAAUCUCAAGUUUCUCCCCCUUUGUCAUCUAGUGACAAAAAGGGACAAACUCAGGACUAACGCCCGUGAAGACUUCACUCCUUGGCACUUGAUGAAGACGCGUGAGGAUUCUUGGGAGUAGUCUUCUUCCUCGGACCGAUGGCAGUGUCUUGUUGUUCUUCAUUAGAUUCAGCAGUGCAGAAUGAAGAAAAAGAACUGUCUUCAAGGUCUGGAACUGGAAUGGGCCUGAACUUCUUCUUGGGUGGCCACGACCAAUCAAAGUCUGCUCAAACUCCAAUUCUUCAAGUUCUGCCGGAGUCUUCAGAUGAGCAAGUGUAGCCCAAGUGCGAUCAAAAACCUCAUGAAGAUAGUGAUGGUUAAGCUUCACAGAAUUCUGUGUUUUAGUGAGGGUUUUCACAAUGGCGCCGAACUGGCGUUUGACCCACUUGUGAUUGCGAUCCACCUUCUGGUGAAGACUGAGGAGAAGCUCUCUGGUAUUCAGCACGCGAUGAGCAACACGGCUUGGAGGAUGAGUAUCAGUAUCAGCCCAUGAAGAAUAUGGCUCAGGCUCUCUGAACUGGCCAUCAAGGGGCCUACUGCCUUCAUCAAUAACAGACUUUCCUUUUCCUUCAACAGGCUCGAAGGCCUUCUCGUUGACCCUGAUAGGAGGCAUGUAACCAACAUGGUUGUUGCAAUCAGCGUGAAAGUUGAUGCAUGUCCUUUUCCUGAUGAAUCUCAUGAUCCAUGGAGCAUAGAUCUUGUGGUCAAAAGGACAAAUUGCAUUGUCGGCCAAAGUCCUCAAGAAGAAAUCAUGGAUGUUGAUAGGAAUGACAUGAAUGAUGUUGAAGAGGAUAUUCUUCAUGAGGCCUACAACAUCUUCUUCUUCAUCAUGUCCCUUGAUUGGCGCAAGGACGCUGCAGAGGAUUCUGUAAACAGACCUUGGUUCAUAUUUGAGCUCAUGGACGAGGAAGGUUUUUCUCGGUGGUUGCCCCUUAGCCAAAGGCUUCAUGAGGACUUCCAUCAUCCCGUUGGGCAGCUCACGUUCAUCAUAAAGCUUCACGGCUUGUUCUGAAGGAAUUGAUACUCGCAGUUCACGCAGAAGCUCAAUGGCAGGAGCCUUGUGGUGUGUUGUUUGCGCCAUCCAGUCAAACACCCAAGUGUUGAUAUCUGUUGGAUCCCCAGAUAUGUGAAGAGUGGCAUAAAUUGAAGAAUAAGCUCACUGUUCCAGUUACAGAUAUCAGAGCACAUAGGGAGAAGUCCAGCUUCAUGAAGGACGUUGAGGACUGGAGCUAGGCAAGGUAUUGCUUCAAGUUCAACAUGAGGAAUAUGCCUGUGCUGGAAAAUCUUGUUUCUUCCACACAGCACAGAGGCAUAGUAAUUGAGUGGUCUCCUCGUCCAAAACUUCAGAUGGCUAAUUUGAGGUUGGUCAUAGGGAUUUUCUCCAAUGAAGUACAUGCGUUUUUCAAAGAAAUUCUCCUUUUGAAACUUUGGCCGCUUGGAGAACGGCUGACGCUGCAUUGGCUGAAGAUUUUGCUGUUGGACUUGAGGGGAUACAACAAUUGCAGACUCUGGGUUGAGCACAACAAAAACAUUGUCUUGAUCAGGUGCAUUUUCCUCAGCAUGGUCCUCAGGGUGAGGAACUUCUUCAGCGUGAGCUUCAGGCUGAGGAGCAUGCUCUUGUUGUGCAUCAGGCUGAGGAAUGUGAUCUGGCUGAGCCUCAGGCUGAGGAAUGUCGUCAACUGGAGCAUCUUGUUGAGGGUUUUGCUCCGGAGUAGGAAUGGGUUCACCCUGAGCCUCAGUUUGAUGAUCUUGCUCAGGAGGAGUUGGGUCAGCCUGAUCCUCAGGUCGAGGAUUUUGCUCGGGGCUCUGAAUUUCAUCAUCUUGAGGAUUUUUGCUUUGUUCUUCCUCAGCUUGCUUGGUGACAGAGCCAGAAUCAUCAGGUGGUGCAGCUGAUCCUUGUACAGUUUCUACCUGAGGAAUGGAGGGCUGAGGAUUGUCGUCAAUGCGAAUUUCUUCGUUAGUAUGUUCCUCAGAUGCAGCAUCCUUCAUUUCCUCAUCUGGCCCUUUCUCCUGGUCUUCAAAGGUGACCAUUUCAUAAGAGGGAGCGAUGUUAAGAGGCACAGGGUCCAGUGGAGCAUUUUCUUCAAGUGCCUUGAGGCGCUUGGCCUCAGUGUGUUCUUCUGCUGAAGAAGCCUUUCUCUUCUUGGCUUCCUUUUCAGCAGCCCUUGUCUUCUUCACGUCUGAUGCAGAUAGAGUCAUCUUCCUCACCUUUGAAGCUUUUGGUGAGGGUGUUUUCUCAGCAGAUUCAUCAGCUGGCCUUGAGGAAUCAGCUGGAGCAGAGUCAUCAGCUGGCUUUGAGGCAGUAGCUGGAACAGAUUCAUCAGCUGGCUUUGAAGCAGCAGCUGGAGCAGGGUUAGUCUCACCAGCUAUAGCAGAUUCAUCAGCUGGAUUUUCCGUGGUGAUUUCCUCAAUUGCCAGUUCAUCCACACAGCUUUCUUGAGCGGUUUCCUCAGCUUGAGGAGUUUCAUCAGCUGGUUCUUCAAUCAGAGACUUAGGAGUUGGUACUGGAGGGGCAGCUUUCUUGUUGUUGUUAUUAACAGCUUCAGUAGCAAGUUUGAUGAAAUUGCUUUUGAGACUUUGACGGUCAGAAAGCUUGGAGUACUUAUCUGUCAAAGUCUUCAACUCUGCCUGUGUUGAUACAAGAUCAUCAGGCGUCAGAUUGAGGAGAUUCUCCUUGAGGAAUUUCUCCUUCUUGAGCUUAGCCACCUUGGCCUGUUUAGCUUGGUGCUCCUUCCACUUGGCCUCGUUGAUGAAUGUGGCCACCAUGUGGCUGAUGACAGGGGGAAGUUUCAAAUCAUCAAGCGGAGUGUUGGGGUCCUCAUACCAGAUAUUUAUGUAGUCUAGGAGGACUUUUGGGUCCAUGGCCAGAGGAAUGGAGCUGUCAGAAGCUUGAGCUACCCUCUCCUGCUUGUUUCUGAUCAUAGCUUGCAAAGUUUCAUCAUCAUAUUCAUCACUACUCUCUGAUGCAGAAGGGACCUUGAUGAUUUUGCUUGGGCUAGGUCUUGUUCCUCUCCCGGCAGACACCUUAGUCUUCAGAGGAGUUGGUGAACACUUUGUCUCCAAGCUGGUUGCAGCUGGGAGUGAGGAGCUGGAGGUAGCUGGAAGUGGCUUCAUUAUCGUCUUCUGUUCAGGUUUUGAAGCAUGUGGUGGUGCUGAGGAUUUUGGAGCUGAGGGUUUUGGCGUUGAAGGUUUUGGAGCUGAAGUUGGAGCUGGUUUUUCUUGAGGCUUUGAAGCCUUUGCUUUUGAUGGCACAGACUUUUGUUGAGGAAUUGUCAAGCCAGAAGUCUCAGCAACAGAGGAAGUGGCGGCAGUUGAAGCAGCAGCAGAUGAUUCGUUGAAUUUCCUCACAACAGCCUCUGCCUGCUUCUUGAGCUUUGCCAAGUGUUUUUCCUUUUCAUCAGGAUAAUCAUCAAGCGUCUUGAGGCUUGAGGGAUGUGCUUCUUGAUAAUCCUCAAGUGGAGCCCGUUUGCCAGGAGGCUUCAGAGCGAAUUUCUUCGCAUAUUUGGGAGUGACGAAUCCGUACUCCUUCCACUCCUUAGCCCAUCGGCGUUCUAUCUUCUGAAGCCGAAUUUUUCUUUUGGCCAUAGUUUCAUGUUCAUCAGGGGUGCAGUAAUCCAGGUAUAUAUCCUUAGGGAUGUCUAAGGCUGUAUUCUUCUCAAGUUUCUUGCCUCCCUUUUGCUUCAUGUCAUCCUCCAUUUUCUUCAGAUGAGGAUUUUGCUGAUGAGAUUGAACUCUUGAGGACUCUGAUGAGACUUGAAGAUUUUCUUCAAGAAAUGCUGCAAAUGAGUUAAUUUGAUGAGAACCAAGAGAUUCAUCAGCUGACAUGUGUGUACCUGUGAACAAAGUAUAGUUGCGACGAAUUUGGAGAGGUCAUAUGCGUUCUCAAAUUUGAAGAAAAUGAAAAAAUUUGACAGUUGAAGAAUUUGAACAUUGGUUGAGGAAUUUUCCUAAGCAUACUGUUCUUGGGUUCCAGAGUUGUACAGAUCCGAAAAUUCGCACAAUUGAGGAAUCUCGUGAAAAUCUUAGAUGCUUAGUGAAGUUCAUCAAUAGUGUGCUGAUAGGCAGUGUUUGAGGAAUCAGAUGCAUAUGGAUUCUUGAGGAAAAACAGAUUUCACAUCUCAGAGGUAAAAUAGUAGAUCAAACUUGCUGUAAAAAUAGGGUUUUUAUUUACCCUAGAUGGCGCGCACGAAGAACAGAGAAGAGUUGCAGGGAGAAGCUCUUUCGGUGCGUGCCAAUGCACCCUAACCCGGCAGCAGAUGACGUCUACGACGGCGGUGGACGAGGAUGGUCCGACUCCGGCGUGGUUUCGGCGACGAAAAAGUCGACACAGUGAAGCUCUUCUUCGCCGGCGAAGAGACUUCCAGCGCUGGCUCUAGGGUUCGGUGCUUUUGCUGUAGCAGGAGUGCGAUGGAGCGAAGAAGUGUUUUACCGAGGGGGAUGGCGACAUAUUUAUAGCCAGGCAGUUACUGUUGGCGCGAAGAAAUCGGACCAAAUAGCCCCUACCUCUACGUCUCCGUAGGACACGUGUAGCUUGCAGGCAAAGCGGUGGAGAUCGUGGAGAUCGUGGUUAUCCGAACGAGGAAAGUGGGGUUCAAUUACUGUUCAUUAAAAAAAAUAUUUUUGAAGAUUUGAGGGUUUUUUACAAAAUAAUCAGCUCAGAAGGACGCAGUGAGGAUUUCAAACAAGGUUUCAAGUAGAACGCAUAUGAAGAAUUGAAUAGACUGGAUGAGAAUAGCAUAGAGGGAAAGUAGGGUCCGAUCACAUUCACUUAGAUGAAAUAUCAACUUGAAGAAAUAGCUAUAAGUGAAUGUUGUUGAGGACUUGAAACCAUAGUCUAUCUAGGUAAACGAAAGUCAUCAAGUGUUUUUGAAGAUUUGACUAACUUGAGGAUUUUAUGAUAAAUCGUCACAAUGAAGAACAACUGUUUUGAAGAAAAUAAAAUUUUGAGGAAAUGGAACUUUGAAGAAAAUCAACUUGAGGAAUUUCAUGUUGGGCGGUGCCAUGACCCACCAUAUAAGAAUGUUGAUUACAGACGCCGCGUACAAUUGUCGUACGGCCCUGAGAAUCAAUUUCUUCGUUGAUUUCUUCACAUUCAGAGUGAUAUUCUUCAUCAGUUGAAGAAAAUCGAUUCAUCAUGUGUUGCACAUCUAAGUCAUCAAUUUUGCAUAAGUGUUAGGAUGUGUGCAUGUUUUUACAAAACAUUUGAAGAUUUUAAGAUAUUUAGCUCACACCGCAACUUGCAAAACCUUUUUUCAUCCAAGGGCUUACUGAAGAUAUCUGCCAGUUGAUCAUCAGUCUUCACAUGGUCGAUGAGGAUAUUGCCCUUGAGGAUAUGGUCCCGAAGAAAAUGAUGACAAAUCUGGAUGUGCUUGGUCUUCGAGUGCUGUACCCGGUUGUAUGCAAUCUUGAUUGCACUCUCAUUGUCGCAGUAGAGAGGCACAUUCUUCAUGUUGAUGCCGUAGUCCUUGAGGGUUUGCUUCAUCCACAGCAAUUGAGCACAGCAUGAACCCGCAGCAAUGUACUCAGCUUCGGCAGUGGAGAGUGAUACACAGUUCUGUUUCUUUGAGGACCAGCAAACUAGUGAUAUUCCGAGGAAAUGGCAUGUGCGAGAUGUUGACUUGCGAUCCACACGGUCACCAGCAUAGUCAGAAUCAGAAUAUCCUACCAGAUGAAGAUUUGAGCCCUUGGGAUACCAUAAUCCUAGUGUUGGUGUGUGAGCUUAGUAUCGAAGAAUAUGCUUCACAGCCUUAUGGUGUGAUUCCUUCGGUUUUGCUUGAAAACAUGCACACAUGCAAACAGUAAGCAUUAUAUCUGGCCUAGAUGCACAUAGAUACAAUAAAGAACCAAUCAUAGAGCGAUAUACCUGUUGAUCUAAUUCUUUACCAUUUUCAUCAGUGUCGAGGUGGCCAUUAGUAGGCAUUGGAGUCUUGGCACCUUUGCAUUCAUGCAUGUUGAAUUUCCUCAAAACAUCCUUGAGGUAUUUCUCCUGUGAUAUGAAGAUUCCAUUGCGUUGUUGACGAAUUUGAAGACCUAAGAAGAAUUUCAGCUCCCCCAUCAUAGACAUCUGAUAUUCUUCACUCAUCAUGUAAGAAAAUUCAUCACUGUAUCGUUUGUCAGUACAGCCAAAUAUAAUAUCAUCGACAUAUAUCUGGCACACAAAUAGCUCAUUAUCAUAGGAUUUAGUGAAAAUAGUUGGAUCGAGUGAAACAGGUUUGAAGCCUUUCUUCAUGAGGAAUUCCUUCAAUGUAUCAUACCAUGCCCAAGGGGCUUGCUUGAUACCAUGGAGCGCCUUUUUGAGUGUGAAGACUUUGUCUGGAUUCUUUGGAUCCUCAAAACCUGGGGGCUGAGCAACAUAUACUUCUUCCUCAAAGUUACCAUUGAGGAAUGCACUUUUCACAUCCAAUUGAUAUAAGAUGAUGUUAUGAUGAUUAGCAUAAGCAAGUAGUAUUCGAAUAGCUUCAAGUCUAGCAAGAGGUGCAAAAGUUUCAUUGAAAUCUAUUCCUUCAACCUGAGUGUAGCCUUGGGCUACAAGUCGUGCCUUAUUCCUCACCACUUGACCAUCCUCAUCUUGCUUGUUUCUGAAAAUCCACCUGGUUCCGAUGAUAUUGUGCUUGCGAGGAUCUGGUCGUUUGAUGAGCUCCCAUACGUCAUUAAGCUUGAAUUGAAGAAAUUCGUCUUGCAUAGCUUGGAUCCACUCUGGUUCCAGGAAAGCCUCGACAACUUUUGAGGGUUCUGUGAUAGAUAUAAAGGAGAAAUGCCCACAAAAUUUAACUAAGUGUGAAGCUUUUGAGCGAGUGAGAGGACCUGGUGCGUUGAUGUCAUUGAGGAUUUUGUCAAGUUCUACUUCAUUUGCAAUCCUCGGAUGAGCUGGUUGAGGAUUUCGGCUGGGCUGAGGAAGUGGUUCUUGAGCAAUUUCCUCAGGAGCACCUUCUUGAUUUUCAUCAGUGAUGGGGAUGGUUUCUUCAUCAAUUUCUUAUGUGGGAACAAUGUCUUCAGUAGGUUUGAGCUUUAUUGCUUCCUCAGGAGACAACUUAUCUGGAUCAGAAGGCAAUUUCUCUCUUUGCAAGCCAUUAGUUUCAUCGAACCGCACAUCUACAGUCUCAACAACUUUGUUAUGAUAGUUGUUGAAGACUCUGUAGGUGUGCGAGUCCUUUCCAUAACCGAGCAUAAAACCCUCAUGUGCCUUAGUUGCAAAUUUUGAGCUAUGGUGAGGAUCUCUAAUCCAACAUUUUGCACCGAAGACUUUGAAAUAACUUACAUUGGGUUUCUUAUCAGUGAGGAGUUCAUAUGAGGUUUUCUUGAGGAAUUUGUGAAGAUAUACCAUGUUUAUGAUAUGGCAUGCAGUGUUGAUUGCUUCAGGCCAAAAGCGACGAGCGGUGUGAUAUUCUUCAAGCAUGGUUCUUGCCAUCUCAACCAGAGUCAAGUUCUUCCUUUCGAUGACACCGUUCUGUUGAGGAGUAUAAGGAGCAGAUAAUUCGUGAGUAAUACCAAGUUCAUCAAGAUAAUCAUCAAGACUAGUGUUUUUGAACUUUGUUCCAUUAUCAGUCCUGAUAUGUUUGAUCUUGAUGCCGAAGUUCAUCAAGGCCCUUGAAGAAAAUCGUUUGAAGAUUUCCCGCACUUCAGUUUUAUAUAAGAUGAUAUGCACCCAUGUAUAUUUGGAAUAAUCAUCAACUAUGACAAAGCCAUAUAAAGAUGCUGCAUUUGUUAGUGUGGCAUAGUGAGUAGGUCCAAAUAGAUCCAUGUGAAGCAAUUCGAAGGGACGAGUAGUGCUCAUGAAAGUCUUCGAGGGAUGCUUGGAUCUGGUCAUUUUCCCAGAUUCACAUGCACCGCAGAGAUGAUCCUUGAGGAAUUUGACUGAUUCGAUGCCAAUGACAUGCUUCUUCUUCGCUAGCGUGUGCAAAUUCCUCAUGCCUGCAUGACCUAGUCUUCGGUGCCACAGCCAUCCUUCUGAGGUUUUUGCUAGUAAGCAAGUGGCUGGUUGAGGACCUGUAGAGAAAUCAACAAUGUACAAAUCCCCUCUUCUUACACCUUCAAAGACUUUGGAUUUGUCAGAUUCCAUGAUCACAACACAUCUAUAUCUACCAAAGAUAACAAUCAUAUCAAGAUCACAAAGCAUCGAGACUGACAUGAGGUUAAAUCCAAGGGAUUCAACAAGCAUCACUUUGUCCAUAUGCCUAUCCUUGGAAAUAGCCACUUUGCCAAGUCCCAAUACCUUGAUUUUACCUUUGUCAGCAUAUGUGAUUUGCUUCAGAGGUGAUGGAGUUAGUGGCAUAUUCAUGAGCAAGCUUUUAUCACCAGUCAUGUGAUGUGUGCAGCCACUAUCAAGAACCGACUCAGUACUCUUGGGUUUGUCAUCCUGAAGAUGAAUUAGUACAGCUUACCAUCUCAUAUGCUUCAGACUUGAAGAAUAUGAUAUCAAUUUCAUCAGAUAAGAAUUUCAUCACAACAGAAUUAUAAGGACGUGUGAAAUAUUUCUAUUUCAUCAAAUUUAGCUUGCGUCCUAUCAAGCAUUUCGUCAGGUCUCCAGCAAAUUCUUUAGAUGAUGAUUUUCAUCUGGAGACCUGACUUGCAGAAGUGAUUAGUUCGAUUUCUUCACCACCCACAUCUGAAGGGGUGGUAAAGCAUUCAUCAUCCUGCGAGCACCAUAUGAGAAAGCUGGCAUUGAAGCUAAUGCACUUCUCUUAACAGUAGGGGGGUUAAAGUACUCAUAUGAAUAUGCACAGAACUGGUUUGUGGAUUUAUGAACAUAAUGAUUUGAAGAGUAACGCUCAUAUUCAUAUUCCUUGUAGUUUCCCUGCAUGUUAGAAGCAUUAGCACGGGUAUGAGCAUAAUUUUGACUAGUUGAGGAUUUUGAUCCUCUUGAAGACUUUGGUCCUCCUGAGGAAUUUGAUCUGGGGUUCAGAUUCUUCAUUGGUGGUGUCAUGAGGACAUUCACCAGAAGAUUUUCAAGACAACUUUUGGGAACCCAGAUUUUCCUCAAGGGAGGGCCAUUCCUGCAGUUAGUUCCAACAUAUCGAGCAAAUACUUCACCAGAUUGAUUUUUGAACAGUUUAUAGUUGGAGUCAAAUGACUCAGCAGAGGAAUAGGAUAAUUCACAUGAAAAGCCAGUUAGAUUCGAUGGACCAAAAGGAGGCCCAGUAGCAGCAACCCAUGAGGUUUUGGGAUAUUGCUCAGGUUUCCAAUAAGAUCCAUCAGCAUUCAAUUUCCUCUCAAAGGCAAUUCCUUCUUUCCUUGGGUUCCUGUUCAAGAUCUGCUUUUUGAGCACAUCACAAAGGGUUUGAUGUCCUUUGAGGCUUUUGUAUAUGCCUGUCACAUACAAUUCCUUCAGCCCUGCAUUUUCAUCAGUGACAUUUAUGUUUUCCUCAAGUGAGGAAUUUGACACUACAGGAGCAGUUGAAGAAUUUGUAGCAAUUGAAGCAUUUUAUGAUUCUGGUGAAGAAUUAGCAGUUUCGCGUUCAAUGCAUUUAAGAUAUGGAGGAAUGAAUUCAGCUUGAGCAGCGCUGAUCUGUUGAGCUAGUAAUGAAUCACUUUCCAUACGAAGAUCAUCAUGAGAAAUCCUCAGCUUCUCUAGAUCAAGCUUCCUUUGAUGAAAUUCAUAGGAAAGUUGCUCAUGAUCAGCGAGGAGUGUAUCAUAACAAUAUUGAAGAUUAUCAAAUCUAGACUGAAGACUUUUCACAUCUUCAGUGAGGAUUUGGGUAAGAUUCAUUUCAUCAUUCAACAGAUCAUCACUUCUAUCUAGCAGUUUCUGAAGCUUUUCCAGGGCAGUUUGUUGUUUAGUGGCAAAGAUAGCAAGUUUACUGUAACUGGGUUUUCUAUAAUCAUCAGGUUCACAGUCACUUGAAUCAGAGGAGGAAGCAUAAUUCGGUACCUUUGAACCUUUUGCCAUGAAGCAAUAGGUUGGAGCGAAAUCAUCAGCAUAGUCAUCAGUGUGGAUGGUGUUAUCAUCUUCCUCAAGGUUGAAGAUUGACUUGCUCACGAAAGUGGUUGCUAGUGCAAGACUGGCCUGUCCGGAUUCUGAGUCUUCAUCGGAACCCUCCUCUUCAUCACAUUCCUCUGAUUCUGCCUCGGAAUCCAUUUCCUUGCCAAUAAGUGCCCUAGCCUUUCUGAAACUAGUCUUCUUGUGCGAUGAGGGCUUUGAAGAUGAGGAUUUUGAAGAUUUCUUCUUCUUCUUCGAGUCAUCAGAACUGUCAUCCUUGUAUUUCUUCUUCUUUGAUUCCUUUCCCUAACGGGGACAAUCAGCAAUGUAGUGACCUGAUUUCUUGCAUUUGUGGCAGGUUCUUUUCUUGUAGUCCUCAGAUGAAGAUUCUGAUUUCCUCAUAUCUCUUCUUGAAGAUUUACCGAACUGGCCACGUCGUGCAAACCUCUGGAAUUUCCUCACGAGCAUUGCAAGCUCCUGUCCAAAUUCUUCAGGAUCACCAAUGCUAUCAUCCGAGUCUUCUUCUUCAGAUGAGGAAAUUGCUCUAGCCUUCAGUGCACGUGCUCUAGAAUAGCUUGGUCCAUAUAGAUCUUUCUUUUCUUCUUGCUGGAAUUCAUGAGUAUUGAGUCUUUCGAGUAUAUCAGCUGGAUCAAGCAUCUUGUAGUCUGGUCUUUCUUGAAUCAUCAGGACUAAAGUAUAAAAUGAAGAAUCCAAAGAUCUUAGCAGUUUCUUCACAACUUCGUGAUCAGUAAUGUCUCGAGCUCCCAGUAAUUGCAGUUCAUUUGAUAUGUUAGUGAGGCGAUCAAAGGUAUCUUGGCAGCUUUAAUUGUCAAGCCUCUUGAAGCGAUUGAAGAGAUUGCGAAGAACAUCAACACGAGAAUCACGCUGGGUUGAUACUCCUUCAUUUACUUUGCACAGUCUCUCCUAGAUAAGUGUUGCUGAGCCCAAAGCACUCACUCUUCCAAACUGGCAUGGGCUCAGAUGGCCACAGAUGAUAUUCUUUGCUUGAGAAUCAAGUUGCUUGAAUUUCUUCACAUCAGCAGCAGAGACACUAGCAGAGAUAAUGGGGACGCCAUGUUCCACAAUAUACCAGAGAUCAUUGUCAAUAGCUUGUAGAUGCAUCUGCAUCUUGGUCUUCCAGAAGGGAAAGUUCUUUCCUUAGAAAGUAGGACAUGCUGCAGUAACCUUAAUCAUGCCUGCAGUCGACAUAACUAAAACUCCAGGUCGUUAAACCAAAAGCACACAGAACAAGGGAGUACCUUGCUCUGAUACCAAUUGAAAGUCUGUUAUAUUGACUAGAGGGGGGUGAAUAGGAGAUUUUUAGAAUUUCAUCACUGAGGAAAUUCAUUUUGAGGAAAUUCCUCACUGAUGACUAACUUAGAGCGGAAACAGUAAAGGAUCAGGAGUGCAAAGUUUCACUAUAGCAGUUUUUCAGUUGGAGGAAUGUGAAAACAGAUUGCACAGUAAGCAGGCACGCAGAAAACAGAUGAGGAUUAACUUGCGUGAAGAAUUUGGAGUUGAGGAAUUUCAGAGAAAGUCUUCAGCAAAUUCUUCAAACAGUGACAGUGAAAAUCAUCAACACAUAAUCUGAGGAAUAUAAGGAGUUGAGGAAUUAGAACCAGUUUCACAGCGAAGCCAGUAGUUGAUGACCCAGUUCCAACUGUUGUGACAGUUGUACAUCUGGUUUGGAGCGGCUUGGUAUUGAAACCAAAAUACACACAGUCCCUACCGUAUUCUCAUUGGGCUAAGAACACACAGUCCUCGCCCAACACUCGUGGUAAGUCUUCAGGGCAGACUUCCAAACCCUCACAAACUUGGUCACCCGACGAUCCACAAUUGACUGCUGGAUUGCUCUAGACCAUGACGCCUAACCGUCUCGAGGAUGCAGUCCACAAAGGUAAAAGGCUUCAGUCCACACAGGAACAACUUCUUCAGUGAUGCUCAAUCACUUGGAUCUCGGUUUGUGGUUUGGUGUUUGGGGUAUUUCCUCACUGAUGAAUUACUCUCGAAGACUCUGGGGAAUUGGGUUGCUCUUAUGACAAGUGUCAGUUUCUAACGGAGCAGCCAACCAGCUAAUGGUUGUGGGGGCGGCUAUUUAUAGCAUGGGAGCUUCCCGACAUGAUUUGACACUAAUGCCCUUAAAUAAUAUGACCGUUGGUGUGGAUAAGACCAAUGAUGUGGCGUGGCUAUCAAAAUGGUCGGAACCCUCAACUGUGAGAGUCCUCAUGUCACUCGUAUUCCUCACUUGAGGCUUGUGGUAGGAUUAGGCUUGGGUUGAGCAUCAUGAGGAAAUUCAUUCCAAAGUGUAACUUCGACCCCCCCCCCCCUAAACAGUACGGUGUUCCUAUUACUCAAGUGUGAAGAAAACAAAACGGAAAGAGUAAAUCUUCAUGCUUCAAAGUCUUCAAAAUGAUUUUCUUCAGGACACACCGAAUUCCUCAAUUUCAAUAUCUUCAUGAGGAAUAUCAAUUUCAUCGCAGAUUCUUCGCGAUUCAAUUCUUCAGCUUCAGACCAAUUUCUUCAACCGAAGAUAUAAAUUUUUAGGGGUCGAUACUCAUCAAAUAUUUCAAACUCCUCAGUGACUUAUAGAUCCUGUGUACACUCAUGAACACAUUAGACACUUAACCUAUAAGUCUUCAAACCACCAAAAUCACUAAGGGGCACUAGAUGCACUUACACAUAUCAGUUAGAAUUACCAUCAGAGUUAUCAGAUGUGCACGAUGUCUUCCACAUCUCACAGUUAAGGAAGUGCAUUGCACCACCGAUUAAACAGGCAAAUAUGAGUGAGCUAGAACUAGCUAAGGAUCUGGCCUAUGAAGAGAAACCUGUCAGAAUCUUGGAUGAGAUAGAGAGGGCUACUAGGACUAAGGUACUCAAGUUUUAUAAGGUACUAUGCGAGCACCAUACUGAGGAAGAGGCUACCUGGGAAACAGAAGAUUUCUUGAGAUCUGCAUAUCCAUACUCGUUCCCUGAGCAACCAAAUCUCGAGGACGAGAUUCAUCCUAAGGGGGUAGGUUUGUGACACCCUGAUUUUUCGCAACUUUUUCUUUCCAAAUCAUUUUGGGUUUUACCCGCAAACUUGGUUGAUUUUCAAAUCUUUUCAACUGAUUUGGAUCUGUGAAUCUUUGAAUCUUUUUCCAAGUAACCCAAAACCCUCAUCAUCUUUCCAAAACCUUUCUACAUCUCUUCUGAAUCAAUUUUCAAUAUUUAGCCUUUUUCCAAUAAGCUCUUUUCUUUAGUUGGGGAAUUAUGGCAUCACUAUGGGUUGUGAAGCAACCUAUUGUUUGGAUGAUCAAUAAAUUCCCAAACUUUUUCCGCGUCUUCUUAUCAUCAUAUGAUUUCAUGAUCUCCAAAUAUAUUGCAUUGUCCAAUCAAAAUUUUGGCCAAAAUAAUUAUUUCUUCUCUGGCCACAAUUGCCCCAUUGUGAAGCAACCCCAUUUUUCGUAUCUCGUAAAAUUCCCAAUAAAUUCCCCAAGCUCCUAGGGAUCCUAUCUAGCCUUAAUAUUUAUCUGGUCCAGUACAAAUUUUAGGCAGUAGGACCCUGUCAAGUUUCUGCUGAUUUUGAACCCUUGUGAAGGAAGUACCAGCUAGGGGUGCACAAUUGAUCUAAAAAAAUUAUGGCAUGUGUGCACUACCAAAUAACUUCCAUCCACAAAUUUCAUCCUUAUCAGAGCAUUCAUGAGAGUGCCUCAAGCUCAUUUAGAUUUUGGACCAGAAUGGUGGUUUCCAAAGGAACCGUGUUCAUUUCUCCUUCAAACCUUCUCAAACUUUGUGAGUUUGUAAUCCUUCCAAGGUAGAUAACCCUAGACAUAUCCACCAGCUCCAUCUCUAUCUCAGCUCUCCUCCAGAACCUCCUCAAGGUGGCUGGCAGAAACUGUUGCUGAAGAUACCCAUCAAGCCAGAGUGUAUCUGGUCGAGCCAGUGGUAUAGUGAGACUAGAUGGUCGAGGGACUACACUAUGGACAGGGUGCGCCAGCCUUGUGUGGCCUCGUGGUGGCCGCACCCGUGGUGAGCAUGGUGCUGGCAUGCCACAGCAUGCGCUCUGCACAGCGCCAACAUCGGAUGCGCUCGCCCAAGACAUCCCUCACUGUCCUCCCUUGUCCUUGGUGCCGAUAUCCUCCUUGGCGAACGCGUGGCAUCUCCCGAACCCUCCGGGUCGCCGGAGAAGUCCUCCUUCACUUCCGGCCAAGCUUUGCCACGGGAAGAACACUGGGCUUUGGCCACUGUGGUCGUUCGUGAGCCAUUGAUGGCGCCGGACCCAUCCCAUCACUCCCCUGCCCUCCUCCAUCAACUCACCCCCACAUCGUGACGGCCAGCUCGCCGUCCUUGCUCUAGUAGCAGGCCCGAGCCUCGCCGCUUCGGAGAGCUCGACAAUGCUCAUCGCUGGCCUAUAAAAGGCCCCACUCAGCCCCUCCGAGCUCCUCACCCCUCUUGGCCAUCCUCCAAUCGCCUCCCAAGUACCCCAGCAAGAGUCGGGAGCUCAUCUCCCUCAGCUCUGGCGAAAGCUCUGAUUUCAUGACAACAGACCUUCCCCUACAAUGGCACUAGAAGAAUGCUGCUAGCACUCCCCGGCAACGAAACUAGAAGAAUCUUGUUGAUGGCCCACCAGCGCGUGGGUUCGCAGCAGUUUUCGAGGGUAGAGUAUUCGACCCAAAUUUGUUGAUACGCCAGACAGGAGGUGAGAGGAUACUCUCGAGUAUUAGUAGCUGAAUUUAUCAGAUUCAACCACACCUGAAAGAUUAGUAUCUGCAAGCAAAGAGUCAGCAGCAAAGUAGUAUGAUAACAACAGUGUCAGAAACGAUCUAUUGACGGCAGACUAAUCCUAACAUCAAUGGCGCCAGAAGUUGCCCGUUGACGGAAAUUGUCUAUUCCCGUCAACGACCAGCGUACCAAAAUUGUAGCAGGUAGCAGCAGUGUAACGAGUAACAGCAGUGGCAAGGAACAGCAAUAGUGACACCAGUAGCAAGUAGCAACAGUAGUAACAGGAGUAGAGCAAGCGAUAGUAGUAACAGCAACAGAGCAAAACAAGUAACAGCUGAAGUGGGACAAACUUGUAGGCAAUGGGUUGGUGAUUUGUUUGGAUGAUAUUCAUCAUGCAACAGUUAUAACACGGAGAGAUAUGUGGCUAGCUCCCGUUCGUCAAUGUGAUGUAGGCAUGCAUUCCGUGUGUCAUCAUACGUGCCUAGGGAAAAUAACUCGCAUGACAUCUAUUGUCCAUCCCUCUCGUGGCAGCGGGGUCCAAAAGGAAACUACGGGAUAUUAAGGUUCUCCUUUUAAUAAAGAACCAAACCAACGCAUUAGCACUUGGUGAACACAUGAACUCCUCAAACUAUGGUCAUCACCGGGAGUGGUUCCGGUUAUUGUCACUUCGGGGUUGAGCACAUAGUAGGUAACUACAACUUGCAAGAUCGGGUCUAAAACACACAUAUAUUGGGGACAACAUAAUAAUUUCAGAUUUGAAAUCAUGGCACUCGGGCCCUAGUGACAAGCAUUAAUCAUGGCAAAGUAAUAGCAACAUCAAUCUCAGAACAUAGUGGAUACUAGGGAUCAAUCCCCGUCAAAACUAACUUGAUUACAUGAUAGAUCUCAUCCUACUCAUCCCCGCCCAGCGAGCCUACGAAUAGAUUACUCAUGAACGACGAAGAGCUUCAUGGAAUUGGAGAGGGAAGAAGGUUGAUGAUGACGAUGGCGACGAUUUCCCCUCUCCGGAGCCCAAAACGGACUCUAGAUCUCCCCUCCAGAUGAAGAACGGGAUGUGGCGGCGCCUCCGUAUCGCAAACGCGGCGAAAUCUUCUCUCUUGAUUUUUUCUAGGACAAAAGUGGACUUAUAGAGCUGAGAUUGGGGGCGGCAGAGCCACGUGGGCCCCAUAAGCUUGCUUGCCGCCACCAGGGGUGGCGGCUACACAGCUUGUGGCCCACUGGCCCACCCCCUCAGGUGGAUCUUUGUGUAGUUAUUUUUCAUAUUUUCCAGAAAUAUUCUCCGUAAAUUUUCAGGACGUUCUGAGAACUUCCAUUUCUGCACAAAAACAACACCAAGGCAAUUCUGCUGAAAACAACGUCAGUCCAGGUUAGUUCCAUUCAAAUCAUGCAAAUUAGAGUCCAAAACAAGGGCAAAAGAGUUUGGAAAAGUUGAUACGAUGGAGACGUAUCAACUCCCCCAAGCUUAAAACCUUGCUUGUCCUCAAGCAACUCAGUUGACAAACUGAGAGAGAAAGAAAAACUUUGACAAACUCUGUUUCAUCUUGUUGUUGCAACUAUGUCUAACUCAUAACCAGAAUUUCAGCAAGAUCACAAGUUAACCACAUAAGCAAGUGACACAAAGGUCUCACCGUAAACUAAUAUCAAUGGCAUAAUCAGCUAACGAGCAAAUAAUAAUGAGUUUCAAAUACCAACACUUCAAACAAAACAAGCAUGAAGCAAUAUGAAUAGGUGGUAUCUCACUAGCUCUUUCUCAGACCGCAAAACAUAAAUGCAGAGAUCUUUCAAAGAUCAAGGGCUGACUAAACAUUGUUAUUCAUAGCAACGAAGAUCCAGUCAUAGUCAUACUCAAUAUCAAUCAAAAGCAAAGCAUAAAAAUGACAGAGGUGCUCUCCAAUUGGUGCUUAUAGAAGAAGAGGAUGACUCAACAGGAAAAUAAAUAGACAGGCCCUUCGUAGAGGGAAGCAUUGAUUUGCAGAGGUGCCAGAGCUCAAGCUUUGAAAACAGAGAUAAUAAUUAUGGGUGGAAUGCUUUCAUUGUCAACGCAAUGACCAAGAGUUCUCAAUAUAUUCCAUGCUACUCAUGCUAUAGGCGGUUCCCAAACAGAAAAGUAAAUUUUUAACUCCCCCACCACCAAUCAAUCACACUCCACGGCUAGCCGAAUCCUCGGGUACCGUCCAUACUAACAUCAAUCCGGGGGGAGUCUUGUUUUACAGUUAUGUUUUUGAUUUAAGCGUGGAACUGGGCAUUCCAAUUACCGACCCCUUUCUCAUGAGUGAUAGUGAAUAAACACAUGGCGAGGAUAACACUCCUAGCAUGGAAGAUACCAAUAGCCCCCUGUCACCACAUGAGCGGUUCGGGCAUGCAAAACAGAUUAUUUCUUGAUGAUUUAGAGAGUAGCACAUGCAAAUUUACUUGGAACGGAAGGUAGAUAGCGCAAAUAGGUAGGUAUGUUGGACUCUCAUGGAAAAACUUUUGGGUUUAGGGAAGUGGAUGCACAAGCAGUAUUCCUCUUAGUACAAGUGAAGGCUAGCAAAAAACUGGGUAGCGACCAACUAGAGAGCGAUCAAGAUGCAAUGAGUUUGACUAACAUUGAAUGCAAGCAUGAACAAGAUAUAAAUCACCAUGAAGAAAAACAUCAUAGAGUCUAUGUUGAUUUUGUUUCAACUACAUGCAUGAACAUGCGCCAAGUCAAGCCACUUGAAUCAUUCAAAGGAGAAUACCAUCCUAUCAUAGUCAUCUCAAAAUCUAUGUUGGCAUUCAAGACAAACCAUUAUAAGCUCUCAGCUAGUUAAGCAUGGCAUCAGAAACUAUGAUCUCUAAGUUGUUAUUGCAAACAUGGUUCUCUCACAACAAAGCUGAAUCCGGGAUGACAAGCUAGUCAUAUUUACAAAAACAAAAUAGAUAGAGUUCAUACCAGCUUUUCCAGUCUCAGUCACUUCAUCAUAUAUCAUCAUUAUUGCCUUUCAUUUGCAUGAUCGAACAAUGUGAACAAUAAUAAGAGCGCUCGUGCAUUGGACUAAGCUGAAUCUGCAGGCAAACACAAAGGAGAAGACAAAGUAAUAUGGCUCUUUAAAAGCUAAACAGGUAUGCAAGCAAGAACCACUAAACAUUGUAACCAAUAUCUUCUACCUUGACCCAAAGAAAAAGAAAACUAUUUACACGGGAAAGCUCCCAACAAGCAAAAGAAGAAAGAAAAAUCUUUUUGGGUUUUCUCAAAAGGACACAAAACAAGAAAACAAAAAUAAACUAGCAUGGAUAAUACAGUGGCAAAGUGUAAACACCGGCUAACAAAGUGAAAGCAUAAGCAUGAAUGUAAGUUCAGUGAGAACACGUACUCCCCCAAGCUUAGGCUUUUGGCCUAGCUUGGUGUGCUCCCAUGGAUGGUCCUUGCGAAACCCAAAAUCAUAAUGGGUGUUAUAUGGGAGUGCUGCAGCCACUGCCUGAAUAGCUGCCUCACGUAGUCGAGAAACCGUCGCCUCCCUCUCAUACUCCUCUGCCUCUCCUAUGGUUAUGUAGUAUCUUCAUUUUACCUGAAAGUCAAAGAAAGCAGGAGCAGGAAGGGUAAUAUGGAAAACACACUGUCGGUUAAAUAUCAAGCGGUACAGGAGGGAUCCAUGAUCCCUCUCAAGGAACUGGUAGCGUGUUAGAGCGACACGAUCAAGGUAGGCUGUACAGAGAGGAGGGUCUUCUGGACGGAUGGAUACUCCAAGAAAAUUUGCUAAGUGUGUAGCAUAAAUUCCACCAAAGAAAUCCCCCUCAAUGGCAUUAUUAUUCAGCCUCCUUGCUAUUAUAGCUCCCAUAUUGAAACUCCUGUCAUGUGUUAUUGCGCUCUUAAGGAUACUAAGGUCGGAAGCGCAUAGGUGACAAUGUGCACCCUUGCCGUUAAUGCACCUACCUAUGAAGAGGGCAAAGUAGUGCAAGGCAGGGAAAUGGAUGCUUCCUAUGGUGGCUUGCGUGAUAUCUCUGGUUUCUCCAACAGUUAUACUGGAGACAAAGUCUCUGACUAAAGACUUAGAAGGAUCAUUAAUACUACCCCCAUCAGGUAUCUUGCAAAUCCUAUUGAAAUCCUCCAAAUCCAUGGCGUAGGAUUUAUCGUACAGGUCAAACAGUAUGGAUGAGUCACGGCCAACUGAAAAUUUAAAUCUACGCAUGAAAGAGGCAGUGAGCAUAGCAUACUGUUCACAUUUAUCUAAGAGGAAUUCUUCUAACCCGACAUUGCAAACAAGUGCAUCAAACUCAUCCUUGAAACCUGCUUCGAUCAUGAACUCAUCGGAAGGCCAUUCACAUGGUUGUACCGGUGCGUCCCUUAGUUGAAAAGGUUUGGGCUCCCGAAAAGAAAGACGGGGACCCUUCUUACUUGAGGAACCACUAUGAAACUUCCUCCUGAACGUAAUUUCCUUUUGGUGAAAUUUUUGAAGCUCAAGAGAAAAGUGAAUGAAGACCAACCACACCUUGUAGCAACUACUCCUACUAGUGCCUAGAGACCGUAUCACGCGCUCAAACUACUUGGGACCAGCUAAAAUCAACAUUUCUAGCUCAAGAACAGGGUCACAAAGCUAGCAAGAAUACGCGAAAGAUAAACCACUAGAGCAAGAACUAAUUGGACCAAUGGAGGAGUCACUUACCAAGGAGUAAUUUCCCCAAAACGGUUCGGAGAAUGGUGCUUUGAGCAAGGAGAUCAAAAAUCACAGCCAAAUGAGCAAGAACAUGGGUUUGAGCUGCGAAACAAUUUUUUCUGGAGGUGGAAGAAGAGGAUGGGAGUUGGAAUGAGUGGAGGGGGUCCCUGUGGGCCCCACAAGAUUGCUAGCUGCCACCAAGGGGGGGGCGGCUGCAGGGCUUGUGGCCCAUUGGUCAGGCCCCCAGGACAGCUCUUAGGCCCAGUAUUUUUCAAAUAUUCUAGAAAAAAUCAUACUAAAUUUUCAGGACCAUCGGAGAACUUUUAUUUUCGGGGUAUUUUUCUCCGGGACGCUAAAACAGAAAAUAGGAAAAACUAAACUAAUUCUAUCAUUUUUCUUCUAAGCAACAGAAAAUGAAAGCCUAAAACAGAGGUAUGUGACUCUUUGAUUCAUCCAUUUCAUGGUCAUCGAAAGAAAUCCGUCAAUGGGGUUGAUCAAGUCCUCAUGACAAAACCUUCUCGAAUCGCAAGAGAGAACGGAGAAUUUUCGAAUAGCCACUAAGUCACCUCAAUGGGGAUAUGUAUCUCCCCAACAAGCAAAUCAUACUUCAUCUUGACACGAGGAAUAGGGCAUUCAAAGCUCCCAAUAAGAAUCGACGAAAUCUUUUCGAUAGCAUUGAUGCAAUGUACUUGAUAUCGUUUCUUCGAAAAGUGCAUUGUGUGCUCAUUACCAUUGACAUGGAAAGUGACAUUGCCUUUGCUUGCAAUCUAUAACAGCCCCUGCAGUGUUUAAAAAGGGUCUUCCGAGGAUGACAGCCAUGGCAUCGUCCUCGGGAAUAUCCAAGAUAACAAAGUCUGUUAAGAUAGUGGUGUUAGAAACCACAACACGCACAUCCUCGCAAAUGCCGAUAGGGAAAGCAGUUGAUUUGUCGGCCAUUUGCAGAGAAAUUUCAGUGGGUGUCAACUUAUCCAAUUCAAGUCCACGAUAAAGAGAGAGCGGGAUAACACUAACACCGGCUCCAAGAUCACAUAAGGCGGUUCUUACGUAGUUUCCUUUAAUGGAACAAGGUAUAGUGGGCACUCCGGGAUCACCAAGUUUCUUAGGAGUUCCACCUUUGAAAGUGUAAUUGGCAAGCAUGGUGGAGAUCUCAAGAUCUGGUAUCUUCCGUUUAUUGGUCACCAUAUCUUUCAGGUACUUGGCAUAUGGAGACAUUUUGAGCAUAUCAGUUAACCGCAUGUGCAGAAAGAUGGGUCUUAUCAUCUCAACGAAGCGCUCAAAAUCCUCAUCAUCCUUUUUCUUGGAUGGCUUAGGAGGAAAGGGCAUAGAUUUCUCAACCCAUGGCUCCCUUUCUUUACCAUGCUUCCUAGCAGUGAAGUCAUUCUUAUCGUAACUCUUAGGUUGUGGGUUAUCAAGAUUAACUAUAGGUUCAAUCUCCAGAUCCUCAUCAUUGCUAGGUUGAGCAUUAUUAUGAACAUCACUGUCCAUAUUGUCACCAGGUUCAUGUUCAUCACCAGAUUGUGUUUCUGCAUCAGACGCAGAAAUAUCAUUAGGUUCUUCGGGUGUGACAGUAUUUGGUGAACUAGCAUGUAGGUUUGUAUCAUCCUUCUUCUUCUCCUUAGGAUGACUAGGUGUAUCAGCAUUGAUUCCUUGAGAAUCUUGAUCAAUUCUCUUAGGAUGACCUUCAGGAUACAAAGGUUCUGGAGUCAUUCUGCCUCCUCUAGUAAUGACUCUGACAGAGUUGUCAUUUAAUUCAUUGAGCAAGUCAUUCUAAGCUUUAAGUACUUGUUAUACCUGAGUAGUAAUCAUAGAGGCAUGUUUACUCAGAAGCUUCAGAUCAUUGACAUUUCUGUCUACACAAGCACUUAAAUGGCUAAGCAUACGAAUACUUUGUUCCAAAUGUCUGCUAACAUAAUCAUUGAAACUCUCUUGUUUGGCAACAAAGUUGUCAAAUUCAUCAAAGCAUAGGCUAGCAGGUUUGUCAAAAGGAAUAUCACUCUCAUCAAACCUACGCAGAGAAUUCACUUCUACUACUUGUAUCGGGUUAUCGAGACCAUGGAUAUCUUCGAUAGGUGGUAGAUUUUUUGACAUCUUCAGAUCUAAUGCCUUUCUCUUGCAUAGAUUUCUUGGCUUCUUGCAUAUCUUCGGGACUGAGGAAUAGAAUACCUCUUUUCUUCGAAGUUGGCUUAGGAGGUGGUUCGGGAAUAAUCCAAGCAUUAUCAUUGAUCAAGAUGUUAUUCAGUAGAGUCUCAACUUGUUCUACAGUUUGUUCCCUAAAAACACAACCGGCACAACUAUCUAGGUGGUCUCUAGAGGCAUCGAUAAGUCCGUUAUAGAAGAUAUCAAGUAUCUCGUUCUUCUUAAGAGGGUGAUCAGGCAAAGCAUUUUGUAGCUGGAUGAGCCUCCCCCAAGCUUGUGGGAGACUCUCUUCUUGGAGUUGAGCAAUGUUGUAUAUUUCCCGCAAGGCAGCUUGCUUCUUAUGGGCAGGGAAAUAUUUCUCACAGAAGUAAUAGACCAUAUCCUGGAGACUACUCACACAUCCAGGAGCAAGAGAGGUGAACAAGGCUUUAGCGUCAUCCUUUAAAGAGAAAGGAAACAACUUAAGGAUGUAGUAGUGGCGGAUCUUCUCCUCACUAGUGAAAAGGGUGGCUAUAUUGUGUAGUUUGGUAAGAUGGGCUACGACCGUCUCAGACUCAUAACCAUGGAAAGGGUCAGAUUCGACUAGAGAGAUUAUCUCAGGAUCGACAGAGAAUUCAUAAUCCUUAUCGGUGAUAAAGAUAGGUGAAGUGGCAAACUUCGGGUCGUAUUUCAUCCUAGCUUUCAGAGAUUUUUCCUUCCACUUGAGAAGUAAUUUCUCAGCGUCAUAGGCAUCCUUACACGCAAGAAAAUCCUCAUCUAUCUCUCCCUCCAUAACGUAACCCUCAGGUAUAUCAGGCAAUUCAUAUCUAGGAGAGCUAGAUCUAGCAGGAGCAAAAGCAGGUUCUAUCUCAAUAGUAUCGGCAGUUUCAGAAGCAUCACGAGCAUUGGCAGUAACUCUAGCAAUAUGAGCAUCAAGGAAUACCCCUAGUGGAACAUCAGGCAAAGUAGUAUCUCUAGCAGUAUCAAGCAUAGCAUCAUUAGGCAAAGCAUCUCUAGCAGUAUCAGGCAUAGUAUCACACAUAGCAUCUCUAGCAGUAUCUGGCAAAGCAGUAUCAAGCAUAGCAUCUCUAGCAGUAGCAUCAUAAGCAUCAUCAAGCACAGGCGACAUAUCAAGAUUUCUAGCAGGAGGUGAUGUCGCAAACUUACUCAUAACUGAAGGUGAAUCAAGUGCGGAGCUAGAUGGAAGUUCCUUACCUCCCCUCGUAGUUGAGGGCAAGACUUUGGUUUGCAGAUCCUUCAGAAUCUUCAUAGUGAACAACAAAUAUAAAUCCCAAGUAACUCAGAGAAUAUAGCAAUACCUCCCCGGCAACCGCGCCAGAAAAAUGUUGAUUCUGUGACAACAAACCUUCCCCGACAACAGCGCCAAAAAAGUGUUGAUUCUGUGACAACAGACCUUCCCCUGCAACGGCACCAGAAGAAUGCUGCUAGCACUCCCCGGCAACGAAACUAGAAGAAUGUUGUUGAUGGCCCACCAGCGCGUGGGUUCGCAACAGUUUUCGAGGGUAGAGUAUUUGACCCAAAUUUGUUGAUACGCAACACAGGAGGUGAGAGGAUACUCUCGAGUAUUAGCGGCUGAAUUUAUCAGAUUCAACCACACCUGAAAGAUUAGUAUCUGCAAGCAAAGUGUCAGCAGCAAAGUAGUAUGAUAACAACGGUGUCAGAAACGAUCUGUUGACGGCAGACUAUUCCUAACGAUUGUAUCAAUGCCGCCAUAAGUUGCCCGCUGACGGAAAUUGUCUAUUCCCGUCAAUGACCAUCGUACCAAAAUUGUAGCAGGUAGCAGCAGUGUAACGAGUAACAGCAGUGGCAAGGAACAGCAGUAGUGACAGCAGUAGCAAGUAGCAACAGUAGUAACAGCAGUAGAGCAAGCGACAGUAGUAACAGCAGCAGAGCAAAACAAGUAACUGCAGCAGUGGGACAAACUCGUAGGCAAUGGGUCGGAGAGAUAUGUGGCUAGCUCCCGUUCGUCAAUGUGAUGUAGGCAUGCAUUCCGUGUGUUAACAUACGUGCUUAGGGAAAAGAACUUGCAUGACAUCUAUUGUCCAUCCCUCCCGUGGUAGCGGGGUCCAAAAGGAAACUAUGGGAUAUUAAGGUUAUCCUUUUAAUAAAGAACCGGACCAACGCAUUAGCACUUGGUGAACACAUGAACUCCUCAAACUAUGGUCAUCACCGGGAGUGGUUCCGGUUAUUGUCACUCCGGGGUUGCCGGAUCAUAACACAUAGUAGGUAACUACAACUUGCAAGAUCGGAUCUAAAACACACAUAUAUUGGUGACAACAUAAUAAUUUCAGAUCUGAAAUCAUGGCACUCGGGCCCUAGUGACAAGCAUUAAGCAUGGCAAAGUAGUAGCAACAUCAAUCUCAGAACAUAGUGGAUACUAGGGAUCAAUCCCCGUCAAAACUAACUCGAUUACAUGAUAGAUCUCAUCCUACUCAUCACCGCCAAGCGAGCCUAAGAAUAGAUUACUCACGAACGACGAAGAGCUUCAUGGAAUUGGAGAGGGAAGAAGGUUGAUGAUGACGAUGGCGACGAUUUGCCCUCUCCAGAGCCCAAAACGGACUCCAGAUCUGCCCUCCAGAUGAAGAACAGGAUGUGGCGGCACCUCCGUAUCGCAAACGCGACAAAAUCUUCUCUCUUGAUUUUUUCUGGGAUGAAAUUGAACUUAUAGAGCUGAGAUUGGGGGCGGCUGAGCCACGUGGGCCCCACAAGCUUGCUAGCCGGCACCAGGGGGUGGCGGCUACAGGGCUUGUGGCCCACUGGCCCACCCCCCCUCAGGUAGAUCUUUGCGCAGGUAUUCUUCUUAUUUUCCAGAAUUAUUCUCCGUAAUUUUCAGGACGUUCUGAGAACUUUCAUUUCUGCACAAAAACAACACCAAGGCAAUUCUGCUGAAAACAGCGUCAGUCCAGGUUAGUUCCAUUCAAAUCAUGCAAAUUAGAGUCCAAAACAAGGGCAAAAGAGUUUGGAAAAGUAAAUACGAUGGAGACGUAUCAAGCUCCGCCGCCCAAAUCCCCUCUGUUGCCAGCCCCCUCCAUUCCAUCCCAGCCUAUCUUGAGAUCGCCAUCGAGAUCAGCACGUCUCCCUGGUCCUCCUAGAGCCCUUGGCCAGCCAAUCCUCUAACGGAAUCAAUGCCGCCGACGACCACCGUAGUAUCCACCCGCCAGAGAGGAAGGGGGCGACGCUGUCAGUCCACCUCCGGAGGAUCUACGGGUACAGAGGAAAUGCCAUCAAGCGCCUGAUCCAUCCUAGUCAUCUCCUUGCCCCGCCGCCGUCCCUAUCGUAGGUGAGCCGCCCCGCCUCUGCCUCCCUUCCCUAUCUCUAAUUUAAACUGAGUUGUCCCCACCUAACAGCGGCAUAGUCCCGCGCCGAAGCGGUAUAAGUGGAGGCAUAUUUCCACUUUACACCUUCAACAUGGCCUGUGCCAGGUUUUAAUAUUAUUAUUUAAAUUCCAGAUUUUGACCACAACUUUGACCAUUAAUAACUUGUUAUCUGUAGCUGCAAUUCAAUUGAUUCUUUUUGCAUUGAGUUGGUACUAACCCCUUCAUUUUCGACGAACUUUGAUAUUUUUUCAAUAUUCAUAGAAUUUGUGGUUAACAAAAAUGCAUUAUGUGACAUUUACUCUUUGCAAUUCAAAAAUAUUUUCAAAAGGGAACUUUGGUGAUUUUGAAGACCAGGAGUGUUUGAACAACUCAACAGAGCAAGGCAAGCCAUGAUACCCAUGAUAUGUAGUAUUUCCAUAGCAUUGCAUACUUUUCAUUUUCUAUAGGAUAAUUUAUAGGAAAUUAUUUAAAUACUUAGUUGAACCACUAUAUUUGAAAUAAUCCUAGUGGUUGAUCUUGAGUCACCUGUCCGGGCUCAACCGUGCAACCACAUUUGCCGGUAUGGGACGACCAUGACUUGGUCUGAUCGCGUGCUCUUCCACCGGUACCUCUAGAGAGGGAGGGUUAUGAACGCGCGCUACCCUGAUCAGGUAGGCGAUGAUAACCCUGUGAGCCCAGUUGAGUUGUUUGGGCCCGUCCCCGUUUGGGACAGGUUAGUUUGGCCACGACGGUGGCAGGUGUCAUGAGGACACAGGGGCCACCCAGGACAGGACUCCGGGGGAAGAAUAAUGUCGAUGGUACGAUGGGAGAGUCACGGGUCAGGCACGUCUCGUUGGAGCAACGCUGGUCCACCCGAAUGGGAUCACGAGGUCAGAUGCUCCAUGAUGUGGGUAAAGUGCGCAACCUGUGUAGAGUGAAAAUAUAUUCGAAUAGCCGAGCCCACGGUAAUGGACAGCCCAUCCAGACCUCAGUAGAUGGUCAACCAUAUCGAUGUUAGUAAUGAUGGAAGAACUCUUCGCAUAAUCGGAGAUGCUCGAUGAGUAUUCCGGGUGUUGUGGGACAACCCGGAUGAGAGUAAGUUGGUAACUGAUACAGUUAGUAAGUUGCUUUAGUAAUUAACAUAUUGAUUGCCAUGCUAUUGUUUACUUCAUUACUUGGUUGUCGUGAGCUUGCAAAUACAUUCAAAGUACUCACCUGGCGUGUCAUGCCAGAUGCAGGAGAAGCCGAGGACGGAAGCCCUGAUGGUUCGUACUACGCUAACUAGGAUGUGUCCACAGCGGUGUCCGUGUGGAUGGAGUUUCCUCUAUGUUCCGCUACACCGUAGAAGUACUUAGUAGUUUCGAGGCCCUGCUAUGUUUCACAAAUAAUGUAGAUACUGUCACAGCACCGAGGGUGCCUUUGGCCUCGCUAUCAUUGUAAAAUAUGAGAUUGUACCCGAAAGCUAUCAAUAAAGUCAGUUAUGUUCUGUUCCAAGUUGUUGUGUGUUUCCACAAGACAUGAUCUCUGGGCUGGAAACGCUGGUAAUGCGGUUCUCUGAGCCGGGGUGCCACAUACUAGGAGUACUAGUAAAGUACACAUCAAUAUCAUGUAUAUCCAAUAUACUUUUUUCGUCUUUGCCAGCCUUCUCAUCUACCAAGUAUCUAGGGUAGUUCCUCUUCAAUGACCGUUCCCCUCAUUACAGAAGCACUUAGUCUCGGGUUUGGGUUGAACCUUGGGUCUCUUUACUAGAGUAGCAACUGGUUUGCCGUUUCAUGAAGUAUCCCUUCUUGCCCUUUGCCCUUCUUUGAAACUAGCGGUUUUACUAACCAUCAACAAUUGAUGCUCCUUUUCGAUUUCUACUUUCGCGGUGUCAAACAUCGCGAAUAGCUCAAGAUCAUCAUAUCUAUCCCUGAUAUGUUAUAGUUCAUCACGAAGCUCUAGUAGCUUGGUGGCAGUGACUCUAGAGAACUAUCACUAUCUCAUCUGGAAGAUUAACUCCCACUCGAUUCAAGCGAUUGUAGCACUUAGACAAUCCGAGCGCAUGCUCAAUGAUUGAGCUUUUGUCCCUUACUUUUGUAGACAAAGAAUCUUGUCGGAGGUCUCAUACCUCUCAACGAGGGUACGAGUAUGAAAUCCCAAUUUCAUCUCUUGGAACAUCUCGUAUGUCAUGCGACGUUCGAAACGUCUUUAGCACCUCAAUUCUAAGUCGUUUAAGCAUUAUUCAUUGAACUAUCAUGUAGUUACCAAAAACGUGUAUGUCAGAUGUUCGCAACAUCUACAGAUGAUGUUCGGGGUUCAGCACACCGAGUGGUGCAUUGAACACAUAAGCCUUUUGUGCAGGAAUGAGGACAAUCCUCAGUUAAUGGACCCAGUCCACAUAAUUGCUACUAUCACCUUUCAACUAAGUUUUCUCUAGGAACAUAUCAAAAACCGUAGAGCUAUAGCGAAAGUUACAACAUGAUUUGCAAAGACCUAUUUGACUAUGUUCAUGAUAAUUAGGUUCAUCUAAUGAACUCCCACUUGGAUAGACACCAUGAUCAUGUACUAGCCCGUGUCCGAUCAUCACGUGAGAGGGACUAGUCAUCAAUAGUGAACAUCUCCAUGUUGAUCGUAUCCACCAUACGACUCAUGUCCGACCUUUUGGUCUCCCGUGUUCCGAGGCCAUGUAUGUACAUGCCAGGCUCGUCAAGUCAACCUAAGUAUUUCGCGUGUGUAAAUCUGGCUUACACCCGUUGUAUGCGAAUGUUAGAAUCUAUCACACCCGAUCAUCACGUGGUGCUUCAAAACAACGAUCCUUUGCAGUGGUGCACACUUCGGGGGGACACCUUUUCUUCAAAUUUUAGUGAGGGGUCAUCUUAUUUAAUACCGUCGUUCUAAGAAAAAAAGAUAUCGAAACAUGAUACGGUGGGUGUGUUGGGGAACGUAGUAAUUUCAAAAAAAAUCCUACGUCACACAAGGAUCUAUUUAUGGAGAAACCAGCAGCGAGCAAAGGGGUAGAGCAUCUUCAUACCUUCGAAGAUCGCUAAGCGGAAGCGUUACUAGAACGCGGUUGAUGGAGUCGUACUCAAAGCGAUUCACAUCGCGGUGGAUUCCGAUCUAUGCGCCGAAGAACGGCGCCUCCGUGUUCAACACACGUGCAGCCUGGUGACGUCUCCAAUCCCUUGAUCCAGCAAGGAGGGAGGAGAGGUUGAGGGAGAGCUCCGGCAGCACAACGGUGUGGUGACGGUGGAGCUACGUGGCACUCCGACACGGCUUCGCAAAGCACUACGGAGGACAAGGAGGAGGAGCAGAUAGGGCUGCACCGAGAAAGAGAGAGAAUGUAUCUCAAAACAACCCCAAACCCUCCACUAUAUAUAGGAGGAGAGGGAGGAGGGGGCACACCCUUAGGCUGUCCACCCUAAGGGGUGUGGCAACCCAUCUAGGGCAAGGGGCAGUGGCCAAGGGUGGAGGAGGCGCCCUAGGGUGGGCCUGAAGGCCCAAUGCUGCCCCUCCACGCCUAGGGUUUUGCCCCUCUCCACCCCUUCUGCGCCUUGGGCUGAGAUGGAAGGUGCACCAUCCCAUAGAGGGGCUGUUCCCUUCCACUCUUGGCCCAUGUAGCACUUUUAGGCUGGUGGCCCUUCCCGGUGGACCCCCAGAACCCUUUUGGUGGUCCCGGUACAUUACCGGUGACGCCCAAAACACUUCCGGAGAUCAAAUCCUCACUUCCUAUAUAUGAAUCUUGACCUCCAUAUUAUUCGGAACUCCUCGUAACAUCCGGGAUCUCAUCCGGGACUCCAAACAACCUUCGGUUACCACGUAUACUAUUCCCAUAUAACCCUAGUGCCAUCGAACCUUAAAUGUGUAGACCCUACAGGUUCGGGAAGCAUGUAGACAUGACCGAGACACCUCUCCGGUCAAUAACCAAUAGCGACAUCUAGAUAUCCAUGUUGGUUCCCACAUGUUCCAUGAUGAUCUCAUCGGAUGAACCACAAUGUCGGGGAUUCGAUCAAUCCCGUAUGCAAUUCCCUUUGUCUACCUGUAUGAUACUUCCCCGAGAUUCGAUCGUCGGUAUCCCUAUACCUUAUUCAAUCUCGUUACCGGCAAGUCUCUUUACUCAUUCCGUAACACAUCAUCCCGUGACUAACUCCUUAGUCACACUCAGCUCAUUAUGAUGAUGGAUUACCGAGUGGGCCCAGAGAUACCUCUCCGUCACACGGAGUGACAAAUCCCAAUCUCGAUUCAUACCAACCCAACAUACACUUUUGGAGAUACCUGUAGUGCACCUUUGUAAUCACCCAGUUACGUUAUGAUGUUUGGUACACCCAAAGCACUCCUACGGUAUCCGGGAGUUGCACAAUCUCAUGGUCUAAGGAAAUGAUACUUGACAUUAGAAAAUCUGUAGCAGACGAACAAUACGAUCUAGUGCUAUGCUUAGGAUUGGGUCUUGUCCAUCACAUCAUUCCCCAAUGAUGUGAUCCCGUCAUCAUUGACAUUCAAUGUCCAUGAUCAGGAAACCAUGAUCAUCUAUUGAUCAACGAGCUAGUCAACUAGAGGCUCACUAUGGACACGUUGUGGUCUAUGUAUUCACACAUGUAUUAUGGUUUCCAGUUAAUACAAUUAUAGCAUGAACAAUAGACAAUUAUCAUGAACAAGGAAAUAUUAUAAUAACCAAUUUAUUAUUGCCUCAGGGGCAUAUUUCAAACACGGUGAACAAAUUAUUGUCGAGCAAUUGACAGAUAAGUGAAUAAUUUGUUGGGGAACGUUGCAUAGGAAACAAAAAAAAUCCUACGCACACGCAAUACCUAUCCAUGGUGAUGAUCAUCUAUGAGAGGGGAGAGUGAAUCUACAUACCCUUGUAGAUCGCUAAGCGGAAGCGUAUAUAACACCGUUGAUGCAGUGGAACAUCUUCACGACUCAAAUCACAGCCCGUCCCGCGGUCAGAUCAUGAUCCGCCCCGCGAUCCCAUCACGAUCCAUCCUGAUCUAGUGCCGAACGGACGGCACCUCCGUGUUCAGCACACGUACAGCUCGAUACCGAUCUCCGCCUUCUUGCUCCAUCAAGAGAGACGGGGAAGUAGAUGAGUUCGCCGGCAGCGUGACGGCGCUCCGGUGGAGGUGGUCAAUCUGUUUCUGCACGGCUUCGCCUAAGCACCGCAGAAAACCGAUCUAGAGGAGAAAAUGUGAUCUAGAGUUGAGCUAGCACGUGGGUGAAAAAUAUUGUGGCUCAAAAGCCCUCAAACCUUUAUUUAUAUAGGAGGAGAGGAAGGAGGCCGUCGGCCCUAGGGUUUCCCCUUUGGGUCGGCCGAAGUUGGAGGAGAGGAGGAUUCCUCCUCCAGUCCUACUCCUAGUAGGAUUCCCCUUCUCCCACUUGGAAACCUUUCCCACCUUGCGUUUUUCCCUUAUUUCCUCAUCCACCCGCAUGGGCCCUUAGAGGUGGCGUCGGCUGCUACCUCUUGAGCUUUUGUUCGCUUUUCCGUUGAAGAGGAAAGGGUGAUGCAGCAAAGGAGCAGUAAGUAUUUCCCUCAGUUUGAGAACCAAGGUAUCGAUCCAAUAGGAGGGUCUCAUCAAGUGUCCAAAGCACGUGCGCAAACACAAACGAGCUUUCACCCAACGCUUCAAAGGGGUUGUCAAUCCCUUCAAGAUUGAUUGCAAAGUGAGAUCACAAGGCGGAAAGUGCAACAAAGUAAAAGUGUAAGGCUGAAAAUAUGAUGUGAAUUAGACCCGGGGGCCAUANNNNNNNNNNNNNNNNNNNNNNNNNNNNNNNNNNNNNNNNNNNNNNNNNNNNNNNNNNNNNNNNNNNNNNNNNNNNNNNNNNNNNNNNNNNNNNNNNNNNNNNNNNNNNNNNNNNNNNNNNNNNNNNNNNNNNNNNNNNNNNNNNNNNNNNNNNNNNNNNNNNNNNNNNNNNNNNNNNNNNNNNNNNNNNNNNNNNNNNNNNNNNNNNNNNNNNNNNNNNNNNNNNNNNNNNNNNNNNNNNNNNNNNNNNNNNNNNNNNNNNNNNNNNNNNNNNNNNNNNNNNNNNNNNNNNNNNNNNNNNNNNNNNNNNNNNNNNNNNNNNNNNNNNNNNNNNNNNNNNNNNNNNNNNNNNNNNNNNNNNNNNNNNNNNUGCAUCUACUACUAUUACUCCACACAUCGACCGCUAUCCAGCAUGCAUCUAGUGUAUUGAGUUCAUGACGAACAGAGUAACGCCUUAAGCAAGAUGACAUGAUGUAGAGGAAUAAACUCAAACCAAUGAUGUAAACCCCAUCUUUUUACCCUUGAUGGCAACAACACGAUGCGUGCCUCGCUACCCCUUCUGUCACUGGGUGAGAUGACCGCACGGUAUGAACCCAAAACCAAGCACUUCUCCCAUUGCAAGAAUCAUAGAUCAAGUUGGCCAAACAAAACCCACAACUCGAAGAGAAUUACAAGGAUAUGAAAUCAUGCAUAGAAGAGAUCAGAAGAAACUCGAAUAAGAUUCAUAGAUAAUCUGAUCAUAAAUCCACAAUUCAUUGGAUCUCGACAAACACACCACAAAAGAAGAUUACAUCAGAUAGAUCUCCAUGAAGAUCAUGGAGAACUUUGUAUUGAAGAUCCAAGAGAGAGAAGAAGCCCUCUAGCUACUAGCUAUGGACCCGAAGGUCUAUGGUGAACUACUCACGCAUCAUCGGAGAGGCCAUGGUGUUGAUGAAGAAGCCCUCCGUAUCCAAAUCCCCCCUCUAGUAGGGCACCAGAACGUGCCCCACAUGGGAUCUUGCGGCGACGGAAGCUUGCGGCGGCGUAAAAGUAUUUUCAUGGAUCUCUCGCGUAGUUUUGGAUUUUCAGGAAUUUAUAGGCGGAAGAGUUAGGAAAGACAAGCCACAGGGGGCCCACAAGCCUGCUAGGCGCCCCCCGUGGCCGCGCCUAGGGGGCUUGUGGCCUCCCCUCGUGGCCUCUGCCUUGGUUCUCACUUCCCCUGCGUAUCUUAUGUUCCGGAAAAAAUCUUUUCGGAAGUUUUAUUCCAUUUGGACUCCGGUUAGUAUUCUCCUCUGAAAAGGGUCAAAAACACGGAAAAAACAGGAACUGGCACUUGGCACUGAGUUAAUAAGUUAGUCCCAAAAAAGCUAUAAAAGGCAUACAAAUCAUCCAAAGUUUGACAAGAUAAUGGCAUGGAACCAUCCAAAAUUAUAGAUACGUUGGAGACGUAUCACCGGCCAGCCCACCAGGGGCUGGUUUGUCAACUCUCUUGGCCCAUGAAUCCCAUAGGGUCGUCACAACCCUCCCGGUGGUCCCCCGGUACCCUCCCGGCACUCCCGGUACACUACCGAUGAGCCCGAAACCUUUCCGGUGACCAAAACAGGACUUCCUAUAUAUCAAUCUUUACCUCCGGACCAUUCCGGAGCUCCUCGUGACGUCUAGGAUCUCAUCCGGGACUCCGAACAACAUUCGGUUACCAACACCUAUAAAUCAACUAUACCGAAACGUCACCGAACCUUAAGUGGGCAGACCGUGCUGGUUCGAGAACCAUGCAGACAUGACCUGAGACACUCUCUGGUCAAUAUCCAAUAGCGGGACCUAGAUGUCCAUAUUGGAUCCUACAUAUUCAACGAAGAUCUUAUCGGUUAAACCUCUAUAUCAAGGAUUGAUAUAAUCCUGUAUACCAUUCCCUUUGUCCUUCGGUAUGUUACUUGCCCGAGAUUCGAUUGUUGGUAUCUACAUACCUAUUUCAAUCUCGUUACCGGCAAGUCUCUUUACUCGUUCCGUAAUACAAGAUCCCGUCACUAACUCUUCAGUCACAUUGCUUGCAAGGCUUAUAUGUGAUGUGAAAGUGCGUUAUAUCGACUAGAGGGGGGUGAAUAGGAGAUUUUUAGAAUUUCAUCACUAAGGAAAUUCCUUUCGAGGAAAUUCCUCACUCAUGACUAACUUGGAGCGGAAACAGCAAAGGAUCAGGAGUGCAAAGUAUCACUACAACAGUUUUCAAGGUGAAGAAUAUCAAAAACAGUUUGCACAGUAUGCAGGCACGGAGAAAACAGCUGAUGAUUAACUCGCGUGAAGAAUUUGGGGUUGAGGAAUUUCAGAGAAAGUCUUCAGCAAAUUCUUCAAACAGUGACAGUGAAAAUCAUCAACAUACAAUAUCAGGAAUUGAAAGAGUUGAAGAAAUAGAACCCGUUUCACACUGAAGACAGUGGUUGAUGACCCAGUUCCAACUACUGUGAUAGUUGUACAUCUGGUUUGGAGCGGCUUGGUAUUGAAAGCAAAAGACACACAGAACCGGGACACACAGUCCCUACCGUAUUCUCCUUGGGCUAAGAACACAAAGUCCUCACCCAACACUCGUGGUAAGUCUUCAGGGCAGACUUCCAAACCCUCACAAACUUGGUCACCUGGCGAUCCACAAUUGACUGCUGGGUUGCUCUAGACCAUGAUGCCUAACCAUCUGGAGGAUGCACAAUCCUCAAAGGUAUAAGGCUUCAGUUCCACAUAGGAACAACUUCUUCGGUGAUGCUCAAUCACUUGGUUUUUGGUUUGUGGUUUGGUGUUUGGGGUAUUUCCUCACUGAUGAAUUACUCUCGAAGACUCUGAGGAAUUUGGGUUGCUCUUAUGACAAGGGUCAGUUUCCAACGGAGCAGCCAACCAGCUAAUGGUUGUGGGGGCGGCUAUUUAUAGCCUGGGAGCAUUCCGACAUGAUUUGACAUUAAUGCCCUUAAAUAAUAUGACCGUUGGUGUGGAUAAGAUCAGUGAUGUGGCGCGACUUGCGGUAACGGUCAGGACCCUCAACUGUGAGAGUCCUCAUGUCUCUCAUAUUCCUCACUUGAGGCUUUUGGUAGGAUUAGGCUUGGGUUGAGCAUCAUGAGGAAAUUCAUUCUGACGUGUAACUUUGACCCCCUUUAACAGUACGGUGUUCCUAUGACUCAAAAGUGAAGAAAAUAAAACAGACAGAAUAAAUCUUCAUGCUUCAAAAUCUUCAUAUUGUUUUUCUUCAGGACACACCGAAUUCCUCAUCUUCGAUUGUUUCAUGAGGAACAUCAAUUUCAUCGCAAUUUCUUCGCGAUUCAAUUCUUGAACUUUAGACCAAUUUCUUCAGCCGAAGAUAUACAUUUUUAGGGGUCGAUAUUCAUCGAAUAUUUCAAACUCCUCAGCGACUUAUAGAUCAUGUGUACACUCAUGAACACAUUAGAUACUUAACCUAUAUGUCUUCAAACCACCAAAAUCACUAAGGGGCACUAGAUGCACUUACAAUCUCCCCCUUUUUGAUGGUUGAUGACAAUUAGGUUAAGUAUUCAACGGGGAUAAAAAAUAUGAAGUGUAAAUACUCAUUUGAGGAAUUUGAAAUCAAGAUUCAGAGAGACUCCCCCUGAAGAUGUGCAUAUCUUCGAGAUUUUGCUUUUCACAGCAAAUGCACAUUGAUGAUUUAUAUCAUGGAGAUCUCCCCCUGAGUGGUGUAAAUCAUGCAUACAUUUGAUAUAUAGUAUGAAGAAAUUGAGAAUGCAUGAUGAGAAAUGGUAUCUGACGAAUUCCAGUAUGCGUGCAUUAAUUAUUUUGAGGAAUAAGCAUGCGAAGAAAAACGUUCAAAAGCGUCAGAGUACCAUCGGGCUUAAGUUACAACUCGUUACAUAAAACACUUCAGAAGAGCCAAGAGUUUGUAACUUAAAUAAAGUUCAUAAGCCCCGAAAUAUAUCCCGCGUGAAGACUAACUCUCAGAUUUCUCCCCCUUUGUCAUCAAGUGACAAAAAGGGACAAAACUGAGGACUAACGCCUCGUGAAGACUUUCACUUCUUGCAGUUGAGGAAGACGCAUGAGGAUUCUUGGGCGCAGGCUUCCUCCUUGGACCAGUGGCAGUGUCUUGUUGGUCUUCAUCUAAUUCAGCAGUGCCGAAUGAAGAAAAAGAACUGUCCUCAAGGUCUGGAACUGGAAUUGGCCUGAGUUUCUUCUUUGGUGGCCAUGACCAGUCGAAGUCCUGUGUAAACUCCAACUCUUCAAGUUCAGCUGGAGUCUUCAAAUGAGCCAGUGUAGCCCAGGUGCGAUCAAAAACCUCAUGAAGAUAAUGAUGAUUAAGCUUCACUGCAUUAUGAGUCUCGUUGAGGGUUUUCACAAUGGCGCCGAACUGGCGUUUGACCCACUUGUGAUUUCGAUCUACCUUUUGAUGAAGACCGAGGAGAAGCUCUCUGGUAUUCAUCACCUUUGGAGCAACAGGACUUGGCGGCUGGGUUUCAGUAUCAUCCCAUGAAGAAUAUCCAUCUGGCUCACGGAACUGGCCAUCAAGGGGCCUACUGCCUUCAUCAAUCACAGACUUGCCUUUUCCUUCAACAGGCUCGAAAGUCUUCUUGUUGACCCUUAUUGGAGGCAUAUAUCCAAGGUGAUUAUUGAAAUUAGCGUGAUAGUUGAUGCCUGACCUGCGUCUGAUAAAUCUCAUGAUCCAUGGGCAUAAAUCUUCAGGUCAAAAGGGGACAUAGCAUUUUCUGCCAGAGUCCUCAAGAACAAAUCAUGAGUGUUGAUGGGAAUGACAUGGAUGAUGUUGAAGAGGAUAUUCUUCAUGAUGCCUACGACAUCUUCUUCAUCAUCAUGGCCCUUGAUUGGCGCAAGAACCCUGCACAGGAUUCUAUAAACAGUCCUGGGUUCAUACUUUAGCUCAUGGACCAGGAAGGUUGUUCUUGGUAGUUGCCCCUUGGCCAAAGGCUUCAUCAGGACUUCCAUCAUCUUAUUUGGCAGCUCCCGUUCAUCAUACAUCUUCACGGCCUGUUCUGAAGGAAUUGACACACAAAGUUCUCCCAGCAGCUCAUUUGCAAGGGCCUUGAAGUGUGUGUGUUGUGUCAUCCAAUCCAGCACCCAAGUGUUGAUAUCUGUUAGAUCUCCAGAGAUAUGCAGAGUUGACGAUGUCGCUGUUCCAAUCGCAUAUAUCAGAGCGCAGAGGGAGCAAUCCUGCUUCAUGAAGAAUGUUGAGGACUCGGGCAAAGCAAGGAAUUUCUUCAAGCUCAACAUGAGGAAUAUGCAUGUGCUGAAAAUUUUUGUUUCUUCCACAAAGCACAGAUGCAUAAUAGUUGAACUGAGUCCUGGUCCAAAACUUCAUGUGCCUGAUGCGAGGCUUGUCAUAAGGAUUUUCUCCGAUGAAAUACAUGCGUUCCUCAAAUAACGCUUCCUUCUGAAACUUUGGUCGCUUGGAGAAGGGCUGACGCUGCAUGGGCUGAAGGUUUUGCUUCUUUCCUUGAGGAGAGACAAUCAUUGCAGUUUCUGGAUUGAUAACUACAAGAGCAUUCUCUGGAUUUGGCGCAGGGGCAUUAUCUUCAGUGAUGGGGUUAUAGUCCUAAGGUAGGGUCAUAGGACUGCCCUGUAGGUCCUACCCAAGGACUACCCCUCACAAAGGACAAGGCCCUUAGUCAGCUCCGACUAAAUUAAGGAGUCCCCAUCAUCCAGUCGGUAACAGGUCCUCGAUCAUCCAGUCGGAGACUAGCAUUCGGAGGAUAUCAAGCUAACCGAUUGGAUACCACUCGGUACAUCGUAACCCCCCUGGAGGGAAAAGGUCAUACGUUUCCAGGUGCAUUUAUUAGCAUUUAGGACGUACGUUACCUGUAACGUACGCAUUCAAUCGCCACUACUCCACCCCUGUACCGGAACCGUUGUAGAGGGCAGCGCACUCUAUAUAAGCCACCCUCCCCCACUGGUAGAGGGGUUAGCAACUCAUUGUAUUCCAUAUUCCACUCGACAACAAGCUCCCAGAGCACUGAGACGUAGGGCUAUUACCUCCACCGUAGAGGGGCCUGAACUCAUACAACCUCGCCGUAGCUAGGACUCUGCCCAUCCUUUUCGUACCCUACACAUCUACUGUCAGGCUUAUACCCACGACAUUCAGCAUGUUCCUCAGGAUGAGGACAUUUCAUCUGCAUGUGCCUCGGGCUGAGGAUUUUGCUCAGGAGAAGGAAUUUCAUCAGCCUGAGCCUCUGGUUGAGGAUUUUGCUCAGGAGGAGGAAUCUCUUCAUCCUGAGCCUCAGGUUGGGGGUUUUGCUCAGGAUUUGGAUUUUCUUCAGGCUGACGAUUUUCUCCUUGGUUUUCCUCAGUUUGAGGAGUUUGCUUGGUGGAGGAGCCAAAUUCUUCAGCUGGUGCAGCUGAUCCUUGAGCAUUUUCUUCAGGAGGAAUGAAUGUCUGAGGACUGUUAUCAAUUUGAAUCUCCUCAUCAGUGUGUUCCUCAGACUCAACAUUCUUCAUUUCCUCAUCAGUCAUAUGCUCCUUGUCUUCGCUUUCGAAGGGAGUCAUUUCAUAGGAUGGAUCAAUGUUUAGAGACACAGGAUCCAGCGGAGCAUUUUCAUCAAGAGAUUUGAGGCGCUUGGCCUCAGUUGAUUCUUCUGUUGAGGAAGCUUUUCUUUUCUUAGCUUCCUUUUCUUAGCCUUGGUUUUCUUCAUGUCUAAUGCAGACGGAGUCAUUUUCUUCACCUUUGAAGAUUUUGGUGAAGGCAUUUUCUCUUCAGGAGGCGGAGUCAUAUCCAUCCAGGCAGUUUCCUCAGCAGAAGCAGUUUCUUCAGCUGGAGCAGAGUCAUCAGCUGGCUUAGGAGCAUCAGCUGGAGCAGAGUCAUCAGCUGGCUUAGAUGCAUCAGAUGGACCAGUUUCAUCAGCGGGAGCACAGUCAUCAGCUGGAGUUUCCUUGGUUAUUUCCUCAAUAGUCGGUUCAUCAACACGGCUUUCUUGAGGCAUUUCCUCAGCGGGGGCAGGUUGUUCUUCCUCAAUCUCAAGCUGCUGAGGUGUUGCUAGAGGGGCAGCCUUUUUGUUGUAAUCAUCAACUUCAUUGGUGUCAAACUUGAUGAAAUUGUUCUUGACACUUUGACGAUCAGAUAGCUUGGUGUACUUUUCUAUCAAAGUCUUCAAUUCAGCCUGAGUGGACACAAGUGCAUCAGGCGUCAGACUGAGAAGAUUUUGUCUGAAGAAUUUCUCCUUUUUUAGCUUUGCAGCCUUUGCUUGUUUGUCUUGCAUCUCCUUCCACUUGGCCUCGUUGAUGAAAGUGGCCACCAUGUGGCUGAUGCCUGGGGAAGCUUCAAAUCAUCAAUAGGUGUGUUGGGGUCAUCAUACCACAUAUUGAUAUAAUCCAAGAGGACUUUUGGGUCCAUGGCCAGAGGAAUGGCGCUGCCUGAAGCUUGUGCUACCCUCUCCUGCUUGUUUCUGAUGAUGGCUUGCAGAGUCUCAUCAUCAUAUUCAUCACUGCCUUCUGAUGCAGAAGGGACUGUGAUGAUUUUGCUUCGACUAGGUCUGGUUCCUCUCCCAACAGUCACCUUAGUCUUCAUUGGAGUUGGUGAAGACUUUGUUUCUGAGCUAGUUGCAGAAGGAACACAGGAGCUGGAAACAGUCGGCAGCUGCUUCACAAUCUGCUUGUGUUCAGGCUUUGAAGCCUUUGGUGGUGCUGAGGGUUUUGGUGCGGAUGCAGGUGCAGCUUUCUGAAGCAAUUUCUCCUGAGGCUUUCAAGCCUUUGGUUUUGGCAGCAUAGACUACACUUGAGGAAUGGCCGUGCCAGAAGUUUCAGCUGCACAGGAGGUGGCGGCAGUAGCAGCACCAGCAGAUUGUUCAUUAAAUUUCCUCCCUGCAGCUUCUGUCUGUUUUUGAAGCUUUGACAAAUGUUUUGUCUUUUCCUCAAGAUAAUCAUCAAUUGUCUUGAGGCCUGAGGGGUGUGCAUCCUGAUAAUCCUCGAGAGGAGGCCAUUUUCCAGGAGGCUUAAGAGCGAAUUUCUUUGCAUACUUUGGAGUGACGAAUGUGUAUUCUUUCCACUCCUUAGCCAACCGGCGUUCUAUCUUUUGAAGCCUUAUCUUCCUCUUGGGCAUUAUCUCUUGCUCAUCAGGUGUGCAGUAUUCCAGGUAUAUCUCAUCAGGAAUGUCGAUGGCAGUGUUCUAUUCAAGCUUCUUGCCACCCUUUUGCUUCCUUUCAUCUUCCAUUUUCUUCAGCUGAGGCUUUUGCUGAGGAAAUUGAACUCUUGAUGAUUCUGAUGAAGCUUGCAAAUUUUCUUCAAGAAACGCUGCAAAUGAGUUAAGUUGAUGAGAACCUAGAGAUUCAUCAACCGACAUUUUGUACCUGUGAACAGAUUAUAGUUGCGAGGAAUUUGGAGAGGUCAUAUGCGUUCUUAGAUUUGAUGAAAUUGAAAAAAAAGUUAAGGAAUUUUACCAGUGGGUUGAGGAAUUUGUCUAAGCACUCUGAUCUUGGGUUCCAUAGUUGUACAGAUUCGAAAAUUUGCACAAUUGAGGAAUCUCGUGAAGACUUUUAGAUGCUUAGUGAAAUUCAUCAACAGUUGAGGAAUGAGCAGUGUUUGAGGAAUAGAGACUGAUAGACACUUGAGGAAAAACAAGUUUCACAAAUCUACGGUACAAUAGUAGAUCAAAAGGGGGCUGUAAAAAUAGGGUUUUAUUUACCCUAUAUAGCGCGCACGAAGGACACAGGAAGAAGUAGCAGUAGAUGCUCUUCGGUGCGAGUCCACUGCGCCCUAACUUGGCAACAGAGGACAGCUACGGCGGCGACGGACGAAGAUGAUCCGGUUCUGGCGUGAUUUCGGUGACGUAGAGGUCGAGGCAGUAAAGCUUUUCCUCACCGGCGACGAGACUUCUAGCGGUGGCGCUAGGGCUUUGUUGUAGCGGAGAGGAGGUCGAGAGAGAGAACGAAGAGUUUUGAAAGGAGGGGAUAAGGACAUAUUUAUAGCCCAGGUGAAAACUGUCUCGCCGAUUCUUUCGGACCGAACUACCCCUGUCCUUUCGUCUCCGCAUGACACGUGUAGCAACCAUUUAAAGCGGUGGAGAUCGUGUUUAUCUAAUUGUGGGAAGUGGGUUCAGUUACUGUGUAACGAUAUAAAAAUCAUUUUUGAAGAUUUGAGGAUUUUGUUACAAAAUCAUCAGCUGACAAAGACGCGGUGAGGAUUUUGAACAAAGUUUCAAGUAGAACGCAUAUGAAGAAUUGAAUAGACUUGGUGAGAGUAGCAUAGAGGGAAAGCAGGGUCCGAUCACAUUCAUUUAGAUGAAAUAUCAAAUUGAAGAAAUAGCUAUAAGUGAAUGUUGUUGAGGACUUUGAAAUCACAGUCUAUAUAUAUAUCUAGGCAAAUGAAAAUCAUCAAGUAUUUUUGAAGAUCUUGAUUAACUUGAGGAUUUUGUGACAAAGCGUCAUGAUGAUGAAUUUCACUUUUGAAGAAAGACAACUUUGAGGAAUUUCAAGUUGGGUGGUGGCGUGACACUACAAUAAGAAUUGUGAUUUCAGACGCCGCGUACAAUUGUCGUAGGGCCAUGAGGAUCAAUUUCUUCGUUGAUUUCUUCACACUAAGAGUGAUAUUCUUCAUUAGCUGAAGGAAAUCUAUUCUUUGCGUGUUGCACAUCUAAGUCAUUAAUUUUGCAUAAGUGUUAGGAUGUGUGCAUGUUUUUAUAAAACAUUUGACGAUUCUAAGAUAUUUAGCUCACACCGCAACUUGCAAAACCUUUUCUCAUCCAAGGGCUUAGUGAAGAUAUCUGCUAGUUGAUCGUCAGUCUUCACAUGGUCGAUGUGGAUAUUGCCCUUGAGGACAUGGUCCCGAAGAAAAUGAUGACAAAUCUGGAUGUGCUUUGUCUUCGAGUGUUGUACUGGGUUGUAUGCAAUCUUGAUUGCACCGCAGUACAGAGGCACAUUCUUCAUGUUGAUUUCGUAGUCCUUGAGGGUUUGCUUCAUCUAUAGCAAUUGAGCACAGCAUGAACCAGCAGCAAUGUACUCAGCUUCGGCAGUGGAGAGUGAAACGCAGUUCUGCUUGUUUGAGGACCAGCAGACUAGUGAUCUUCCAAGGAAAUGACAUGUGCCAGAGGUUGACUUGCGAUCCACACGGUCACUAGCAUAGUCCGAAUUCAAAUCUCCCACAGGAUGAAGAUUUGAGCCCUUGGGGUACCAUAAUCCUAGUGUUGGUGUGUGAGCUAAGUAUCGAAGAAUAUGCUUCACAGCCUUAUGGUGUGAUUCCUUCGGUUUUUCUUGAAAUCGUGCACACAUGCAAACACUAAGCAUUAGUCUGCCUAGAUACACACAAAUACAGUAAAGAGCCAAUCAUGGAGCGAUAUACCUACUGAUCGAAUUCUUUACCAUUUUCGUCACUACAGAGGUGGCCGUUGGUAGGCAUUGGAGAUUUGGCACCUUUGCAUUCAUGCAUGUCGAAUUUCCUCAGAACAUCCUUGAGGUAUUUCUCCUAUGAUAUGAAGAUUCCAUUGCGUUGUUGACGAAUUUGAAGACCUAAGAAGAAUUUCAGCUCCCCCAUCAUAGACAUCUGAUAUUCUUCACUCAUCAUGUAAGCAAAUUCAUCACUGUAACGUUUGUCAGUACAGCUAAAUAUGAUGUCAUCGACAUAUAUCUGGCACACAAAUAGUUCAUUAUCAUAUUCCCUCCGUUCCUAAAUAUAAGUCUUUGUAGAGAUUUUACUAGUGGACUACAUAUGGAUGUAUAUAGACAUACUUUAGAGUAUAGAUUCAAUCAUUUUGCUCAUAGACCCUUAAUGAAAUCGCUUAAAAGACUCAUAUUUAGGAACGGAGGGAGUAGGAUUUAGUGAAAAGACUUGGAUCGAGUGAACUAGAUUUGAAGCCUUUCUUCAUGAGGAAUUCCUUCAAUGUAUCAUACCACGCCCGAGGGGCUUGCUUGAGACCAUAGAGCGCCUUUUAAGUUUGAAGACUUUGUUUGGAUUCUUUGGAUCCUCAAAACCUGGGGGCUGGGCAACAUAUACUUCUUCCUCAAGCUUACCAUUUAGGAAUGCACUUUUCACAUCCAUUUGAUAUAAGAUAAUGUUAUGAUGAUUAGCAUAAGCAAGUAGUAUUCGAAUAGCUUCAAGUCUAGCAACAGGUGCAAAAGUUUCAUCAAAAUCUAUUCCUUCAACCUGUGUGUAGCCUUGGGCUACAAGUCGUGCCUUAUUCCUCACCACUUGACCAUCCUCAUCUUGCUUGUUUCGGAAAAUCCACUUGGUGUCGAUGAUAUUGUGCUUGCGAGGAUCUGGUCAUUUGACAAGCUCCCAUACGUCAUUCAGCUUGAAUUGAAGAAGUUCGUCUUGCAUGGCUUGGAUCCACUCCGGUUCCAUGAAAGCCUCAGCAACUCUUGAAGGUUCUGUGAUAGACACAAAAGAAAAAUGCCCACAAAAGUUAACUAAGUGUGAAGCUUUUGAGCGAGUGAGAGGACCUGGCGCGUUGAUGUCAUCGAGGAUUUUGUCAAGUUCUACUUCAUUUGCAAUCCUUAGAUGAGUUGGUUGAGGAUUUCAUCUGGGCUAACGAAUUGGUUCUGGAGCAAUUCCCUCAGGAGCAUCUUCUUGAUUUUCAUCAGUGCUAGGGAUGAUCUCUUCGUUAAUUUCCUCAGUGGGAACAAUGUCUUCAGUAGCUUUGAGCUUUAUUGCUUCCUUAGGAGACAGCUUAUCUGGAUCAGGAGGCAAUUGCUCUCUUUGCGAGCCAUUAGUUUCAUCGAACCGCACAUCUACAGUCUCAACAACCUUGUCGUGAUAGGUGUUGAAGACUCCGUAGGUGUGCGAGCCCUUUCCAUAAUCGAGCAUAAAACCCUCAUCUGCCUUAGGUGCAAAGUUUGAGCUAUGGUGAGGAUCUCUAAUCCAGCAUUUUGCACCGAAGACUUUGAAAUAACUUACAUUGGGUUUCUUGUCAGUGAGGAGUUCAUAUGAGGUUUUCUUGAGGAAUUUGUGAAGAUAUACCCUAUUGAUGAUAUGGCAUGCAGUGUUAAUUGCUUCAGGCCAAAAGCGAUGAGGAGUGUGAUAUUCUUCAGCAUGGUUCUUGUCAUCUCAACUAGAGUCCUGUUCUUCCUUUCGACGACACCAUUCUAUUGAGGAGCAUAAGGAGCAGACAAUUCGUGAGUAAUACCAAGUUCAUCAAGAUAAUUAUCAAGACCAGUGUUUUUGAAAUCUGUUCCAUUAUCACUCCUGAUGUGUUUGAUCUUGACGCCGAAGUUCGUAGAGGACCUUGAAGAAAAUCAUUUGAAGACUUCCUGCACUUCAGUUUUAUAUAAAAUGACAUGCACCCAUGUGUAUCUGGAAUAAUCAUCAACUAUGACAAAGCCAUAUAAAGAUGUUGCAUUUGUUAGAGUGGCAUAAUGAGUAGGUCCAAAUAGAUCCAUGUGAAGCAAUUCAAAUGGACGAGUAGUGGUCAUGAUAGUCUUCGAGGGGUGCUUGGAUCUAGUCAUUUUCCCAGACUCACAAGCACCGCAGAGGUGGUCCUUGAGGAAUUUGACUGAUUCGAUGCCAAUUACAUGCUUCUUCUUCGCGAGCGUGUGCAAAUUCCUCAUGCCCGCAUGACCAAGUCUUCGAUGCCACAACCACCCUUCAGAGGUUUUUGCUAGUAAGCAAGUGGCUGGUUGAGGACCUGUAGAGAAAUCAACAAUGUACAAAUCCCCUCUUCUAACACCUUCGAAGACUUUGGAUCUGUCAGAUUCCAUGAAAGUGCAUUAUAUCGACUAGAGGGGGGUGAAUAGGAGAUUUUUAGAAUUUCAUCACUGAGGAAAUUCCUUUUGAGGAAAUUCCUCACAGAUGACUAACUUACAGCAGAAACAAUAAAGGAUCAGACAUGCAAACGUUCACAACAGCAGUAUUACAGAGUGAAGAAUGUGAAAACAGAUUGCACAAUAAGCAGGCACGCAGAAUACAGAUGAUGAUUAACUAUUGUGAAGAAUUUGGGGUUGAGGAAAUUCAGAGAAAGUCUUCAGCAAAUUCUUCAAACAUUCACACUGAAAGUCAUCAACACACAAUACAAGAAAAGUAAAGAGUUGAGGAAUUAGAACCCGUUUCUCGGUGAAGACUGUUGUUGAUGACCCAGUUCCAACUGCUGUGACAGUUGUACAUCUGGUUUGGAGCGGCUUGGUAUUGAAACCAAAGGACACCCAGUCCUGGGACACACAGUCCCUACCGUAUUCUCCUUGAGCUAAGGACACACAGUCCUCGCCCAACACUCGUGGUAAGUCUUCAGGGCAGACUUCCAAACCCUCACAAACUUGGUCACCCGGCGAUCCACAAUUGACUGCUGGAUAGCUCUAGACUAUGACGCCUAACCGUCUGGAGGAUGCACAGUCCUCAAAGGUAAAAGGCUUCAGUCCCACACAGGAACAACUUCUUCAGUGAUGCUCAAUCACUAGGUUUGGUUUGUGGUUUCGGUGUAUGGGGUAUCCUCACUGAUGAAUUACUCUCGAAAGCUCUGAGGAAUUGGGUUGCUCUUAUGACAAGUGUCAGUUUAUAACGGAGCAGCCAACCAGCUAGUGGUUGUGGGGGUGGCUAUUUAUAUCCUGGGAGCAUCCCGACAUGAUUUGACACUAAUGCCCUUAAAUAAUAUGACCGUUGAAGUGGAUAAGACAAAUGACUUGGCGUGGUUAUCGAAACAGUCGGAACCCUCAACUGUGAGAGUCCUCAUGUCACUCAUAUUCCUCACUUGAGGCUUUUGGUAGGAUUAGGCUUGGGUUGAGAAUCAUGAGGAAAUUCAUUCCAUAGUGUUACUUUGACCCCCUUUAACAGUACGGUGUUCCUAUUCAUCAAAUGCGAAGAAAGUAAAACAGAAAACGUAAAUCUUCACGCUUCAAUUUCUUCAGACCGAUUUUCUUCACGAACCACCGGUCUUCUCAAUAUCAGUAUCUUCAUGAGGAAUAUCAAUUUCAUUGCAGAUUCCCCGCGAUUCAUUUCUUCAGCUUCAGACCAAUUUCUUCAACUUAAGACACAUAUUUUUAGGGGUCGAUAUUCUUCAAAUAUCUCAAACUCCUCAAUGACUUAUAGAUCAUGUGUACACUUAUAAACACAUUAGAUACUUANNNNNNNNNNNNNNNNNNNNNNNNNNNNNNNNNNNNNNNNNNNNNNNNNNNNNNNNNNNNNNNNNNNNNNNNNNNNNNNNNNNNNNNNNNNNNNNNNNNNNNNNNNNNNNNNNNNNNNNNNNNNNNNNNNNNNNNNNNNNNNNNNNNNNNNNNNNNNNNNNNNNNNNNNNNNNNNNNNNNNNNNNNNNNNNNNNNNNNNNNNNNNNNNNNNNNNNNNNNNNNNNNNNNNNNNNNNNNNNNNNNNNNNNNNNNNNNNNNNNNNNNNNNNNNNNNNNNNCCUAUAAGUCUUCAAACCACCAAAAUCACUAAGGGGCACUAGAUGCACUUACAAUCUCCCCCUUUUUGGUGGUUGAUGACAAUUAGGUUAAGUCUUCAACAGGGAUUAAAAAUAUGAAGUGUAAAUACUCAUUUGAGGAAUUUGAAAACAAGAUUCAGAGAGACUCCCCCUGAAGAUCUGCAUACCUUGAGGAUUUUGCUUUUCACAGCAAAUGCACAUUGAUGAUUUAUAUCAUGGAGAUCUCCCCCUGAGUCUUGUAAAUCAUGCAUACAUAUAACAUAUCAUAUGAAGAAAAUGAAGAUGCAUGAUGGCAAAUGGUAUCUGACGAAUUCCAGCAUGCGUGCAUUAAAACUUGAGGAAUAAGCAUGCGAAGAAAAACGUUCAAAAGCGUCAGAGUACCAUCGGGCUUAAGUUACAACUCAUUACAUAACAACUUCAGAAGAGCCAAGAGUUUGUAACUUAAAUAUAGUUUAUAAGCCCCAAAAAUAUCCCGCUUGAAGACUAACUCUCGAGUUUCUCCCCGUUUGUCAUCAAGUGACAAAAAGGGACAAACUGAGGACUAACGCCCGUGAAGAUUUCAUUUCUUGGCGGUCGAGGAAGAGUCGUGAUGCUUCUUGGGAGUAGUCUUCUUCCUGGGGCCGGUUGCAGUGUCGAGUUGCUCCUCAUCAGAUUCAGCGGUGCGGAAUGAAGAAAAGGAGCUGUCUUCAAGGUCUGGCACUGUAAUGGGCCUGAACUUCCUCUUGGGAGGCCACGACCAGUCAAAGUCCCUCUCAAAGUCCAUUUCUUCAAGCUCAGUCUGAGUCUUCAGAUGUGCAAGUGUAGCCCAGGUGCUAUCGAAAACCUCAUGCAGAUAGUGAUGAUUAAUCUUCACAGAGUUCUGAGUUUCAGUGAGGGUUUUCACAAUGGCACCAAACUGGCGUUUGACCCAUUUGUGGUUGCGAUCCACCUUCUGGUGAAGACUGAGGAGGAGCUCUCUGGUGUUCAGCACGUGAGGAGGAACUCGGCUUGCUGGACGAGUCUCAGUAUCGUCCCAUGAAGAAUAUGCUUCUGGCUCUUUGAACUGGCCAUCAAGGGGCGUGCUGCCUUCUUCAAUCACAGAUUUUCCUUUUCCUUCAAUGGGCUCGAAAGUCUGGAAAUCAGCGUGAAAGUUGAUGCCUGUCCUUCUCCUGAUGAAUCUCAUGAUCCACGGGGCAUAUAUGUUGUGAUCAAAUGGGCACAUGGCAUUGUCGGCCAAAGUCCUCAAGAAGAAAUCAUGGAUAUUAAUAGGAAUACCGUGAAUGAUGUUGAAGAGGAUAUUCUUCAUGAGGCCUACAACAUCUUCUUCAUAGUCAUGGCCUUUGAUUGGCGCGAGCACACUGCAGAGGAUUCUGUAGACAGACCGGGGUGUGUACUUGAGCUCAUCGACGAGGAAUGUGGUUCUUGAGGGUUUUCCUGCAGCCAAAGGCUUCAUGAGGACUUCCAUCAUUCCAUUUGGCAGCUCACGCUCACACAUAAAGCUUCACUGCCCCAUCUGAGGGAAUUGGUACGGGCAGUUCUCUGAGGAGUUCGGAAGCAGGAGCUUUGUAGUGAGUAUUUUGGGACAUCCAGUCAAACACCCAAGUGUUGAUGUCAUCAGCGUUGCCAGAUAUGUGUAGAGUGGCAUAGAACUAAAGAAUGAGCUUGCUAUUCCAGUCUGAUAUGUCUGAGCACAUAGGGAGCAAACCUGCAUCGUGGAGUACACUGAGGAUUGGUUCCAUGCAAGGUAUUCCUUCAAGCUCAACAUGAGGAAUGUGCCGGUGCUGGAAUAUCUUGUUGCGUCCACAGAGCAUAGAGGAAUAGUAGUUCAUCUGAGUCCUUGUCCAAAACUUCGGAUGCCUCAUUUGAGGCUUGUCAUAAGGGUUCUCUCCGAUGAAAUACAUGCAUUCUUCAAAGAAAUCUUCUUUCUAAAACUUUGGACGCUUGGAGAAUGGUUGGCGCUGAACUGGCUUAAGAUUUCGCUGAGGAAUGGGGGAGGAGACAACAAUGGUAGUCUUUGGGUUGAGCACAAUGAAUUCAUUGUCUUGGGCGGGUACAUUUUCUUCAGCUUUUUCUUCAAGGUGAGGAAUUUCAUCAGCUGGUACUUCAUGCUGAGGAGAUGAUGCUUGCUCUGGCUGAGCCUCAGGCUGAGGAAUUUCCACUUCUUUCUCAUUUGGAGGAGUUGGGUCAGCCUGUUCCUCAUCUUGAGGAGUCUUCUCAGAAUGUACAAUUUCAUCAGUCUGAGGAUGUUCAGCUUGUUUUUCCUCAGCUGGCUUUGUGGCAGAAGCAGUUUCAUCAGCUGGUGCAGCUGAUGCUUGAGCAGUCUCUGUCUGAGGAAUAGGAGGUUGAGGACUGUCGUCAAUCUGAAUUUCCUCAUCAGUGUGUUCCUCAGAGGCGACAUCCUUCAUUUCCUCAUCUGCCCUUGUAGCUGGGUCAUCAAUGACGACCAUCUCAUAGGAAGGGGCGACAUUGAGAGGCACUGGGUCCAGAGGAGCAGUUUCUUUGAGGCGCUUUGCCUUUGUCUCUUCUACUGCUGAGGAGGAUUUUCUCUUCUUGGCUUCCUUUUCAGCAGCCCUUGUUUUCUUCGCGUCUGAUGCAGACGGAAUUAUCUUCUUCACCUUUGAAGCUUUUGGUGAAGGUGUUCUUUCUUCAGAUUCUUCAGCUGGUAGUGAGGAACCAGCUGGAACAGAGUCAUCAGUCUGCUUUGAUGAAGCAGCUGGAUCAGGAGCAGUCUCAUCAGUGGUUGCAAUUUCAUCAGUUGCAGUUUCCGUGAUGAUUUCUUCAAUGGCCGGUUCAUCAACACGGUGCUCUUGGUGUUCUUCCUCAGCUUGAGGAGUUUCCUCCUCGUCAGGAGAUGCAUCUUCUGGCUGCUCAACCAAGGGCUGAGGAGUUGGUGUUGGGGGUGCGGUUCUUUUGUUGUAGUCAUCAACAACACUAGUGGCUAGCUUGAUGAAAUUGUUCUUGAUGCUUUUGCGAUCUGACAGCUUGGUGUACUUGUCAGUCAGUACUUGCAGCUCUGCCUGGGUUGACACCAGUGCAUCAGGAGUAAGUUUGAGGAGAUUCUCCCUGAGGAAUUUCUCCUUUUUGGCCUUUGCAACCUUUGCCUGCCUGGCCUGUUGUUCUUUCCACUUGGCUUCAUUUAUGAAGGUGGCCACCAUGUGGCUCAUGCCAGGAGGAAGUUUCAAAUCAUCAAUGGGAGUGUUCGGGUCCUCAUACCAGAUAUUGAUGUAGUCAAGGAGGACCUUGGGGUCCAUGGCCAGAGGAAUAGCACUGCCUGAUGCUUGUGCUACCCUUUCUUUCUUGUUUCUGAUGAUGGCUUGCAGGGUUUCAUCAUCAUAUUCAUCACUUCACUCUGAUGCAGAUGGGACUGCGAUGAUUUUACUGGGGCUGGGCAGAGGUGCAGGUUCAGCAGUUGUCAAAGUCUUCACAAGAGGUGUUGAAGACUUUGUCUCCGAGCUAGUUGUAGCUGGGAGUGAGGAGCUGGAGCUGGCGGUCGUUGGCUUCACGACAUGCUUCGGUACUGGUUUCUCUUGAGGCUUUGGAGUUGGAGCUGAGGAUUUUGAUACUGAGGAGAUUGGUGCAGAGGGCUUUGGCGCUGAUGGUUUUGGUGUUGAAGGUUUUGGUAAUGAGGGUUUUGGUGCUGAGGGUUUUGUGACAGAAGUCCGAGAAGACUUCUCUUGAGGCUUUGGAGCCUUUGGCUUUGAUGGCGCAGACUACAUUUGAGGAAUCUCUGAGCCUGAGGUUUCUGCAGUAGAGGAAUGAGCAGCACCGGAGGCAGCAGCUGAGGAUUCAUUGAAUUUCCUCACUGCAGCUUCUGCUUGCCUCUUGAGCUUGGCCAGAUGCUUUUCUUUUUCAUCUGGAUAGUCAUCAAUGGUCUUGAGGCUUGAUGGAUGUGCUUCUUGAUGAUCCUCAAGUGGGGCCCUUCUGCCAGGAAGCUUCAAAGCGAAUUUCUUCGCAUAUUUGGGAGUCACAAACCUGUAUUCCUUCCAUUCCUUCGCCCAUCGGCGUUCAAUCUUCUGCAGUCGUAUUUUUCUCUUGGCCAUUGUUUCAUGUUCAUCAGGCGUGCAAUAGUCCAAGUAAAUGUCCUCAGGGAUAUCAGCAGCUGUGUUUUGCUCAAGUUUCUUUCCUCCCUUCUGUUUUCUGUCUUCCUCCAUUUUCUUCAGUUGAGGAUUUUGCUGAUGAUUUUGAACUCUUGAGGAUUCUGAUGAGCCUUGAAGAGUUUCUUCCAGAAAUGCUGCAAAUGAGUUAAUGUGAUGAGAACCGAGAGAUUCAUCAGCUGACAUGUGUGUACCUGAGAACAGAGUAUGGUUGCGAGGAAUUUGGAGAGGUCAUAUGCGUUCUCAUAUUUCAGGAAAAUGAAAAAGUUUGACAGUUUGAGGAAUAUAACCAGUGGUUGAGGAAUUUGCCUAAGCAUACUGUUCUUGGGUUCCAGAGUUGUACAGAUCCGAAAAUUCGAACAAUUGAGGAAUCUCGUGAUAGUCUUAGAUGCUUAGCAUAGUUCAUCAAUGAUUGUGGUGAUAUGUAGUGUUCGAGGAAUCAUGUGCGCGUCGUAUCUUGAGGAAAAACAGAUUUCACAUAGAAGAUGUAAAAUUUCAGAUCUAAUCUGCUGUAAAAAUGGGAUAUAUUUACCCUGGAAGGUGUGUACGAAGAACACAGAAAGUAGUGUUGGAGAGGCUCUUCGUUCGAGUGUCCAAUGCACCCUAACUUGGCGACAUAGGACGUCUACGGCGGCGGCGGACGAAGAUGAUCCGACUCCGGCGUGAUUCUGGCGACGAAGAGGUCAAGGCAGUGAAGCUCUUCCUCACCGGCGGCAAGACUACCAGCGGUGGCGCUAGGGUUCGGUGGAGUGUGCUGUGGCAAGAGAGCGAUGAGGCGAAGAAGAGGAUACCGAGGGAGAUAAGGACAUAUUUAUAGCCCAAAAGUUACUGUUUGGCGCGAAAAUGUCGGACCAAAUAGCCCCUACCUCUACGUCUCCGCACGACACGUGUAGCUCCCGUACGAUGCGGUGGAGAUAGUGGAGAUCGUGGUUAUCCGAUCGUGGGAAGUGGGGGUUCAGUUACUGUGUCUUUAAAGAAACAAUUUUUGAAGAUUUGAGGAUUUUUGUUACAAAAUCAUCAGCUGACAAGGACGCAGUGAGGAUUUUGAACAAAGUUUCAAAUAGAACGCAUAUGAAGAAUUGAAUAGACUGGAUAAGUAUGGCAUAGAGGGAAAGAAGGGUCCGAUCACAUUCACUUAGCAGAAACAUCAACUUGAAGAAAUAGCCAUAAGUGAAUGUUGUUGAGGACUAGAAAUCACAGUCUACCUAGUCAAAUGAAAGUCAUCAAGUGUUUUUGAAGAUUUUGUAAUAAAUCAUCACAAUGAAGAACAAUUGUUUUGAAGAAAAACACAUUUUGAGGAAUUUCACAUAGGGCGGUGGCGUUACCCACCAUAUAAGAAUGUUGAUUACAAACGCCGCGUACAAUUGUCGUAGGGCCCUCAGAAUCAAUUUCUUCGUUAAUUUCUUCACAUUCAGAGUGACAUUCUUCAUCAGUUGAAGAAAAUCGAUUCAUCAUGUGUUGCACAUCUAAGUCAUCAACUUUGCAUAAGUGUUAGGAUGUGUGCAUGUUUUUAUAAAACAUUUGAAGAUUCUAAGAUAUUUAGCUCACACCGCAACUUGCAAAACCUUUUCUCAUCCAAGGGCUUAGUGAAGAUAUCUGCUAGUUGAUCAGUCUUCACAUGGUCGAUGAGGAUAUUGCCCUUGAGGACAUGGUCCCGAAGAAAAUGAUGACGAAUCUGGAUGUGCUUGGUCUUCGAGUGUUGUACUGGGUUGUAUGCAAUCUUGAUAGCACUCUCAUUGUCACAGUAGAGAGGUACAUUCUUCAUGUUGAUGUUGUAAUCCUUGAGGGUUUGCUUCAUCCAUAGCAAUUGAGCACAGCAAGAACCAGCAGCAAUGUACUCAGCUUCGGCAGUGGAGAGUGAUACGCAGUUCUGCUUCUUUGAGGACCAGCAAACUAGUGACCUUCGGAGGAAAUGGCAUGUGUGAGAAGUUGACUUGCGAUCCACACGGUCACCAGCAUAGUCAGAAUCAGAAUACCCUACCAGAUGAAGAUUGGAGCCCUUGGGAUACCAUAAUCCUAGUGUUGGUGUGUGAGCUAAGUAUCGAAGAAUAUGUUUCACAACCUUAUGGUGUGAUUCCUUCGGUUUUGCUUGAAAACGUGCACACAUGCAAACACUAAGCAUUAUACCUGGCCUAGAUGCACAUAGAUACAAUAAGGAGCCACUCAUAGAACGGUAUACCUGCUGAUCGAAAUCUUAACCAUUUUCAUCAGUGCCGAGGUGGCCGUUGGUAGGCUUUGGAGUCCUGGCACCUUUGCAUUCGUGCAUGUCGAAUUUCCUCAGAACAUCCUUGAGGUAUUUCUCCUGUGAUAUGAAGAUUCCAUCGCUUUGUUGACGAAUUUGAAGACCUAAGAAGAAUUUCAGCUCCCCCAUCAUGGACAUCUGAUAUUCUUCACUCAUCAUAUAGGCAAAUUCAUCACUGUAUCUUUUGUCAGUACAGCCAAAUAUAAUAUCAUCGACAUAUAUUUGACACACAAAUAGCUCAUUAUCAUAGGAUUUAGUGAAAAGAGUUGGAUCGAGUGAACCAGGUUUGAAGCCUUUCUUCAUGAGGAAUUCCUUCAAUGUAUCAUACCAUGCCCGAGGGGCUUGCUUGAGGCCAUACAAAGCCUUUUUGAGUCUGAAGACUUUGUCUCGAUUCUUUGGAUCCUCAAAACCUGGGGGCUGAGCAACAUAUACUUCUUCCUCAAGCUUACCAUUGAGGAAUGCACUUUUCACAUCCAUUUGAUAUAAGGUGAUGUUAUGAUGAUUAGCAUAAGCAAGUAAUAUUCGAAUAGCUUCAAGUCUAGCAACAGGUGCAAAAGUUUCAUCGAAAUCUAUUCCUUCAACCUGGGUGUAGCCUUGGGCUACAAGUCGUGCCUUGUUCCUCACCACUUGACCGUCCUCAUCUUGCUUGUUUCGGAAAAUCCACUUGGUGCCGAUGAUGUUGUGCUCGCGAGGAUAUGGUCGUUUGACGAGCUCCCAUACGUCAUUCAGCUUGAAUUGAGGAAGUUCGUCUUGCAUACCUUGGAUCCACUCCGGUUCCAGAAAAGCCUCAGCAACUUUUGAGGGUUCUGUGAUGGAUACAAAGGAGAAAUGCCCACAAAAUUUAACUAAGUGUGAAGCUUUUGAGCGAGUGAGAGGACCUGGCGCGUUGAUGUCGUUGAGGAUUUUGUCAAGUUCAACUUCGUUUGCAAUCCUUGGAUGAGCUGGUUGAGGAUUUUGUCUGGGCUGAGGAAGUGGUGCUGAUGCAAUUUCCUCAGGAACAUCUUCUUGGUUUUUAUCAGCGACGGGGAUCGUUUCUUCAUCAAUUUCCUCAGAUGGAACAAUGUCUUCAGUAGGCUUGAGCUUUAUUGCUUCCUCAGGAGACAGCUUAUCUGUAUCAGAAGGCAAUUGCUCUCUUUGCGAGCCAUUAGUUUCAUCGAACCGCACAUCUACAGUCUCAACAACUUUGUUGUGAUAGUUGUUGAAGACUCUGUAAGUGUGCGAGUCCUUUCCAUAAGCGAGCAUAAAACCAUCAUGUGCCUUAGGUGCAAAUUUUGAGCUGUGGUGAGGAUCUCUAAUCGAGCAUUUUGCACCGAAGACUUUGAAAUAACUUACAUUGGGUUUCUUGUCAGUGAGGAGUUCAUAUGAGGUUUUCUUGAGGAAUUUGUGAAGAUAUACCCUGUUGAUGAUAUGGCAUGCAGUGUUGAUUGCUUCAGGCCAAAAGCGACGAGGAGUCUGAUAUUCUUCAAGCAUGGUUCUCGCCAUUUCAACCAGAGUCCUGUUCUUCCUUUCGACAAUACCAUUUUGCUGAGGAGUAUAAGGAGCACACAAUUCGUGAGUAAUACCAAGUUCAUCAAGAUAAUCAUCAAGACCAGUGUUUUUUAAAUCGGUUCCAUUAUCACUCCUGAUAUGUUUGAUCUUGAUGCCAAAGUUCGUCGAGGCCCUUGAAGAAAAUCGUUUGAAGAUUUCCUGCACUUCAGUUUUAUACACUAUAAUAUGCACCCAAGUGUAUCUGGAAUAAUCAUCAACUAUGACAAAGCCAUAUAGAGAUGCUGCAUUGGUUAGUGUGGCAUAGUGAGUAGGUCCAAAUAAAUCCAUAUGAAGCAAUUCGAAUGGACGUGUAGUGGUCAUGAUGGUUUUGGAGGGAUGCUUGGAUCUGGUCAUUUUCCCAGAUUCACAAGCACCAUAGAGAUGAUCCUUGAGGAAUUUGACUGAUUCGAUGCCGAUGACAUGCUUCUUCUUCGCGAGCGUGUGCAAAUUCCUCAUGCCUGCAUGACCUAGUCUUCGGUGCCACAGCCAUCCUUCUGAGGUUUUUGCUAGUAAGCAAGUGGCUGGUUGAGGACCUGUAGAGAAAUCAACAAUGUACAAAUCCCCUCUUCUUACACCUUCGAAGACUUUGGAUCUAUCAGAUUCCAUGAUGACUACACAUCUAUAUCUACCAAAGAUAACAAUCAUAUCAAGAUCACAAAGCAUUGAGACUGACAUAAGGUUAAAACCAAGGGAUUCAACAAGCAUCACUUUGUCCAUAUGCCUAUCCUUGGAAAUAGCCACUUUGCCAAGUCCCAAUACCUUGCUUUUACCUUUAUCAGCAUAUGUGAUUUGCUUCAGAGGUGAUGGAGUUAGUGGCAUAUUCAUCAGUAAGCUUUUAUCACCAGUCAUGUGAUGUGUGCAGCCACUAUCGAGAACCCACUCAGUAUUUUUGGGCUUGUCAUCCUACAGAUGAAUUAGUACAGGUUACCAUCUCAUAUGCUUCAGAUUUGAAGAAUAUGAUACUAAGUUCAUCAGUUCAGUAAUUUCAUCAUAACAGAAAUGUAAGGGCGUGUGAAAUAUUUCUAUUUCAUCAAUCAUUAGCUUGCGUCCUAUCAAGCAUUUCUUGAGGUCUCCAGCAAAUUCUUCAGAUGAUGAUUUUCAUCUGGAGACCUGACCUGCAGAAGUGAUUAGCUUGAUUUCUUCACCACCCACAUCUGAAGGGGUGGCAAAGCGUUCAGCAUCCUGCGAGCACCAUAUGAGAAAGGAGGCAUUGAAGCUAAUGCACUUCUUUUAACAGUAGGGGGAUUAAAGUACUCAUAUGAAUAUGCAGAGAACUGGUUUGAGGAUUUAUGAACAUAAUGAUUUGAGGAGUAACGCUCAUAUUCAUAUUCCUUGUAGUUUCCCUGCAUGUUAGACGCAUAAGCACGGGUACGAGCAUAGUUUUGACCAGUUGAGGAUUUUGAUCCUCUUGAAGACUUUGGUCCUCGUGAGGAAUUUGAUCUGGGUUCAGAUUCUUCAGUGGUGGUGUCAUGAGGACAUUCACCUGAAGAUUUUCAAGACAGCUUUUGGGAACCCAGAUUUUCCUCAGAGGAGAGCCAUUCCUGCAGUUAGUUCCAACAUAUCGAGCAAAUACUUCACCAGAUUGAUUUUUGAACAGUUUAUAGUUGGAAUCAAGUGACUCAUCCGAGGAAUAGGAUAGUUCACUUGAAAAGCCAGUUAGAUUAGAUGGAUCAAAAGGAGGCCGAGUAGCAGCAACCCAUGAGGUUUUGGGAUACUGCUCAGGUUUCCAAAAAGAUCCAUCAGCAUUUAGUUUCCUCUCAAAGGCAAUUCCUUCUUUCCUCGGGUUCCUAUUCAAGAUCUGCUUUUUGAGCACAUCACAAAGGGUUUGAUGUCCUUUGAGGCUUUUGUACAUGCCUGUCACGUACAAUUCCUUCAACCCUGCAUUUUCAUCAGUAACAUUUGUGUUUUCCUCAAGUGAGGAAAUAGACACAACAGGUGCAGUUGAAGAAUUUGUAGCAAUGGUAGUAUUUGAAGAUUCUGUUGAGGAAUUAGCAGUUUCGCGUUCAAUGCAUUUAAGACAUGGAGGAAUAAAUUCAACUUGACUAGCGAUGAUCUGUUGAGCUAGUAAUGAAUCAUUUUCCAUACGAAGAUCAUCAUGAGACAUCCUCAGCUUCUCAAGAUCAAGCUUCCUUUGAAUAAAUUCAUAGGAAAGCUUCUCAUGAUCAGUGAGGAGUGUAUCAUAAUGAUCCUGAAGAUUAUCAAAUCUAGACUGAAGACUUUUCAUGUCAUCAGUGAGGAUUUGGGUAAGGUUCAUUUCAUCAUUCAACAGAUCAUCACUUUUGUCUAGCAGUUUCUGAAGCUUUUCCAGAGCAGUUUGUUGUUUAGUGACAAUCAUAGCAAGUUUACUGUAACUGGGUUUCUUAUAAUCAUUAGGUUCACAGUCACUUGAAUCAGAGGAGGAGGCAUUAUUUGAUACCUUUGAUCCUUUUGCCAUGAAGCAAUAGGUUGGAGCGAAGUCAUCAGCAUAGUCAUCAGUAUGGAUGGUGCAAUCAUUUUCUUCAAGAUUGAAGAUUGACUUGCUGACGAAGGUGGUUGCCAGUGCAAGACUAGCCUGUCCAGAUUCUGAGUCUUCUUCAGACCCAUCUUCUUCAUCACCUUCCUCUGAUUCUGCUUCGGAGUCCAUUUCUUUGCCAAUAAGUGCCCGAGCCUUUCAGAAACUAGUCUUCUUGUGCGAUGAGGGCUUUGAAGAUGACGAUUUUGAAGAUUUCUUCUUCUUCUUCGAGUCAUCAGAACUGUCAUCCUUGUAUUUCUUCUUCUUUGAUUCCUUUGCCCAACGGGGACAAUCAGCAAUGUAAUGACCUGAUUUCUUGCACUUGUGACCGGUUCGUUUCUUGUAGUCCUCAUAUGCAGAUUCUGAUUUCCUCAUGUCUCUUCUUGAAGAUUUACCGAACUGACCUCGUCGUGUAAAUCUCUGGAAUUUCCUUACGAGCAUUGCAAGCUCCUGUCCAAAUUCUUCAGGGUCACAAAUGUUGUCAUCUGUGUCUUCGUCUUCAGAUAAGGAAAUUGCUCUAGCCUUCACUGCACGUGGUCUGGAAUAGCUUGAUCCAUAUAGAUCUCUCUUUUCUUCUAGCUGGAAUUCAUGAGCAUUGAGUCUUUCGAGUAUAUCAGCUGGAUCAAGCAUCUUGUAGUCUGCUCUUUCUUGAAUCAUCAUAACUAAAGUAUCAAAUGAAGAAUCCAAAGAUCUUAGCAGUUUCUUCACAACUUCGUGAUCAAUAAUGUCUCGAGCUCCGAGUGCUUGCAGUUCAUUUGAUAUGUCAAUGAGGCGAUCAAAGGUAUCUUGGCAGCUUUCAUUGUCAAGCCUCUUGAAGCGAUUGAAGAGAUUGCGAAGAACAUUAACACGAGAAUCACACUGGGUUGAUACUCCUUCAUUAACUUUGGACAGCCUUUCCAAGAUAAGUUUUCCUGAGCCCAAAGCACUCACUCUGCCAUACUGGCCCUUGCUUAGAUGACCACAGAUGAUAUUCUUCGCUUGAGAAUCAAGUUUCUUGAAUUUCUUCACAUCAGCGGCAGAGACAGUAGCGAUGACGGUAGCGACACCAUGUUCCACAAUAUACCAUUGAUCAUUGUCAAUAGCUUGUAGAUGCAUAUGCAUCUUGGUCUUCCAGAAGGGAAAGUCCUUUCCUUCGAAAGUAGGACAUCCUGUAGUAACCUUGAUCAUGCCUGCAGUCGACAUAACUAAAACUCCAGGUGGUUAAACCAAAAUCACACAGAACAAGGGAGUACCUUGCUCUGAUACCAAUUGAAAGUGCGUUAUAUCGACUAGAGGGGGUGAAUAGGAGAUUUUUAGAAUUUCAUCACUGAGGAAAUUCCUUUUGAGGAAAUUCCUCACUGAUGACUAACUUGGAGCGGAAACAGCAAAGGAUCAGGAGUGCAAACUAUCACUACAGCAGUUUUCAAGGUGAAGAAUAUCAAAAACAGUUUGCACAGUAUGCAGGCACGGAGAAAACAGGUGAGGAUUAACUCGCGCGAAGAAUUUGGGGUUGAGGAAUUUCAUAGAAAGUCUUCAGCAAAUUCUUCAAACAGUGACAGUGAAAAUCGUCAACAUACAAUAUGAGGAAUUGAAAGAGUUGAAGAAAUAGAACACGUUUCACAGUGAAGACAGUGGUUGAUGACCCAAUUCCAACUACUGUGACAGUUGUACAUCUGGUUUGGAGCGGCUUGGUAUUGAAACCAAAAGACACACAGUCCCGGGACACACAGUCCCUACCGUAUUCUCCUUGGGCUAAGAACACACAGUCCUUGCCCAACACUCGUGGUAAGUCUUCAGGGCAGACUUCCAAACCCUCACAAACUUGGUCACCUGGCGAUCCACAAUUGACUGCUGGAUUGCUCUAGACCAUGACGCCUAACCGUCUGGAGGAUGCACGGUCCUCAAAGGUAAAAGGCUUCAGUCCCACACUGGAACAACUUCUUCAGUGAUGCUCAAUCACUUGGUUUUUGGUUUGUGGUUUGGUGUUUGGGGUAUUUCCUCACUGAUGAAUUACUCUCGAAGACUCUGAGGAAUUUGGGUUGCUCUUAUGACAAGUGUCAGUUUCCAACGGAGCAGCCAACCAGCUAAUGGUUGUGGGGGCGGCUAUUUAUAGCCUGGGAGCAUCCCGACAUGAUUUGACAUUAAUGCCCUUAAAAAUGACCGUUGGUGUGGAUAAGUGUCACGCCCAAGAUGCGACCCUAUCCUCAAUUUGGCACGAGGCCUCGUCAGGGAUAGAAGCGCAUCUCGUCGUGUCGCAAGAAUGGAUAUCCUUACAAGUACAUGUACUGAAAAGAAGAGAUAUAUAAAUAGAGUUGGCUUACACUCGCCACAAGCUACAUCAGAGUCACAGCAGUACAAUACAUAAUCAUCAUGAAGAAGAGCAGGGUCCGACUUCUGACGGAAACAAACGAGAAAAGAAGAACGACGUCCAUCCUUGCUAUCCCAGGCUGCCGGCCUGGAACCCAUCCUAGAUCGAUGAAGAAGAAGAAGAAGCAACUCCAAAUGAACAAACAACGCGCUCGCGUCGAGUAACCUUUACAUGUACCUGCAACUGGUGUUGUAGUAAUCUAUGAGCCACAGGGGACUCAGCAAUCUCAUUUACAAAUGUAUCAAGACUAGCAAAGCUUAAUGGGUGAGAUAUGGUUAAGUGGUGAGGUUGCAGCAGCGGCUAAGCAUAUAUGAGGUGGCUAAACUUACGAGUACAAGAAAUAAGAGGGGACGAUCUACGCAUAACGGACGUGACUACUGAUAAUCAAAUGAAUGAUCCUGAACACCUACCUACGUCAUACAUAACCCCACCGUGUCCUCGAUCGGAGAAAGAACUCACAUAAGAGAUAGUCACGGUUACGCACACAGUUGGCAUGUUUUAAUUAAGUUAACUUCAAGUUGUCUAGAACCAGUGUUAAACAAAGUUUCCACGUUGCCACAUAACCGGGAGCACGGCUUUUCGAAAUAUUUAACCCUGCAGGGGUGCUCCAACUAGUCUAUCACAAAUUACCACAAGCCGCAUAGAAAUCCUCAAUCACGAAGCUCGCAAUCUCGUCGGAUUCCCUAAUGGAAAGCCUCAACUCUGAGAUUACCCAAAGCAUCACCGGAAUCCCGAUGCACAAGGUAUCUCGUCAAAGGUAAAAUUAAUCCAGCAAGGUCGCCUGACGUGUCGACGAACCCGAUAGGAGCCGCGUAUCUCGUUCUCAGCACACGAUGGAUGGAAAAGCCUACACGUACCAAACCUCGAGUUGCCCCGUGGUGGCCCUGCAGUCUGCCCUUUUGGGACCAACACCAUCAGCACUGCCCCCCCCCCUGUUUAUGUAAAAUUACUCCUCGGGUAGCGCUAACUCCCUAUGCAUUUCAGUGUUAACAAAGCUAUUAUGUUGGGCAAAUGUAGAACCAAUGUUGGGCCUUGCCAGACCAGCUUUAAUCUAAAACGAAUUAUCAAGGGGGUCCCCAUAACAACCCAGGUCGUGUUAGGAGCGCUCAAUUAUGGAACGUAACACCGGUAGCCGAAACUAAGGGGGCAAAGGUGGAACAAAACACCAGGCUAGAAAGGCUGAGCCUUCCACAUUUUACCAAGUAUAUAGGUGCGUUAAAUUAAAUAGCAUUAAUAUGGUGAUAUAACAAGGAGCCCAUGUUUUCACAUGGAAGCAACUGCACCUGCAACUAGCAACGCUAACACAGGGUUAAGCAAGCGGUAACAUAGCCAAUCAGUGGUUUGCUAGGUUGAACAGGUUGAAGGUUUUUAUGGCAUUGUUGGGAGGCUGGUAUUUAACAUGUGGUAGGCAACGAGACAUAAUCGAUAGAAGCGGUAAAACUAGCAUGGCAAUGAUAGUAAUGGUAUCUCGGGAAAUGGUCAUCUUGCCUGAGAUCCCGCUUGGAAGAAGAAUGACUCCGUGAAGCAGACGAACCGACGUAGUCGAACGGGUCCUCACAUCCAACACGCUUGCGGAACUCUAUCGAGAUGAAGGAAACCGGAAACAAGAAUCAACACACGAAAUUCACCACCGAUGCACAACACAAAUGAUGCAUGAGCAGUUGAACACAAGCAAGACACGGCAUGACAAUUCACAACAAUCAAACACUACACAUUAAGUGAAGUUCAAUAUGCAACGAGUUGCAUAUUGACGAAACUCCACGUUUAUUUAUUUAGUUCUAUCCCGAUUAGGUACACGGCAAUAUUAAAUGUGGUUAAACAUGGCAAGAGGUGAAGCGCAAUUAAACUACCUAUCUAGGCAUUUUAAAUGAGGUCGGAAAUGACAUAUAGCACCUCCAAAACGACCUCACAUGUUAAUUUACAAUUCUGUCCAGAUCUGAACUAACACCUUUAAUUAGUUGUUAAACAAUAAAACAAAUAGUUUCACGUGAUUCUACGCGUCGUGACAAGCAAUUUACACAUAGAGAACAUCUCCAACGGAGCCACGGAUCAAAAGAUACAAGCACCGCAAGAUAUGAUGGCAUGAAUGCAAUAUGUGUGCAACGAUGGUCACGAGCACUUCAAAACAUACAUCCAGCAAGAGGAAAUGAAACUACACGAGAUUCUAAGCAAGUUUCAUAUAGGACACGAUCAAAUCGGAGCUACGGUUCAACAACUACGAGCAAAACAAGAAAUCACUACAAUCUGCCAAAAUCAGCCACAUAGCAUUUUCUACACCCCACAACUACGAGCUACACAACUCAACUAUAAUCAACCAAGGCAUGACACGAAAGAGGGCAAGAAGCACUACAACAAACAACUAACAACAACUAGCAUGGCACCAAGGAACACUAGGAAAAGAAGACACAACAUGGCAUCUCACACACUAUUUCAGACUUAGUGAAAAUUACACUUCAUGAAAGUGCAGUUUUCGAUCUGAAGCCAUAUUGACAGCAGCAAAACCAUAAGCUACAGAACUCCAAAUGGCAUGAAAAUUCACAGCAUGCUAGAGAAUCACAAGGACUACAACUUACUCCAUUACACCAACCUCAAAAGAGCUACAGAACAAAAUAUAGAAGCAAGACAAGACAGCAACAAAAUAUAACAGAUCUCAGACUUAGAAAUAUUUCAGCACCUAUAAAUCAGCACUAUUUCUAGUAACUUGAGAGCAAGCAAACCAUACCUAAACAUGCAUUUCUAUUGCAACCAAAAAUACCAGGGGCUAGACUAAACAUCCAAGGACAACUCUCUAGUUGACAACUUAAUCAAACGAAGCACGGAACAAAUCCUACGAAAAUGACAAGAGGGCAACAUAGAAAAAUAUCGCGCGAACUAACUUACUCUAAUGCUAAAACUAAUUGCACAAAAAAAUCACAUGGAUUUUUGUCACGCCCAAGAUGCGACCCUAUCCUCAAUUUGGCACGGGGGCCUUGUCAGGGAUAGAAGCGCAUCUCGUCGUGUCGCACGAAUGGAUAUCGUUACAAGUACAUGUACUAAAAAGAAGAGAUAUAUAAUAGAAUUGGCUUACACUCGCCACAAGCUACAUCAGAGUCACAUCAGUACAGUACAUAAUCAUCAUGAAGAAGAGCAGGGUCCGACUACGGACGAAAACAAACGAGAAAAGAAGAACGACAGCCAUCCUUGCUAUCCCAGGCUGACGGCCUGGAACCCAUCCUAGAUCGAUGAAGAAGAAGAACAAGAAGCAACUCCAAAUGCUCAAUCAACGCGCUCGCGUCAAGUAAUCUUUACAUGUACCUGCAACUGGUGUUGUAGUAAUCUGUGAGCCACAAGGGACUCAGCAAUCUCAUUUCCAAAGGUAUCAAGACUAGCAAAGCUUAAUGGGUGAGGUAUGGUUAAGUGGUGAGGUUGCAGCAGCGGCUAAGAAUAUAUUUGGUGGCUAAACUUACGAGUACAAGAAAUAAGAGAGGGAAUAUCUACGUAUAACGGACAUGAACUACUGAUGAUCAAAUGAAUGAUCCUGAACACCUACCUACGUCAGACAUAACCCCACCGUGUCCUCGAUCGAAGAAGGAACUCAUGAAAGAGACAGUCACGGUUAUGCACACAGUUGGCAUAUUUUAAUUAAGUUAACUUCAAGUUAUCUAGAACCAGUGUUAAACAAAGUUUCCACGUUGCCACAUAACCGCGGCCACGGCUUUCCGAAAAGAUUUAACCCUGCAGGGGUGCUCCAACUAAUUCAUCACAAAUUACCACAAGCCGCAUAGAAAUCCUCAAUCACGAAGCUCGCGAUCUCGUCGGAUUCCCUAGUGGAAAACCUCAACUCUGAGAUUACCCAAAGAAUCACCGGAAUCCCGAUGCACAAGAUAUUUCGUCAAAGGUAAAACUAAUCCAGCAAGGCCGCCCGACGUGUCGAUGAUCCCGAUAGGAGCCGCGUAUCUCGUUCUCAGGACACGACGGAUGGAGAAGCCUACACGUACCAAACCUCGAGUUGCCCCGUGGUGGCCCCGCAGUCUGUCCAUUUUGGACCAACAUUCAUGAGGAGCACUGGACCGGGGGUUGAUUAAAUUAUCCCCGGUUUAAUUACUCCCUAUGUAGUUCAUUAGUUAUAGGCAAAUGUAGUACCAAAGUUGGGCCUUGCCAGACCAGCUUUAAUCUAAAACGAAUUAUCAAGGGGGUCCCCAUAACAACCCCGAUCGUGUUAGGAGCGCUCAUUUAUGGAACAUAACACCAGUAGCCGAAAACUAAGGGGGCAAAGGUGGAACAAAACACCAGGCUAGAAAGGCCGAGCCUUCCACCUUUUACCAAGUAUAUAGGUGCAUUAAAUUAAAUAGCAUUAAUAUAUGGUGAUAUGAUAAGGAACCCAUGUUAACACAUGGAAGCAACUGCACCUGCAACUAGCAACGCUAACAACAAGGUUAAGCAAGCACUAACAUAGCCAAUCAGUGGUUUGCUAGGUCGAACAGGUUGAAGGUAAUCAUGGCAUUGUUGAGAGGCUGAUAUUUAACAUGUGGUAGGCAACGAGACAUAAUCGAUAGAAGCGAUAAAACUAGCAUGGCAAUGAUAGUAAUGGUAUCCGGGGAAAUGGUCAUCUUGCCUGAGAUCCCGCUUGGAAGAAGAACAACUCCGUGAAGUCGGCGAACCAACGUAGUCGAACGGGUCCUCACAUUCCGACACGCUUGCGGAACUCUAUCGAGAUGGAGCAAACCGAAAAAAAACAUCAACACAGGUAUUCACCACACGAUGCACAACAUGAUGCAAACCUAAUAUGAUGCAUGAUCAGAUCAAUGAUGCAAGGGAUGGCAUGGCAAUUCACCUCACGCAAACACUACACAUUAAGUGAAGCUCGAUAUGCAACGAGUUGCAUAUCGACGAAACUCCACGUUUAAUUAUUUAGUUCACUCCCGAUUAUUUACACGGCAAUAUUUAAUUGUUGUUAACAUGGCAAGGGGUGAAGCGACGGUCCUACAUGGCAUCCUAGACGGUUAACACGCGGUGCAUAGACCGGAGCUACGUUACAAGAGACAUGCAACACAAGAUAAUUAUGCCAUGAAUGCGUCAUGCAUGCAAGUUCAAACAUCACGGGCAAGAAGAGAAAAAAACAGGUGUCGCCAUGGUGAGCGAAAGGGAACCAUGGCGGCAAGACGGAAAUGAUGCCACGGCAACGUUCCUAUCCCAAUGCACAACGAGAUGUCGUGCCAACGUGUAGGAAGCGUGUGCGGGAACGCUAAAUAAAGAUGGGGUGAUCCCGCUACCGGGUUCCCAUGUGUCGGCGGCGCGACGAAAGAGGGAGUCAACGUGCAACGAGCAAACAUAAGGCGCAAACAUACGAUACAUCUCAUACAACAUAUGCACACGGUCACGACAACGUCUCAUCGGUAUACCUUCGACGCGUGCGAAUUGGAGGGGUUCGGUUCGGUGAAGGAGAACAACGGUCGUCGUGGUCGUAGUUGUACACGGUCUCGUCGAUGGUAGUCGUUCGCUUGCGUCGGUAGACGGGUCUUUGGCGUCGGUAUUCGAACACGUUUCGCGGGUCGUCGAGGACGUCGUUGUGCACGGCGAUCUUGUCGGUCCCACCGCAGAGGGGAACGGCGCACGCGGUCUUCGGCGACAUAACCAGGGACAGCAAACGGCAACGCGACGCAAGCAGCAACAGCAGCAAGCCACAGCGACACAACAGCAUGGCAAACUAGCAUGCAGCAACCAGCAUCCUAGCAUCUAACUAGCGUCCGCAAGCAACAAACUGCAAGAGCUAGCAUAGCAACUAGCAGGCAGCAGGAACAGCAGCACUAGCAGGCAAGCAAAACGGCAGCAAAUAGCAAAGGCAACAGGGCACAACUGGCAGCACCUACAUCGGGCAGCUACACCUAGCAGCAACGGCAUGCAUCAGCACCCAGCAUCUACAGCAGCAACACCACCAGCGAGGCAGGCACGCAAGCGGCAAGAGCAACAGCAAAAGCAACCUGCAGGCAACAGCCACGGCAGCAGCACGCUACGGUAGCGGCGCAAGCAGGCAACGGCCCGGCAGCAAGGGCAACAGCAACUGUGGCGGCAUGCAUCGGCCAGCAGCACGAGCACAACAACACCAAGCGGUCGGCAACGACAGCAGGUCAAAACAUAUAAAAUAUGUGGGGUUGCGCAACAAAUAUAUUGCCACAUGUAAAUGCGAGAUAAUGGCCUAGACACGGAAAAUAAUCUAGCGGCAAAUCCCUACACGCAAAAAUACCAACGGCUACUCUAAAAUACAUGGAAAAGUGGUUCCUAAAACAUGGACAUUUCUACUACGGCAUUCGAGCAAUCCGGGCACGCGCGAAAAAAAUAACUACGGGCAAAACAAUAUAGACAGCACACGUAUCUAGGCAUAUGGCACGCUAAACGAUGUCAAACAAUUAUGCAAGUUUUAUAAUCGGAUUCUACGCGCAAAACUACACCAAAACCAUAUACUACACAUCGUGAUCCGACUUACGGAUAAUAAACUACGGACGUUUUAAUAUAUAGCUAUCUCUGGAAUUUAAAUAAAUUCCGAAAACUCCUAAUUACCUAAUGGGCCUAACAGGGAGCGCAGCAAAACUAAGCUACGCCACGGGCGCGGGAUAGGGCGGGGGCUCACCUGAGGGCCUCUUGGGCCUGGCGCUUGGGAAGAGGCGUGCCGAGGCCUGGGCCGAAGCGGAAGAGGAGGCAGAAGGCAUGCGCGUUGGAGGCCAAGAUGGGCUGCUGCUGCUGGGCCUCGGGGCACCGGCUGGCGCGGCCUGCUGGCGCUAGCAAGCGAGAUCCGGUUCGGCGUUGGGCCUCUCACGAGGCCACGCGGGGCGACGGGAGCCUGGGGAGGUCGGUCGGCCAGUCAACGCGGGCGAGCGAGCGCUGGAUCUGGCCGAACCAGACCGGGAGAGGCCGCGGCGACGGCGGCUGCACGUUCAGCGACGGGAGGCGGCCAAGACAAGGCGAGCAGGGAGGCGCGCAGCGGCGCAAUGGGUUCGGCAGGGCCCGCGAUGGCCAGAUCCAGCGAGGGACCAACGAUCGGCGGCGGCGCUGCUCGAGGCCGGCCUGGGCAGAGGUCGAGCAGAGGUUGUGGGACCAGAACGGCGAUGGGAGUUCGGGCCAGGAGGGCCUGCUCCGGGCCGCGGCGGGCCCUGGCGGCGGCUGGGGAAGAGAGGGCGCUGGAGAGGCGGCUGGCGCGGUUGGUGGGCGCGGAAAACGAGGCAACCGCUAGGGUUUGCCUAAAAUGGAAGGUAGAGCCUCUAUUUAUAGGAAGGGGCUAGGUUAGAGGGUAUCUCGGGGUUUUUCGACCCUCCGAUCGCGAUCGUGCAGUCCGAUCGAAGAGGCGGGUUAGGGGUAGCUGUGUAGAGUGGUGUUGGCUAAGAUGAGAGGGAAGUGGUGCGGCGCGGCAACGAUUUUUGAAACACCGAUAACCAUCCGACGGUAGACCGAAUACGGUGUCGCUAGGGUCGACCGUUCGGGUACCAGACGGACUCCGAUUGCGACGAAACUCGACAGGUGGCCUAGCUGUAUCUAAUUACGACCGCAUGCCAAGUUUCACCCCGACCAGAGAAAGUCUUACACACGCUUUUUAAAACAAGGUUUAAACGAUGCCGCGGGCGCGUGCGAGUGCAGUCGGGCUCAGAACGGACAAUGAUGUGAACCGGCAACUAACAACGGAUGCAAGUUUUGAAAACUGGCGGCAACGUAGAUGCCGAUGCAAUGCUGAUGAUGCGCAUGAUGCAAUGAUGAUGCAACAAAAGAAAAAUAGACACACGACGAAAACGGAAUAGAAGGGGAAUCUUCUGGAACGUCGGCAUGAGGCUGUCACAAUAAGAUCAUUGAUGUGGCGUGACUUGCGGUAACAUUCGGGACCCUCAAGUGUGAGAGUCCUCAUGUCUCUUGUAUUCCUCACUUGAGGCUUUUGGUAGGAUUAGGCUUGGGUUGAGCAUCAUGAGGAAAUUCAUUCCGACGUGUAACUUUGACCCCCUUUAACAGUACGGUGUUCCUAUGACUCAAAAGUGAAGAAAAUAAAACAGACAGAAUAAAUCUUCAUGCUUCAAAAUCUUCAGAUUGUUUUUCUUCAGGACACACCGAAUUCCUCAUCUUCAAUUUCUUCAUGAGGAAUAUCAAUUUCAUCGCAAUUUCUUCACGGUUCAAUUCUUCAGCUUCAAACCAAUUUCUUCAGCCGAAGAUAUACAUUUUUAGGGGUCGAUAUUCAUCGAAUAUUUCAAACUCCUCGGCGACUUAUAGAUCAUGUGUACACUCAUGAACACAUUAGAUACUUAACCUAUAAGUCUUCAAACCACCAAAAUCACUAAGGGGCACUAGAUGCACUUACAUGAUGUUGUAUUACCGAGUGGGCCCCGAGAUACCUAUCCGUCACACGGAGUGACAAAUCCCAGUCUUGAUGCAUGUCAACCCAAUAGACACCUUCAGAGAUACCUGUAGAGCACCUUUAUAGUCACCCAGCUAUGUUGCGAGGUUUGAUACACACAAGGUAUUCCUCCGGUGUUCGGGAGUUGCAUGAUCUCAUGGUCAUAGGAACAGAUAUAUUGGCAUGGAGAAAACAAUAGCAAUAAACUGACACGAUCGUAUGCUACGUUUAUAGUUUGGGUCUUGUCCAUCACAUCAUUCUCCUAAUGAUGUGAUCCCGUUAUUAAGUGACAACACUUGUCUAUGGCCAGGAAAUCUUGACCAUGUUUGAUCAACGAGCUAGUCAACUAGAGGCUCACUAGGGACAGUGUGUUGUCUAUGUAUCCACACAUGUAUUUGAGUUUCCAAUCAAUACAAUUCCAGCAUGGAUAAUAAAGGAUUAUCAUGAAUAAGGAAAUAUAAUAAUAACCAAUUUAUUAUUGCCUCUAGGGCAUAUUUCCAACAAUCUCCCACUUGCACUAGAGUCAAUAAUCUAGUUCACAUCACUAUGUGAUUGCAAUGAAUCUAACACCCAUGGGGUUUGAGCAUAUCUUGCUUGUGAGAGAGGUUUUAGUCAACAGGUCUGAACCUUUCGGAUCCGUGUGUACUUUAGAAAUCUCUACGUCAUCCUAUAGAUGCUGCUACCACACAUCAUUUGGAACUAUUCCAAAUGGCUGCUCCACUAUACGAAUCCGGUUUACUACUCAUAGUUAUUCGGAUUAGUGACAAAGCUUGCAUCGACGUAACCCUUUAUGACGAACUCUUUAAUCACCUCCAUAAUUGAGAAAAAUUCCUUAGUCCACUAGUUACUAAGGAUAACUUUUGACCGUUGUCUUAGUGACUCAAUCAUGGAUCACUCUUUGUACCCCUUGACAGACUCAUGGCAAGGCACACAUCACGUGCGGUACACAGCAUGCCAUACUUCAGAGCCUACGGCUAAGGCAUAGGGGACGACCUUCGUCCUUUCUCUUUCUUCUGUCGUGGUCGAGCUUUGAGUCUUACUCAAAUUCACACCUUACAACACAGCCAAGAACUCCUUCUUUGUCGAUCUAUUUUGAACUCCUUCAAAAACUUGUCAGGGCAUGCAUUUUGUUGAAAGUUCUUAUUAAGCGUCUUGAUCUAUCUCCAUAGAUCUUGAUGCUCAGUGUUCAAGUAGCUUAAUCCAGGUUUUCCUUUGAAAAACACCUUUCAAACAACCCUUUAUGCUUUCCAGAAAUUCUACAUUAUUUCCGAUCAACAAUAUGUCAACCACAUAUACUUAUCAGAAAUUCUAUAGUGCUCCCACUCACUUCUUUGCAAAUACAAGUUUUUCAUAAACCUUAUAUAAACCCAAAAGCCUUUAUCAUCUCAUCAAAGCAUAUAUUCCGACUCCGAGAUGCUUGCACCAGUCCAUAGAAGGAUCGCUGGAGCUUACAUACUUGUUAGCAUCCGUAGGAUCGACAAAACAUUCUGGUUGUAUAACAUACAACCUUUCCUCAAGGAAACCGUCGAGGAAAUAAUGUUUUGGCAUCCUAUGUGCAAUAUUUCACAAAUAAUGCAGCAACUGCUAACAUAAUUGCAACAGACUUUUAGCAUCUCUAUGAGUGAGAAAAUCUCAUCUUAGUCAACUCUUUGAACUUGUCGGAAACAUCUUUGAGACAAGUCGAGCUUUCUUAAUGGUGACUUGUCACCAUCAUCGUCUGUCUUCCUUUUAACGAUCCAUCUCUACUUAAUAGUCUUACGACCAUCAAGUAGUUCUUUCCAAAGUCUACACUUUGUUUUUCAUACAUGGAUCCUCUCUCGGGUUUCAUGGCCUCCAGCCAUUUGCUGGAAUCCGGGCCCACUAUCGCUUCUCCAUAGCUCGUAGGUUCAUUGUUGCUCAACAACAUGACCUCCAAAACAGGGUUACUGUACCACUCUGGAGCAGUACGUGACCUUGUCGACCUACGAGGUUUGUAGUAACUUGAUCCGAAGCUACAUGAUCACUAUCAUUAGCUUCCACUUCAAUUGGUGUAGGCGCCACAGGAACAACUUCAUGUGCCCUGCUAGAUACUGGUUGAAGUGACGGUUCAAUAACCUCAUCAAGUUUCCACCAUCCUCCCACUCAAUUCUUUCGAGAGAAACUUUUCCUCGAUAAAGGAACCGUUUAUAGAAACAAACAUUUUGCUUCCGGAUAGGAGAUGUACCCAACUAAGGGAUUUCAUUUUUUUGAACUUAUUUGAACUCAAGACUAUUUUUGUGUUCAAAAUGCACCAUUCAAGGCCACAUCAUCAAUUUUCAACACUUUCUGAGUUCAUUUGGUUUUUUUCAUGCAUUUACUGAUUUUUUUUGAGCUAAAUGGCCCAGAAAUUGAAAAGCACUAGAAAUGAACUCUGAAUAGGUUGAAAGUUGGCAUGGUAUCAUCAUUUCACCCACAUAGCAUGUGCUAAAAAGUUGAGAGGGUUGCGGCAAAAACUGGAUGCACUUCGUGUACAAAAGUUCCGAGGUGGGAAAUGCAUGAUACCAUGAAAAGUAGAAAAUGAAGUUAGAAAGGGCUAAACCAUUCAAAUUUGGAAACUAUAAUGGCACAAACAGAAAGUAGACAUAUAUAAAUUGGUCCAAGCAGUACAUAAUGACACUCGUCCAAACAGUACAUAAUAAUAUCUAGCAUAUAUAUAUACAAGUGUUCGCCGUUGUGAACACUACUCGUCUGAAUCAUCUGAAUCAGAAUGUCCACCUGCUCUGAGGUGACGCCGGCCAUAGUUGACGACUCGAAUCUUGCGGUACAACUCGUAUGAAAUGUAUGCAUCUUUUGAUACAUACUCAAUGUUGAUACGAUCAAGUGGGGUCUUCUCCCAAAGUCUAUGAUGAGACUUUGGGAAUUUGGUCUUCAUAUCAGCAUACUCCUCGUUGAUCAAGGCAACUGCAAUAUGAGCCAUCGAAGUCCUCUCAUGUUGAAGCCUGGAUUCCUGUUAGAAAUCAAUGAGGCAAUCAGCUGGUAUCUCAAUACUGAAGUUGUGCCUCAUCUUCAGCUUGUCGUUCGUUAUGUCAACGGUAGAAAAACGGAUGCCACUGCGAAGCAAGUCCAUGAGUUCUGGACAAGCUUGGCACUACUGCAACAGCAACAAAUUAAAAUGGAACAAAUGUUACACACUGCUGCAACAAGGAAAAAUGUUUCACUACAACUAAAGAGAAAAUUAUCUCUAGGAUUCAAAUGGAACAUAUUGCUAUCCUAUGCAAUUUUCAUAUCCUAUGAAUUGAAGACGAAACCAUAAAUUAACUAUGACAUAUAUAUAUAUAUAUANCAUAUUGCUAUCCAAUGGAACCUAGAGAGAUCACUAUAGCUAUCCAAAUGGAACCUAGAGAGAUCACUAGCUAUAUGCAAUUUUCGUAACUAUGACAUAUCAUAUUGCUAUCCAAUGGAAGCUAGAGAUAUCACUAGCUAUAUGCAAUUUUCAUAACCUUGGAUCAAAGAACGCCGCAUAAAAUUGUUUCACUACAACUAAAGAGAAAUUGAUCUUUAUAGGAUUCCAAAAUGUAACAUAUAGCUAUCGAUCCUAUGCAAUUUUCAUAUCCUAUGAAUUCAUCAAGAAACCCUCAAUUAAAUAUCCAAUGGAACAUAUAUAGAAACUGCAUAUUUCUAUCCAAUGGAACCUAAAGAAAUCACUAUAUAUAUGCAAUUUUCAUAACCUUGGAUCGAAGAAAGCCUGAAAACAUACCUCGCCCAUUGGAAGAUCAACACAUGGUGUUUGAAACAUAGUUGGAUGACGGCAACACCUCGUUGAUCGGGCGUGUACUCCAGAUCAAGCCCCAAGAACUUCUCAUGAUCCACCACGUCGUCAAGCCAUCGUUCCUUCAACUGUCUAAGAAAAUGCAGCACCUCCCUGCUCUCGUUCGUGUACACGACAUCGAGCUUGUUCUUGCCAUGUGCGAGCACCUCUGUGAAGCGAGUUGGCAUGGUGGAAGAAGAGAAGGGAAGAAGAGAGGGGAAGAAGAGAGCGAGAGAGGAGAAGAACAGAGAAAUGGCGAGACUCUGCUUCGGUUGUGCUUUUGCGAAGCGUGAUGCAAACCAUUUGGGCCUUUAGUCCCGGAUUGAGCCACCAACCGAGACUAAAGCGUGAUACGAACGGUUGCCACCACCACUUCAUCCCGGUUUGCUCUACUAACCCGGACUAAAGGGGGAUACGAAUGGUCCACCUGGUCUGGGUUUGACCCACCAACCGGGACUAAAGGGGGAUACGAACGGUCCCUGCCUAUUGGUCAUGGUUCGUGUCUCGAACCGGGACCAAAGGGUUGACACGAAUCGGGACCAAUGGCCCAUGAUGCCCGCCUGGCGCCCUGGCCUCACGAACCGGGACCAAUGACACCAUAGGUCCCGGUUCGUGGGUGAACCGGGACUAAUGGGAUUUCUUCAAGUGAACCAAAGCCCUGUUUUCUACUAGUGCAUGGAGACGCAAGGGGAAGACCGGCGAGCUCCUGGACGCCGGUGAUGCGAGGCGGCGUCCUCUUUAUGCACCAUGGAGGAGGGGGCGCGAAUGGGCAGGAGCCCCAUGAGAGAGCCUAUGGAGAGAGGGGGAGAGUGACAUGAGAGAGGAGGAAUUUGGGGAAGGAGAUGGGGAUUUUAUACCUCGUGCAAUGAAGACCACUUAGCAGUAGUGCUUGUUUUAUACCCACGCUACUAGUAUGGCUUGGCGCGGGGGGCACAGUGAAGACCACUUAAUAGUAGUGUGGGUUUAUACUACACGCUACUACUAUCAACUUAGCAGUAGCAAGUGGCAAAAACCCGCGCUACUAGUAAGUACCCGUAGCGAGUGGUAAAAUCCACGCUACUACUAUCGACUUAGCAGUAGCGCUUGUUUUAUACCCCAUGCUACUAGUAUGGCUUGUCCCGGGGGGCACAGUGAAGACCACUUAGUAGUAGAGUGGGUUUAUACCACGCGCUACUACUAUCAACUUAAUAGUAGCGAGUGGUAAAAACCCGCUCUACUAGUAAGUACCAGUAGCGAGUGGUAAAAACCCGCGCUACUANNNNNNNNNNNNNNNNNNNNNNNNNNNNNNNNNNNNNNNNNNNNNNNNNNNNNNNNNNNNNNNNNNNNNNNNNNNNNNNNNNNNNNNNNNNNNNNNNNNNNNNNNNNNNNNNNNNNNNNNNNNNNNNNNNNNNNNNNNNNNNNNNNNNNNNNNNNNNNNNNNNNNNNNNNNNNNNNNNNNNNNNNNNNNNNNNNNNNNNNNNNNNNNNNNNNNNNNNNNNNNNNNNNNNNNNNNNNNNNNNNNNNNNNNNNNNNNNNNNNCCCGCGCUACUAGUAAGCGUAUAUCUAUAAGCUUUUUCCUAAUAGUGCAACGAAGCCGGAUGCUGAGGCUAGAUCCGCCAAGCGUCGAUCCCAUGUUCCAUGGGACGCUCCGUUGGAUAACCGAGCUGGCAUGUGUACGACGCCCAACACCAUGCAUUCGUGUCGAGCUAAAUGGGGGAAUGCAAUUUAGAGCAUCUCCAUCCCCCCUCAAGCGUGUUAUUAGGCGAAAAAUAGCGCCUCUUGGAGGCUUGUCUGCGCUAUUUUUGGCGUGAGGGGGGCUCCGGCUCCCAGCCNNNNNNNNNNNNNNNNNNNNNNNNNNNNNNNNNNNNNNNNNNNNNNNNNNNNNNNNNNNNNNNNNNNNNNNNNNNNNNNNNNNNNNNNNNNNNNNNNNNNNNNNNNNNNNNNNNNNNNNNNNNNNNNNNNNNNNNNNNNNNNNNNNNNNNNNNNNNNNNNNNNNNNNNNNNNNNNNNNNNNNNNNNNNNNNNNNNNNNNNNNNNNNNNNNNNNNNNNNNNNNNNNNNNNNNNNNCCCCCAGUUCUCCCCCAUCCACUGAGUUCCAACUCAGAUUCGGCAUAAAUUCGGCACAAAUUCGUUAACUUCAGCAUAAAUUCAACGAUGUUCAUCACUGAAACCAAUACAAAUCAAAUUAUUCAACAAAGCAAGCUCAUAAUUCGAACACCAAUUAAAACACGUCGAACUAGGUGUUGCCCUUGAGCCUUCAUAGGUGCUCCGGCGGAUCGUGCUACAGUUCUUGAUGCACCCGUGGGUCUCAGAUCUCCUGACGCAUAUUGAGGAAGUCAGCCUCUGAUGUCGGUACUUGGUGAUCAACAGCUGCAAGAGGACCCUGCUUGAAAUAUGGUUCAGUGUCAAACACUGGCUCGUCAUGCUUGCUCUCAUUGAUCAUGUUGUGUAAGAUGACACAACAAUUCAUCACCUCUCACAUCUAAUAUUUCGACCAGGUCAGAGCAGGAUACCUCACAACAACAAAUCAAGACUGGAGCACACCAAAUGCCCGCUCGACAUCCUUAUUCCAGGACUCCUCACACUUAUAGCAAAGUACGACUUCUUGCCUUUUGCACAGGGUUUGAGAUAGUAUUCACAAAUGUUGACCAUCUUGUUGUAAUGGCACCCAUUGACCUCGAAAUUCAUCGGAGGAGCAUGACCUUCAACAAACUUGGCAAAGGCAUUCGAGCAUUGCAGGACGUUGAUGUCAUUGUGAGUUCCUGGCAUACCAAAGAAGGAGUGCCAAAUCCAGAGGUUAUGUGUAGCCACUGUCUCAAGUACCACACUGCAAGUUCCUUUCACACCUUUGUACGUCCCCCUGCCAAGCAAAUGGACAAUUUUUUCCAUGCCCAAUGCAUGCAGUCGAUGCUUCCAAGCAUCCCAGGAAUCCCCUUGCUUCAUUAUGUGCUAGGAUCCAAGCAGUGUCUUCAGCAUUGGGUGAUCGCAAGUAUUAUGGUCCAAACACUCCCACCACUGCCCUACAGAACUUGUACAAACACUCAAUGAUGGCGGACUCGGCCAUGCGUCCAUAGUCUUCAUGUAUACCACCAGGAGCUUUGUAUGCAAGCAUCCCCAUAGCUGUCGUGCACUUCUGGAUUGAGGAGAAUCCAACCGUGCCGGUUGUCGUGGGUAUAAGUCUGACAGUAGAUGUGUAGGGUAUGAAAGGAUGGGCAGAGCCUUAGCUACGGCGAGGAUGUAUGAGUUCAGGCCCCUCUACGGUGGAGGUAAAAGCCCUACAUCCCAGUGCUCUUGGGAGCUUAGUGUCGAGUGGAUUAUAGGAUUACAGCAAGUGCCAACCCUUGCACCAGUGGGGAAGGGCGGCUUAUAUAGAGUGUGCUGCCCUUCAUAAUGGACCGAUGGACACGGGUGGAAUAGUGGCGAAUAAAUGUCUACGUUACAGGUAACGUAAGUCUUAAAUGCUAAUAAUGGUGUAUGAAAACGUAUGACCGUUGCCCUCCUGGGAGGUUAUGAUGUACAAAGUGGAUUCCAGUCGGUACGUUAAAUAUGCUCCGAGUGGAUCGUCGCCGACUGGAUGAUGGGGGCGUCCUUAGUUCAGUCAGAACUGUCUAAGGGCCUCGUCCUCUAUGAAGGGUAGUCCUUGAGUAGAACCUAUAGGGCAGGCCUAUGACCCUACCCUGGGACUAUAACCCCAUCAUUAGUCCCCGAAUGGAUCGGGGUUGGAACGAUGAAGUGAUGUCUGGAGUAUGGAACCGACUGGUAUGGCGGUGACUUUGGCGUUGUUUGCCUCGAUCCAUUUUAUCCUUUCAACCAGUGAUCCGAGUGAAUAUACCAGUCAAACGAACCGUCAGGGACCGAGUGCUUCCGUGGAAUCUUUCGACGUGACUGGUCAAACUGACAGCGCCGGAUUUUCCGGGAUCCUCAAAUUUUGGUUGUCGCGCGCUCAGCGGGGAUGACGACAUCGCCAUCGAGUAGGUUUUGCCUCCUCGAUUACCGCGCCUUUAUCUUCUCCACUAACCUCGCAGCGGCCGGUUGGGGGGAUAAGAUCUCGGUUCCACCUGUUAGUGACCCAGUCAGAAGCCUAUUUAAGCCUCCCCGGCGGGAUUUCCUGUUGCGCUGCUCAACCUCCUCUCAUUAAUCUCGCUCCUCCCGCAGCUCUCUGCACACCUCAAGCCUCCUCAUUCCCCUCCUCCUCUGCGAAUUCGUCGCCUUCGCCAUGACGAAGGGGCAGACCAGCAAGCUCGAGUCGCAGAAGAAGAAGAAGAAGGGGGCGGCCCCUACUCGGCGGCGGCAGCGGGCGCUGCCGGCGGGUUGGAUCCAGGGGGAUUUCCUCCCCUCCUCGGUGAUGGAGAACGACGUGUUGGAGCUGGUGGAGCAUGGCAUGGUCGUCAACAAGUCCUGGAGGCUGCCGGAAGGCGAGACGAAGCCGGCGCCGAAGGAGGGGGAGCGCGUUCUGCUGCUCAGCCAUGUGGCCAGAGGCUUCUCCUUGCCUCCCCAUCCUUUCUUCCGAGGUAUCAUGACUUACUUCGGGCGCAGCUCCAUCACUUUCCUCCGAACGCAAUAGCUCACCUUGCUGCAUUCGUCACCCUCUGCGAGUGCUUCAUUGGAUGCCCUCCCCACUGGGGACUCUUUAAGUAUGUCUUCUCCGCUAGAUCCCAAACCGUCAAAAAGCUUAGCCAGUCGGACGAUAAGACCCACAUCCUCCAGCUCUGCGGGGGUUUAGGCUUCCAGAAGAAAACAAAGAGUAGCUAUCCCUCUCUCCAGCUAUUCGAGUCAGUCAAGAACUGGCAAUCGUCCUGGUUCUAUUGCCAGGACAUUGCUUGUCUGAAUGCUUCGAGUGGGUUGCCACCUUUUAGUUUAGACCGUACAUGCCCUCCCAGGAAGCUUGCGCUCUCUAAAGGGGAAAGGAUCCAGAUCCAACCUUUGGUCCACGCGCUGAUAGUCGUCGUCCGUAAGGGAGUCACCGGCACGAACCUGCUGGAGACUUUUCUGGGUCAGCGCAUCCAGCCGCUGCAGGCCCGACACCACUCCAUGUGGCACUACGCGGGGCCUUCGGAUUCCACUCGGUCUCACCCAGAGGACGUGAGCGGGGAUACUGUGUGUGCGUGGGUCCGCGGCAUCACAGGCGCGUGUGAUAACCCCGUGGGAGCCCAGCGGGUGAAGCCCUUCCGCGCCGAAAAUCCUCCUCCGAAUGAGGUGAGUACAUCUUGUCGAGUGCUUUUAAUCUUCUUAGCUUUAUUGCUUUUCUUGUCCCGCUCACUGAUGUUGCCGACUGUGUUUUGUUCAGGAGUGGACUAACUGGCAUUCUGCAGUCUCGAACGGGAAUCCAGCCGAGGAAGAGGAGGGCAGCCAGGAGGGCAGCACGGAUAGCGUCGAGUACGUCUCUGACAUUGGGGAGACGGAGGAGGAGUCGGAAGAGGAGGAGGAGGAGGAUGGGGAGCAGAGCUCACCACCAGAGCACCGAACCAAGCGCCAUCAUGACCCCACUACUCCGCCGGCUCCUCCCGCGGCCCCGAGUGCUCCACCAGCUCCUCCCGUGGCUCCUCCCGUGGCUCCGAGUGCUCGGAGCAUGAAGAGAACCAGGGGUGCUUCUGCCGAGACCAUGAACCAGCCGUCCAAGGUGGCCAAACCUAGUGGGCCUAAGCCUCAGAAAGCUUUGCCUCGGAUGAGGAUCGCUGUUCCGGUCGCCUCAGCGUAAGUGUCUUGAUCUUCCAUCUUCCUUCAGUAUCUGAUUGAACUUCUCUUUUUGGGAACUCAUGCUUAUCCGUCGAGUGGAUUUCACUCAACAGAGCUGCUACCUCUGCCACCUCUCUGCCGCGCCAGGAUGAUGAUCCCAUGGACACGGAUAACGCCGCCACGUCCCAGCAAGGUACGUUGUCACGACUCCGAGAGCUGCAUUACUGUUUCGUGAGUGUUGUCUUUGAUCUUGACCUUUUUCUGCAAUUUUAUUUUGUUCAGUCGGGCUUCCUUCGGAGGUGAUCCAUCUGGAGGGCAACGACCAAAGGGGGUCGGAGCCGGCUUUGGCGCCUAUCCCUGGGGUUAUCCCAUCUGCUGCCAAUCCCACCACAAACGUGUCGCCUACUCAGACGGUGCCGCCGACUGUGACGGUGGCCCUCACGGCGGAACCGACUAGAGCGGAACUUGGGAUGCCCAGGGAGUCUUCUGCUGCGACGGGUCCGUCGGCCCGGCGCCUCUCGGAAGAUCAGGUAGGAGCCGCCAAGGACGCCAUGAUGCAGGUGGAGCUGAUGGUGGGCGACGCCAAGGGAGCGUAUGACUCCAUCACAUCCCUGUACAAGAAGAGUUUGGAGCUUCGGGACGAUAUCCGAGUAAGUGCACUAGUAAGUGUUUACUUUCCUCUUGUUACCCACUCGGGGUUUCAGCGAUAUACUCGGAUACAGUAGGAUGAUUUUGCAGUGGGUUCACUCCGAGUGAACCCAGUGGGUGUAGUCCCCGAGACUUCUGCCAAGUGCUUGCACCGGCAGUUGUCUUUAUAUGUAUUUUCCGUAAUCUGAACAGAUCAGAGCUGAUCUGGCCGAAUGGUACCAGUGGGGGCGUGCCGAGUGCACCCAGUAGGUGUAGUCCCCGAGAGUAGUGUUACUCAGGUCAAGAGAUAGGAAUCUCAUAGUGUUGUUGGUUUGUUAUGGAGCUCAAUAGGGCCGACCUGUUCGAGCUUCAUGCCAGUGGGGUCACUCUCAGUGAACCCACUGGGUGUAGUCCCCGAGACCGCUGUCGAUUACUUGCAUCGGCAGGGGUCUGAAGAACUUUGAUUGUUUUGUCAUGUCUGUCGAGACUUUUUCCUUGUUGAAUGUGGUUGAUCCUUCCUUCGUGUCUCUUUGACAGAAGACUUGUGAAAUGGGAUCUGCGUACAAUGCUCUGAAGGCUGAGAUGAUUCAGCUUGCUACGGACUUGGAGGUGGCUGUGAAUGACCUGGCUGGCGUGAAGAAGGCUCUCGCCGACCGAGAGAAAUCUUUGGAGGAAUCCCUGGAGACCAACAAGGCACUAGUGGCCGAGGUAGACAAAAUGAAGAAGGAGAGAUCUGACUGGAUGGCUCAGCUGAAGGUGAUGAACACUCGGUGCAGAGCGCAGGAGAACUACGUCAGCGACUGGGCGAGGAAGAUGGUCGCACUGCUUGGCGGUAAGUUCUUGCCGAGUGCUUUUUGACUUUGGAGUUCACUCCGCGCUUAUUUUCUGCUUGUCUUUCCUUUGCAGAUUUCUGUCGGGACAUUGAGGCUGAAGCAGCCGAAAUUGAACGGUCGCUUGUUCCGAACGUUCCACUCGGCGAUGAAGCUAACCGGGACAUGCUCCGAGCGCAUUCUCGCCUUAACAGGGUGGGCCCUUUCAUUGGCCGCCUGAGAAAAGUUGUUGGCCGAAUCGACAAGGAGAUGUGGCCAGAAGACGACUCCCGGCGCAAAAUAGAUGGGUUGAUGACUCGGCUGGAGGACGUCCCAAGCAGAGUGCAGGCAUGGAAGAAGUCUGCCGCUCGGUGUGGUGCGGACGUGGCGCUAUCUCUAGUCCGAGUGCACUACAAGGAAGCCCGCGAAGAAAAGCUGAAGACGUUGCAGGUCGCCAACACCAAGAAGCUUUGAUUCGAAGAUUUCAUGGAGACCUUCCUCGACACAGCCAUUCGCAUUGCAGACGGAAUCGACCUCGACACCUUUGUGGAGCCUGCCAGUCCCGACGACGCUUGAAAAAACUUUAUGGUGAAUGCACAUUUACGUCGGUAUGCCGAGUGGUAUUUGUAUUAAACUUUGGUCACUGUUGUUGUCCUUCACAUUCGUGGUUCGGUGUGGAUAAACUUGAUUCACACCGAGCCGACUGAUCGUGGAUCCAACUUGAAUUCGAAUCGGAUCUUUUGCUCUUCUUUCGCUGAGUUUUUUUUACACGAUUUUGGCUUGUGGUUUUUGUUUGGCGUCUCUUGGUGAAGCCAAUGGCAAACAUGCGGAGCAUGUAGUUUUCAGUUGUCUUCACAUCAACAUGAGGCUCAAUGAGGGUCUGCUAAGCCUCCGAGUGCGCACUCGGAGCGAGUUUUUACUUAGGCGACUCUGGGUCGCGGCUAAGUCCCCGAGUGUGAUUGUUAGUGCGCACUCGGAGCGAGUUGUUACUCAUGUAGUUGUCAGAUGUCUUCACAUCCACAUGAGUCUCAACGAGGGUCUGCUAAGCCUCCGAGUGUAUCUCGAGUAUACACUCGGAGCAAGCCUUUUACUUAGGCGACUCUGAGUCGCAGCUAAGUCCCCGAGUGUGACUUUUCGUGCACACUCGGAGUGAGUUGUUACUCAUGUAGUUGUCAGUUGUCUUCGCAUCCACAUGAGCCUCGAUGAGGGUCUGCUAAGCCUCCGAGUGCGCACUCAGAGCGAGUUUUUACUUAGGCGACUCUGGGUCGCGGCUAAGUCCCCGAGUGUGACUGUUAGUGCGCACUCGGAGCGAGUUGUUACUCAUGUAGUUGUCAGUUGUCUUCACAUCCACAUGAGUCUCAAUGAGGGUCUGCUAAGCCUCCAAGUGUAUCUCGAGUAUACACUCGGAGGAAGCUUUUUACUUAGGCGACUCUGAGUCACAGCUAAGUCCCCGAGUGUGACUUUUUGUGCACACUUGGAGUGAGUUGUUUACUUAGGCGACUCUGGAUCGCAGCUAAGUCUCUGAGUGUGACUUUUUGUGCACACUCGGAGUGAGUUGUUUACUUAGGCGACUCUGGGUCGCAGCUAAGUCUCCGAGUGUGACAUUUAGUGCACACUCGGAGCGAGUUUGUACUUAGGCGACUCUGGGUCACAGCUAAGUCUCCGAGUGUGACUUUUAGUGCACACUCGGAGCAAGUUUGUACUUAGGCGACUCUGGGUCGCAGCUAAGUCUCCGAGUGUGACUUUUAGUGCACACUCGGAGCGCGUUUUUACUUAGGUGACUCUAGGUUGCAGCUAAGUCUCCGAGUGUGACUCUUAGUGCACACACGGAGCGAGUUUGUACUUAGGCGACUCUGGGUCGCAGCUAAGUCUCCGAGUGUGACUCUUAGUGCACACUCGGAGCGAGUUUGUACUUAGGCGACUCUGGGUCGCAGCUAAGUCUUUGAGUGUGACUUUUAGUGCACACUCGGAGCGAGUUUGUACUUAGGUGACUCUGGGUCGCAGCUAAGCCCCCAAGUGUGACUUUUAGUGCACACUCGGAGUUAGGUUUUUAGACCGGAGUCUGCAAACGCGGAAGAAAUUUGAAUCGGCAAGAAAUCAAUCUGCUUUGUAUUACUUCAAUGAUACUUGUUCUUUACAUUGUCUCCGUCGGCGGUUACGUGUAGAAGCGCUUCAGUAGAUCUCCAUUCCAUGCUCGCGACUCGUCCGUUUCCCUGUCGAGGUUGUAGAGUCGAUAUGCUCCGUUGUUCAACACCUUAGAGAUGAUGAACGGUCCUUCCCAGGCGGGAGCCAACUUAUGUGGUCUCUGCUGAUCCACUCGGAGCACCGGGUCGCCUGCUUGGAAUGUGCAGCUCCUGACGUGCUGCGCGUGAAAUCGCCGCAGAUCUUGUUGAUAAAUUGUUGAACGGAUUAGUGCCAUCUCGCGCUCUUCUUCUAGAAGAUCCACUCCGUCUUUCCUGGCUUGCUCUGCUUCGGCUUCGGAGAAGAGUUCGACUCGUGGAGAGUUGUGAAGCAAGUCACUCGGAAGGACUACCUCUGCUCCAUAAACGAGGGAGAACGGGGAUCGCCCUGUCAAUCUAUUCGGAGUUGUGCGGAGGCCCCACAGCACCGAAGGCAUCUCGGUGACCCAUGCGACGGCGGCAUGUCCAACUUCUCGCAGGAGUCGAGGCUUCAACCCUUGAAGAAUAAGUCCAUUCGCCCGCUCUGCUUGCCCGUUUGUUUGGGGGUGCGCCACGGAUGCAAAAUCCACUCGGAUACCUUGGUCUAUGCAAAAACCUUUGAACCUGUCCGAGUCAAAGUUUGUGCCAUUUUCGGUGAUUAUGUUGUGCGGAACCCCGUAUCUGGCGAUGAUGUCUCUGAUAAAUUUGAUGGCCGUAAGGGCAUCAAGCUUCUUGAUGGGCUUGGCUUCAAUCCACUUGGUAAACUUGUCGACUGCUACCAUCAGAUGAGUGAAUCCUCCUUGGCCUGUUCUGAAAAUCCGACUGUAUCUAAUGCCCACAUGGCGAAUGGCCAAGCAAGAGGAAUUGUCUUCAGCGCAGACGUUGGCUUGUGGGACUUAUUUGAAUAGAACUGACAACCUUCGCAACGGUCGACCAUAUCUUUUGCCAUUUCAUUGGCCUGCAACCAGAAGAAACCAGCUCUGAAUGCUUUGGCGACGAUUGCCCUUGAGGAGGCAUGAUGUCCGCAGGUUCCCGAGUGGAUUUCUUCCAAGAUUAACUGUCCCUCCUCGGGAGAGAUACACCGCUGAAGGACGCCUGAAACACUUUUCCUGUAUAACUGGUCAUCAAUGACGGUGAAGGACUUCGAUCUGCGAACAAUCUGCCUAGCUUGGACUUCGUCUUCUGGUAACUCUUGCCUCAUGAUGUACGCAAUGAACGGCACAGUCCAUUCGGGAAUGACAGCUAGAAUCUCCAUGAUCAAAUCAACCACAGCGGGGACCUCGACUUCAGUCGGAUCUGUUGAGCUCUUCGGUUGUACUGGUUCCUCUGUAAAAGGAUCUUCUUUCACCGAGGGGAGGUGUAGGUGCUUGAGGCAGACAUCACUCGGGACCGGUCUCCGAGUGGAUCCAAGUUUUGCCAAUUCAUCUGCUGCUUGAUUUUUCAGUCGGGGAACAUGGUGAAGUUCCAGACCUUCAAACUUCUUCUUGAGCUUCCUUACUGCGUUGCAGUAUGCAGUCAUGGUGGGGUUCCUUACAUCCCAUUCCUUCAUUACUUGAUUAACCACCAGAUCUAAGUCGCCAUAGACCAUCAGGCGACGGACGCCGAGUGUGAUGGCCAUGCGCAACCCGUAAAGGAGAGCUUUGUACUAUGCUUCGUUGUUGGAAGAAUCAAAAUGUAUCUGCAACACAUACUUGAGUUUAUCACCUUUUGGGGAUAUGAUCACUACGCCGGCGCCAGAGCCAUUCAACAUCUUGGACCCAUCGAAGAACAUGGUCCAAUGAGCCGAGUAGAUGUGAGUCGGUUGUUGUUGUUCUACCCAUUCUGCUAUGAAGUCAGCCAGAGCUUGAGACCUUAUAGCUUUCUUGGCUUCGAACUUGAUGUCGCAGUAUAGCAUCUCCAUUGCCCACUUUGCCACUCGGCCUGAUGCGUCCCGAUUGUGGAGAAUUUCCGACAACGGAGCAUCAGAUAUGACAGACACCGAGUGGUCUUGGAAAUAAUGAGCCACCUUCUUUGCAGUCAUGUAGAUCCCAUAAAUAAGCUUCUGAUAAUGGGGAUACCUCUGCUUGGAAGGAGUCAGGACUUCGGAGACAUAAUAUACUGGCCGCUAAACCUUGUACGCUUUGCCUUCUUCUUCGCGUUCGACUGUCAGAACGGUGCUGACGACUUGAUUUGUAGCCGCGAUGUACAGAAGAAGGGGUUCUUUACUGAGCGGGGCAAUAAGAACCGGCUGGGUGGAAAGCAGGGCUUUGAGGUCGUCGAAUGCAAUUUGGGCUUCGUCUAUCCACUCGAAGGUAUCUGACUUCUUCAUGAGUCGGUACAGAGGUAACGCCUUCUCGCCGAGUCGAGCAAUAAACCUGCUCAAAGCCGCUAAGCAACAUGUGAGCCUUUGAACAUCAUGUAUUCUUACCGGCCGCUCCAUUCAGACAAUGGUCUCGAUCUUUUCGGGGUUGACAUCGAUCCCUCGUUCGGAAACGAAGAAACCGAGUAACUUCCCGCUGGGAACGCCGAAUGAACACUUGGCUGGGUUGAGCUUGAUAUCGUACCUACGUAGGUUGACGAAUGUUUCUGCCAAGUCAGUCAGCAGGUCGGAACCUUUGCGUGACUUGACUACGAUAUCGUCCAUAUAUGCCUCCACAUUUCGACCGAUCUGGUCAAGGAGGCAUUUUUGGAUCAUGCGCAUAAAAGUUGCUCCUGCAUUCUUCAAACCGAAAGGCAUGGUGAUGUAACAGAAACACCCGAAUGGGGUGAUGAAGGCUGUUUUUAAUUCAUCCAGACCAUACAGACGGAUCUGAUGAUAGCCCGAAUAGGCAUCAAGGAAGGAUAAACGCUCACAACCCGCAGUCGAAUCAACAAUUUGAUCAAUGUGGGGGAGCGGGAAGUGAUCUUUCGGACAGACCUUAUUGAGAUGCUUGAAAUCGAUGCACAUACGGAGAGACCUGUCCUUCUUGGGCACCAUGACAACAUUAGCGAGCCACUCGGAGUGGUGUACCUCGCGAAUGAAGUUGGCUGCCAAAAGUUUAGCCACCUCCUCUCCGAUUGCCUUCCUCUUGUGCGCGGCGGACCGACGCAGGCGUUCUCGGACAAGCCGAGCAGCAGGAUCCACAUGCAGUCGGUGCUCAGCCAACUCCCUGGGUACACCUGGCAUGUCAGCAUGCUUCCAUGCAAAAAUGUCCUAGUUCUCACGGAGGAAUUGGAUGAGCUCGGCUUCCUAUUUUGGAUCAAGGGUGGUGGAGAUGUUUGUCGAGGCGGCGGUGUCGUCCGUCGGAUGGAUGCUAACUUUCUUCGUGUCUCCCGCCGACUGGAAUGCGGACUCGGAAGCUGGCUUCUUUGAACGCAUCAGGUCAGCGGCGUCGGCGGUCUUCUUGUACUCAUCAAGUUCGAGAAUGGCCAUCUGCUGAUCGGCAAUCCUCGACCCCUGCUGCACACACUCCUCGGCCCGCUGUCGAUUGCCUGUGACCGUAAUCACGCCUUUGAGACCUGGCAUCUUCAGCUUCAAAUAGACGUAACAUGGACGGGCCAUGAAACGCGCAUAUGCCGGAUGGCCCAAAAUCGCAUGGUAUGCACUCUGGAAGUCCACCACCUCGAAUGUCAGCUUCUCCUUGCGGAAGUUCUUGUCAGAGCCGAAGGCGACAUCCAACGCAAUCUGGCCGAGUGACUUGGCCUUUCUUCCUGGGACGACUCCGUGGAACUACAUACUGCUCUCACUAAGUUUGGACAUCGGAAUGCCCAUCCCCUUGAGAGUGUCGGCGUACAUGAUGUUCAAGACGCUGCCGCCGUCCAUGAGGACUUUGCGCAACCUGACUCCUUCCACCACCGGGUCGACGACCAGAGCCUACCUCCCUGGGGUGGGUACGUGUGCUGGGUGGUCUGACUGAUCAAAGGUGAUCGCAGUCUGUGACCACUUGAGGAACGUGGGAGUGGAUGGGGUUGCCAUGUUCACCUCCCUGUUGACCAGCUUCAGUCAACUUUUGCUUUCCACAUCAGCAAAAAUCAUCAACGUUGCAUGGACUUGGGGGAACGGAUCCUCCUUGUCCUCAUCAUCCUGUUCGGUAUCCUUCUCACUCGGCUGCCCUUCACCGAAUCCUUGGAUCAGGAGGCGACACUGCCGAGUGGUAUGCUUCGGCAAUAUGGCAUUGCCUUCUUCGUCCAUCUUCGUGUGGAUUGGACACGGUUGAUCCAGGAUGGAAUUUCCUGACUGCCUCUUCUUGGGGGUGUACUGAGCUUUCCCCUUGCCUUUGAACUUGGCAUUUGUAACGGCUGCUGCCUCUGCCUGCAGAGUGGAUUGAGCCUUCUGCUUCUACUUCCGAUUGCUGUUCCCAUCUCCAUCGGCGACUGACUUAUGAUUGCCGCUACGUAUGCGGUCCUCCUCUUCACCAUUUGCAUAGCGCGCGGCUAUCUCCAUCAUCUUGCUCAUGGAGAUGUCGCCUGUCCGACCGAACUUCAGGUACAGAUCUCUGUACCGCACGCCUGCCUUGAAGGCGCAGACUGCUUGAUGCUCCGUGACGUUCUCCACCAUGUGGUAGAGGGUCGUCCAGCGCUGGAUGAAAUCGCACAAGGGCUCGUUCUGCUUCUGGACACAGUGUUGGAGCUCUACGAGACCAGCAGGGCGUUUGCACGUACCCUCGAAGGUCUUGAUGAAGACUCGGGACAGAUCUGCCCAGCUGUAGAUGCUUGACGGAGCUAACUGGUUCAGCCAGGCUCGCGCCGAACCGUCGAGCAUCAGUGGGAGAUGUUUCAUGGCGAGAUGGUCAUCUCCGCCACUGAUCUGGACCGCCACCAUGUAGUCGUCCAACCAAGUUUCUGGUUUGGACUCUCCUGUGAACUUGCUGAUUCCCGUCGCCAAUCGGAAGUUGGGAGGGAUGUCAGCUGAGUGGAUGGCCCGACUGAAGCACUCGGGGCCAGAAACGACGGUCAUGCUUCCACUCGGACGGUCUCUAUUGUGACCAUCACGAUGGGCUCGACUUCUGUCGACCUUCUUCUGGGCGAUGUACCCUCUUGCAUCAGGCCUUGGAUCAUGCGCGUCACCGACCGAACGACGAUCAUCGUGAUGCCGGGGCCCGUAAGGCCCACCCCGCGGAGGGGUAUGCGAACGGCGACGAUCUUCUGGAUGAGACCGAAUGGGAAGCGGAUUCCGACUCGAGUCCCUGGAACGGCUGCCCCUCUGCGCCGCUGAUGAGAUUCGGGACUGAAAACCGACCGAUGCGUGUUCGCGUGAACAAAACUGUUGUGGAUCCUGUUGUGCGACUCGGAGACCGCCGAAUUUUGCUGUUGCACCGUAUGCAACAAGGCACGGAUCUGCUCGAUCCCUCUACCAGCCUCUGAAUCAGUUGGCUGGAGAGAAUCGACUAUCCUGGCGGCCGCAGCCAAGUUGAGGAUGGGUGUGCGGAACACCUCGACGUUGCUCUGGCGAGAGCGUCGACUGGAAGAACGAUGGUGUUGACGACGAGCGCCGAAUGUUUCUCCGAACUCACGCUCGUUCCGUCCAGUCCCGAGGGGACCUUCGUGGGAAUGGGCCAUGAGAACUUCGGCUGCAGGCCCGCGACCCGGAUACUCGGAAGGUAGCUCAGUCGGAACUGACUCCGAGCAAUGGGAUGGCGGUGGGACCACAACCGAUUCGAGCACCGCCACUUGAGAGGACGCGCUCUGUCGCGCCUGGGCGUGUCGCACCCAACGCUGGAGCCGCGGAUGACGGGAUCGCUUGUUGCGGCGCGUGACGGGGGCGAGGAUCGACACCGGGGCCGAUGGCUGGAGAAGAAGAACACCGCAGGAACUGGCACAGAAGUGCGUAGCCCCGCGACUGGGAAGCGCCUCGACGUCGAGGGGCGCAUCCCGAAGCCAUGCCGAAUUGUCAGCGAUGAAGGAGAGGGCACCGAAGAGGAUCUCAUGACCCAUGCACAGAUCUCCGCUGGACGACAUGACGAAAAGAUGAAGUCGCAAACUUGCCGGAAGUCGCUUAGACGUCUGCCCCACGGUGGGCGCCAACUGUCGUGGGUAUAAGUCUGACAGUAGAUGUGUAGGGUAUGAAAGGAUGGACAGAGUCCAUCGCCAAACACCUAGCGGGUGGGUAGCCGUCUGUAUCCUCGCAUGCGCUGGCGAAAUUUGACAUUCUAGGGGAUAUAUUUUUUUUGCGCUGGCGAAAAAAAAAGCGCCUCGAGGGCUUGUUUGGGGCGCUUGAGGAGAUGUUCUUACUAGGUGAGGUUAAGAAGGAUUAACGACAUGCUUUCCGUGUCUCGGUCCACGGUCUGGUCAGGCCAGUCAGCGCCGCUACGUCCCGCCCGCCCCGGUACCCCGUCACGUGCCCCCAGAACGAACCAAAGCAAACAAAGCCGUGCCCCCCAUUUCCCUCGCCAAUCGCUCAAACCCCUCGUCCGUCCCCCACCCCGUCGCAUGCACUGGCUUUCCUCCCUCCGUCUGGUCCCCGCCCCCGCGCCUGCCUGCCCCAAGCAACCGAAAGAAACGGUCGCUCUGACCCCUGCCCCUCUGACCCUCUCUCUCUCCCUCUCUCUCUCUCUCUCUCUCUCUCUCUCGCCGAGCAGCGCAGCGCAGUCACGCGCGCGGGGGAAAGAAAAAAGACCGACGGACGAGGGGAAAGGAAGCUCGUCAGCUUGGUUUGUGCGUCGCAGCAGCCAGCAGCGCAGCCAGCCGCGUCGGGCCCCGCGCGCUCCUCCGGGACGCGCCCUCCGAUGCGUCGCGCUCGGGCCGACCCUUUCCCCCCGCACCCAACAAAACCGGGGCACUACUGGAACGGCGGGGUAUGUACGCACGCACGCAUUAAUCACGCCCGCCGAGGAAAAGGCCGGCGAAAAUAAAAGUACUACCACUACUACUUCUAGGAGUGGCAGCUAGCAUCGCAUCGCCCAGCGCAGCAGCGCACCAGCAGGGAGAGAGGGCUCUUCCUCGCCCCCGCCGCCCAUCGGCCAUGGCGGCGACGUCGCUCCUGCGCACCGCCGCCGCCGCCGCCGCGCUUGCGCUGCUCAUGCUCCUGCUCGUCGGCGACGUGCCUCUCACAGGUUAGGUCACCACUCCUUUCCAAUUCCAUACAGCUCUACAUUGCCCUGUUCCGUCUUCUCAGAAUGUGUUUCGUGUACUGUUCCAUCGAGGGUUUCUUCCCAGACGCCGUCUCCCCUCCUUCUUUCCCCCCCUAUAAAUGAUAAAUCCGUCGUCGAUCUUGCUAAGAUAGCAGAUUUUAAGGGCGUCUGCACCGCCUGGAUACAUAAAUCUCCGUAUAUAUUCCCGAUUCAUAACACGAAGAGUCCAAAAUCAUGCGGGGAGCCACAAUCUCGGGCUGUUAUCAUUCGCCGCCCGCCGCACUCAGAUUUCCUCCCAUCUUUCGAUGAUGCUACGAGGAGAAUGUGGCCCUGGUAGGAUCUUGUGUCGUGGUCGGUCAGGGAAAUACUACUCGGGGAAUAGGCGGCUGCAUACUGUUCGAUUGCCCGGAUCAUUCGUAUCCUGCUUUAUUAAGGCAUGCAGAUAUUAUAAAUUAGUUCCUGUAACCGUGGCAGGUAGCCUUUAAUCACUACCCAAUAACAAUUGCUACUAGUGUUUAAAGAAUUUGUUAGUCUUGAGCUGCAUGCACCCGCUUGAACCCACAGGUCUCUACUUCGACACCCAGUCAGCACAAUAUAUAACUAAGAGGGAAAACAUCAUCUAGGGAACAAGAAUCUCGAUUUAUUAUCACCACCCCAGCUAGUACAUGGUUGUUGAAAAAUUUCAAUCUUAAAUAAUUAAGAGCUACUUUUCCCGUUUUUCAGUCAUACCAAAUGUGGAGCGUGCAUCUCGGAUAGUCACAUGGUUGUCGAAAUAUAAUUCUGUAAAAGAGAAAUAUUUUUUAUGUUACGUAAAGAUCAAUCUGGAGUGUGCAUAUAGGAUAGUUGCAGAGUUCUUCCUCAAUUUCCAUUCAGCAAAGAUUGGCCGUGUGUAAUUUUUGUCUAGUAACAAGCAAAUCUUGGUGAGUAUUGUGCUAGUUUUCAUACUGAGCUUUUUCACUAUUUUUAUUAUUAUUUGAACUGCGAUUUGAUGUGAACAAGGGUGUGCGCUUAAAUGCAUGUAACCAAUAUUAACUUGAGGUUCUACGUAUACUUGCAUAUCUCUGUGCAGAAGCUUAUGACCCUCUUGAUCCAACUGGUAACAUCACAAUCAAAUGGGAUAUCACUCAGUGGACUGCAGAUGGCUAUGUUGUAAGUUACCCCUAACUUCUAAUAAUCCAGAGUUCUGACUGAAGUUCAUUCAGAAGUCAGAAGCAGCUAGCCCUUUUUUAAACUCUUCUUUGUAGUUCGACAUUGCAUCCUAUGAAACUUCAAUUCUAGGGGGUGCAAUUUCCUUUUCCUAAUUGCAUUUUGACACAACACAGAACAGAUUUGCUUCAACCUUUGUCUUCUUAUUAAGACCUCUUACAUUUUUAUUGAUAAGGGAAUUUUAUUGGCUCUAAACACGGCAUUAAGACCCCUUACAUAAUUGUGAAACUUACAACCUCCACCAUAUAUUCUUUUGCUGUUGAUGUUCUGCACAAUCUUCAUUUCACAGGCUGUUGUUUCCAUAAACAAUUACCAGAAGUACCGUCAUAUCCAAGCACCUGGGUGGCAUCUUGGGUGGGGGUGGACAAAGAAGGAGAUAAUAUGGAGCAUGACCGGUGCACAGACCAUAGAGCAGGGAGAUUGCUCUGAAUUUAAAGGCAAUAUACCACACUGCUGCAGGAGAGACCCAACAACAGUUGACUUGCUUCCUGGUGCGGCUAUGGGCAUGCAGGUGGGAAAUUGUUGCAAAGGAGGAGUUCUUAGCUCAUGGGUGCAAGAUCCUGUCAACGCAGUGGCAUCGUUUCAGAUCACUGUUGGCCGAGCAGGAACGAGCAAUAGGACAGUGAAAGCACCGAAAAACUUCACCCUCAAGGCCCCAGGUCCAGGGUAUACCUGUGGAGUAGCCCACAAAGUAAAACCUCCCACUAAGUUCAUUUCGCUCGAUGGAAGGAGAACAACUCAAGCGCAUGGUAUGUCAUUUCUGAAUUCCUCUUUUCUGUUUAGUUGCUAUUACAACAGAAUCAAAUGUCUUGGGCUUACCACAGGUCAACAGUGAUCUAGCAUAUGUUGCUCACUGAAUAACAAAAAGUUAUCUUUUUUUCAGUGACUUGGGAUGUCAUAUGCACAUAUUCACAGUUUGUUGCUCAAAGAGGCCCUGCCUGUUGUGUUUCACUAUCAUCCUUUUACAACGAAACGAUAGUCGACUGCCCAAAAUGUUCAUGUGCCUGCCAAAACAAUAUAACCCACCCUGGGAGCUGCGUUGAGUAAGUAUUAUCUCUUCAUGAGGCAGAUACUUUUUGCACUUGCUGAAACUAUUGCUUAAUGUAUUUGCUACUUCGAUAGGGGUAAUUCGCCUUACUUGGCUUCAGUGGUGAAUGGACCUGGCAAGGGCAGCUCAACCCCUCUAGUGCGAUGUUCACCCCAUAUGUGCCCAAUCAGGGUGCACUGGCAUGUUAAGGUCAACUAUAGGGACUACUGGAGGGUGAAGAUCACCAUUUCAAAUUGGAAUUACCGGAUGAACUACUCGCAGUGGAACUUGGUUGUUCAGCACCCAAAUUUCGACAAUGUCACUACAAUUUUCAGUUUCAACUACAAAGCAUUGAACCCCUAUGGAGUAAUAAGUGAGUACUUUAUCCGUACACUUGGCAACUAAAAUGUAUAUAGCUUAUAUAGCAUGUAAGCUAUUAACUGGCAUUUGGAUGCAGAUGAUACCGCGAUGCUGUGGGGCCUCAAGUACUACAAUGACCUGCUCAUGGUAGCUGGUCCAGAUGGCAAUGUGCAAACCGAGCUUCUAUUCAGGAAGGACCCAUCAACAUUCACUUUCGAGAAGGGCUGGGGUUUUCCAAGGCGCAUAUACUUCAAUGGUGAGAGUUGCGUCAUGCCUCAACCAGAUUUGUACCCAUGGCUGCCAAGCUCCUCCCCAAGAUUGACCAAGACGGCAUUUCUGGCUCUGGCCAUUGUCGCUUGCGCAACGGUGGCGUUCUUGUACAAUCAUCUAGUGUUGGAUAAAUACUGUGGAAAAACCUGACCCGUUGGCCAUUGAGCAUUGACACCGCGAGUUUCUUGCAAGUUUAGGUAGAGAAUGUUGCAUCGAAAGCUGACUGGGGGUGUGUUGUCCUGACUCCUGACCCAUUGGCCAUUGAGCACUGACAACUUGUGUUUCUUGCAAGUUUGAAUCCAUUCAGAUUUUGGGUUCUUGCAAGUUUAAUUUUGUUCAGAUUUGAGUUGCUUAUUCUCAGAUUUAGGUUCUCACGGUGUCCCAGAAACAUUGGUUGUUCAUGUCACACCCUUGUGGGCGGCACUGCAAACCCUAGCCAACAGCCACUACCGCCCCUGGCCUCUUCUCUCCCCAUCGAGCCCCUAGCGUUGCCUGGCGGGGCUCCUCUCCCUAUGAGACGCAGACGAAGCAGCCUUGAAUGAGGUGUGUCUGGCAUGGCCUCAACUAGGCUUGUCGGGGAAGGGAAGACUAUGGACCUAUGGUGGUGUCCCUCAAGACCUCCUCCAGCUGUUAUUAGAUGGAUGCAUACAAAUUAUAACGGUUGGGAGUAUUAGAGCAACUCUACCAGACCCCGCAUCCCUCCCGGCCCGCAAAAUAACCAUCAAAGUGCGGGUCGGGGCGGAAAAACAUGUAAGACCAGACCCCGCAUCGCGCCCGGUCCGUAAAUAUUUUUGCGGGGCGCGGCAAAAUCUUGGCCCCAACCCGCGUAUUCGCGGGUUCCCCCCUCGCCGCUGCGGUGCCCUACAUAUAAGCGGGAAGUGGUUGGUGGGGGGACAUUUCAGCCCGCGCUUUCCCCCACCAACCACCUCCCCUCUCCCCCCUUCACCCAAGAUCCCGGCCGUCGGAUUUGGCUUUUGCCGGUCGUCGGUGGCUGCGCCAAGCGAUGGAGUGGCCGAGGAGCAUCUCCCGCAGCCCCGGCAAGGCCGCAUCAGCGCAUGCAGGGACGGGUUCGUCCUUCCGGUGCCGCCGACGAUUUGCGGGCAUGGAUUCGUCCGGCCGUCCACCGGACUCGGCGCUCGUGCAGUGGCUCUGUGGCUCGCCGUUGCCGCUCAUACAGUGCGACGACUGCACGCGGACAGUGCUGCGGCUUACUUCGGGCACGCCGAAUCACCCCGGAUGGGUGUUCUUCAAAUGCGAAAACGACGGGGUACGUGCACUUGCGAUAUCUCAUUGUUUGGUUCAAUUGCGGAUCCUCAUUCCGAACAUGGUUAUUCAUUUUGUGUAGGAAUAUGGAUGCUCAUUUUGGUUUUGGUAAGGCGAAUACAUUGAUUUAUUGAUAGAAAGAAAGUUAAUAGAUGUCGAUGCACUCCUUAGUAGAAUAAAAAACAAUGAUACGGCUGCAUGUGCAACGUCUACUUCUUCCGAACCAAAGAUGAAGAAUAAAGAACGCAAGAUGAAGAAUCCGCAGAUCAACAAUGAGUACAUGAAGAAGAUAUUGCUUCAACUAGUUGGAGCAGUUAUGGAAGUUGGAAAUCUUCUAAAAUGCAUACUUGUUGUUCUUGCUUUCUUUGGUCUUGCUAUUCUAGCAAAGAUGUGGUGAUGUUUAUGUAUCCCUCCAUCCUGUAUAGGUGCUAAGACUGUCACGUAGGCAAAAAAAGUCUGAUGUGGCAUGGUAUUUAAGAGGAGAGAGAUGGAUAUGGCGACCCCAAGAAAAAACGGUGCCAAACGCAUGAACCUAGGCAAAAUACUUAAAUGAAAGAAAGCCCACCAAUGCAUGAAGAACUUUAGUAGCUAAAUCAUUAAAUAGAGUAUGCUUAGCUACAACAAGUUAAACACCUAUGCAUUGGAGGCUUUGGUUGUUAAACUUCUAAAUGUGCUUAGCACCUCCUCUUAGCACAAAUACAUUAGGCGUCUUCCAUGUAUGCCGCAUAUGGAAAUAAUGGAAUAUACCGUUAAAUGUAUGGUUUAUGAGCCUUAAUAGCAUGUGUUGUGGAGCAAAGAGAUAAAUGCAAUUAAUUAUCAUUUCUUUAUUUUCCUUCAUUAAGAAUGGAAAUUUCGUUGAAGGUAUCUUAUAUUCUUAAAUAGCUAGAACCUACUACCCAAUUUUCCUCUCCAUGCAACAAUGUCACAUCAUCAAGUCAUGCAUGUAGUUUAUAAUCUUCUGUUCUUAAAUAGUUAGAACCCACUUUCCAAUUUUCCUCUCCAUGCAACAAUGCCACAUCAUCAAGCCAUGCAUGUAAUUUAGAGCAAAUACAAUAGAGCUCAGUCAGCUGGCUAUAAGGAAUAAAGUAGUAUAUUUUUGCUUAGUUGAAGGAGAGAGAAGGUAAGCAGGCUCUUAGUUAGGCUGGUCAUAGUGGGGAGUAUCAUAUAGUAGUAUCAUACAUAUGAUACUACCUUCAUAGUGCAUAGUAUCAUAAAGUAGUAUCAUAGAUGACCUUGUUUAUUGACAUGCAUGACACAUAGUAGCAUAGCAUUUAACAUGUUAUGGUAUCUAGCUAUGUUACUCUAACCCUCUCUCUUCUUUAAUUGUCUGCCACAUCGGCAUGUUUGCUAGUCCCAAGUACAUGAUACUACCUUGGUUACUCCCACUAUGUCCAGUCUUAAGACUACCCACAAUGCGAGUAACAUAGGUAGUAACAUAAGUGCCACCUAAGCAAAAAGUAUGAUGUGGCAACUAAUAAAUGAGAAGACAGAGAAAUUAAGUAACUUAGCAUGUUACGACCUCUAUGAGUAACAUAGGGGAUACCAAGGCAAGAUGAGUCUAUAGUCUAAUAAAUGAUAGGCUUAAAGUUACUACCCUUAUGUUACUAUCCACUAUGGAGGUAGUAACUUAGACUAGUAACAUAUAUAUGUUACUACUCUAUGUUACUUCCCAUUGUGAAUAGUCUAAGAGUCAGCUCUAGCACGUACUCCUAGACACUUUGUGAGAAUGAAAGGUGAGUCAUAUAAUAAAUAAGUAGUACACUCUUCUAACCAACUAUUAUACAUGUUAGCUAUAAAAUGGGUUAUAGGUGACAUGACAUGAGCUUACAACCGGCAGCCGCCUCUACUAUUGUCCUUGCUCUUAUAAUCUUCUAUUCUUAAAUAACUAGAAUCCAUUAACCAGUUUUCCCCUUCAUGCAACAAUGCCACAUCAUCAAGUCAUGCAUGUAGUCAUAAGUUACUUUUUUUCAUUAAUCUCUUCAUGCAAAACAUACCCUCAUGCAUGAUUUGUUUUUCUAGGUAAUUAAGCAAGACAUUUUUAUAAUGGUUUUUACAUUAACAUUAGCGUUCUAACAUUUAUUCAUAUAUUUUUUAACAAGUUUUCCGCGGCAACGCGCGGGGCAUCCUCUAGUAUACAUACAAUUGUACUACAUUUUGUGGGGUACACAGGUGCGGUAUGCAUGAAUAGUACUCCUACAUGUUUGUACAUAUAUGUCCUGGGUAUGUACCUACAUCUUGAAGUAUUUUUUAUCAAUGUUCCAUACUCACAAAAAACAAGAUUAUUGACAUUCAAGUAAAUUAAUUUUGGGUGUGUAAUCUCCUAGUAUAUCAAUUUUAAUUAUUAUCUCGUGUAUAUUAUUUUUGGGGAAAAUUAUGUACUAGGUAUAUCAUUUGUUGGAUAUUCGUGGGUAUAUCAUUUCUAUGUAUUUUUUGGGUAUAUCAUAUCUAAGACGUAUAGUUCUUGGGUAUAUCAUUUGUUGAGUAUUUCUUGGGUAUAUCACAUCUCAGAUGUAUAUUUCUUGGAUUUUCUGUAUCACACCUUAGGUAUAUCAUUUUUGGGACAUAUAUUUCUUGGGUAUAUUAUUCUCAUGUACCGUACCUUGAGUAUAUCAAGCAAGUUGUCUAUGCUACGGUAUAUAUUUUUCUCUUGGAAAGAAUCAAAUGACGAACAUGCAUGGAAGAGAAGCUAUGGAUGCAUGUAUUCUUUGGAAACAAAUUCAUGCAUGCUAAUUUUUAAAUAAAAAAAUAUCACAUAUGGAAAAAAUCUUGCAUGCAAAAAAUAUGCUUUGAAACCGCCGGGCAUUAAUGAAAACCAGCUAGGUGCUCAGACACCUAGAUGUCGCACAUAAUUUACCUUAUUGGAUUAUAUUGUAAGUUCUGGUGUUAUCUAUAAAUGGGAAGCAUUAUUCAACCUAUUUUUAACAUGUGAAUCCAAAAGGGGGGCCGUGGUUUGGGGCAGGAUCGUGUGUGCGAUUCGAAGGAACGCGAGCGAUGUGUGACGCGAAUACUAGAGGCCAGUAUGAUGCGGCCCGUCUUGAACGUUGAGCAAAGUUUUAAAUAACUGGCUAUAGUUCCGCUAUAGCCUCGCUAUAACCUUUGAAAGUCUUCCAGCUAAAGCAAAACACUUUUAGCACUAAGCUAAAAAAUGCUGCUAAUAGUCCACUAUAACAUUAAAUUUAGAGUUAUUUAGCCCGCUAAGCGGCUAUACAAACCAUCAUUUUGCAUUAUUUUUGUUCCUCUUUCUGAUAUAUACAAUGCAUUGACACGAACGUUGGUUAUUAAAUUAGAACACCCGACAGGUGCUCAUGUUUUGAUGUACGAAGUGUAUGUGUCAUGUAUAUGCAAUACAUCAUAUAUCAUUCUUGAUUGUAUACUCUUUUAUUAAAAAAAAUCAUGAUUUUAAAAAAUACUAAAUGAGGCUUAGCUUCGCUAUAACUUCUUAUAGCUUCUGGCCGAGCCACGCUUAAGUGGCAUAGCCUUAUUUAAAACCACAUUAUUCGUGGAAUGCAAGCGAUCUGUUCUGGUGCGAUCAUAUCGGGCCAGCCCGGACAGGAGAAGCUGCAAGGACCGAUUGAGUGGAAAAAAUAAGCAGGAAAGACUUGUCAAUAUGACAUGCCAGCUAAAUCUGACAACUGGAACUGUCAGUCAGAACAGUCAUAAAAUUUUAAACAGGAUAAAUUAUGACAACAUUUUUGCUAAAUGGGAUAAAACAAAUAAAAUCUCACUAAAUGUGACAGUUAGUGUAAAAAAUGUCAAAAUAAGGGAAAAACCCAGAAUUCACUAUUUUUUUAACACAACCCCAGAAUCUAUACUAUUAAAGGAGAAUUUGCCGUCGUCGUGAUGGUUCGACCUCGUACGAUUUCAACCUCCUCCCGCUAGCACUUUCACCAAUUUUUUUCAACCCUCCAUAAACCAGGCGAUUAAAUAAAGAGAACAACCGGUUCAUUAAAAAAGGGCCUUGAUCAGACCAGCGCUCCUUCGUCGCACAAAAAAUCGCAACAAAGAAAUCCACGUCCCAGGAAAAAAAAUAGAGCGCACGUUCUCCACCUCGUCUAACCUGCAAGUCUCCAUCCUCAGAUCUUUCUCGCCCAUGAACCGCCAGCACCCGCUCUCCCGCAAACCACCCAACGCUUCCGGCCUCCGUGUCCACCGGGCGCCGGCCUACACCGGCCCCCUCCAUCAGACGACCUCCUCUCUCCGCGACGCCUCACAGACACGGGCCUGCACUGGAGAGCACCACGCCAAAACAGACUCGUCCGACGGGCGAGAUGGAGCGGAGACAGCGGGGCUGGAGGAGCAGCGCUGGAUGGGCGCCCGACGGCGGCCUGAUACAAAAGGAGACAAACACAUGAGUGCAGGCGGAGGACACAGGCACAGGAGACCAGCCGGCCAAAGGACGGCGAAGGGCGGAAGUGUAAGCCUACCGUGGCCAACAAGUGAAGAAGUCAAGAGGCCGAGGUGGGUGAUGUGUGCCGGUGCGUCUUGUGGGACGCGCGACUCCGCGUCGCCGUCGCGGCCUCCAUCAUCGUCACGCCGGUCGUGGCCCUCUCUAGGCGAAUAGGACGGUGGUGUCACUCUUCUUUGGAUCAGGUUAAAUGCAGGUGUUGGAGGGCGCCAUCGGGAGUCUCGGUCUCAUUCUCAUGACAUCGCCUCCUCAUCGCGCAUCAAAGUCUCUGAUGGAAGACAACGGCGCAUGAAACUUUCCCCCUCAAUUUGGAUCUUGCUUGAUAAAUUAGGACCAAAUUUUUCAGGGAUUCCAUACUGACGGGCCCUAUCAAGAUGAGGACAGGAUUUGUGACUCAUGCCUUUGGUGCUCCUGCUCUUGUUCUCGUCCUCGUCGGAAGCUGCGCGGGGCUGUGGGUGUGCACACAUGAUGAUACCUAUCACACAUCUCAGGUUUUCCAUGGAGAAGGAUGCCGGUAUGUGCUCUUACUCCUCAACUUGCACUGCCUAUACAACACAUUGCCUGGACACCAACUGCACAGCCGCAUACGUGCUCCUACAAUAUUUACUUGCAGGCCAAUCUAAAAUUUCAGCAUGUAAUUAUUUAGAAGGACAAGUAUCUUUGUGAGGAACAUCUUUGCAUUAUGGCACAUGCCUAUUAUCUCUCUUAAUGGAAACUACACGCAACGUCUCGGUUGCUUGUUCUUAAAUUUUUUACGGCACAUGUUAUAUCGUUAUUAGAAGCAAUUUGUGUUAGGAAGUAAGAGUUCAGUGUUGUAGUUCAGUUUUUAUUACAUGCAAAAUGAAUAUAAUUAGUUAAUUAUGUUUUCUUUUACAAAGAGUUAUUUAUGCCACUGAUCUUUGUAGUAUCAUGCGUGCACCUGAAAUGUGCAUAUUAUCAAAUUUCUGGAGAAAAUGAGUGAGCGCUUAUUGUGGCCAUCAUCUGCAUAGCAUCACACCUAGAGCUAAAAUCAAGUAACCUUCUGGGUUUUUGUGACAAGAAAGACAUUGAACUUUUAACAGCUUGAAGUUAUUUUCACAUGUUUCAUACUGCAUUGCACCAUGACGGACACACUCGACCACGACAAUCAACAGGUUAGGAAGCACUUGGGGUGAAAGGCAGCGGCUGAGCGGCGGUAGCAUCGAAGGGCCCCAAUGUGGAAUCCGAGACGAUGAUGGGCAAUUCAAGAUCACGUGCGAGCCGGACAAGCACUUUCAGAUCACCAUCGAUGGCGCGCGCAAUGUAAGUGGUGCCCCUCCCUUCGUCAUUCCACACACGUAACCCCUGUGUGCUCAAGGAGGCGGCGUUAGCAGGUCACACGUACGCCGAUGAGUUAUUUGACCAGUGCCACUCAAGCUGAGAUGUUGAUCGUCCUUGGGAUAUAUGUGCAACAAAUCCUUUCAUUCGGCUGGCUCUUAGGUCACAUAUUUCUAUUUUGCAAAUUGUAGCAAACCGACAAAAAUGAAGGAUCAAUAUGUCUGGCCAUCAUGCUUGCUUAGAAAUUACUGUUCUUUCUACACCAAUAGCAAUAUGUUUGAUCCAAUGCUUUAUAAAUCUAUUAUAUAUGUCAACUUAUCGGUUUGUUACUCUUUCUUGUAACUUCCUUUUUUUACAUUCAUGUUAUUACUCGCGGAUUUGAGUGCUAAGUCUGAUUUUGUUGUGUUUUUGCAUAGAAGUCCCGAUGGUAUACAUGAAUAAGCAAAUCCUAAAAGUGAAGGGGUGUAAGUCUGAAUUUGGUGUUGCUUCGACUCUGUCACAUGCUCAUUUUGCACGGCAAGCUCUGAAUUAUUGGAUUUUCCCCAACACUUGGAAGACAUCAAGUGAAGUUAAAGCUGCCAUCUUAAAGCCAAAUCCAUGAGAAAGGCAUGUACUAAGUUUCAGAGGCAUGUAUAUGCUGUCAUGCCCUUUCUAUUUGGUUAUCUAUGUUAGUCAGAGUGCACUUGUUGUUAUCUAGAUUAUUUUCUGGUAAGACCACUGUGUUUAAAAACAUGCUCUGAUGUUACCUUUGUUUUGUAAUUUUUUUGCACUUUUGCAGCAAGUCCUUGAGGAAAUAGAGAAAACGUAGCAACUAUUGGGUGUUUUUCAACACUUGAAGAUAACAACUGAAGUUAUAGCUAUCACGCUAUAAGCCAAAGUUCGUACCAAGUUCCAGAGGCAUGUAUAUGUUGUGAUGCCCUCUAUUAUAAACAAAGUCAUGAUAAAUUACAACAUAUUACUUACUUUAUUAAGCCAAAGCUAGCCAUUAGAAAGAUGCCAUCUUACAAGACAAAGCCAUGAGAAAGGCAUGCAUAUGUCGUGAUGCCAUUUUAUUUGCUUAUCAAUAUUAUGCUUUAAUGUCACUGCAUUGUACCAUUUGAAAUGACAACAUAUUACUUACUUUAUUAUCAAUGAUUUCAUGUCAAUGGGACAUGUAUAGGAGCCAAAUAAGUCUGUUCCUUUCCCCUUUUUUCUUGUUCACAAAAAGGUGGAAUGUCUCCUAAAUUUCACAUAAUGAUGUUCCAACACAAAUUUUGUUUAUAUCUAAAAGUUUAAGGCGAACAAGCCUUUGUGCCUCAUGAUUUGGGUAUCAUACUUUAAUAAACUUCAUAUUAAUGUUCUUUGUAAUCUGUAUUCUGUUUAUAAUUCCGCAGGAGGCCGUGAAGCAUCUUUGUGUGUGUGUGAGAGAGGGCGUGGAAGAGAGAAGGGUGUGGAGAGAUAUGGAGGGUGUUAGACAAAGUAGGGCGAAUGCGAAACAGUUACGCAUUAUAUUCAUAUGUGCAAUCAAAAAAACAAAUUAAAAGACCCAUGGCAACAAGACAGGCAACCAGAGAAAAAUUUAGACCUAUGAUUUUUGAUAUGCCUUGUAUCAUGUGCGUGCAGUUGGGCAAAAAAAAAUUUAAAAGCCCGUGGCAGCGCACGGGCGUUCCACUAGUCCCCGUAAAGGCCCACCCGUCUAGCAUUUUUAUCUCACACGACCGCGCUCUGGCGGCCAUUCGCCGAUCUUCGUCUCUUUCCACUAUUCACACCCAAGGCUUUUGCAAAGAACAUAAUGAAUGUCCACAACAUUCUGCUCCACAUUUACAGUUGCAAAUUUUAACGCCAAAACAUGACGGCACGUGUUCUAUACAGGAAAACAUUUUAAUACCACCUAAAUAGACUGUUUUUUUUUACUAAACAGAAUAUUCAGUUUGUUCUAUUUGUAAAGAAACAAAUGAGCACGAUUUUGCAAGUGCACAAGCUAUAGGCAUGGUAUAAACAUCCACGAUUUUUUUGUCCAAGUGGAGAUAAGCAUUUACAUAUUCUCAGGCACCAGGAGUAGCAUUCCAGAAACAUUGCCUCAAUAAACAAGAAACUUGGCAAACGCAAGACAUCAAUACAUCGACGAUGCAAGCAGCAAGAAAACAUUGAUACAGGAGGGUUAUGAGCAAAACAUAUAAUGUUUGAUAUUGGUAUAAAUUAAGCUAGUUCUGAAUAUUAAAGCAUGCAGUUUGUACCAAGUUAAAGACUGAUGGUGAUUUCUAUCAACAGGCAAAAAUACGCGUGUAGAUGCGAUCGGAUCACACAACCUUUCUGAGGUGAUUCUACAACAAGGUGAAUUUUUGGAAUGCGAGAAAAAAAAAAAACCCAAGUGAGUCUUGUUGCCGCUAGUACUGCCCCUGUUCUGGAGAGGUCAAGCAGAUCCAUCCGCUGUCCAUUCUUUGUGAAUCUGAAACUCAAACGAUGUUGGGCAUAAAUUACAAGUGCUGAGUUGCCAUUUCCUACAGAAAUAAAGCUCCCCUGGUAAGAACGUAUAUUUUCAUGAAUAUGAAGACAAACUAGGCACUGGGAGCAUUCCUAGUUUAAUAGUACUAGUAAUUUACUGACAUGAGACAAGCGUGGAAUCAUGGUGUCAAUUGUUUAUAAAAGUGCUGCUAAGUUGAGGAGGGCACGGGUGUGACAAACAUGUCUGUGACGCUGCAAUAGCUUAGCCAGAUAAAGUACCUAUGGCAUGCAAAGAAUGUAAGAAGCCAUCAUCUUCUGCUUGGAGCAGCAAUUGGCGCCCUUUGUGCUGGAGCUCGACCCUGCCCUCCAGCUUGCUCCUCCGGUAUGUUGGCUGCUGCCGUGACGGCGUUCAUGACAAUGAGACCAAGAGGAAUGAUGUACAUCCACUGCAAAGCACGAAGCAGCAGUCAGAUUCAAGGAGAAGGAUACGACAACUUUUCUAGUCACGCAGACAACAAAAAAAAUCAAACAAUAUACACAUGAUAUUUAUAACUGUACUCACAUAUUUAGCCCAGAAAGAUUUCUCAGGUGGUUUCAUCACUUCACCAAGUCCACUCUCAGUUUCUAUUAAUUGUUCUACAAAUGAUGGAGUUCUGCAAGUGCACAACUUAGUAAGAACUAGGAACCAGGUGUCAUUCGAGAGAGGAUAGGUUUGAGACUGUUCUUUAGCAAUAGGUUUGUUGCUGGAAAAAAGUCACCAGAUAAAUGUGAACUGCCACCUCUCUGGUGGCGUAUAAUUUUCUUGACCUUGAUAAAGAAAGAUUUACCUUGGUGCUUGGUCAGCAGUCUUCAGAAUAGUGUACGAAUUGAAUGUCCAUUUUGAUGGCUGGAACAAGAAUUUCAGCAUUGUAAAUAUCAUCAGCAGACGGGUGAAACAUCAACAUAUCCUUCUGUGAUGUUAUUUUACCACAAUUGCGGAGGUUUAAUCUUGGCAGUAUAACUCUUAAAGUUAUAUGUUUAUAGUUUGUGCAUGCAAUUUGCUGGGACGGUACAGUUAAAAGGUUAUAGGUUAUUACUAUCAAUUAUUGACCACAUGCAACUCCAUAACCAAGGUUUCAAGCAGGACAACUUACUACUUUCAUUGGCCUGGGAUAUUGGCAGCCACCAACUGAACCAUAAUUAACUGCCAAAAUAUUUACACCGUCCUGCAAAUGAAACAGCAAAGCUUAAUGUGAGCCAAACACCCAAGAGCUACAGAAAAUGAUGAUCAUUCCUUCGAACAUUUCAUUCUGUGAAAGGCUAUUAUCCUACUGCAUUACCAAUUUAUCACCUACAAAAUACUCCCUCAGUUUCUAAAUAUAAGCCUUUUUAGAGAUUUCAAUAUGAACUACAUACGGAUGUAUAUAGACAUAUUUUAGAGUGUAGAUUCACUCAUUUUGCUCCGUAUGUAGUCCAUAUUGGAAUCUCUAAAAGGGCUUAUAUUUAGGAACGGAGGGAGUAUUUCUUUAAAGGUUUCAUGCUACAUGCUAGGUACAUGUGAUGGUUUCUAGCAAAUAUGAAACAUGGGAACUUCCAAUUUGGACACAGAGUUCUGGUAAGGAAGAACAUAUGUAACAGAAUAAAACAAGGACGAAAGUUGUGUCUUCAGAGCUAAAAAAUACUCAGGUUAACCAAACCUAUUGAAUAUGCAUUCCUAGUGUCACAUGAUUAAACUGUACAAUGUUACAGGCUGAUUUGUGGCGGUGGCAAGGUGGGUGUUGUACAUGAAAAUGUGCCUUUGUACGUGAUCGGAAAGGGCAGGUAGCUUGAUAACUCAUGCUCAGCUCCGUGCACAAGUGGCAAAGAGGUUCUGACAUGCAGCUUCAUUAGAUAAGGAAAUUCUUAGAAUGAUGCUGAAAAUUACAUUAGGGCUCCUUUUAAAAAUAGGUAGUUGUAACUACAAAGAACCAUAUAAGGGGCUGCUUUUAAAGAUAGGCAGUCAUAUACUCAUAUCCAAAAGGGAAUACAAACUGUUAGCUGAUUGUAAUAACUAAAACGUACUCCCUCUUGUACACUAAUGUAAGACGUUUUUUGCAGUUCAAAUUGAACUGCAAAAAUGUCUUAUACUAGUGUAAAGAGAUAGUAUCAGGAAAGGAUAAAAAGCAACAUUAGCCACAAGGAACACCAAUAGAUAUUUCUAAAUACGCAUACUGAGGGAAUACUUAACCAUCUCUAACACAAUCUCCUAACGAAAAUUGAAUAUAGUCUGUCCUAAUGCCUUCUGAACUAAAUCAUCACUGGUGUGCUAUCCACCUAUCAUAGCAGCCAUUUUCUGUGGAUCAGCAGCAAAAAUAGAUGGUGCUAUAAGAAAGGUUCACGACAAUCAAACAGCAUCAAAGCACCCGAUUUUGUUAAUUAUACAGAAACUGUAAUCAUGAGUCUGAAGAAAAUGCUGACAGUAUGUUGAGAUGCGUCAAUUAUACACAACGAAGUAAUCUCUACAGGACAAUAUACAAGUACUACCAGUUAAGAAAUCAAGAGAAUUACCAUGUGGAUGACAAUAUGUUCAUCCAAGCUGUCACGUGGAAUGCAUCUCUGAAUACAGAAAAAAUACACAGUUCAGCGACUGAAAACACAACUCUAGAAUCACAAAAAUUCCGUACAUUAAACAUUUCACGUCUGCAAGUUAUGCUUCUUUCAUAAGCUAGCAGUGGUCAUUGAUACAUGGUAAUUUCAAAUCAGUAUAGUUGUUGAUUCUGUUGUAAUAAAUUUCAUUCACAAUAAUAUUGGAGUAUAUCCGGUGAAUCGAUCUUACGAUCCAGCAUUCCAUAAUGAUAGCUUGGAGAGGAAUACCCUGAAGUUCGUCAACUGCUUAACUUACCGCUUUGAUCGAAGAAUAAAUAUAAUCGUGUCUUGUAGGAUCCAACACAUUAGACGGCAGCCUUAUUGUGUAAAAACUAUCUUCUUCCAGUAAUUUCUGCAAUAAUAAAAUUGAAAUGCAGAAGCACCAGAUAAGUUAGUGCACAGAAAAUAAUGAAAUCAGGAAAUAACAGAGACAAGAAAGAACCUUAAAUGCAUCCUUUUCAUCCUCAGACAACUCAUUCCUCGUAAAUCGGAGCUUGGUGAGAGUCUGAUCCAGAAAAUGAGUCACAUCAAGUAAGAUAAAAUUCUCCUCGCUUGAGUAUAAAUAGUUAAAGAAAGAACAUAGGAACCUCACAUAUGGUUAACUUCACUACUUAUGGGCAGCAUUGACAUGGGUGCUUAUUCAAUGAGACAACUAGUUAAUAGAAUACAAGCAAACAAAGCCAAGAAUAAUUCUGAAGCAAAAGUAAAUCCCUUCCUACGACUUCCAAUCUAGACAACCUUCGGCCUAGGCUCCUUAGCUGCAAACUUUAUGUAGAAAAAUAGCACAGCAUUCCAUCUCCGGUGACUUAGCAGAGAAGGGUCUAAGUUUAGGGGCAGGACUGAAUACGAAUUUUAUUCAAUUAAUCUGUGUUGCUAAUUGUGGUAAACCGAAAUUCCGUCAUUUCUUCCAUUUCUUGGUAACAGAAAGCGACAUUGUGUUAUCUUUUGCAAUAGGAUGGGAUGUUAAUGGAUACAUGUUUGGUAUUUUUAAAUGUAAGAUCUGCCUAAAUGGACAUACAAGCACCAUCUUUCCAUUAAAUGCUAAGGAAUGGGGAGAGUACUAUACUCACUUCUUUUCAGAUAGAAAUUCAAAACUGGAGCCGUAAACUUCUAUAUCUAACUAGCUAGCCCCCACUACUAGAUUUUGCUGCACAUGUGUGCUUCCACAUCACCAUAAUUAUUGAUAGCCGUCCGGUCGAAAUUGUGUGCCAUCAAGAGCCGUGCAUGUAUUCAUAAGUUAUUUUUUUGAAUUUAAUCUAUCCAUGCAAAUCAUGCCGCCUCACCAUGGUCAUGCAUGUCUUAUUUUUCAAAUAUAUAGUUCAUGUUUCACAUUUUUGUUAAAAGAUGGCAUCGCGUUAAAUUCAAUUGAUAAGUUUUUCACUUUUUUAUAUGUAACAUGUUGUUACAUACUUCGUAUGUUUUAUUGUUUUAUAAAUGUAAACCGAGAACACACUUACUUCUUUUUUUCAUUAAUUUUAGUUGGGCAUCAUCUAGUCUUUGUCAAUUUUUGGGCGAACUACAUGCAUGGAGCUAAAACGAAUGUAAUAAGAAAUAACCGAACCAAAAUCAUAUAAUGCAAACAUCGCCAAUAUUUCUACUAAAUGAGGUAUGCAAUAUACUUCUCCCUCCCUUUCUGAAAUCCAAGUUACAUAUCUGAAGUAAGUCAAAUAAUAAACACUAGAGCAGAUCUCCAAUUGAUUAGAAUAGGUUGCUACCUAGUAAUCCUACCGCACUUGCUCUCACAAUUAUACAUGAAAAAAUGAGUGCCAGGGAGACAAAGCUGCAACUGGGAAAAAGAACAGAAGCCAAUACAGAACUCCAGAUAUAUCUAUUUCCCACCUAACUCACAGAAACAAGGGUCCUUAGCAUUUCGAGUUUGGAGUCUGAAGUUACACAACCUGCGUAAGUGUGACCUGAAAAGACCAUAUUGCCCCUAGUGUUGUACAAAGCUAAAAAGAAAGAGCUCCCGUGUGACUAGUGCGCUGUACACACCACUGCUCUGACCACAAGAUUCAGCCUCGGCGGACAACUCUUUAGCCACCAUCCCGCAAGCCAACAAGCCCUGCACAGCUUCGGAUUCAACACAAGUUGGGAGAAAUGUUGGUCCAGCACCAACCUCAUCGCUCUGGCCACCGCCACAAACAACGCCAUGUUCUCACACUGCUCCAGCCCUGCAUUCCCGCAACCUCCGAGAACUUCCAGUACUUCCCUAUCCAUUUGGAGAGGUAGCUCGGUAAGCUGGCCACCUCUCUGCCGUCGAGCUCGGACACAGCCGUGGCAAGAACAGAGAGUCCAUGCAGUCCUGGUUCCUCAACGCAAACAGGUCAUGCAAGCAAACCUCAGGGGAGGCGAACCCAGUGUGCCCCAUCAUGAGCAGCAUCACGGCCCAGCAGCCUUGUCCACCACAUGUUGACGGCAAGCACAAAUGCGUCCUUCCACCGGGACAGGGAGAGAAAGCAGCGGAGCACGACGAGGAUCUCGGCAGAGCAGAGGUCAGUAGCCCAGCUGAGCACGAAGCAGACGAGGUCGGGGCGGGCAGGACGACAACAUGUCGUGCUCGGCGAGAUGCGUGACCCGGGAGGUGACGAGUGGGAAGAGUGUGGUGUGGGUACACAGCUCACGACAGUGCAGACGACGGGGGGGNNNNNNNNNNNNNNNNNNNNNNNNNNNNNNNNNNNNNNNNNNNNNNNNNNNNNNNNNNNNNNNNNNNNNNNNNNNNNNNNNNNNNNNNNNNNNNNNNNNNNNNNNNNNNNNNNNNNNNNNNNNNNNNNNNNNNNNNNNNNNNNNNNNNNNNNNNNNNNNNNNNNNNNNNNNNNNNNNNNNNNNNNNNNNNNNNNNNNNNNNNNNNNNNNNNNNNNNNNNNNNNNNNNNNNNNNNNNNNNNNNNNNNNNNNNNNNNNNNNNNNNNNNNNNNNNNNNNNNNNNNNNNNNNNNNNNNNNNNNNNNNNNNNNNNNNNNNNNNNNNNNNNNNNNNNNNNNNNNNNNNNNNNNNNNNNNNNNNNNNNNNNNNNNNNNNNNNNNNGGGGGGGGGGGGGGGGGCUUCAGGGAGUGGGCGGCGAGGAAGGUUGGUGAGGAGGGUGCGGAAGCACGGUACAGAGGAGAGAGAGGUGGCGGUGGCAAGUACUGGGUCCACCUCACCCUUUUCCUCCUGGACUGAGCACUGCCGCAAGGCCAUGGUGUGAUCCCGCCAGGUGCCUAACUGCAUCACUGCGACUGAUACGUGGGUCCACUUCUGCUCAGGUGUUUUGCUGAAAAAAUAACUAGUGUACAAAUGAGGGGUGUCUUUUCAGGUGCCAUUUAACACUCCCUGCUGGAAAAAUGGAUGGAAAUGUCACACUAGGAAAAAAAUCACACCUACUGUCAAAUAAGGAAGAUUUUUUUUAGGGCCAAACAGGGAAGCGCAUUUUUAUAAAGGGGCAGACAAGGAAUUGUCUCCGUCACCAUGGCCAAGCUAGCAUACCUAGGCAAGAGAAUACUAGCUAACGGUCAUGGGUUAGCUAGGCAAAUCCCUUCUUUGGAUAUUUUGCCAACAGAAACCAAUGACCAAUUGAUCAUGCGCUAACUGACACUUGCUCUAUUCUGAAAAUAAUAGACUGACAUUUGCUGUUGAGGGAAAGCCAAUUCUGCUCUCAUCCCUUGUGACCCAGCUGUAUCUCUUGCCUAGCAAAGCCAGAUUUUAUCGAGCUAUCAAUCAAACACCCAAUGCUUCGUCAUGCAAGGCUACAAGUACUUUGGAUCGAAGUGUGCACCCUUUGUUGCUUGCGGUUCUGUCACCUCACCUCGUAGUUGUUCUCCAUGUGGAGAUAUGCGAGUAAGCAAUGUAGAAUGAUUGCAUAUUCUCGGAAAGGAUGUGGCAACUGAUUUCUGUGACCACACAGACUGUGGGCAACAACAAUGAAAUGGUAAAGCUCAUAAUCAUUUAUCAACCUUAUUAUCUGCACUACCUACGUAGUAGCAACUCCUUUGCUAAAGGAACCAAACAACAAAACUGAACCGUCCUGAUAUACACACACAAGUCAAACAAAUAGCGAUGAUCCGGAAGAACAAACUAACCAGAUCCGAUCUAUAGUUCACCUUCCCUAACAAUUCGAACCACACAAUUCAAUGUACCUCCAAACCAAACAGCUAGAAACUACCUAUGGGGGCACGAACUCAACCAAAUCUACCCUCUAGGCUCUAGCAGGAUCCAAUCACUAGCUGCUCAUAGAUCACAGGAACAGGAAGUGGAGAAAACAGAUCAGCAAGCAACGAGAGCUACGACGACGAGAUCGGGUAAACCAAAUCGGGAGAGAAGCUACCGGAAGGACGCGAAGCAAACCUGGGAGCCGUGGGCCGAGGACUUGAGGCGGGCGGAGAAGGACCCGGCGGGGGCGAACCCUAGGCCGGCUCCGAGGUCGUGCUCGAGGGUGAACUGGACGGUGUUGGACUCGGAGGCGCCAGCCGCCUGCGUUGUGUCCGCGGAUCGGCGGCGGGAGGAGGUCACUACCGGCGGUGUCGAGGGCGGCCGAGGGGAGGGGGUGGAGGAGGCCCUGGUGCCCUCGAACUCGUCGUCGUCGUGGAGGAGCAGCUCGUCCGACUCGAAGGCGGCGGCGAGGGAGAGGAAGUGGGAGAGGAGGAGGAGGAGGGG